rnacentral:lncRNA from 1 species
UAUAAUAUAAAACAAAACUAGUAAAGAACAAAAAGGGCCAACAUGAAGAAAACCCAAAAUUGAAACCUGUCCUUUCUGUAUUUUCUCGAGAAAUUUCUCUCUCCGACUUACAGCUCAACGGCUUUAAUUUGAAAUUCUUCACACUCUUUCAAUUGUCUUUCAACGCGCACACUUCGUAUCCUUCGUUAUUAAUUGUUCACACACGCUCCCCCAACACCGAGCAGACUCUCUCUCUCUCUCUCUCUCUUCUGUCCGAAUUAGGGUUCUGUUGGGCUGUGAAACAUUAUAAUGCGCUUCUGAUUUCAAAUACUUUUCCAGGUAAUUUAAUCUUUUUUUCCUUUCUUGCUUUCUGGAAUAUUCUAAGAUCUUAAUCUAGAUUUGUUUCCUCAUUUCGGCAUUUUAAAAAAUUUGUUUUUUUUUUCUCUUACGGUUUAGGGUUCUCAAAAUCAUAUACGAUGCUGUUUUACUGCCACAUUUGUAAUUCGGCCAUUUUUCUUUUUCCUUUUUUUUUGUGAGUGUUGAAAAGGAAAAAAGUGAUAUUUUCCUUUCUGGGUAUUGCUGGAUUUUGGCCCCAGAAAAAAAACUGUAAUUCCGUCUCUUUGCGUGUAUAUAUGUAUAGGUAUCUUCUACAUUACCAUCUUAUUGGCUUUCCGGGUGACGAAAAUGGGUAGCUUAACUUUCUUAUAAUUGAGUUAUGCUAUGUGGGUUUGUUGUGGUGAUUAAAUACUGAUGGCAGUGUCUAAUGAGAUGAUGAGGGAACUCUAUCUAUGCGAAAAUGCAUGGUGUAUUUUGUGUUUAAAGAUUUUUAUGCAAGUUUUAUUGUAUUACGUUGUUUUAUUAAUAUUACUGUCUCCCAAUAUUUGAGUUCUUGUGUUUAUCAAAUGGUAGAAAAGAGUUUACCCUGAUUUAUGGUUUUGAUUGAGAUGUAAUGGAUAUUUUUAUUUGAUUAUAGGUUGGCAAGUCAAAACUUGACCUUGGUGCCUGCAAGGAAGAAGUCAAGAAGAUUGACUAGGAAACAAGAUCUGUUGGUAAGAAUUCCUUCCCAACGAAAACUUUAAUACUGAUUAAUGUCAUAAACUUGUUGGUUCAUUUUUUUUUUUUUUAAAUUUUCAUUUGCCUGGGCAUGUUUGCUGUACUAUUAUUCAUGAAUUGGGAAUUGAUCUUUGAAUGAGUAUUGGAAUCAAAUAAUGACGAAAGUAUAUAAUGAACAGUUGAAUGUUCUUUGGCCAAAAUAAAUUCACUUUGGCAUGACUUAAGGCUGAAAGAAAAGAUUAUGUAAUGAAAAGAAGACAAUUUUUAUGAUGAUUAUGUAUACAUGUCAAACAAUGUCGUAAAAAGGAAAUAUGUCAUAGAAUGCAGAAAAUGUAGGAAACUACAUUGCCCCUCUUAUGAGUUUAUCUAUAUAUAUAGUUUCCUUAUAUAUAUAUAUAUAUAUAUAUACCCUAAGGACCGGAAAGAGUUAAAGCUUAGGGAGACUGGUAGAAUUUGGAAAGAACAGUGAUGGAUGGAAGUGCUUUUUGUCUUGCAGCUUCGUGCAAUCAUGUUUUGCCGUCAUAGCUGGUAGUUGAGUUUUAUCUUGUUGGUGGGUAGUCCAGUGAGUCCUCUGGUUCAUGUAUUUUUUUGUUAUGUAGAAAGCAAAUUCUCUUUGCAUGUCCUUGCACUGAAUGCAUGAGUGGGGAAGACGUGUCGUGACUCUUUAUGCCUACAAUUGUAAUAUCUAUCUAAAUAUAUUUCAAUGUAUUGCAUUGCUGCAGUGCCAUUAGUUUUCUCUUUGCCUAUGAUGCAUAUGAACGAAGUCAACAGGAAGUAAAGCUUUGUGUCAUUAGUUUAACCAUGAAGCACUUGAAAGAGUUUUGUGGAAAGUUUUUCAAGAAACAAAUUUUCUUAUUAUCAAUUUGCAAUUGAAUAAAAAAAUGACACAUUAAAUUCUCUCUUUUUAAUUAAAAAUUUUUUUAGCGAAAUAAUUUUUAAAAAUUACUUAAUUAAUUCUUUCUUUUUUUUUCUUCUCAAUUUCAUAAAUUCUCAUAAAUUCAUUCAGAUAUCCUUUUUUAGCUACAAAUAAAAAUUACUUAAUUAAUUCUUUCUUUUUUUUUUCUUCUCAAUUUCAUAAAUUCUCAUAAAUUCAUUCAGAUAUCCUUUUUUAGCUACAAAUAAUCGAUAUCACUAAGUAUUUCAUGUUUGCUUUAUAUGAAAAAAAGGAAUUAUGAAUAAAGUAUUUUAGAUAUAUUAUUAUUAUUAUUAUUCAUGAUAUAUUAAAAAAGGACAAAAUUAAACUAAAAAUAAAGUGAAAUUGAGUGUUUAAUUUGUAAAGAAUAGAGAAAAUAUGCAAUUGUAAGAUAAAGAGAGAGUGAUUAGUGAAGAGUAAUUUUGAGAAUUUUAAAUUUUUAAUAAUAAAUUUAUUUUUUAAAAUAGGUACAGAGAUAAAUUUAAUUCAAAUAGGAGAGGAAUUUAAUGAGUUCAAAUAGCCCCACCAUUGUAAUAAUAUUAUACAGAAUUUAGUGUUAUACUAUAUUAUAUUUAUUUUUUAUUGAUAUUAUUUAAAUUUAUUAUUAAUUAUAUUAAAUUAUUAACUAAAUAAUUAUUUUAUGUUAAUUAUUUUAAUGUUAAUCAUUAAUAUAUAAAUAUAAUAUAAAAUAGCAUUUUUAAAUAAAACUGCAUGAUACCAUAAUUUAUUUUUAAAUUUUAUUUAUUAUAAUAAUAAAAUUAAUUAAAAUAUAUUUAAUGCCUCAAUUAAGGCAAAAGCUGGUAAUGUUCCACAAUGCAGUUUCCAAAACUUUCAAAUAUAGGUAACCAAUAAAUUAAUGUAAUCCGUAUUUAUAAUAUUAUGCAAUGUUAUGUUCCAAACACACCCUUAAUUUAGUUUUUGCUGCGUUAUCAAACCUCGUGCCCUCCUCUGUAAAUUGUAUUGGUAACUUUUACAACAUAAAAUUAUUUUAGUCAAUUAGAAUAUAUUUAAUUAUUACUAUUUUAUAAAAUAAUAAAUUUAAAUGGUAAAAAUAUUGACUACUGCCAACCAUCACAAUCCACCGCUUGCGAUGUCAUUUCGAUAUCCUUUGACAUCAAUUUAGGAAUUAAUAUAAUCCUUAUUAUUGGAGCUAUACAAUGAUAUAUGUAAAACCAAAAAUAGAGCUUCAUUCAUUGUAGAUCUAUGGUCAAAGUUUUGUAUCUCUAAACUUUGACCGUAUAUUUAUUAUAAUGAUAGGAAACUCUGUUGCUGAUGAGAUAUGCACCAUUGUGUAUAUCGAAUUAUGAAAAUUAUAAUGGUACCGAAAUUGACAUCAAAAGAUACUGGAAUAUGAACAUCGACGAUAGCUCAUGGUGGCCCAUGGGCGACAGUGGUGAGUAAUCUUCUGUCGUUUAUAAAUUUUAAAUAAUAAAUUUAAUAAUUAUAAAUAAUAAAACUUUUAAGACAUUUAUAAUUAUAAAAAAUAAUUUAAUAUAAGUAAUAAUAUUUAUAUUGUUACAUAUAAUGCUAUACAAUAUAACACCAAAUAUUGUACAAUAUUAAUAUAAUAAAAUGAUAAUGCAAUAAUGCAAUACGCCUACACUAUAAUACAAUAUAGUGUGCCAAACACUCUCUACGACUUUACUUAAUGUUGCUCAAUGCCUUUUAUUUCAAUUCCCAAUCAUGAGUUUAUCUCAAUUAAUGCCGGACCCAAAUGUAGUGUUGUGCAAUGCUGCAAGUCAAACAUACCCUUCGUGUAAUACAUACACACACGCACUCUCUUUUUUUAAGUAAGAGCAUCCCCACAUUGUUAAAGUAAAAAUGUCACUAAAAUACAAAAGAAUAAAAAUUUCAAUAUAUAUAUUUUUUAUUUGUUAGUAUAAUGAAAAUUGUGUUUUUUGUUUGUUAGUAGCUUCCUCAUUUUAACAAAGUUAGGAUGACCUCAUUAAAAAAUGAUUAUAUAUAUCGGAGUGAGUUUUCAAUUAAAGAUCCAUUAUUAUAUUAAAGUCAAUGAUAAAUUAAAAAUAAAAAACACUGGUUAAUAAUAUAUAUGCAUCGGAGUCUGUAUUUUUAUUUUUUAACUUAUUGUUGAUUUUCAUAUAGUUAAGAUUCAUGUAUAUAUAUUUAAAAAGUGGAAGAAGAAAUUAAUUUAAAGGGCCGUUGAGAUCCGGAUCCAAAAGUCCAGAAAACUUCAAAUUGGACUAUGACCCAAACAUUAGAAAACAUUCACCAAAACAAAACCCAAACAGAACCCCAGAAUCAGCUUACACUCGACCUCUCCCGGAAGCGGUAUCGAGUUGAUUUUGCAGGUGAAAAUCCGUUGAUUUUAAUUUCUUUUUCUCCAAAAUUUUCAUUUCAUUUCUUAUUAUUAUUAUUAUUUCUUUUCAAUAAGUUCAUUGAAUUUGUUCUCUGUUUCUUAACUGAGAAAAUGAUUAAAUAAAGUCUUCUUGUUGAUUCAGGUUUAUACUCGUAAAUAAUAUAUCAUGCCGGACACUCAGGCACUUGUGAAUGACUUUCUUAACAAGCUUAAAAAACAGUUACGUUUCGGACAAUAUAUUUUAAUUAUUCUUUUUUUUUAUACUGAUUUUAGGAGCUGAUUUUGUUUGUUUGUUUUGUGAGUGGCAGUAAGAUCGAGGGCUCGCAAGCAACGGCAAGGCAGACCGCGGAGCUGCUUCGCUCUGUGAUUUCACAGCAGCGCGUGCCGUACACAAAUCAGGCUGGAGCUUUAAUUGAUGCUGUCAAAGCUGUUGGCGAGCAGCUCAUUGCUGCCAAUCCUGUUGGUUCGUUUUUUUUUUUUCCGUUUUCUUUUCGACUAUUAGUUUGCUCUUGAAUAAAUACAAAUAUGGUACUUAGUCAUGUUAGUUAUUUUUAAUAUCAUUGUGAUGAUAUCACCUUUUUUCAGCUGAAUUGAUUUUUAUCAAAAUGUUAUUAACUUGAAGUAUGUUAAUUGUUUUCAUCGCUCUUAAUUUAGUUUUGUUGUAAUCUAGCAUCCUCCAAUUAGUACAGCUAAUAUAGUGUAUGUGCUGUAGGUAAUUUGGCAUAGUUACCUCUGAGGUUGGGGUCUUGUACAAUUAUUGAUGUUAGGCACCAGAACUUGCAUUUGUUUGGGGCAUGCAUUAGAUAAUCUGGUAUCUACAAAUUUAUUGUACUUCCAUAGCAAACAUUCUUCUUUUCUUUUUGAAUCACAUGGAUGAAACUAUGCAUUCUGCUGUUGAAAAUUAGUAUUGUUGCUAUAUUCACUAUCAAAUGGAUUCGGCAUCGCUAAGAAACCUUUUCUACAAAGUUAUACUUGGUUUUUUAUUUAUGAUUUGUUUCUUUUAUUUCUUUCCCUUUUGUGGCUUUUCAAUUCUCCCUAGCACUUAUUUCCAGAUCCUCUUUCCAAAAUUAAAAAUGAUUAAUUUUCUUCUUUGUUUGUGAUUUAUGUUUUCUUCACUUUUCUGAUUGAUUAAAUGAUAUAUCAAUGCAGAGCUUGCCGUGGGUAAUAUUGUGAGGCGUGUUUUACACAUCAUUAGAGAGGAAGAUCUGUCUUUGACUACGGCUGCUAUUGGUGAGCUGAACUUAUCUGCUGUAAGUGAUGAUGAAAAUGAUGAUGAUCGAGAUGGCGACACAACUCUAUCGGCAGCUGCUGUUGCUGCUGCUGCUAGAAGUACUUUGCGUCCACCUUCUUUGCAAACUCUGCUCGAGGACACACCUGUCUCUGCAGCUGUUCCUCAGACUUCCUCAUCUGGGGGUGAUUCUGAAGGAAAAAGCUAAUGUGUGUUACUUUUUUUUUUUUUUUUUUUUUAUAAAGUGUUUUUGAUAAUUCUUCAAUCAUAGCAUCUUCUGUUAUUUUCCCUAAAUAAGCUUGUCUUAUGUAACACAUGUUUUAAAUAUGCAAUCGGAUGCAUCUUGGUGAUAAACUGGUGUUCCUGAAUGUUUUAGCAUUGAUGAUUUAGUUAAUUCAGCCUUAUGAUGGUAGAUAGUUAACAUACUAGUUUCCUUCACAGCUGCUGAUAAAAGUUCAAGAAGUCGGAAGCUGAAGCAUGAUGUUAUUGAAGCGGUUAAUGAACUUAUUCAAGAUAUUGUCACUUGCCAUGAACAGAUUGCUGAACAAGCAGUGGAGCAUAUACAUCAGAAGUAAUUAUUCCUUUUCCUGAUUUCAACUAGACAAUAUGUUUUUUCUCUCUCAUACCUUUUCUCCAUACUUGGACUUUAUUUUCAGGAGAAUUGAAUGUCUACAUAAUUCCUUUUUACCUGUUAUUUUAGGAUAUAUGUAUUCAGUUUGUUGUUUAUGCAUGUACUACACUUAGCAUGUACUACACUUAAAAAUGCAUGCAAUAUCUCAUUUAGAAGCAUAUAUAUAUGCUCUUUUCAUUCUUGUUAGGUUUUUUCUAUGUCACUUUCUUAAGUCUAAAAGAAUAAUGUUGUUUGUCUAUUCUCAUGUUGUCUUCCUAAGGAAUUGUAGGAUGAUAAUUUCAUGUAUCGAUGAUGAACUGUAAGCAGUUUUCAUAUCUGGCUUGCAAGCAUUCCCUUUUAGUAUGAUGUGGAGGUUAGGUUGCCGGAAUUGUUGGUGAUUUACAAAUAAUCGAAGGUUACUUCUAUUAAGAGGAAUGAGAGAUUUACAAAUACAAUAUUGCACUACAAGACUCGAUGUCUAGAUACAAAUCAUGGACUCCCUUUUAUAGGCUCAAGGGAUCCACUAUUACACACUAUUUGCAUUAUUGAUCCUUAUCACUAAGGAAUUUACUUUACAACUCAUUACCUACUUUAAAUCACAUCACACUUAUUACACUCUUAUCCUUAUCUCUAAGGAGAAUACGAAUACAAUACAUAUAUUAUUAUCACCACUGCUUCAACUGCAGGGUUCACUAAGUUUCCGCUACAAUCCCGAGUUGCCACUUGUUGGCGUGCUCAUCCCUGACCUAUGGUUCCACCUUUCUUCGGAUGCUGCUUCCAUAUCAUCUGCUAGUUGCUGCCAAUCUGGUUCGACUACAUUGUCUGGUUGGGGCCAUUCUUGAAGGUCUAGCCAUUCGGCCAUUUCUUCAAGCUCGUUCCUCCAUCUGUCAAUAUCUGGAGUAUCCAAAUAAUUGACCUCUCUUGGCCUACCAUGCCUGAUAAGGUAGUCGUUAUACCUCUGCUGCAUAUCUGCUGCUUGCUCCUCGUCUUCAUGCAGCUUGAGGUUUCUGAUCUCUUCCCGGUAGUAGAGAUCUGGAGUACUACAGACCUGUGGAGAAAUGGGACUGUGAGUAAUAUACAUAGGAAUGGUCAUGUUGUACUACCUGUACCAUAGGCUGCUUGUAUCUUCCCCAGAUAUCCGUUAGCUUCACAAUCACUAUUGUAGUAUGAGUGAUGUGAUAUCCAUUGAUCAAUUUGAGUGUUGAGUGUUAGGAUAUCUUCAAAGAUUGAGGCGAACAUUUGAUCGAACCAUCUUCCCUUUCUGUAUCUCCGACUGGUGUGAAUAAGAUUUGGCUCGAACAGUAUUGCCACCGGGUAGAUGUUCAGCCAAUACCAGGUUAUGUAAUAGGCCUGAGGGGUUAUGUCACAAAUAACAUAAUGUCCCCAGUUGGAGUUCUCAUCUAUUACAUGAUGGAAUGUACAACCAAUUUUGAAGAUUGUUUCGUGCAUUUGGUUAGGAUUAGGAUGUGGGUCAAAAGCUCUUUGACAUUUCUUGUUGUGGGCAGGUCUAUGUUCUUGCAUGGCCAUAAGCUGCCAUACCCCCCAUGUUAGAGCUUGGUCUUUUGGAUCGCUCUUAUGAUUGAUGACCCUCUCAAAUUUUUCUCGUUGUACUUCGGAAGUACACGCAAUGAAAGUGUUGAGAUCUUUGAGAAAGUGUGCUCUAGUCUCAUGAACACUAGAGCUGCCUUCUUCCCACCUCUUUGGAAGGCUUCUUCUUUUGAUCAUGGUGAUUGGUCUAGAAAGAAAAUCCGCUGCAGUAUUGGAUUCUCCUUUGAUGUGUCUUACUUCGAAUUUGAAUCUCGAGAGAGACUCAGACCACCUUGCAAGCUGUAGAUCUGGGAUUUCUCCUUCUUUUCUUCUUAGUAAUCCCUGGAGGUACUUGUAAUCUGUUUCAAUCACAAAGGGGGUUAAUGAAAGAAAGAAUUGGAACUUCUUAAUCCCUUUGGCCAGAUUUAUAGCCACAUACUUUCUUGUUUCCCUUGGAUUCUUCUAUUAACAGUGCUCCCCAAUAAUGGAUUCUUUUUUCCUGUGAUGAAAAGCGAAAAGAGAUUGCCUUAACAGUUUUUUUCUUUUUUCCCCCCGAUAAAGUAUGUUUUGUGCUAACGUUGACCAGUUGCACUUGUCAAAUAAGAUAAUCAAUCAAGUUGUUCUAUUGAUUUUGGGUGGAUACCUGGUUCACUACUAAAGUGCAUUCUGUCCAUUGUUUAGUACUGCAGAUACUCAUAGUUUCGUAUUAAAAAAAUAUAAAAAAAGAUUAUCAAAGGAAUUGUGAAUCUAAUUUUUUCAUUGAUAGUCUUAUUUGACAUGUGUAAUAGGUCAAUGUUAAGACAGAACAUACCUUAUCAAAAUAAUAUUUCAAAGAAAAACAUGUUGUAGCAGCCUCCUGCUGCCAGUCAAAGUUGGCCUCUGACCACCGUCUAAACUUUUUCUCUUUGAGCUUGAACAACUGUGUAUGUAGUUAGUUGUAUUAAGACUUAAAAAUUUGACUUCCCUUUGAUAUCAUUUCCUUUUUACAUAGGAAUGUUUCCUCCGAGUAGUGUCUGUGAUUUUCAAUCAUAGUUGGGAAAAUCUAUCAUUCUUCAUAUUUGAUUAAUACAAGCAUUGACACUAAUCUAGAAGUAUUUAUUACAUGUCCUCUGUUUCUAGAUAUUCACAUGUUGCCAUUUUAAGGACUGUCUACUGAAUUUUUUUUGGAAAGGAUAUCCUCUACGCCCUUGUGUUUUGUCUUAAAAUCAGUGAAGUCCAUUUUGAGAAAUAGUGAAAUGCCUGUAUCAUUAAUUUGUUUUUCUGUUGCCAUUAAGCAAAACAAAUAUUCAAUGGGAUGCAUUUGACUCUUUCUGAAAAUUGACUCCUUGACAAAGUAGCAGUGAAUGUUAUAUGCCGUAAUUUUGCUUACAUGGUGAUAGCGCUUAGUCUCAUUUGAUUUUUUUUUUUUUUUUUAAUUACAAAAGAGAGCAAUAUGUGCAACUUUUGCUCACAGUUCAAAUGUUUUGGUCCUAGUUGACUUGCGAAUGACUAAAGUGGUAAUAUUCUGAACUUUUAAUGGUGGGAUAUUUGCGUAACUUGCUGGACGUCAGGGUUAAAUUGUGGUCGGGAAAACUUAUACAUAUCAGCGGUGUACAAAAGUUUGGCUCAUUAUUAGCAGGGGAAAUAUUGUGAUUCAUGGCCUUUAUCUAGUUUGGGUCAGCUAUGGCAUAUUAUAUAUGUUCUCUUGUGUCUUAUCUCCUAUAUUGUCCAAUACAUGUAUUUGCUUAUUUUUAAAUUCUUCAUCUAUGUUUCUUCCUACCAUUUGCUACUUCCAUUAAUUUUAGCUAUUAAAUGUAUUUUCAGUGAGGUAAUAUUAACUUUAGGCAGUUCAAGGAUGGUGUUGGAAUUUCUUUUUGCUGCAAAGGAGAAAAAAAGAUCAUUCCGGGUAUUUGUCGCAGAGGGUGCUCCAAGGUUUGUGCAAUGGCUUGCUAUUUGUUGAUUGCAAAGAAAUAUUUCACUGGCUACUUUGGCUCUGAUGUUCUCUCUCUCUCUCUCUCUCUCUCUCUCUCUCUAUCACAUUCUCUGUUUGGUUGCUGUUCUGCUACUUCUUGUUUUAUAGGUAUCAGGGGCAUCUGCUUGCAAAAGAAUUGGUAGCAAGAGGUUUACAGACCACACUGAUUACUGAUUCUGCAGUUUUUGCCAUGAUUUCCCGAGUAAACAUGGUAUGUUUGGGCCACUUUUCUCGUUUGGUUUUGGAUUUCCUGAAAUGUUUUUAGCUUGAUCUAAAAAUUUGAAAUGUAAGGUUAUAGUUGGAGCUCAUGCUGUCAUGGCCAAUGGUGGGGUUAUAGCACCUGUUGGGAUGAAUUUGGUUGCACUUGCAGCUCAGAAGCAUGCUGUCCCUUUUGUUGUACUUGCCGGAAGUCACAAGGUAGUUUGGUGCAACAAACUGCUUAACUAGAAAAUUAAGUAAAAUUUAGAAAGCCCAUUUUCCUUAACUGCCAUUCCUAAAUUCGUUGGUCUUGUGUAUGAACUGGUGUGGAGUUUAAGAUGGUGCUCAGUUAUUCAUGUGAAGCGAACUUCCCUUUCAGAUAAAACUGAUCACUAAUGUAAGGAGUAGUAUGUGCAAGAUGCAAAUGUGUUUAUGAAUAGUAUGUGGGUGUAAAAGCUCAUAUUCUUUGUACCAAAUAUUAUUGAAUGUUGGUUGAAUUAAUCUCUGUAGCUGCUGUCCUUUUUAAUGCAUCAACAUUUUUGCUGGGUAUUGAAUUGCAUCUGGUUGUAAUAACAUUGUAGUUGGAGAUAAAUCAUUGAACUCUGGUACUUCAGUUCUGGGUAUGAUCUUUUUGACAAAUGUGGUUGGUCUAUAUGACAGUUAUGCCCCCUCUAUCCGCACAAUCCUGAAGUUUUACUGAAUGAGUUGAGAUCCCCAUCAGAGCUGCUGGACUUUGGAGAAUUCUCAGACUGCAUGGAUUUUGGGAGUGGCAGUGGUUCCCCUCUUCUUCAUGUGGUCAAUCCAGCAUUUGACUAUGUUCCACCGAAACUUGUUAGUCUUUUUAUUACUGACGCGUAAGUUCAACUGCCCUUUUAGCAUGAGACAGAGACAAUCUACACCUUACGUGCAAUUUUUAUGCAAUAUAAAUUGCAGAAAUCCUUCGAUCCUAUUUCCUUCUGAUAGAGCCAUAGCAGAAAUCUUGAUUGCCGGCUUUACUGGUCAACUAAAGGGAUGGUGGGAUCACCUUCUCACUAAAUUGCAGCAAUUAGACAUUCUAAAUGCCAUCCAAACCGAUGAAACUGGUGUACACCUUUCCAUUUGUUAUCAGUGCCCUUGGCUCUGAUACCAGAAGGAAAUAUCUUGAUAAGCUUUUGGAGGCCGAGAAGGAAAUAGGAUCGAAGGAUGGAUGUGUUUUCAAAAUACUUUAUUAUUUAAAAACUCAAAUUAAACAAUUAAUGGAAUCGGCUUCUUCAGAUUUUAAAAGGAUUUACCGUUUCUUUAUUAAAUCAAUUUGCUUUGGAACGCGGUUGAUCAAAAUUUUAGAUCUAAACUGGUACGUGGCGUUGUUUUACCGAAUCGAUGCAGAACUUAAUCUGCCUUUGAACCCAGAUCUGACUUAGAACAGAUCAAUAGUCCGCACGUUCUGGUUUCCAGCCGAUAUACCGGAUUAGUGUGCUUUACCAAAUAUUAAUUAGAUUCUUUGGUAGAUCUGGAGAUCUACUUUGCUUUGAAACGCGAUUUGUAAAUUUUUAGAAGUGUCUUUACCAGAUCUGAGUUAGGUUGAUUUUAGCAAAUCUAGCAACAGGGCUUUACAGAAAUAAACAUGCAUUAAGGUUGGCUUCUAAAACAUACACAGUACCAGAUCCGGUUCCCGGAAAUGGUGCUCUGAAGGAAUGGAGGGAGAAGAGAAGUGUACGACUGAGGAUCGAGAUCCGGUCUCUUUGCCUCAGAAGAAUGUAUAUUUUAUAAAGCAGAUCUGAUACAGAUCAGUCUGCAAGCAUGCUUUGUAAAAGAAAAUGCUUUAAAAUUAAAUUGCAGAAAUUUAAAUGCUUUGAAUUUAAAUUACAUGAAUUGAAAUUGCUUUAUAAAUAAAACUAGAUCAAAGAUCUAGACAUACACUUUGCUUUUGUUGCUGCUUUAGAAUUUUCAAAUCUUUCCAGAAGGGAAGAUUGAAAGACGGGAAGAUUCUUUUGAAGGUAAAGAACUAGUCUGAUUAAUCAAAGCUCUAAGGUAGAACUAUUGCGUAAACAGAAAAUUUCUUCAAACACUUCUUGCUUUGGAGAGAGUUUUAGAGAGAAGGAGGAGGAGAGAGAGAAAUGAAAACUCAAAAUAAAAACCUGUGAGGAGUCUCAGUCUUCCUCUUGGAUUAUAUACAAAAGUCAUAAAAUGUACAGUUACAUUUGUACUAUUCACUGUAGCGGGUUUGUAAGUGCACAGUAACAAAUGGAAAGGUGUACAGUUGAGCAGGAGUCUUUGGAGGCCGAGCAGGAAUGCUGAGCAGGAGUCUUUGGAGGCCGAGCAGGAAUGCUGAGCAGAAGCUUUGUAGAAGCCGAGCAGAAAUGCUGAGCAGGAAUGCUGAGCAGAGAAACUUUGUAAAGCGGGUGAAGAGACAUGUGCGCUCUCACUUGUGUCCAGAGGACCACCCGAGGAGAAAAAUAAGCAAUAAAAUAUUUUUUUUUUCAAUAGUUACAUGAACUAUUUACAAUGCUUUAUCGGAGAGAAAAUCCCGAAACAAUCGUCUUCGUUUUCAUCUCCAAGAGAGACGGUUGGCUCGUUAUCUUCUUCGUCUUCAUCUUCAGAAGAAUCUGCAACUGAAGAUUUGGACCGAGAAGCGAGGAGCUGUUCCAUUGCUUUGAAGUACUCUUCUUCUGUUUUGGCACUUGCGAGGAGGGCUUGGGCUUUGGAUUUCUGUGUGAGGAAAGUGCUUUGGGCUUUAAUGUCUUUAAUAGCUGGUUGAAGGUGGCCUUGAGCAGAAAGCCAGUUUUGGACAAGGUUUGGUAGUUAAUUUGGUCUGCUCGUCAAAUUUUGACCACCAUUUGACUCUAAAGGUUCUUUGGAGGACAAAAUGAGAAUCUUGUGUGUGAUGUCGAACACUCCACAUCCAGACCCAUGGGAGGAAGAAAUUGGUACAAAAGCAGAGAAAAUGAGGAAAUCUUUUCUCAGACUCAGUAGGUUUGUAGUUGGCUUUGAAAAGGUUUAGGCAUUGUAGGGCAUUUUGGGUAAGGAUUUCAGAGGUCGGACCAAAAUAAUUCCACCAAUGGUGAAACCAAUUGGGAAGGCUCUGGACGGUUAUUUUUGAAUUAAAGAAAAAUAACCAGGAAUGAGAUUUUUUAGGGUUUUGUAUGAAGAAAGUGUUAUACCAAGCCUGUUGGUAAUCCCAGUAGGAGAAAGACCGACAGUGUGGUAAACGGGUCUCAAAAUCAAGAGGGAAAGUUUUAAAAUUGUGGAGCAGAUCACCCCACUGAUUAGGGCUCAAAACUUUUAAAAUUGUGGCCGUAGAAUAGGCCGGCUCAGAAUGGGUUUUGCUUAAAAAGAAAUGUUUGAAUUUUACUGAAUCAGUAAUUUCCAAAAUGCUUUGAUAGUAAGACUGGGGUUUCGUCAAAUCCCAUGGUUUGAAAAACCAGCCUUGGGGAAAAAACUUUGAAAUACUUUGAAAAGGAUCAGAGUGGUAAAAUCCAUCUUCCAUUGAAACAACGUUUUGAAAAUUGGCUUUAUCAAACCAAUCGGAGGUUUUCUUUGAAGGUGUUGGCUGAGAGAGCACAAUUUGGGAGGAUGAGCUCUCACCAGAAACUACAAUGUUUUGAGAGGAAGGUUUUGAGAUAGCUUUAGAAGUGGGUUUUUCUUCCUCUUUAGGUUGGACCUGGGAAAGGCUUUGUAGAGCUAUCAUAAGCUCAUGUGAUUUUGUAAUGGAACUCAUCCAUUGCUUUACUUGGUCUUCAGAGGAAAUGGAUUUGUAUUUGGCCUCAUGUUCUUCAACCAAUUCAAUCCAAGAUUUAAUUGGCAUGGCUGAGGAAAGAAGUUUUUCUUUAGAAGGGGUUGCUUGAGGUUCUUUGGACGGUUCUUGGGAAGCAGGAGCUUUCCCUUUGUCUCUUUUCUUUGGAGCCAUUACCUGUUUUGAAGAAAUUCCCGAGUUAGAAAAUCAGGAACAGAAUUUUUAUCACCUUUAAUGAAUUCUAUAUCAAAAUCAAAAACACUGAGAAUAGCUUGCCAACGUGCAAAAAUCUGUUUUGAUGCAAUGUUUUGAACAUCCUUUUCUAAAACAUGUUUUGCAGCUUUGCAAUCAAUUCUAAGUAAAAAUUUUUGAUUUAAUAAAUUACUUUGGAAUUUAGUAAUGCAUAAAACAAUGGAAAGAAUUUCUUUUUUGAUAGUAGAAUAGUUUUUCUGACAAUCGUUCCAAUGGGCAUAGACAUAUUGUACUAUCUGUUCUUUAUCAUUUUCUUUUUGCUUUAAAAUACCUCCAUAUCCUAAAUCUGAUGCAUCAGUUUCAACAAUUUUAGGAAAUGCAGGAUUUGCAAGAUGUAAACAUGGAAUGCUUUUAACAGACUGCUUUAUUAGUCUAACAACUUUGGUAUGCUCUUCUGACCAUGCAACAGGAUUCUUUUUUAACCUAUCAUGCAAAGGUUUUGACAUCCUAUUAAUAUUAGGGCAGAAAUCAAGAACAUAAUUUAAACUAUCAAGAAAUCUUUGGAGUUGGGUUUUAUCUAAAAUUUUGUCUGGGAAUUUGUCCGCAAACAAAAGAGAUCUUUCAAUAGGAGUAAUGGUUCCUUUGGAAAUAUGAUGACCAAGAAACCUGACUUUUGUUUGAAACAAUGAAAUUUUGGAACUGGAAAGAGCUAAUCCAGCCUUUUUUGUAGCAAGAUAAAAAGUCUUUAGAUGUUUGAAAUGUUGAUCAAUGCUUUGAGAAAAAAUCAAAACAUCAUCGAUAUAGACAAUGCAAAACUCAGAGUAGGGAUUGUAAAUAUCAUUCAUAAUUCUUUGAAAUUCUGAGGGUGCAUUUUUCAAACCAAAAGGCAUUACUGUCCACUCAUAUUGACCAAAAAGAACAGUAAAUGCUGUUUUGUAACGGUCUUUAGGAUGAAUUUGAAUUUGCCAAAAACCUGACUUCAUAUCAAAUUUGGAAAAAAUGAAGGCCGAGCAGAGUUUUUGAAGCAAGUCUUUCUUAUUAGGUAUCGGGUACCUAAUCCAUUUCAAAGCUUUAUUUAAAGGUUUGUAAUUUAUCACAAGUCUAGGUACACCUCUUUCAAUCUCGAAAUUUUUAUUGACAUAAAAAGCAGCACAAGACCAAGGUGACCUGGAUUUUACAAUAAGACCUUUGGAAACAAGAUCAUUAAUUUCUCCUUUACAAUGUUGUUCCAAAUCCGAAUUCAUUUGGAUUGGACGGGCUUUAGUAGGUAUUUGCUUUUCAUAAAAAGAACUUUUAUAGGGCAAAUCUACCAAAUGUUGUUUUUUAUUCCAAAAAGCAGUUGGUAAAUCAGCACAAAUUUCUUUUUUAAUAAGACUUUUGAAAUCAGAAAUCUUUCUUUGUAUAAUAUCAUUUUGUAAUUGACUCUCAACUCUUUGAAAACUUAAAUCUUUUUGUAAGUAAAACAAAUCAUCUUGUUUAGACUUUACAAUGGCAUUGAUUUUGUUUUGGUAAACCGAGCAGGCUUUGACAAUAUUAAGGUUUCGGGUCUUUGGUUUUUCAAUAAAUGGAAAAGCAAGUUCUUUGGAUUUUGCUUUGAAAUAUAUACCAUCAUAGUUGACAGCAUAUGGGGUUAUCAAAUUUAUAAAAGGUGUUCCUAAAAUGAUAGCAUGGUGUAUAUCAUUUGUAAGAACAAAAGAGGUUUUAAACUCAAUUUUGUCAUUAUAAAUAGCUGCUUCAACUUCGGGUCUUUGGAAUUUUGUCAUUAUAAAUAGUAGGGAGUGCCAAUUCCCAAUGAAUUUUGUUGGCUUUAGGAAUAGGUUCUUCAGUAAAGGCUUCUAAGUCAGAAGAGGCAAUAGAAGCCUGGUUUUGGUCGAGUACUCUAAUUCUACUCAACUGAGGAGUAUCAAUCCUGCUGGAUUGAGGAGUAUCGGGAGCUAUUUGAACUUUACUAGAUGAGGAAGAAGCAGCUUCUAUCCUAUCUAAUUGUUCUCUAAUGGCUUUGGCAAAAUCAGACUUUGAUUCUUGGACAAGCUUCUGACUAGUUUUCGAAACCUGAAAAGGUUUGAAAAUAGGUUCUUUAAGCUUUUUAUCAGAAUCUGAUUUUAAAAUCAGAUUUCGAAACCUGAUUUUGCCAAAAUUCCAAAACAAAAUUGAGUUGAAGCAGCUAUUUAUAAUGACAAAAUUGAGUUUAAAACAUCUUUUGUUCUUACAAAUGAUAUACACCAUGCUAUCAUUUUAGGAACACCUUUUAUAAAUUUGAUAACCCCAUAUGCUGUCAACUAUGAUGGUAUAUAUUUCAAAGCAAAAUCCAAAGAACUUGCUUUUCCAUUUAUUGAAAAACCAAAGACCCGAAACCUUAAUAUUGUCAAAGCCUGCUCGGUUUACCAAAACAAAAUCAAUGCUAUUGUAAAGUCUAAACAAGAUGAUUUGUUUUACUUACAAAAAGAUUUAAGUUUUCAAAGAGUUGAGAGUCAAUUACAAAAUGAUAUUAUACAAAGAAAGAUUUCUGAUUUCAAAAGUCUUAUUGAAAAAGAAAUUUGUGCUGAUUUACCAACUGCUUUUUGGAAUAGAAAACAACAUUUGGUAGAUUUGCCCUAUGAAAGUUCUUUUGAUGAAAAGCAAAUACCUACUAAAGCCCGUCCAAUCCAAAUGAAUUCGGAUUUGGAACAACAUUGUAAAGGAGAAAUUAAUGAUCUUGUAUCCAAAGGUCUUAUUGUAAAAUCCAGGUCACCUUGGUCUUGUGCUGCUUUUUAUGUCAAUAAAAAUUCCGAGAUUGAAAGAGGUGUACCUAGACUUGUGAUAAAUUACAAACCUUUAAAUAAAGCUUUGAAAUGGAUUAGGUACCCGAUACCUAAUAAGAAAGACUUGCUUCAAAAACUCUGCUCGGCCUUCAUUUUUUCCAAAUUUGAUAUGAAGUCGGGUUUUUGGCAAAUUCAAAUUUAUCCUAAAGACCGUUACAAAACAGCAUUUACUGUUCCUUUUGGUCAAUAUGAGUGGACAGUAAUGCCUUUUGGUUUGAAAAAUGCACCCUUAGAAUUGCAAAGAAUUAUGAAUGAUAUUUACAAUCCCUACUCUGAGUUUUGCAUUGUCUAUAUCGAUGAUGUUUUGAUUUUUUCUCAAAACAUUGAUCAACAUUUCAAACAUCUAAAGACUUUUUAUCUUGCUACAAAAAAGGCUGGAUUAGCUCUUUCCAGUUCCAAAAUUUCAUUGUUUCAAACAAAAGUCAGGUUUCUUGGUCAUCAUAUUUCCAAAGGAACCAUUACUCCUAUUGAAAGAUCUCUUUUGUUUGCGGACAAAUUCCCAGACAAAAUUUUAGAUAAAACCUAACUCCAAAGAUUUCUUGUUAGUUUAAAUUAUGUUCUUGAUUUCUGCCCUAAUAUUAAUAGGAUGUCAAAACCUUUGCAUGAUAGGUUAAAAAAGAAUCAUGUUGCAUGGUCAGAAGAGCAUACCAAAGUUGUUAGACUAAUAAAGCAGUCUGUUAAAAGCAUUCCAUGUUUACAUCUUGCAAAUCCUGCAUUUCCUAAAAUUGUUGAAACUGAUGCAUCAGAUUUAGGAUAUGGAGGUAUUUUAAAGCAAAAAGAAAAUGAUAAAGAACAGAUAGUACAAUAUGUCUCUGCCCAUUGGAACGAUUGUCAGAAAAACUAUUCUACUAUCAAAAAAGAAAUUCUUUCCAUUGUUUUAUGCAUUACCAAAUUCCAAAGUGAUUUAUUAAAUCAAAAAUUUUUACUUAGAAUUGAUUGCAAAGCUGCAAAACAGAUUUUUGCACGUUGGCAAGCUAUUCUCAGUGUUUUUGAUUUUGAUAUAGAAUUCAUUAAAGGUGAUAAAAAUUCUGUUCCUGAUUUUCUAACUCGGGAAUUUCUUCAAAACAGGUAAUGGCUCCAAAGAAAAGAGACAAAGGGAAAGCUCCUGCUUCCCAAGAACCAUCCAAAGAACCUCAAGCAACCCCUUCUAAAGAAAAACUCCUUUCCUCAGCCAUGCCAAUUAAAUCUUGGAUUGAAUUGGUUGAAGAACAUGAGGCCAAAUACAAAUCCAUUUCCUCUGAAGACCAAGUAAAGCAAUGGAUGAGUUCCAUUACAAAAUCACCUGAGCUUAUGAUAGCUCUACAAAGCCUUUCCCAGGUCCAACCUAAAGAGGAAGAAAAACCCACUUCUAAAGCUAUCUCAAAACCUUCCUCUCAAAACAUUGUAGUUUCUGGUGAGAGCUCAUCCUCCCAAAUUGUGCUCUCUCAGCCAACACCUUCAAAGAAAACCUCCGAUUGGUUUGAUAAAGCCCAUUUUCAAAACAUUGUUUCAAUGGAAGAUGGAUUUUACCACUCUGAUCCUUUUCAAAGUUUUUUCCCCAAGGCUGGUUUUUCAAACCAUGGGAUUUGACGAAACCCCAGUCUUACUAUCAAAGCAUUUUGGAAAUUACUGAUUCAGUAAAAUUCAAACAUUUCUUUUUAAGCAAAACCCAUUCUGGGCCGGCCUAUUCUACGGCCACAAUUUUAAAAGUUUUGAGCCCUAAUCAGUGGGGUGAUUUGCUCCACAAUUUUAAAACUUUCCCUCUUGAUUUUGAGACCCGUUUACCACACUGUCGGUCUUUCUCCUACUGGGAUUACCAACAGGCUUGGUAUAACACUUUCUUCAUACAAAACCCUAAAAAAUCUCAUUCCUGGUUAUUUUUCUUUAAUUCAAAAAUAACCGUCCAGAGCCUUCCCAAUUGGUUUCACCAUUGGUGGAAUUAUUUUGGUCCGACCUCUGAAAUCCUUACCCAAAAUGCCCUACAAUGCCUAAACCUUUUCAAAGCCAACUACAAACCUACUGAGUCUGAGAAAAGAUUUCCUCAUUUUCUCUGCUUUUGUACCAAUUUCUUCCUCCCAUGGGUCUGGAUGUGGAGUCUUCGACAUCACACACAAGAUUCCCAUUUUGUCCUCCAAAGAACCUUUAGAGUCAAAUGGUGGUCAAAAUUUGACGAGCAGACCAAAUUAACUACCAACCUUGUCCAAAACUGGCUUUCUGCUCAAGGCCACCUUCAACCAGCUAUUAAAGACAUUAAAGCCCAAGGCACUUUCCUCACACAGAAAUCCAAAGCCCAAGCCCUCCUCGCAAGUGCCAAAACAGAAGAAGAGUACUUCAAAGCAAUGGAACAACUCCUCGCUUCUCGGUCCAAAUCUUCAGUUGCAGAUUCUUCUGAAGAUGAAGACGAAGACGAUAACGAGCCAACCGUCUCUCUUGGAGAUGAAAACGAAGACGAUUGUUUCGGGAUUUUUUCUCCGAUAAAGCAUUGUAAAUAGUUCAUGUAACUAUUCAAAAAAAAAAAAAAGAAAAGAAAGUAUUUUAUUGCUUAUUUUUCUCCUCGGGUGUUCCUCUGGACACAAGUGAGAGCGCACAUGUCUCUUCACCCGCUUUACAAAGUUUCUCUGCUCAGCAUUUCUGCUCGGCUUCUACAAAGCUUCUGCUCAGCAUUCCUGCUCGGCCUCCAAAGACUCCUGCUCAACUGUACACCUUUCCAUUUGUUACUGUGCACUUACAAACCCGCUACAGUGAAUAGUACAAAUGUAACUGUACAUUUUAUGACUUUUGUAUAUAAUCCAAGAGGAAGACUGAGACUCCUCACGGGUUUUUAUUUUGAGUUUUCAUUUCUCUCUCUCCUCCUCCUUCUCUCUAAAACUCUCUCCAAAGUAAGAAGUGUUUGAAGAAAUUUUCUGUUUACGCAAUAGUUCUACCUUAGAGCUUUGAGUAAUCAGACUAGUUCUUUACCUUCAAAAGAAUCUUCCCGUCUUUCAAUCUUCCAUUCUGGAAAGAUUUGAAAAUUGUAAAGCAGCAACAAAAGCAAAGUGUAUGUCUAGAUCUUUGAUCUAGUUUUAUUUAUAAAGCAAUUUCAAUUCAUGUAAUUUAAAUUCAAAGCAUUUAAAUUUCUGCAAUUUAAUUUUAAAGCAUUUUCUUUUACAAAGCAUGCUUGCAGACUGAUCUGUAUCAGAUCUGCUUUAUAAAAUAUACAUUCUUCUGAGGCAAAGAGACCGGAUCUCGAUCCUCAGUCGUACACUUCUCUUCUCCCUCCAUUCCUUCAGAGCACCAUUUCCGGGAACCGGAUCUGGUACUGUGUAUGUUUUAGAAGCCAACCUUAAUGCAUGUUUAUUUCUGUAAAGCCCUGUUGCUAGGUUUGCUAAAAUCAACCUAACUCAGAUCUGGUAAAGACACUUCUAAAAAUUUACAAAUCGCGUUUCAAAGCAAAGUAGAUCUCCAGAUCUACCAAAGAAUCUAAUUAAUAUUUGGUAAAGCAUACUAAUCCGGUAUAUCGGCUGGAAACCAGAACGUGCGGACUAUUGAUCUGUUCUAAGUCAGAUCUGGGUCCAAAGGCAGAUUAAGUUCUGCAUCGAUUCGGUAAAACAACGCCACGUACCAGUUUAGAUCUAAAAUUUUGAUCAACCGCGUUCCAAAGCAAAUUGAUUUAAUAAAGAAACGGUAAAUCCUUUUAAAAUCUGAAGAAGCCGAUUCCAUUAAUUGUUUAAUUUGAGUUUUUAAAUAAUAAAGUAUUUUGAAAACACAUCCAUCAUUCGAUCCUAAUUCACCAUAAGUGAGUUCGUCAUAGGGAAUACGAUUAUCAAAGAGGGCUUUGAUAGUAUUUCUUACCUUUUCUCCCAAAAGAGUAGGUAAACCUGCAAGGAAUUUUUCCUUCCAAGUUACAUGAUUUGCAUCAUCUCUUAGGAAGAGUCUGGUAAAGAAAGUGGUUUUGUAGUCAUUAAAAUCACUAAGUUUCCUACACCUCAAGUUGUGUAGUAACUCAGCAUUUUUGUCUCUAAGGUGAGAAGGAUCACCUAUGAAGUGUAGAGAAAUGGUCAAUAUCAGGGUAGCAACAGCAUCCUGAAUUGGGUUAUUGAGCUCAUCAAGAAUGGGGGCACCAGUUUCAUCGGUUUGGAUGGCAUUUAGAAUGUCUAAUUGCUGCAAUUUAGUGAGAAGGUGAUCCCACCGUCCCUUUAGUUGACCAGUAAAGCCGGCAAUCAGGAUUUCUGCUAUGGCUCUAUCAGAAGUUCCUGAUUGGGUUUUAUAAGCAUUGGCUACCAUGGUCAUUUGCUGCAAUACACCUAAAAUGUUGUAUUCAGACAUGCCAUCUAAAUUCCACUCAUAGACAGAGGAUGCAUUAUAUCGGGCUUGAUUUAAUGCACUGGGCCUGUUAUCUAUGGUCAAAUCUGGUGGAGAUUUGGAAGUAGGGAGUGCCAAUUCCCAAUGAAUUUUGUUGGCUUUAGGAAUAGGUUCUUCAGUAAAGGCUUCUAAGUCAGAAGAGGCAAUAGAAGCCUGGUCUUGGUCGAGUACUCCAAUUCUACUCAACUGAGGAGUAUCAAUCCUGCUGGAUUGAGGAGUAUCGGGAGCUAUUUGAACUUUACUAGAUGAGGAAGAAGCAGCUUCUAUCCUAUCUAAUUGUUCUCUAAUGGCUUUGGCAAAAUCAGACUUUGAUUCUUGGACAAGCUUCUGACUAGUUUUCGAAACCUGAAAAGGUUUGAAAAUAGGUUCUUUAAGCUUUUUAUCAGAAUCUGAUUUUAAAGUAACAGGUUUUGGACUAGGAGAAACAGAUAUGGUUGACUGUUGAAAUUGAUUUUCCAAUCUAGUCAACUGUUUUCCUAUGGUAUUUAAGUUAGUAUUACAGAAAUUGUUCUGUUGGAUAAUACUACUUAAAUUGGCUUCAGAAUCAUUUGGCUUAGGAAUUUUGUAGGGUGAAGCUCUGAUUUCAACAGGAGGUUCACCAUGAUUUAUGGUUACACUCCUAAGAGGGGGAUGCUCGGAAUCGACUGUUCUAUUACUAUCGAAGAGUUUCCACUCAGUGGUUUUCUUCCUGGUAGUAAUAGGGUUUGACUCUUUGAAAGGAUAGGAAAUGUUGUUUUGAGAAGAGUAUAUUUCGAACCAAUCAAAAAACAAUAUAUGAACUUGAUGAAAAUUAACAAAUUCAUAGUAAGUUUGUUGGAUUUCCUUCCUUUGAUUUAAAAAAUGUUUAAAAAACCAAAAUUUUUUUUCUUUAUUAUCUUCUGAAUAAAAAUCAUUAUGCAGGAUGGUUUUAUCUAAUUCAAAAUGCUUUUCAAUGACAUUUACAACAUUUUCUGUGACUGCAGAGAAUGUAGGAGAAGUUGGAAGAGAAGGCUCUUUCUCUUCCUGUCUUUGUUCAUGUUGACUGCUAAUGUAUAUGGGAUGUGGCACCUUUGUAGUGUAGUCAAUAGAACUAAUGGAAGAACUAGGUAAAUCCGAAGUGGAAAACCUAGGUUGACUCUGAAAUGGAAGAUUUAUAACAGAGGGUACUUUAGUAAAUUUCAUUUCUAGUGAAGGAAUGCUUGAGCAUGAUGCUUUAUCGGAGAAUCUGGAAGAAUUUGAUCUCCUGAAUGAUAAUUUAACUUUACCAUCAGAAUACUGAGUUACAUCUUGCAACUCUGUAUUGGGCUCAAGUUGUUUUGGAAUCGCUGGUGGAGCGGCUCCUUCAAGAAUCCAUUCCUCAGGAAGAUUUACAUCUUUCCAUUGGAUUGGUUUUGGAAUGACAGUGUUUGCUCUAGACAGGUUAGUCUGUAAGAGAAGAGUUUCAUCUCUUUUCGACUGGAAUUUAUGUUGAGUACUGAAGGCAGUAAUCAUUGCUUUGUACGAGAUUUUAAAAAUCAAUGCAACAGGGAUAGAUCCCUCAAUCAUAUGAUAAUUAUGCGUUUUGAUUUGUAAAAUCAUGCUUUUCAAAAUGUUUUUGUCUUUAAGAGACAAUGUUAUGUUUGGAUAACAAUCGAAUGAAAUGGGACCUUUACAUAGGCUAGAUUCAAUGCUACUUAGCAGAGAAUCAUCAAAAGAGAUGAAUCGACCAUCUCUAAGAACAGCAAGGAUAGAAGUAUCCAAGCCUUCCUUGGUAAGGGGCUUUAUACCUAUUUGGAUAAGACCGAUAUGAAUGUAAUUGAAAUUCUUUUCUUUUAAUUUAUUUAAAGAUUUUUCUGAAAACAAAUUAAUUGUUUCAAAAGGCUUUGAAAGAGUUAUAUCACGCUCCUCAGUUUUUAUAACAUAAUCAUUUUUCCAAAAAUCGAGCUUUUUUGUUCUGUAAAUCUUUUCUUUCGAAAUCUUUGGAAGUUCCCAACAAUCAAUUGCUUUAUCAAAGUUCUCAAUAACAAAUUCUUCUGAACUCACAACAUGCUUUGAAUCACUAGUCUUCCCAGAAGAAGAGCUAGAAAAGGACGAUGCUCUACAGUGAAGAGGAUCCAUGGUUAGAAUCCUGGGUUCUAUCUUUGGUUUGGUCAGAAUGGCUACAGGUAUGGUUUUACAGCCCUAAACGGAAAACUUAUCCUUGGACGGGACUUACUACCAGUAAAAAUUCACCACAAAAACAAAACUUCAAAAUAAAACACAAGAUUUUAAAACACGAAAUUCUAAACUGCUUUACACAAUCCUCCCCUUGGCUCUGAUACCAGAAGGAAAUAGGAUCGAAGGAUGGAUGUGUUUUCAAAACACUUUAUUAUUUAAAAACUCAAAUUAAACAAUUAAUGGAAUCGGCUUCUUCAGAUUUUAAAAGGAUUUACCGUUUCUUUAUUAAAUCAAUUUGCUUUGGAACGCGGUUGAUCAAAAUUUUAGAUCUAAACUGGUACGUGGCGUUGUUUUACCGAAUCGAUGCAGAAGUUAAUCUGCCUUUGGACCCAGAUCUGACUUAGAACAGAUCAAUAGUCCGCACGUUCUGGUUUCCAGCCGAUAUACCGGAUUAGUGUGCUUUACCAAAUAUUAAUUAGAUUCUUUGGUAGAUCUGGAGAUCUACUUUGCUUUGAAACGCGAUUUGUAAAUUUUUAGAAGUGUCUUUACCAGAUCUGAGUUAGGUUGAUUUUAGCAAACCUAGCAACAGGGCUUUACAGAAAUAAACAUGCAUUAAGGUUGGCUUCUAAAACAUACACAGUACCAGAUCCGAUUCCCGGAAAUGGUGCUCUGAAGGAAUGGAGGGAGAAGAGAAGUGUACGACUGAGGAUCGAGAUCCGGUCUCUUUGCCUCAGAAGAAUGUAUAUUUUAUAAAGCAGAUCUGAUACAGAUCAGUCUGCAAGCAUGCUUUGUAAAAGAAAAUGCUUUAAAAUUAAAUUGCAGAAAUUUAAAUGCUUUGAAUUUAAAUUACAUGAAUUGAAAUUGCUUUAUAAAUAAAACUAGAUCAAAGAUCUAGACAUACACUUUGCUUUUGUUGCUGCUUUACAAUUUUCAAAUCUUUCCAGAAGGGAAGAUUGAAAGACGGGAAGAUUCUUUUGAAGGUAAAGAACUAGUCUGAUUACUCAAAGCUCUAAGGUAGAACUAUUGCGUAAACAGAAAAUUUCUUCAAACACUUCUUGCUUUGUAGAGAGUUUUAGAGAGAAAGAGGAGGAGAGAGAGAAAUGAAAACUCAAAAUAAAAACCCGUGAGGAGUCUCAGUCUUCCUCUUGGAUUAUAUACAAAAGUCAUAAAAUGUACAGUUACAUUUGUACUAUUCACUGUAGCGGGUUUGUAAGUGCACAGUAACAAAUGGAAAUGUGUACAGUUGAGCAGGAGUCUUUGGAGGCCGAGCAGGAAUGCUGAGCAGAAGCUUUGUAGAAGCCGAGCAGAAAUGCUGAGCAGAGAAACUUUGUAAAGCGGGUGAAGAGACAUGUGCGCUCUCACUUGUGUCCAGAGGACCACCCGAGGAGAAAAAUAAGCAAUAAAAUACUUUUUUUUUUUUUUGAAUAGUUACAUGAACUAUUUACAAUGCUUUAUUGGAGAGAAAAUCCCGAAACAAUCGUCUUCGUUUUCAUCUCCAAGAGAGACGGUUGGCUCGUUAUCGUCUUCGUCUUCAUCUUCAGAAGAAUCUGCAACUGAAGAUUUGGACCGAGAAGCGAGGAGCUGUUCCAUUGCUUUGAAGUACUCUUCUUUUUUUUUGGCACUUGCGAGGAGGGCUUGGGCUUUGGAUUUCUGUGUGAGGAAAGUGCCUUGGGCUUUAAUGUCUUUAAUAGCUGGUUGAAGGUGGCCUUGAGCAGAAAGCCAGUUUUGGACAAGGUUGGUAGUUAAUUUGGUCUGCUCGUCAAAUUUUGACCACCAUUUGACUCUAAAGGUUCUUUGAAGGACAAAAUGGGAAUCUUGUGUGUGAUGUCGAAGACUCCACAUCCAGACCCAUGGGAGGAAGAAAUUGGUACAAAAGCAGAGAAAAGGAGGAAAUCUUUUCUCAGACUCAGUAGGUUUGUAGUUGGCUUUGAAAAGGUUUAGGCAUUGUAGGGCAUUUUGGGUAAGGAUUUCAGAGGUCGGACCAAAAUAAUUCCACCAAUGGUGAAACCAAUUGGGAAGGCUCUGGACGGUUAUUUUUGAAUUAAAGAAAAAUAAUCAGGAAUGGGAUUUUUUAGGGUUUUGUAUGAAGAAAGUGUUAUACCAAGCCUGUUGGUAAUCCCAGUAGGAGAAAGACCGACAGUGUGGUAAACGGGUCUCAAAAUCAAGAGGGAAAGUUUUAAAAUUGUGGAGCAGAUCACCCCACUGAUUAGGGCUCAAAACUUUUAAAAUUGUGGCCGUAGAAUAGGCCGGCUCAGAAUGGGUUUUGCUUAAAAAGAAAUGUUUGAAUUUUACUGAAUCAGUAAUUUCCAAAAUGCUUUGAUAGUAAGACUGGGGUUUCGUCAAAUCCCAUGGUUUGAAAAACCAGCCUUGGGGAAAAAACUUUGAAAUACUUUGAAAAGGAUCAGAGUGGUAAAAUUCAUCUUCCAUUGAAACAAUGUUUUGAAAAUGGGCUUUAUCAAACCAAUCGGAGGUUUUCUUUGAAGGUGUUGGCUGAGAGAGCACAAUUUGGGAGGAUGAGCUCUCACCAGAAACUACAAUGUUUUGAGAGGAAGGUUUUGAGAUAGCUUUAGAAGUGGGUUUUUCUUCCUCUUUAGGUUGGACCUGGGAAAGGCUUUGUAGAGCUAUCAUAAGCUCAGGUGAUUUUGUAAUGGAACUCAUCCAUUGCUUUACUUGGUCUUCAGAGGAAAUGGAUUUGUAUUUGGCCUCAUGUUCUUCAACCAAUUCAAUCCAAGAUUUAAUUGGCAUGGCUGAGGAAAUGAGUUUUUCUUUAGAAGGGGUUGCUUGAGGUUCUUUGGACGGUUCUUGGGAAGCAGGAGCUUUCCCUUUGUCUCUUUUCUUUGGAGCCAUUACCUGUUUUGAAGAAAUUCCCGAGUUAGAAAAUCAGGAACAGAAUUUUUAUCACCUUUAAUGAAUUCUAUAUCAAAAUCAAAAACACUGAGAAUAGCUUGCCAACGUGCAAAAAUCUGUUUUGAUGCAAUGUUUUGAACAUCCUUUUCUAAAACAUGUUUUGCAGCUUUGCAAUCAAUUCUAAGUAAAAAUUUUUUAUUUAAUAAAUCACUUUGGAAUUUAGUAAUGCAUAAAACAAUGGAAAGAAUUUCUUUUUUGAUAGUAGAAUAGUUUUUCUGACAAUCGUUCCAAUGGGCAGAGACAUAUUGUACUAUCUGUUCUUUAUCAUUUUCUUUUUGCUUUAAAAUACCUCCAUAUCCUAAAUCUGAUGCAUCAGUUUCAACAAUUUUAGGAAAUGCAGGAUUUGCAAGAUGUAAACAUGGAAUGCUUUUAACAGACUGCUUUAUUAGUCUAACAACUUUGGUAUGCUCUUCUGACCAUGCAACAGGAUUCUUUUUUAACCUAUCAUGCAAAGGUUUUGACAUCCUAUUAAUAUUAGGGCAGAAAUCAAGAACAUAAUUUAAACUACCAAGAAAUCUUUGGAGUUGGGUUUUAUCUAAAAUUUUAUCUGGGAAUUUGUCCGCAAACAAAAGAGAUCUUUCAAUAGGAGUAAUGGUUCCUUUGGAAAUAUGAUGACCAAGAAACCUGACUUUUGUUUGAAACAAUGAAAUUUUGGAACUGGAAAGAGCUAAUCUAGCCUUUUUGUAGCAAGAUAAAAAGUCUUUAGAUGUUUGAAAUGUUGAUCAAUGCUUUGAGAAAAAAUCAAAACAUCAUCGAUAUAGACAAUGCAAAACUCAGAGUAGGGAUUGUAAAUAUCAUUCAUAAUUCUUUGAAAUUCUGAGGGUGCAUUUUUCAAACCAAAAAGCAUUACUGUCCACUCAUAUUGACCAAAAGGAACAGUAAAUGCUGUUUUGUAACGGUCUUUAGGAUGAAUUUGAAUUUGCCAAAAACCCGACUUCAUAUCAAAUUUGGAAAAAAUGAAGGCCGAGCAGAGUUUUUGAAGCAAGUCUUUCUUAUUAGGUAUCGGGUACCUAAUCCAUUUCAAAGCUUUAUUUAAAGGUUUGUAAUUUAUCACAAGUCUAGGUACAUCUCUUUCAAUCUCAGAAUUUUUAUUGACAUAAAAAGCAGCACAAGACCAAGGUGACCUGGAUUUUACAAUAAGACCUUUGGAAACAAGAUCAUUAAUUUCUCCUUUACAAUGUUGUUCCAAAUCCGAAUUCAUUUGGAUUGGACGGGCUUUAGUAGGUAUUUGCUUUUCAUCAAAAGAACUUUCAUAGGGCAAAUCUACCAAAUGUUGUUUUCUAUUCCAAAAAGCAGUUGGUAAAUCAGCACAAAUUUCUUUUUCAAUAAGACUUUUGAAAUCAGAAAUCUUUCUUUGUAUAAUAUCAUUUUGUAAUUGACUCUCAACUCUUUGAAAACUUAAUUCUUUUUGUAAGUAAAACAAAUCAUCUUGUUUAGACUUUACAAUGGCAUUGAUUUUGUUUUGGUAAACCGAGCAGGCUUUGACAAUAUUAAGGUUUCGGGUCUUUGGUUUUUCAAUAAAUGGAAAAGCAAGUUCUUUGGAUUUUGCUUUGAAAUAUAUACCAUCAUAGUUGACAGCAUAUGGGGUUAUCAAAUUUAUAAAAGGUGUUCCUAAAAUGAUAGCAUGGUGUAUAUCAUUUGUAAGAACAAAAGAGGUUUUAAACUCAAUUUUGUCAUUAUAAAUAGCUGCUUCAACUUUGGAAUUUACCCUUAGCUUUGAAUUGUUUGCAGCAGAAAGUCUUUCAUUUGUUUUCUCAUGAAAUCUCUUUGGGACAAUGUCCUCUCGAAUACAAUUUAAAUCAGCACCAGUAUCAAAAAGAGCAAUGGCAUCCAUCGCAAAAUUAUCUAAAAAAAUUAAAGUAAUUUUAAUCAAAUAUUUUCUGGUGGUGAUUUGCUUUAAGACAAACAAAAAAUCAUUUGGAAUAGACGCAAUAUUAUCAAUCUUUUGCUCAAGAUCAUCAUUUUCUGAUUUAACCUCCUUAUCGGAAGUAUCUUGCAACUGUUUUUGUAAAAGGAGUUGAAUAGUUGCAGAAUCAGUUUUUUGUUUUUCUUUUAAAUUCUUUAUUUCAAGUUUAAUAUCCUUAAUCUCCUUUUGAAGAUCUUGGAUAUUAGGAGUAGACUUCUUUGUUUUCUUCUUAUCCAAAAUCUCAGUUAAAUCAUAAGAAUUCUUUUUGACAAUAGGGAUUUUAGAAGAAGAAGCUUCUGUGUUGCUUGAAUCCAUGGUUUUUAAAAGCUUAUCAAGAUAAUCCUUUUGAAGAUUUGGAUCAGAAAUGUGCUUUACAAGUUCAAGGAAAAUCUCUUGGUCUUUUGUCAAAACAUUGAUUUUCUUUAAAUAGGAAUUAUCCGAAUCAGAAUCACUAUUGCUAGAUGCAGAGCUAUCUGAAUCGAAUAGUUCAUCGACUUGGAGGGGGUCAUUAUCACCCGACCAGGAAGACUCAGAAUCAGAAGACCCGACCAGAAGAGGGGCUGUUUUAGAAAGGAUUUCCUCCUCGAGGCCGAGCUCAUGGAGUCUCCUGUUCAUUUUACAAAAACGUGCAGUAUGACCUUUCAUACCACAUUUGAAGCAGGUAGCAUCUUUAAAAUUGAAUGGGGUUUUAGGUUUGGCUUUAAACUCUUUCUUUUUAGAGAAACUAUGUUUCUUAUAAGGCCUCGAAGGUUUCUUAUAAGGAAGUUUUCUAAAAUCAUGAAAGGGUUUUCUAUGGCUUUUGGACUUGUAAUGUUUUUUGUAAGGUUUCGAAGAGCACUUACCAUUACAGUCUCUGGAAGUGGAAGUUUUAAAGGGGUCAUAAUUGAAUUGCUUGCAGAAUCCGCCUAAUUCUUGCUUAGAUUGCCUAAGCUCUUGUUUUAGACGUUUCUGAAGUUUCAAGUCUUGACAAAUCUUUAAACCUUCUUUGUUGACAAAGCUGACUAAUUCACCAUAAGUGAGUUCGUCAUAGGGAAUACGAUUAUCAAAGAGGGCUUUGAUAGUAUUUCUUACCUUUUCUCCCAAAAGAGUAGGUAAACCUGCAAGGAAUUUUUCCUUCCAAGUUACAUGAUUUGCAUCAUCUCUUAGGAAGAGUCUGGUAAAGAAAGUGGUUUUGUAGUCAUUAAAAUCACUAAGUUUCCUACACCUCAAGUUGUGUAGUAACUCAGCAUUUUUGUCUCUAAGGUGAGAAGGAUCACCUAUGAAGUGUAGAGAAAUGGUCAAUAUCAGGGUAGCAACAGCAUCCUGAAUUGGGUUAUUGAGCUCAUCAAGAAUGGGGGCACCAGUUUCAUCGGUUUGGAUGGCAUUUAGAAUGUCUAAUUGCUGCAAUUUAGUGAGAAGGUGAUCCCACCAUCCCUUUAGUUGACCAGUAAAGCCGGCAAUCAGGAUUUCUGCUAUGGCUCUAUCAGAAGUUCCUGAUUGGGUUUUAUAAGCAUUGGCUGCCAUGGUCAUUUGCUGCAAUACACCUAAAAUGUUGUAUUCAGACAUGCCAUCUAAAUUCCACUCAUAGACAGAGGAUGCAUUAUAUCGGGCUUGAUUUAAUGCACUGGGCCUGUUAUCUAUGGUCAAAUCUGGUGGAGAUUUGGAAGUAGGGAGUGUCAAUUCCCAAUGAAUUUUGUUGGCUUUAGGAAUAGGUUCUUCAGUAAAGGCUUCUAAGUCAGAAGAGGCAAUAGAAGCCUGGUCUUGGUCGAGUACUCCAAUUCUACUCAACUGAGGAGUAUCAAUCCUGCUGGAUUGAGGAGUAUCGGGAGCUAUUUGAACUUUACUAGAUGAGGAAGAAGCAGCUUCUAUCCUAUCUAAUUGUUCUCUAAUGGCUUUGGCAAAAUCAGACUUUGAUUCUUGGACAAGCUUCUGACUAGUUUUCGAAACCUGAAAAGGUUUGAAAAUAGGUUCUUUAAGCUUUUUAUCAGAAUCUGAUUUUAAAGUAACAGGUUUUGGACUAGGAGAAACAGAUAUGGUUGACUGUUGAAAUUGAUUUUCCAAUCUAGUCAACUGUUUUCCUAUGGUAUUUAAGUUAGUAUUACAGAAAUUGUUCUGUUGGAUAAUACUACUUAAAUUGGCUUCAGAAUCAUUUGGCUUAGGAAUUUUGUAGGGUGAAGCUCUGAUUUCAACAGGAGGUUCACCAUGAUUUAUGGUUACACUCCUAAGGAUAUAUAUAUAUAUAUAUAUAUAUUAAGAUUACUUAUUUGAUUUCAUUGUAGAGUACCAGUUUUCUGGCCCCUUUAUUUUCCAUUGGUGUUCCAGUUCUAUCUCUCAAUAUAUUUCAUUUUUUUUCCUCUGCUGUUGCUGUGUUGUUCUGCUAAUUUCUUUUCUUCUUCACAGGGGAGGGCACAAUCCUUCAUACAUGUAUCGGUUGAUUGCUGAUUAUUACUCGGCUGAUGACUUGGUUGUGCAGCGAAGAGCUACUGCUGGGAAUUGAUUUUGGUUUGUAUCAUCUAUUGUGUAAGCAGUCUUUUUGUGCCAAUGCUCUGGUGGAAAAUUGUUGAUUUUAACAAAAAGGAUAAUCUUUUUAAAUUGACAUAACAAUUGGUACUCUUUCUGAUUGUUAUGAUUCCAAUAAACUUAAUUGAUAUUGCGAACUGCUUCAUCUCGGGAUAUAAAAUAAUUAAAAGAUGACAAUGAGUGAAUGCUGUAACUUGGUAUAUCAUUUUGAGCUUUGACUUUAUCUAAUCUUUGCCCUAUUUUAAGGUCAGGAAUUUAUUACGGCAAGAGCAUUAGCUUUGGGUUUGAGAAAUUUCAAAUCACUGAAUUUGGAGCUGAGCUGAUGCUGUAAAAGAACUCAGGGACAUAGCGAUUGCGAGGCAAUGGUGUGAACUUGUGCAAAUUUUAGGGACGCAAACAAUGAUAGGAUAAUUUUUGUUGGCAGAAAUAUUAAAAUGUAAAAUAGAGGCUAAGAGUUGUACUGAGAUAAAAAGGUGGAUACGGUUAGAUAAUAUUUUUUGAUUGUAUCAAGGUUGGUGGUCAAGUGCUGUAUUCUUCUUCAUCAGUGAUUUUCAGACGGACGGUAUAACAUUGUUGUAUUGCUUGUUGCUUAAAAUUUUCAUAGCAGAACGUAGCUGUUGAGAUGUUUCCUAGAAUGAUUUUCUUGUCUUUGCAUGAAUAACAUUGGAGCAUAAUUAUCUGUUUAACUGUGUGUUUUCUUUCGUUCCUCGACGGUUGAGACAUGUUACUUUUGAGUAAUGAUAUGAGCCCAAAGGUCGACAUAAAUGAGUGCCAUGUGGAUGCCUCCAAGAAAGAAACAGGGCGUCCAAACGGCAUCAUGAGAGUGACAUAACGUUUCUGUCGGGCUCAAUAUAUCAUUAGAUGUUACGUUUUGGAACAUAAACCAAGGAUUUGAAAUGCAUUAUUUUACAUUAAUCCCCCGACAUAAUAGGCCGAACCCUUUAAGCCAUUUUUCAAAUGUCGCAUUUGAGAAGGGUCGAGUGUUAAAAAGGGAGUAACAAGAGCUACGAGACUAGUCUCUUGAUUCGCAUUACAAGAGGUUACAUAAAACUUCGAAUAUUAAAAUUAAGUCGCACAUAAUGCAACUUAGAUAAUGAGAAAUCAGCAGUAACUUUGCAAACAAUGGAAAAUGUUACAUAAAAAUGAGAAUACAGUUUUCAUUGAUGGUCUACAUCGAACCAGAAAUACAGAUAAGUCCUGGCAUAUAUAACUCGAACUCGCUGCAGCACUAGAUCUCCACUAGUCAAAACAGCCUUGGCACCUCCUUCAAUUCGAGUAUGCAAAACAGUAACACUAUCACCAUUACUCUUCAUUGGAGUAUCACCAUUACUCUUCAUUGGAGUAGAUGUAAUACAGCUACGAGCUGUACUCACGAUUGGGCAUGAGAGGAAGUCCAGUGGAUUCGUCUCACACUGAAGUACACACCCAUCUAUAGUUAACCUUCCACUCCGAUGGAGCAAGCAGCAGCCAAGCUCUGCUUUCACUGUUAAAUUCGCCAGCUUGCAUGUGGAUAGAAACUCCAAGGCACUGCCCAAACAAAACAAAUAUUGCAUAGCAAAUUUUGUUGCUUGAGAUAUUAUGCCGGUCAUUUUCGAGGAUCCUACUUCAUAUUUUUGGAUAACUAAAUCUAAAGGAAGAGGCUUGGUAUAAAACAGCUCAACCUUAAAACAUAUAACAAGAUCUUGAAAAAGAGCAACCAGCAGCACAUCACAAUUAUUCAUCUUAUGUGAUGAUUUAUUAUAUCUACCUGUGAACCAUGCAUAAAGUCUGUUGAAUUAAAGUGUCACAUCUAUUAAAGGUAUCUUCUGUAAAAUCCAACAAUAUGAAAGGGUCCUCAUGUAAUUGUAAUUAAUCUCCACAAAACAGUAUAACUUAAUCUGAAAUAAAAACCAGAAAAUUUACAAACCUGUCCGAACCUCGAGAACAGAUGAGGGUUGUUUCAUCAGGAAGCUCACCUCCACCGACCUGGAAAGUAAGUUCAGAGAAAAGGAAAAAGUGGAAAACAUUUAGAUGACAGAGAUCUUAUUUCUCUCUCUUCUGCUUUCCAACCAAGAAUAGAAAGUGAGAAGCCAUGUUUUUAUCUUCAGUAGGCAAUUACUUUGCGAUCAUAAUACAAAAAGGAAACCAAGGAAAUAAGUGACAAUAGCCAGCUUUCAUGAGUUGCGCUGAAGGCAGAUUUGUCACUCAGACGAAGCUGGUUUACUCAAUCAUAUCGUUUCUCAUAUUGGAUUGAUUCCUUGAACCCGCAUGAUAAUGGGAUAAAUCUGAUGUUGACUUGUGCAAUAAAGUUCCCUAAGGUUAACCAAACUAUGAAUUUCAAAUUCACCAGUCCUCGUAUGACUGCAAAACUUAAUUAGACAUUAUGAGCCCUAUAUGAGAAUAGGGUUUAAAUUUUGGGAUUUAUGGUUUAGGUAUCUGCAUUAAUCUGUGUCUCUAGUAUAGAUAAUUUUUAUUUACUUUCUAUAUGAGCAUGCCAUUCACUCUUUUUUCAUUUUGGGAGAAGAAACAGUCAACCUACAAAGAUAAUAAAAUUCAAGCAAAUAUAAUAACAACUAAUGUCAACAAUAGCCCCAAGAGGUGAAGAAAUUUUACCCAUCACCUCACACAGUUCUACCACAAGUCAGAGUUAAUCCAAAUUCAUUAGUUGGGGGCAACGCCUCAGGUCAACUUUGAAUCAACUUCAGAAGAAUAACCUUCCAUCAAUAACUUAUACAAUUCAUUUUUAUAUUAAUUUUAACAAUAAGUCUGUAUCAAACAUAUCUUGCAGCUCAUUAUGUAGAAUAUAAAUUAAAGAAUAAGAAUUAUGUUGGACUAAAUGACUGUAAUGAAAUAUGUACAGUAAAAGGACAAAUAGUGUGCCCCUCUUUUUUCUUUUUGCCUUUUUAAAUUUUCAUGAUAUUAACAGUCCAAGAGACUUUCCUAACCAAGUUUCUAUAGUGUAAAUUACAUCGCGGAAUGGGAAUAAUCCUUUAAUUGUUCACAUGGGUGUAUUAUUGAGAACAAGGAACGAUUGAAUAACGACCAAAUUAAGUCAGGCACAAUGGUUUGUAUUCGCACACAAAUAUGAAAUAAUGUUUGAUAAAACAAACAACAUACCAGGCACAGUUGUUUUUUUAUCUGAAUAUUAGAGACAGGAUGACUACCGCCUGCUGCAAUUAAAAUGGUGUCGCCCGGUCUAUGAGGAACAAUGUGAAGAUCAGGUUUAAUAGUCCUAGCGUAUCCCAAAAAUCACAUACAGGCAGUCACAACAUUACAGAUACGGCUGUCUUAAGGUCGGGGAAAACUCCAGGCUCUGAGAGAUCCUUAACAGACUGAUCUACCCGCAGCCACAAGCGAGGAUGACAUGCCAAAUAAUUCCAUCUGUGGCAAACGAGUGCGGUGUUAUACCGAUCUGCAAGCUCCAUAACAAUUGUGAAAGAGAUCGCACAAAAUUAUAUCAUACAUGCAUUUGGCAGACAUCUAAAACAUCCAUCUCAAUGCCAAACAAUCAUCAUAAAGACAAUUACAUAUAAAAUAUGUCAAAUCAUCAUAAAGACAAUUAUGCAUAAAAUAUGUCAAGCUUACUCAACAAUAUCUAUUAAACCCCAGAAAUCUUGAUGUAAUUAUCAUGUUCUUUGACAAUAAUUUCUAUCCGAUCCUUCUAGAUUUCUUUUAAGGCAUGUAAAGAAUGAGGAUAUACAGCCCUUCUAAGGGACACAAUAUACUAUUUUACGCACAAAAGAGUAUCAAUAACAUAAAUUUAGCACAGAGAGUUUUUGAAACAGGAAUUUAAAAUUAAUAGACAAUUGUUCACAACAGAAAUGCCCAUAUUCUGAAAUUCCGCAUAAAUAUAAAAUUUUUGUUUUUAAAAAAAAAUAAAUAAUCCUCUCAAUGUACAAAAUAAAUUUCAGGAAAAGUGAUGAAUUGGGCAAAACCCAAUAGAGAAAAUAAAUAAGACUCCCAACACAAAAGUCAAAAACCUGAAGCAAACUUCUAAAAAGGCCAGCAACAUUCAGCUCACAAAUACUACAUAACUUAAUGACACUAAACAUUUAUAAGAAAGAGAAGAUUUUUUUUUAAUUAAAUACAAAUAAUUCCCCAAAAAAAGAUAGUCACCUGGAAUUGGGGAUAAGAAGCUGAAUACGUGCAUAAGGCAGCCAUCAUCAAGAUUGUUUAUUGGAGCAAUAAAAGAAUUAUUUUUCAUAGUUUUGCUUUUGAAUCGUUUAAUACUUCGUUCACUGUUUAUCUUCUCUUCAUCUUCCAUUUGUUCAACAAACUCCAAGUCGACUGUUCACUGAAUCAAAAUCUUUCUUUUAACGUUUGCUAUGUUUGACUAUCAUCAGGUAUUUGACUAACAGACAACACUAACAGCACCCAAUUUUUUCAUUCACCACCCACAAGAAACCGACAUGACCCACGCCACGCACGAAAUUACUUCUGAGUUAGGCCCAAUGUUGGCCACCAGAAUUGCUUUUAAGUUUUCGCCCAAAACGAGCCAGCUGGGCUUUGAUGUCUGGCCCAACUUUUUCUAAAAAAAAGUAUAGUUAGUAUUAUUGAAUAAAAAUGUUAUAAAUAUCAAAUUCUUUGAUAAAUUUUCAUAAUUAUUUUUAUAAAUAUCAUGAAAUUUUAUUGUAUGGCAAGUGAUUUAUCAAACAUUCAGCAAGAAUUGUGGUUUUUUUUUUUUUUACACAAAAUAUGUAGGUUAAAUAUUUGUUUAAUAUUGAGGUGCUUUAACUCGAAAAUUACGAUUGCUGUAACAAAAUUCAUAUAAUUGUGAAAUAAAAAUUGAUAAUGUAUAGUAAAUAUGAUUUUUAAUAAUUUUAAUAAAAUAGUAAAGACAUUAUAAAUUUUUAUCAUAAAAUUAUGGAAUAAAAUUAACUUAACUUCUAAACUAUAACAAUAGAAGUAUACUAAACACUUUAGGCCCUAUUUGGAGUGUUGUCAAGUAGCUUGAUUACCAUAAUGGAGUACUUACUCAUUUAUUGCUACAACUUUUAAGGUACAGUGUCCAGCACAAUACUAAACAGAAUUAAAUAAUCCAAAACAAAUUGUAAAUGUUAACAAUGCUUAAAUAUAGCUAAGAACAUCAAUAUAUAUAGAGUUUGUAAAUAACACAUACCCAAAAAAGUAUAGAAAGACAAAGAUAGCCUCGAGUUUUGUACUAAAUUGGAGAAAAAAAUAAAAUUAUUUUUUCCAAAAAUAACCACAAAGUUGUUAGUAAUAAGUAGAGAUCGUAAAAUGAGUUGUUAUCAUGACACAAUAACACGACAUGGAUGUGGCACGAAUUUUGUAUAUUCAUGUUGAUAAAUAUUGAUGCAAUUAAUUAAAUAGUUGAUACUAUACGACACAAUAAAUAACCGUAUGAUUUUCAUGUUGGAUCACCUCAGCAUGAUUACAUGUUUAUGGCAUGAAUAUCAAUUAAUAUAAGUAAUAUUAUUAAAAAAAGGGAAAUUAUCAUUCAUAUACCCUAUAUUUGUUCUGUUAUCAAAAAUACUACAACACUUUGAGGGUGUAUCAAUAAUCCACCCUUAGUUGACAAAAUGUAUCAGCCGAUCACUAAACUAUUAGUUGUCGUUUGAAAGUUAACGGAGUUACAAUGAAUUAACAAUUUUACCCUUAAAAAUUAUCACUUGUAUAUCCUUAUAUUCUCUUUUUAUCACUUGUAUACCCUUAAAUUAUCACUUGCAUCAUACGAAAAGACCAAAUUACCCUUCUGACGUCAUCAUACUUAAACGGCAACUAACGGUUUGGUGGUCAGCUGAUACAUUUUGUCAACUUAGGGUGGACGAUUGAUAUACCCUCAAAGUAUUGUAGUAUUUUUGAUAAUGGAGUAAACUAAGGGUAUACAAAUGAUAAUUUCCCUUAAAAAAAAUUCACACACACACACACACAUAUAUUUGUGUUGAUAAAUAUUGAAAUGAUUAAUAAAAUGGUUGAUACGAUACGAGACGAUAAAUAACCAUAUUGUUUCAUGUUAGACCACCCUAACAUGAUUACAUGUUUAUGACAUGAAUAUCAAUUAAUAUAUGGUAAUAUUAUUAAAAAAAUUAACAUAUAUGUAAACGAUCAAUAAAUGAGUCAUACCUAUAUUUUGGUAUUUUAAUAUUGAUGUUUUGAUAUUUCGAUACAAUUAAAAAAAAAAAGAUCAUGUCAGUGUUUUCUUAACUUGAUACGACAUAGUUUAACUCAAUUAAGUAACUCACAUGUUAAAAAUUCUCUAGUAUUCUCACAAACUCUAUAGCUCCGCUAGUGGCUAGUAGUGUGGGAGUCAUUGUGUGAGCCUUUGUUAUUGUCUUUGACACUAUUUGUUUUUUAAUUGUUAUUUAUUCCUUUCUAAGUUUCUAACUAUUUUUAUAAGUUCGCGAUGAAGAUUUCAAACUAGUUAAAUUGUGUGGCUCACUUUUGUUAAAAGAAAAAGUUGCUAUGAUUGUGGUUUCAGACAAGACGUAUCAUUAUGGAAAUGUGUUGGCCGCCACUAGUUUAGUGGGAAACGUUUUGACGUAAUCGGUGAAUAAGGAUGUCUUUAUUUGUAGCGUUGCUCUGAUUUGAAAGUUCAUCAAGGGUGUUGGGAGUAGAGCAUUUAGAACAAAAUACAUUCUUGUUUCCUUUUCCUAAUGAGAAUGAUCACUGUCAUAGUUUGUCAGUGAGACCUUGGCUUUUUUUUUUUGAAUUACAUGAGACUAAUGUUCAAAUUACAACUCAUAUUUUAUGAGAUUUACAACUGAUAUUUACAAUCAGACAAUUACUGGGCCUAAUUUACAUUAAUUCUUAUAUAGCACUGUCCAGAUUUUACCCUCUCUAAUAUUCGAGUGGUGUCUACUCCACUCACAUUUCGAAAGGGAGAAGAUUGUCUUCACUUAAUAAUUAAGGAAGAAAAUAAACCCCUACAUGCGUCGCGGGGGCUCGAACCGCUGCGCUCACAGUUGUGAGUGCAGGGUCCUGGCCACUGGGCCAAGGCCCAGUUGGUUAGACCUUGGCAUUUUAAUCGUUCUUUAUUGGCUCUCUUUCCUUUAGCUAGCAAUAGAGAAUAGUGUAGUCAACAAUUUAUGAUAGUUUUUUUUGGGUUCAUAUUUACAAUAUGUCGUUAUGUUACAUGUCGAAGGAAAUGGUUGAUUUCCUCGGAGGAAUGCUUGGAGGAGUGAAGAAUUUGGAUGCUGGUCUUAGCUGUGUUUUGUAUGAAAGUUCUUUUGCAUUCAAGUUUUAAUUGAUGUCUCUAGGCCACUUAAACUUGGUUUGCUAAUUCGGUUUCACACUAAUGAUGAUGUUCCUGUGCUCCUAGUGGUUUAUAAAAGGUUAUCAUAUUUUUGUUAAUAUUGCGAUUGUAUAGAUAAUUUAUUUCUAUAUUGUUCCGUAUUUGACUUAGCUAAAGUGGAGCAGGGUGUGGUCAUGGAGUAUGGAUGCGGGCUGAUGCUGGCAGUAUUUUUCGGAAGUCAGAGGGUCGUAGACAAGUAAAUCAUAGUGGUAGAGAAUUGGAUUUGGGAUAUCAUGAGGUGGUUUUUAACGCGACAAUAAAUGCUCCAAGUGUUACGAAUAAUCAUGAGAGUAAUGAUAUAAGAAAAGAGGAUAGUGGGAGAAAUGAGCAUGUCUGUGUGAAUAAUGCUUAUAUUUACGAGAUAGUGAACGAGAGAAAUCAAGUUAAGUGAUUAAUAAAAAGACAAAUCGUGGAUGCACUUAUAAGAAUUUCAAAUUCUGAUUGUAUAUGUGUUUUACAACCUUUUAUUACUAAUAGUCACUUGCCUAAGGAAACAAAGAAGGCAUCAUGCACAUAAUUUGUUAAAGAUUUUGUGAAAGAUUGAAUGGAGUUGAUGGUAGUGACGUGGUUGGCCAUGGGCCUUAUGUGCCCCAAACUGGAGUUAUGGCUUCUUGUCUUGGUGAUGAUUCGAGUGACAAAAAUGAAUCUAGUAAUGUUGCAAGAUUGAAAAAUUAGAGAGAGUAAAGAGAAAAAAUUUACCACAAUGUGAAGGGGCUACGAAAAGGAAAAAAUGAAAGCGACUGGCACGAAAAAUUCUAAAAGAAAAGUCUCAUAUUUCUCUAACUUUGGGAUCUAAGUAUAGUAAUGAGAAGGAUAUUAGAGAUUGGUCUAAUCAAUGGAAAUGAGGCAAGAUGGUUGCUGUUGAAUCGGAGGACGGUGAUGAUGGCGUUUGUGCAGACAAUAAUUUGGUUGCGUAGUCUAUGGCUUUGUCAAAUUUAUCAAUAAGAGUUAACGUUGAUCAGCCCCACCGGUUGCCAUGAUAUCCUAACCUAAAAUGUCCAAGGUUUGGGGAAUCCUUUGAAUCCCACACUCUUUAUAAAAUGCUCCGUGAGGUUAGACCUUCUGUUGUCUUUUUAUGCGAAACUAGAUUAAUGGCGGCAAAGAUGAAUUGUAUUAGUAUGACAUUGGGUUUGGACAAUUGUUUAGAUAUUGAUUUGGUUAGUUUUUGGAGUGGCUUAGCAUUACUUUGGAAAAAGAAAGCUCGGGUUGUUGUGAUUUCCUAUAGUACCCAUCAUGUUGACGUAAUUGCUAAAAUCGAGAAAGGGUUAUGGCGGCGGUUCAUAGGUAUAUAUGGGCAUCUAGACACUACCAUGAAAACACAUGCUUGGGAGCUUGUUCGAUGCUUAUAUUCUUUAUCUUCAUUGCCAUGGAUAAUUGAAUGAAUGAGAUUUUAAAACCAAAUAAGAAACUUGGGGGUUUGUAAAGAAAUAUAAAGAUGAUAAAAAAAUUUCAGAAUGUUCUACAUAUUAUAAGCUACUGGAUAAGAGUUUUUCGAGUUCAAGAGCAGUUGGAUCGUGCUCUUUGUAGUUCCAAUGGGGAGAAUUUGAGCUUUUUCUCUUCUAUUUCCCAUUUAACUAGUGUUCUAACAAUUAUCUUAUAUUGUUAACAUGUAAAACUUCAAUAACGCAUAAGCAGCACUCUAUUUUUAACAUAUGUUUUCGUUAUGAAGUCUUCUUAAAAGAAUAUGUUGAAUAUAGAGAUAUUAUUACAGAUUGUUGGAAGAAUUUGUUGAUGGUGUGACAAUUGAAUUAGCCUUUUUCAAUAGAACAUUAGCUGAAUUGCAUUAACGUUAUCUUAAUAGAGUACAAGGGAGUUCAGAGGGUGGCGGAAAAAUGUGAACGAUAAGAUUGUUGAGCUACAGGAUGUGCAGAAUCAGGGGUUAUUAUUUAUAUAGAGGUAGUUUACAGAGAUUGGAAAUUGUGAUUAAUGGCUUAUUGCAUGAAGCUGAACAAUAUUGAUAGUAGUGAGCUUGAGUUACGUGGCUUAAAGAGGGGGACACAAACACAUAUUUCUUCCAUACAUAUGCAUCUACUCAUCAGAGAAAAAUAAACACAAAUUUCUUCCAUAUAUUUGCAUCUACUCAUCGUAGAAAGAAUAAAAUUGGGGGUUGUUAGGCUACUGCUUUGAGAUAGCAGUUUAGAAACGACGAAUUGAUGAGAAGAGUAAUGAGAAGAAGUGGCCAGAGGGGAAACGAGAGUUUUAGAAGCAAUUCUUAUUAUUUAUUAAAGUAGCAACAAUUCCUUAUAUAAGCCAAGAGAUCCUACGAAAAUAAUAAUUCCUAAUAACGUGAUAACUUAAUAACUAAUCCUUAACGGAAAAGGAAAUAAUGGAGGUCUAAGACUAGGACUCUAACAUCCCCUCCCCCUAAGAAGGCAGCUUGUCCGCAAGCUGGAAAGAAGGAAAACGGGCCGCGAACUUAGAACAUUCCUCCCAAGUAGCCUCUUCUUUAGACUGGCCUUGCCACUGAACAAGGAGCUUAGUAACAGGGCAAUUGUUGCGUUUGAAAAUUCCACGAUCCAAAAUGGCCAAGGGCUGCCAUUCCCAAGCAACAACAUAAGGAGAAGCAUGAAGCUGUUGUGAUGGUGUAUGAACCCCAAGUUUCCUCUUUAAGCAUGAAACAUGAAAAACAUGAUGAACCUUGCUUGUAGCUGGAAGAUCCAAUUUGUAAGCCACAGUGCUAAUGCGAGAAAGAAUCUGGAAAGGACCAUAAUAACACGGAGAUAACUCAUGAGUACUAUUAGGAUGCAAAGUGGACUGCCGAUAAGGUUGAAGACGAAGAUACACCUAAUCCCCUACAUCAAAUACUCGUUCUGUACGUUUUUUGUCAGUAAAAAACUUCAUUCGUGACUGGGCAGCUUCCAAAUUAUCUUUAAGAAGACGUAAAAUCAAAUCCCUAUCGCGGAGAGCCAAGUCAACAGCAUGAACAUUAGUUGUGCCAGGCAAAUAAGAUUCGAUUCGAGGGGGGGCCGACCAUAGACUGCUUCAAAGGGAGUCAGUUGGAUAGCAGAAUGGAAUGUAGUAUUAUACCACCAUUCAGCCCAAGGUAACCAAUUAGUCCAUGUAGAAGGCUGGUGACCAGCAAAACACCUCAAAUAGCCUUCCAAGGAGCAAUUAACGACUUCGGUUUGGCCAUCCGUUUGAGGAUGAUAAGCAGAGCUGCGGCAUAAAGAACUGCCCUGUAAUUGAAAGAAUUCCUCCCAAAAUUGACUAAGAAAGAUAGGAUCACGGUCGCUGACAAUGGUGCGAGGCAUUCCGUGCAAUUUAGCAACAUCCCACACAAAAAUUUUAGCGACAAAAGCGGCUAUAUAAGGAUGGGAUAAGACACUAAAAUGAGCGUACUUGGACAAACGAUCUACCACAACAAAAAUAGAUGUUUUGCCCUUAGAAGGUGGAAGACCAUCAAUAAAAUCCAUGGAGAUAUCUUCCGAAAUUUUAUCAGGGAUGGGCAAAGGUUGAAGCAACCCGGAAGGAUGCACAAUUUCAGCCUUGUUUCGUUGACAGACAUCACAUUCAGCAACAAAUAAUUUAGUAGCCCUUUUUAAUCAUUUCCAGUAGAAACUAACUUUGAGUCUUUUGUAAGUGCGUAAGAAUCCCGAAUGACCGCCAGUUGGAGACACGUGAAAUUUGUGUAAAAUGUGCUGGCACUUAACGGAAGAAGAAGGAAGAACAAUCCGACCCUUGUAUCGUAAAAUGGAGCCAUCAUAGCAAUAAUUAAGAACAGAUUGGGAUGAUUGAAGACGGUCGAUAAGAAGUGACAGGGCUGGGUCGGCUUUGUACUCUUGCUCGAUGUUGGUAAGAUGAGAAAAUAUUAGGGAAGAAAUGGCAUGGAAAUGGGAGUCGUCGAAGCGACGGGACAAAGCAUCCACAACUGAAUUUUCAGCUCCCUUCCUAUAAAUAAUUUCAUAGUCAAAGCCCUUGAGUUUAGACAACCACAGUUGCUGUUCCGGAGAGGAAAUGCGCCGAUAAUGGAAAUACUUAAGGCUGUGAUGGUCCGUAAGAAUUUUGAAAUGUUGUCCCAUAAGAUACGGACGCCAUUUUUGUACGGCAAAGACAAUAGCAAGCAUUUGUUUGUCGUAUGUGGACAUGGCUAAGUUUUUUCUAGAUAAACCUUUGCUAAUAUAAGCGAGUGGACGGCCCUCUUGCAUGAGGACUGCUCCGAUUCCUCGGCCGGAAGCAUCGCAUUCUAUAGAAAAUGGUUUGGUGAAAUUCGGCAAGGCUAAAACUGGAGUGGAAGCCAUGGCUUGGCGGAGCUCAUCAAAUGCUGCUUCAGCAGUAGGACUCCAAGUAAAAGAAUCUUGUUUAAGCAUGUCAGUUAAGGGAGCAGCAAUUUUUCCAUACCCAGCAAUAAAUUUACUGUAGUAUCCCAUCAAGCCAAGGAAGCCUCGUAAAGUUUUGAUAGUGGUAGGUUUAGGCCAUUCAAGCAUGCACUGAACCUUUUCAGGAUUGACAGCUACGCCAGUAGCGGAAACAAUAUGACCUAAAUAUUCAACAGAUGACUGAGCAAAAGAACAUUUUGUAAGCUUGACAUAAAGUUGAUUUUGUUGCAAACAUUGAAGGACAGCAGAGAGGUGUCGAGCAUGCUCCUGUAGAGAAGUGCUGUAGACAAGGAUAUCAUCAAAGAAAACUAAAACAAAUUUGCGAAGGAAGGGCCAAAAAAUCUCAUUCAUCAGGUUCUAAAAUGUGGCUGGCGCAUUUGAAAGGCCAAAAGGCAUCACAAGAAAUUCGUAGUGGCCAUCAUGAGUACGGAAGGCUGUUUUUGCUAUAUCGAAGGGAUGAACUCGAAUCUGGUGAUAGCCCGAGCGAAGGUCCAGCUUACUGAAAACUGAUGCACCAUGUAAUUCAUCUAAUAGUUCGUCAACAACUGGAAUCAGAUAACGGUCUUUGAUGGUUACCUUGUUGAGAGCACGAUAAUCGAUACACAUACGCCAAGAACUAUUUUUCUUUUUAACUAAUAAAACCGGAGAGGAAUAAGGACUAACACUAUGCUGAAUGAGCCCGGCAUCCAAAAGCUCAUGAAUCAAGCGGUCAAUUUCUUGUUUCUGAAAAUGAGGAUAAUGAUAAGGUCGUACAUUGACAGGAGAGCUUCCAGGAAGUAAUAGAAUAUGGUGAUCAAUUAAGCGUUGAGGAGGAAGUUCGGUGGGUUUCGGAAAGAUGCCAGAAUAUGUCUCUAGGACCUUAGUAAUAAUUGAAGGUGCUGAUAUAUCAGCUACUGAAGUGGUUAUUGCUAUAAUCUGGAAAAAAAAAUGCCUUGCUUUUCUUGAAGCAAUAACCUAUUAAUUUCACCAUGAUUUGCCAAAGCCGGUGGCAGAGAAUUAUAUCCAGUGAGUUGAACCGAUUAGCCUUUCCAAGUGAACUGCAUAGUUAGCUUUGAGAAGUCCCACAAUAUAGCACCUAAUGAUCGUAACCACUCAGCACCCAACACAAUGUCACAGCCACUUACUGGAAGUAAGAAGAAAUCCAAGUGAAAUUGGAAGCCUUGAAUAUUCACUGGGACGUGAGAACAUUUUCCCGAGCUGCUGAUCACUCCACCAUCAGCUACAGUAACUUGAAACUGAGUUGUAGUAGUGAUAGGGCACCCACAUUGCUUAGCCAAUGAUGGAUUCAAAAAAUUGUGAGUAGAACUAAAGUCUAUUAAUAUAGUGACACCAUGUUUUUUUAAAUUCCCUUUCAGUCGCAUGGUGUUUUGUGGGGUUGCUCCAGUGAGAGCCUUUAAAGAGACUUCUACUAUUUCUGGGAAUUCCUCAAAAGCCUCAGUUUGUUCAUAUUUAUCGUCGAUAUCUGCAUCCAGCAAUAAAAGUUGAGGAGCUUUACAACGAUGCCCAGGUUUAAAUUGUUCAUCACAAUUUAAACACAAUCAUUUGGCUCGUCUUUCAGUUUGUUCGGCAACUAAUAGAUGUCGAAAUGGUGGGAAUCCCGGAGGGGGUGGGCCUAAUAAAUAGGGCUGUGAUGACCCCCCAGUUUUGGUUAUUGUGGGAGAUGAAUUAAGGAGUGGUGAUGGCCUGCUUAUACUAGGCCGAGGUGGAAUCCUUCGAUUAGAAACAACCGUAUAUUCUUCUUGGAAUCUUGCAAGCUCAAAAGUUCGUAGGAGACUUGCAGGUUUCAACAUCUGCACUCCAAUUUUAAUAUCCUCUCGUAAUCCCGAAAGGAAGCAACUAAUGAAGAAUGAUUCAGGUAGAUUCUGAGUUCUAUCAGCCAAUCGUUCAAAUUGUCAUUGAUAUUCAAUAACAGUCCCAGUCUGUCGUAGUUUGGUAAUGGACCCGACUGCAUCACCGUCUUCGAAUGUUCCAAAUCGAGUAACUAGAGCUCGUUUAAAUUGGGCCCAAGUCAUAUUACCCAUAGUUUGCUCUAACCAGUGAUACCAAGGUACCGCAUCUCCAUCGAGGUGUCCGAUAGCAAGUGACAACACAUCUAUCUCAGGCAAGGCAGCUAAUCGCUGAUACUGUUCACAGCGAAAGAUCUAGCUUGUCGGAUUUUCCCCGCUGAAAACCGAAAAAUCCAGCCGUAUAUGGCGGGGUUGCACAAGGGCUCCUCCAAUACGUCCUGCAGGUUCAGGUUGUUGAUUAUUGAUUUGUAACGGUUGGUUGUUGUUUCUAUUUUCUUGAAACUAGAUGAAUUGAUCGCGGAGACUUAAGAUUAAUUCUUGGAGAUUGUUGGACUGUUGGGAUAAGACCUCAACUUUCUCAUUGAAUUGAUGAGAUAAUUGUUCCACCCUUUCCUCCAGUUCCUUAACAGUCAUUAUGCCCAAGAAAAAAACUGCUCUGAUACGAGAUGUUAGGCUACUGCUUUGAGAUCGUAGUUUAGAAGCGACGAAUUGAUGAGAAGAGUAAUGAGAAGAAGUGGCCAGAGGGGAAACGAGAGUUUUAGAAGCAAUUCUUAUUAUUUAUUAAAGUAGCAACAGUUCCUUAUAUAAGCCAAGAGAUCCUACGAAAAUAAUAAUUUCUAAUAACAUAAUAACUUAAUAACUAAUCCUUAACGGAAAAGGAAAUAAUGGAGGUCUAAGACUAGGACUCUAACAGGGGUUUGUUAGAUAAUGAAGGAAAUCGGGUUACUUCUAUGGUUGGUAUUAAGGAAAUUAUUGAGGAUUAUUUUUAUUCUUUUUUUUUUCCUUCAAUGUGAAUGCUGAGGAGAAAGAAUCAGUCUUGUCUUUUUUGCAAGCUAAAGCAACGAAUGAAAUGAAUUGGGAGUUGGAUAUUGAAUUUACUAGUGACAAAUUAAAGAAUGCAGUUAUGCAAAUUGAUCCUGCAAAUGCACCUAGGUCGGAUAGUUUUUCACCAAUUUUUUUCUAAGAUCUUUAAUCAGUACAACUUGUUUAGCUAUCUUAAAUAGGGAGGCUGCACUUCCUGUACAAUAAUUGUUUUAUUCCUAAGGUAGACAUACUUAUGUGACAUAUUGGGUUAUAGUUGAAGUUUUUGCUAAUCAUAUAAAAUGAUGUUACAUGAUGUUAGCUCUAGUAAUCAAAGUGCUUUUAUCCUAAAUCGUCUAAUUACUGAUAAUGUCAUAGUGGGCUAUGAAUGCUUGCAUAAAUUGCGAUGCUGUCAAAAGAGUUAGAGUGGUUUGGUAGCAUUAAAGCUUGAUGUCAUUAAGACAUAUGAUUGAAUGGAAUGAGAUUUUUUGGAACAACUAAUGGUGUGGCUUGGUUUUUCCACAAGAAGGACUCGGCUUAUAAUGAGUUGUGUGUCAACAUCGACGUUAUCCUUCCUGAUUAAUGGUGAGGCUCAAGAGCAGGUCUGUCCAAGUCAAGGUAUUAGGUAAGGCUGUCCACUCUCUCCCUAUAUAUAUAUAUAUAUAUAUAUAUAUAUAUAUAUAUAUAUAUAUAUAUAUAUAUUUUUUUUUUUGUUCUCUGCGCUGAAGCUUUCUUUGCUAUGCUAAUUGCUUUUGAAAAAUCUAAUUUAAUCCGGGGGGUUAGAUUGCAUCAAAUUUAUUUGUAUCCCAUUUUCUAUUUGUAGAUGACAGCAUGAUACUUUGUAGGGCUGUGUUGGCAAAUUAUCAUUAUUUAAGAGAUAUUUUUUAUUUGUACUCUUAGGGCUCAAGUCAAAUUUUUAACUUUAAUAAAUCCAAUAUUUUAUUUAGCCCAAAUGCACGUAAGAGUUUUACAGAGGUCUUUGGAUUUUUUGAAGUUUCAGCGUACGAAAAAUAUAUAGGAUUUCCAGUGAUGAUUAGAAAGAAAAAGAAAGAGUUUUUAUAUGUGUUGAAAUUUAGGGUGUUGAAAAACUUGAGUAAUUGGUAGGAAAAAGUUUUUCUGUUCUGGUGGAAAAGGAGAUUCUAAUUAAGGCAAUGGCACAGGCAGCCCCUUCAUAAGCUAUGAGUGUGUUCCUAUUACCAGUGAGUGUGUGAAGAUCAUCAAUGGAGGUUUAUAGCUUUCCGAUGGAUUUCUACAAAGAAUAAGCGGAGGAUACACUGGAUGGAAUGAAAUAGUAUGAGUUAGGAAAAAAAAAAAAAAGAGGAAUGCAUAGUUUUUUGAGAUCUAGUUUACUUUAAUAAGACAAUGUUGGCAAAGCAGGGAUGACAGUUGCUUAUUUAUUAUCAUAUACUUGUUUUGGGAGUAUUAAAGGCAAGAUAUUAUGAUGAAGCUCUUUUCUUGAUAUGACUAUUGGUAGUAAUCUUUUAUUUAUUUGGCGAAGCAUUAUUGGGGUGUGAGUUGUUACAAUAGAGGAUUUAAUAGUGUGGGAUCAGGAAAACAUGUUCGUAUUUAUUGUGAUAAUUGGGUGCCUAGACUGAUAACGUUCUGACUUAUCCCAACAGUAACUUUAAGCGAAGAUGCAAGGACUACUGUUUUGUUAGAAAAUGAGAAUUCUUGGAAUAUGGCCUUGUUAUUGCCUUAGGAUGUACAUUCUAUUGUGAAAAUUAAGCUGCCUUCACAAACCUGUCAUGAUCGAGUAAUGUGGCACUAUGAUCGUUGUAGGGAUUACACUGUGAAGUCUGUGUGCCAUAUUGUAAGGAAGUGGAAGAACUUGACUGGUGUUACAUCAUCUAGUGGUUCAACUAGGCAGUUAGAAGACUAUUUAGAAGCUAAUUGUUCCUUCCGAGCUUAAAAUGUUUUGAUGGUGUGCACUUUCAGGUUUCCUUCCGUCUAUGGAAAACUUGGAGCUUAAAAGUGUGGUAGCUGAUUCGCUGUGUAGGCUCUAUGUAUAAUGUGGCGAGUCUAUUAUGCGUGCUUUAUCUAAUUGCCCAAGAUGUAAGGGAAUUUACUUCAUUUGUUGAUUUUGAUUCUGUUGGCCAUGUUGUAUGUUUGCGGGAUGUGUGGGAUAGUGUAAAUUCGAAAAUUACUUGUACUGAGAUUCAGCUCUUUGUUUUAAUAAUAUGAGGGAUAUGAUGGGAGAGAAAUAAGAUUUUAUAUGAUGGAGCAGUGGCAUCUCCUAAUUGUGUGGUGGCUUCUGCUCAAGGGAUUUGGAUGGUUGUGAAAGAAAAAAUUGUAUGGAUACAAUUGAUGUGUACAGGUUUGAAUCCUAUGAUUUGGGAGCCACCACAGAUAUGGUGGUUUAGAUUAAAUAUUGAUGUGGCUGUGGAUGUUCAUAGUGGUAAGGUUAGCUAUAAGGCUAUUAUUAGAAAUCAUAAGGGGUUGGUUUAUGUUGGUUGGAGAUAAUCUUGGGGUUUAUACUAAUAACGUGGCUGCUGCUGAGGCAAAGACCCUACCUUGGUAUUCGACAUACUAAGGAGAUUUGUUUGUCUCCUUUAAUGGUUUAAUCGGACUCGUUAUAUCUUAUCCAAUUGAUCUAGGGAAAGUAGUAUACUCGUACAUAGCUUUUAUAGACAGUUUCUGAGGUGCAACAACUAAUGUCACUACAAGUAUGACUUCAAGAUUCGACAUAUCUUAAGGAGAUGUAAUCAAACUGCGGAUGUUCUAACUAAGUUCACUAUUUGUAAAUGUUUAUCUUUUGUUUUACUAGAAGAUUUUUCACAGUCAUUAAAUUGAUAUCUUUGAGCUUUUUCCUAAUUUAAUAAGAAUUACUUAUUUAAGAAAAACAUUGAUACUACAUAAGACACAACAUGAUUACAUAAAUUGACACCCAUACUAAUAAGUGAUAUCUUGCCAAAAAAAAGAGUGGGUUAUUUGAAUGCAUUAAACUUUUCCUUGAACCCAUUUACUAAAUAAACUUACCUCUAAUUUUUAAAAUUUAAAAUUUUACUCAAUAAACCCUCUUAAGUACCCAAUACACCCUUACUUAACUCAGUUUUUAUAAUAAUAGUGUUUUUACUGAUUAAACCCAUUAAAUUAAUUUAUAAACCUUUAAUAAAUGUUUGUUUUCUUUUUUUUUUCCCAUUAAAUUCAAAAUUUUCUUUAUGAAUGUGAUUAAAAAAUAUGUAUAAUUACAACAGCACACAUUCAUACCUCUUCCCAUUUCACACCAUCUCAACCUUUGAUUCAAGAUGUAGAUUAUUCAAGUUGUUCAUGAAGGCAACAAACAAACAAUAUCUAUUCCUAUCAUUGCUUCUGUAGUAAUCACCAACAUAAAAUAAGCCCCAGCCACUGGAAGUAACUUUUACAGAUAGGGAUGGCAAAAUCCUCCACGGGUUUGGGGCCCCAUGGAGCCCCACCUCAAAUGGGGAAAAUUUUGAAUAAUUUUUGGGGAAUGGGGUGGGGAGUGGGGAGAAAAUAAUCCCCAAAUUCUUAAUGGGGUGGGGUUUGGUUUUGUACUCCUCACCCCACCCCCACCCCAAUCCCCAUUAUAUAUAAAUAUGUUUUUAAUUUUUAUUUAAUAAUUUUUAUUUUAUCAAUUAUAAUGUCAAUUAAUAAUUUUUUUUAAUUUUUAUAUAAUAUAAACAAGAUAUGAAUGAAAGAAAAUCCUAUAAUAUUUUUCAACUCUGAAACAUUGUUAUAUUUUCUUUUCUCUUUUAAGGUGCUACGCUCUUUAAAUAUUUUACACUUUUAAUAUCAUUUUAAGAUAUUGUUUCAAACUUUUAGAUAUUUUUUAAAAAGAAUUUAAAUACUUUAUAAUAUGAUGAUGAUUUUGUUUUAAAUUUCUAAUUUUUAACUUACUAAAAUAAUAUAUUUAUACAUAUUAUAAAACAAAUAAAUGAGGAAUGUGGUGGGGAUGAGGAAAUCAUUCCCCACAUGGGGAUUCUCUAUCCCCACCCCACUAAAAUUAUUGGGGAAUGAGGUGGGGAAUGGAGGCAAAAAUUUCUAAUGGGGUGGGGAAUAGAGUAGGCCUCCCCACCCCCACCCCACCCCAUUGUCAUCCCUAUUUACAGAUUGAAUGCGAGGGAAAAUAUGCAACAGAGCUGAUAGAUGCAGCUGCUUCAACGAACAUCAAGCUCCUCCUCCCGUUCCCAUUGCUGGCCUCAACAUUCAAUCUAACUUUUUCUCCUUCAACUUCACCAUUUUUUCCCUUUUGCUGCACUUGCAACAACUACAAGUCUCUGGCCAGCGUUGACCCAAGCCUUGCUGGUGCUACAUAGGAAAGAGGCUAUCAUGAUCAUUGAUGCCAUUUCCACAAUAUUCAUGUGCUUUCCUUCAAUGUUUCAUUAAAUUUCUCAUGUAGUUAUUCAAAAUCCAGAACAUCUAUUUCAAUUUUUCAAGCUGAUGGAACAAUACGAUGAGAAAGGAACAUUUAAAUAAUUGCAAAAAUGAAUUGCUUUACUUCUCCGGUUCUCCUAAAAAAAAAGAAAAAAGCAAAAGAAUCGCUUUGUGGCAAAGAUAAGAAUCGGUUUAUGGCCGUCAACAACACUUGUUUUUCUAAUCAGAAUCUUUACUGUGCAUGCAAGGGAAAAAAAAUCCUUAACAUUCUGGUGUUCCUGAUUUGUAGUAAAAUAAUAGAAAAGAUCAAUAGACAGCAGCACAGAAGCUAUUACAACCAAAAUGAUGAAGAAGAAAGAACUUCAACACUGAAACAUUUUAAAGUAAACACGACUUGAAAUUUCAUAAAGAUCCCAACAAAAUUCUUAGCCUCUUUCUGCCGCUUCUUCUCUUCUUUGCGUAUUGUUGCCCACUGUCAAAUGCAAACAAAGAUAUAAUCGCCAAUUUUAUUACCUCAAUCCAAUCUAAUUAACAAAAUUAUGUGGUCUGGGAAAAGAAUUGAGCCUCUAAUUGAUUAGGGUUUAAUAAAAAUAUGAUUAUAAUUUAAUAAAAUUAUAUUGAAUGUAAAAAUAAAUUUAAAUAUUAAAAUUUUUGUUUUUUUAUUAUAUUUUAACAUCCACGAUUAUAAUUUAAUUUAGGGAAAAAGCUUUUCUCAUCCCUAGAGUUUCAUGCAAUAACUCAUUUAAUCCUUACUUUUUUUUUUUUUGGAAAAAAAAAAAAAUCCUUACUUUUUAAACAAUAGUUCAAAACAUCAUUUCGUUAACUCACCGUUAAUUGAAUGUCGUUUGUUAGUAAUUCAUUAAGGGUAAAAAAAAAUUUUCCAUCAAAGAAAAAAUUAGAAAAAUAAAUAAAAAUUGACAUAUAACUAAAAAUAAUUUUAUUUAAUUUCACUAAAUCAGAAAUACAAAAAAAGAUGAAAAACUUCUAUUUCAAGCAUUUUUUUCACUUCUUUCUAUUUUGGCGGUAUGAAAGCCCUAUAAACUCUAUAUCUAAUUGAAUUUCGUUUGUUAGUAAUUUAUUAAGGGUAAAAAAAGAUUUUCUAUCAAAGAAAAAAUUAGAAAAAUAAAUAAAAGUUGACAUAUAAUUAAAAAUAAUUUUAUCUAAUCCCACUAAAUCGGAAAUACCGAAAAAGAUGAAAAUUUUCUAUUUCAAGUAUUUUUUUUUUUCACUUCUUUCUAUUUUGGCGGUAUGAAAGCCCUAUAAACCCUAUAUCUAAAUAUAAAAAAUAUCACAAUUUUCUUAUUCAUAUAAGUAUACUCUCUAAUUGCAUUGUAAAUGACUUGAAUUGAGUUGAAGAUAAAGAAAAUAUUCAACGCAUGCAAGCACAUAAAAAUUAGUGGUAUUUUUGAGUUUUUCUUCCAAUGAUUUAAAGAUAUUGUGUUAAUUACAGUUUGUUCCUUAUGGCAAUUAUUCAAUGGCUAUAUUAAUUUAUAUCAUCGUUGAUUUCAUUUAAGAAAAAGUUAAUGAAUUUUACAUAUUUUGUAGUGUUAUUUAAUUGUGUAAAAAAAUUAUUUUAAUAUAGUUUGUAUUACUUAAAUGAAAAAUCUUAUUUUGCCCUCAAUGAAUUAUUAGUUAACGGCUUUACACUAGUAGUGAGUUAGCAUAAUGAUAUUUUAAGUUAUUAUUUGAAAAGUAGGAAUAAAAUGAGUUAUUACAUUAAAUCUUAGAGAUGAAAAAGAUUUUUUUCCUUUAAUUUAAGAGUAUAUUAAUCAUAAAAAAUUAUUUUUAAAAAUAGAUUUAAUAAAUAAUUUAAUGAAUUCACAGAGCCAAAAAAAAAAAAUUUACUCUUUUAAAUAUUUGUAACUCCACUUGUCCUUUUCCCUUAACGUAGCAUUGUUGCUUCUACAGAAACAGUGACAGGGCCGUACGUAGAAGCGCAAGAAGCGACCAAAAGGAGCAAGAAAGCGAAACGAAUUCCGGAAAUGGGCGGCAGCGGCGGCGGCGGCGAGUGCAUAACGAGGAGCAGCCACGUGAUGGAGGGAGGCGGUAGCUUGGAGAGUUACAGAUAUUACCUCUCUCGACGCACCGUUCUGCAAAUGCUCAAUGAUAGAGGCUACGCGGUUCCCAACUCGGAACUCACUCGUUCACUCACUGAGUUCCGUUUUACUUUUGGCGACAAAUGUGACCUUGAAAGUCUCCGUCUUUGCCUCCCUCUCCGCUCCAAUCCCUCCAAAAAGGUAACAUUUUUAUUUCCAUUUCAUCAUCAUCAUUAUUAUUAUUAUUAAUUUAAUUUUUAAUAAUAAUAAUGCGAUUCUUAUUUUAUUUUAUUUAUUGGUAAGAUGCUGGUUGUGUACUUGGGAACUGAAGAAAUCAGGACGCAAGCCAUUCGGGGCCUUUACGGUCAGAUUCUUAACAAGGAAGCUUUACAUGGACUCAUACUGAUUUUGCAAAGCAAUAUGAACACUUUUGCUCGGAAAGAAGUGCUAAAGUUUCCAUUUAAAGUUGAGAUUUUCCAUGUAGGUUACCCUGGAACUCCCAUGGCUAUGUAGAAAAAUGGCUCAGCUCUUAUAGACUUAUGGGUGUUGUUAUGAACUGGAACUAGUAUUGAUAAUUAGUAUGUUUUAAAUGUAUUAUAGAAGAUAUCUCAUGCUAUUGUUUGAGUUGUCGUUGGUUUUGUUGUUACAGGUGACUAAGUGAGUCACAAAUUUUCAUCGCUUUUGUGGAAAUUUGCAGAACAUGUUUGGGGGUUGAGAUUGGGAUUGUAAACUUUUCAGUUAUGAACUAUCUAAAUUCUAAAGAUCUUCUCAAAAAAAAAAAAAAAAUUCUAAAGAUGAAGAAACCUUCUAGAGUGGUACAAGAGGUGUGGGGUUAUUUAUAUUAAAAAAAGAGUACUAAGGAUUAAGAAAUUUGCUUUAGGAAGUUUUUUAGGUUUUCCUUGAGGCUGCUCCAAACACUUUGUGGUGCUUUGUCAUGGAUCCAUAUUCAAUUUAUUCUAUUUACUGCUGGUUUUCCAUCCAAGGUAUCAGUUGAUAUUGCACUUUAAAUGUUUGAAGAGUGCUGCUUAACCCUGCUAAGAUGUAAGAUCUGGCAAGUGGGUCUUCUAUUGUCUAUGGUACCAGUAGCUUUAGUAGCUAUAUAUUGUUGGGGUUUGAUGUCUGUUAAAUGUUUUUGCCUGUGAUGAUAGCUAAUGAUUAAUGCAAUUUUUUUUUAAUCAUUUUAAUACUUUGAGACUGCACAAAUGCUAUGGAUAAUUGAGGUUUUGGUUCUGUUUAUUUGAAUUUGACAACAACUUACGUUUGGCUUUCCCUUUUAGAUCACUGACUUGUUGGUCAAUGUUACGAAGCACAUUUUGCAACCAAAGCAUGAGGUGCUAUCUGCUGGGGAGAGAGACAAAUUAAUGAAGAAGUACAAGAUAGAAGGCAAGCAGGUAACAAUUUUAGUUAAACAAUAAAUGCAUCCUUUGACGUUCAUAAAUUUAAUGACUCUACAUUCAUAUGCAUACUAUUGAUGGAAAAAGUUCUUGGGGUAUGGGAUCAUUAACAAAUGGAAGCCAGUACUUAAGUUGACGUGUGGAAGUUUUUCUCUGUCUUGGAGUAACUCCCUUUUAAAUUUCUUACCAUCCAUCCCAUUGUUGAUAUUCAAAGCCCAUUUGUUGAUGGUUAACUUGUUCAAUUAGAAUGCCGGUUGCAGAAAAGGAAAAAGGAAGCAAAGAUGUGAUCAAUUUGUUGGAUUUUUUGCGUACUCAAAUUGGCCAUAAGUUGUAGUUCGCUGGUUUAAACUUAAGGGUUCUGUUUUUAAUAAUCAAAUGCUGCAAUUUACGACAGUGCCAUUGACCGAUGCAUCUUGUCAUGAACGUCCUUUUGCUGACCUUUUGUUCAUGAAUGGAGUUCCCAUCUGCUCAGUCUCUUGCUAAUUCCAUCUGGCUGGAUAUUUGGAUUUCUUCAUGUCUAGAACUCAGCAGUUGAGAGUCAGUGUGCGGUAGUACUGGUGGUUUAUGGACAUAAAACUAAUGAGAAAAAGAUGUCUCAAAGUUGUGAGCUCAGUUUUAUUGGGCACAACUUAAGAUCAAAGUUGAACUUGCGAUAUCUAAUUAAUUAAUAUAUUAAGCCAGGUAGAAUUUUGUUAGGACGCUUUGGAGCUAAGUAAUCUGCUCAACCAUAUAAUGCAAGCUUAGGCUGCAUAAAUGAACUUCAGCUACGUGGAAAUUUUUUCUGGGCAUGAAAUUAUAAAUGAAAUAUGGCCUAUACGCCUGAUAGUUCUCAAUUGAAUUCAUCGACUUUGAACGUCUGGGGCCUACCUCUUAUGUCUUGAUUGGCUUAUCUCUUUAGUCUGAGCAAUAUGUUAAAAAUGGGUUGUGACUUAGAAAGAGGCGUCAAUGAGCCUGUGUCAUGAAUCAGGAAAAGACGUAUGCCAUGUAAAGAAUAUGGUGGAUUCUUUUUGAUAACAGUGUUCGUUUGUCUAUGUAACUGCUCAUAAGUUUUGUUGCAUGAUUGAUCAAAGUAGAACACCAACCUACCUCUAUUUUUAUCUUGUCUUUCAGCUCCCUCGAAUGCUGGAAACUGAUGCGUUUGCGCGAUACUAUGGACUGCAGAAGGGCCAGGUGGUGAAAUUUACUUACUGUUCUGGAAUUGCUGAAUUUCUUGAAACCUACCGCUGCGUUCUCUGAUGCUUCCCUGUGUAUUAUAUGCUCAUUAAAACAGUGUUGACAAGCUAGCUAGAUACAUAUUAUAUACAUGGGAUGAAAACAUAUAUCAGGAUACAUGCUGACCAUGUGUACAUGUACAAGCAAAAUGAGCUGUAUAUUUUGACUAGUUUAUUUCAGAAACUCAAUGGCUCGAUAGAAUUUCAUUUGCUGAAUUGAAAAAAUUGCCAUUUCUUUUAUUUAACACAUUGCAUACCUCGUAGCUGCUUCUAAGCCGAUAGUUUCUAAACAAAUGUUGUGAAUAGUUUCUACACCAAUCUGCUUCACAACACUGCAAUCAGUGGGAUCAAUCCGUGAAAGAUCAACAAUGCUACUUUGAUAUAAAAUAGAUUGAAAAUUUUUACACGAAAAUAAAAAUGGCACCGUUUAAUUUUGUUUUUAAAAAAUAAGAAAAAAUUGAAUUAAAAAGUAAAUUAAAAAGAAAAGAAAAGCAAAAGUCACUGUAACAAAUAUAAAAAGGCCACCUUGCUUCUUUAUUAUUAUUAUUAUUUUUUUAACUUAAUUACCCAUCAAAUAUGAGAAGCUUCUCUUUUUGUUUUUUCAAUUAAAAGGUUGUGUCAAAUAUAGCAAACGCAAACCAGCACUCCAGCAGAUUAACAGAAAAUUUUUUAUUUAUUAACUUCGUUGAUCAGCAAUAAUGUCUAUGAAUAACUCAAUUUUCAUAAUAUAAAUAGAAAAUAAAUUCACAAAAUUUCGCUACAUAAAAUGACCAUUGUACAUUAAUAAUAAAAAAAAUAUCAUGAUACCCAAUUGGCACAGAAAAAAAGACAGUAGCGUUUUUAAUUUUAAAUGAAUAGCAGAAAAAUUAUCAGUCGUUAACAUAAAUUUAUCCUGUUAUAAAAUAUUAUAAAAGUUAGAAUUUAUUCAAUUUUUCACCAUAUGUUUACAAAUUGUGUCAACCAUCCACCAAAAAGGUAACAUUACACUUGUAAAAUAAUUACUAUUAUAAUUUAUUUUUCCUUUUGUUUGGUCAUUUAUAAGGGUAAUUAUAUCUUUUUUGUGGACAGUUACAAAUUACAAACUUAGGUGGAAAAUUAAAUAAUUCAAAUUUUUGUAAUAAUUUUUAGAAUGGGUAAACUUUUUGAAAGAAACCAUAAAAAAGGUGGGGGUUUAAGCCGGACCCCUACCUAUAAAAUAAAUCAGUAAAUAAGUAAAUACAUAAGGAGGGGGACAUAAAUCAAAUCUCCUAAAGCAAAUAUAAGUCAAUAAAAAUAGAAAGAGAAGUAUAAAACGAUCAAUAAAUAAGCAAAUACAUAAGUAGGGGGACGUAAACCAAACAUCCUAAAGUAAAUGUAAGUUCAUAAGAAUAGAAAGAAAAGUAUAAAAUGAUUAAAUGGAAUAAGAAAGUCAUCAAUCCUAACUUCUGACAUGAGGACCAGUCUCUGCAUCCAAAUACAGAAUACCAGAUAAGCCUACAGGAAGAUCCCUAGAACACAAGAAAUGUCGAUUAACCCGAUGAGUACAAGCCCAUUUGGCCAAAAAAUCUGCAGCAGAAGUGGCCUCUCGAAAGACAUGCCUCACCGAAAUUAGAAAAGAAGAAAUCAAAGCACACACUCGACGCAGCGAAUAAACAUAAUCCCAACGAACAUGACCGUAGGAAUGAAUCCACGAAACCGCCGUGGCCAAGUCUGACUCUACCUCAAGCACAGAGUAAUCAAGCUAAACAGCAAGCUCCUACCCCUCACGAACUAUCAUAAGCUUAGUGUAAAGGAUCAGCUAGUAGCCAAGAAAAGACCGAAAAGUAGCCAAAAACCACACCGCGAUGAUCACAGAGAAUAUCACCCGAAGCAGCCAUCCUAGGAUUGCCCCUAGAGCAACCAUCCACAAUCAGCUUUGCAACCCCAGGAGGCGCCCUCAUCCAAGAAACUAUUCAAAACGGUCUCUUGGGUGGAGUUAUGAUCGCAAACCCUCCACAAUCUGAGUACACAAAACUUCCCUCAACUGAGCAGACUUAAAACCAAAGAAGUUAGCAAACCAAAGGAAUUAGCAAGCCUGAGAUCCGAAACCACCCUAUAAAUAAUCGUAUCAAUAGAGAAAGGCUAGGAACCAAACCUGAAAGUAUUGUGAGCCUUCCAAAGGUUGUUGCUUCCAUGAAUAGGGUAAAGUUAAAGUGGAGGACUAAUAAUUCCCGUUAAUAAUAAAACAUAAUUCUAAUGUAAUUUAGAUUACAUUAUAAAAGUCUAUUUUAUUAAAAAAAUGGUAAUUAUUCACCAACUACUUAUUUUUUUGAGUUUUUUUAAAAAUACACAAUUCUUUUUUUUACUAAAUUCCACUUGAAGUUAUAUUUUUUUGCACAUGUACACUCCGUUUGAGGACUGUUAUAACAUUAUUGACGUCAUAGGGGCAAAUUGGUCAUUUCACUAGUGCAGCCCCAAAACGAUGUCGUUUUGCAACUUUGAUUAGAGAGAAAGGAAAAGAAAAAGGCAAACUAGUCAAGAGUAGGGCAAAUAAUGAGAAUAGUAAUUUUUCGUUCACACAUUAGGUGACCCACCACCAUGCAUGAAGAACCAGCAAAGAAUUAUAAUUUUUCAUUUAUGGGGCAAAACAAUCAUUUGCUCAAAAUUCCAUUAGUUUUCUUAACAUUCUCCAGACGGAAGUGGACAUGUGCAAAGAAAUGUAACUUCAGAAGGAAUUUCGUAAAAAAAAAUUGUGUUUUUAAAAAAAAAUUUGAAAAAAUAAGUGAUCGAUGAAUAAUUAUCUUAAAAAAAAGGUAAAAGGAGUUUACCAAAAACACUGAUGGCUCCUUUGGCGGCUGUGGCGAUGAUAAUUUCAAAUUAAAAUUUUCAACAUAAAGUGCUCUGCAGCUUUCUACUUGUCAAAGUGGGAGUAGGUGGAAGCUAGAGUGUUGGAGUAGCUAAGGGCAAAUAAGUGAAAAAAAAUGAAGUAGUGAGAGUAAUUGAAUGUAAUUUUAUUUUGAAAAUGGUGGUAAAAAUGUAACUAAAUACUUUAUUGUUAAUAAAACAAAAAUUACUUUAUACGAUCUGGGGAAAAAAAAGGAAGAGUAAUGGACACAUGUCCAACACACAAACGGUGAGUGAGUCAGUGACUGGCACCCAAAACGAACGAUUGACCACAACACUGCUCUGUAUGUUUUAAAUUAUCACUACUUCACCAAUUAAUGAAUGUGGUUAAAUUGGUCAUACCAACUUAGAAUAUCAAGUUAUUUUAAAUUAUCACUACUUCACCAAUUAAUGAAUGUGGUUAAAUUGGUCAUACCAACUUAGAAUAUCAAGUUAUAUAAAUUAGGGAAAAUUGUGGUGCAACUGUAGUACCGUAUUACAGUUACAUUCAACUGUUGGAUCUCAAUAUACUCCACCUAUUCAAGUGGAUCCAACGGCUGGAUGCAACUGUGGCACGAUACCACAAAUACACCGUAGUCAGACCCAAAUAUAAACUUAUAGGCUUUUUACUAUUUCAUAAUUAAAAAAAAAUCAAAGAUUUAUUUAUGGGCGAAACCUUAUUGGGUUUCAAUACACUACUUCUUGCUUACAAGGUGUUUUAUUUCUUCUUAUUUUAUUUUUCCUUUCCAGUAAUGAUCAUGUUCAAUUAAUCAUAUUCAACAGAACCAAGAGUAAAAAAUACCUAUGAGAAAAAAAUUAUAGAAAUUAGUGCUUGAAAUGAAAAAAGAUUUAGUUACAAGAGUUAAUUUUACCCAAACUCUAGUUUAAAUCGUUAUAUUUUAGUCCCUGUAUAUUACUACCAAUUAUAGGCGCAUGUAUAUUCAAAAUUGAAACAUUUUACUUCACUCACAGAUAGAUAAUAGGCAUAGAACAUGAGUGUUGUUACAUAUUCUAAAAUUAAUCUCAAAAGAUUCAUUUCAAUUUCAUUCAGCAUUUGAAAUGAAAAAAGAUAAAAUAGGGUCAUUCUAGUAAAAAAAAAAACUACAUUAUCAGUAGUGGGAAAAAAUUGAAUUGUUGAAUAAGAUCCAAUGGUUCAUAAUAAUUAAUUAAGAUUAACUUAAAUUUUUAAAAUUGACUGCCUUUUUAAGUGAGAGUAAUUAAGACAAAGAGCCGAAAAAUAAUGUCCGCAUUUUUUUUCACAUGGUAGUAAUCUACCAAAACACAAUUCUUUUAAUUGAGAUUCAACAACAAAAGCAGUACAAAUAUGACCUUUGUAAGAAUAAAUCUAACUAGUUAUACUUUGUAUCACAACAUCAUACGUCAAUUAAAGAAGACAUAUAUUCAUUCUUAUAUAUCAUUACAUUUUUGCAUGAUUGGAUUAAUAUUUUAUUUUAUAAAAAUUAGAGAUUGGGAGCUGGCCAUUUAUGUUUAUGCACCAUGAGAGUAAAACCUUUCCACUCAUAAAGUUAUAAGAAAUAGUCUCUUGAGGAUAAUAAAUUAUUACUACCUUUUUAUAUGAGUAUGACAUUCAUGGGAGCUUAAUCUUUAAUAUUAGAUUAUGAUGGUUAGACUCCGAAGUUAAGCUUAUCAUUGUGAUCACCGAGAGGUAAGUAAACUAGAGCUUAGACUGGGAUCACAAUAAACAUAUGUAUUUGUGUGGAUUUUGGAAAGAUUAUUUUGAUAUUUGCAUUAUAAAUGUUUUUUACUAGUAUAUUUAACAUUGUGUUUAUAUAUGCUUUAGCAUAAGCAUGGGUAUGCAAAUUUUUCUUUCAAGUCUUCAUAUGAAAAGAAUUAUGUCACUACUAGAAAAAUGAGCUUUACUGACGCUUUGCAAAAAGUGUCAGUAAUUAUGUACAUAUACACCAUUUUCCACUUUUGACAAAUAGGAAUCACAAAUUAAUGAUAAUAGGGUGUCAGUAAAUUAAACAUCAAAGAUCACUGACAUCAAAGUAUCAAAGAUAAAAAAAAAAAUUCAUAAAAAUUUGUUUUAGCUCCAACUCGAACUUGAGAGCUCUAAGAUUUAAAGCUUUAAUGUUUGGAGCACAGACCAUCAAAUCUCGAUGAAUCAAAGUCAUAAUAAUAUUUAAAUUAUUAAAAAAUAAAAAUAUAAAUAACAACAACAUAAAACUCACACUUAAUGACUUUUCCCUAUCUACCCAGACUGUACAUCGACUAUCUCUAUCUUGCUUUUAUCGUUCUCUUUCUCUUUCGUUUUUCUCUUCUCGAUCUCUUAUGUUUUGCACUAUCCAUUUACAAAUGAAAUUCAAUUAAUUUAGAUAGAUAAUGAAAAGCUAAAACUCCGUUUCGUUUUUCCAUUUUCCCGAAAUUGAAAAACAAACCAAAACCCUAAUCGCUUGUUAUUGAAGGGGUUUUUUCUCCAACUAAACCAUCCAGUGCCUAUAUUAGGCAAGCAAGUAAAAGCCAUCGACAAGGGGUGAAGUGGCACCAUCGGUUGCGUAUUCAAGUAAUCUCAUUCUCCCUCACAAGUUAAGUUCAGAGAAAGAACUGUAGAGGAGGUUAUCAGCUGGUAAUGGCUGAAUAUUUUAUUUUUUUGGGCAAUUUAAUUAAUGGCUUUGUUUUAAUUUGGCUUAUGAAUAAUAUUUUUUAAUUUUAAUUUUUGGGUUGUUUCAGAUGUUCAGAAAUUGAACAGUGGUGCGACCCUGGUGGGUUUUGUUUUCCAAAUUUUUUUUUAUUUAAUUUUAACUUGAAAUUUUUGUUCUUAUUUUUCUAUAUCUUCACUCACAUACAGUCCAAAAAUAUAGGCAUUUUAAGUGGUGCAUUACUUAAACUUAAAACACUUGUUGCUGCGACUCUAUUUUUUUUGCCACAUUUGAGGUCAGUUUAAAACUUUUGUGCAUGUGAUUUACUGUCAUUGUUAUUUAAAACUAAGAAAGUGCAUUUUUUUUAGUUUCUAAAAUAAACUGUUAGUUCCGUUUCUUAACUUUGAUUAAUAAGUUAGUUCAUUUUGAAUGCACUAAAAUAUGAAAUUUCAUUUUAGCUUUUGCCUUUCUGAUUAGGAGAUGAUUGUUUGGGUAUUAUAUUGGUUGAAUGACUGUGUAUUUAGUGGUUAUGAACUAUUUACAUCUCUGUUUCAUGUAAAGAGAGGCAAAUUUUGUUAUAUAAUUUUACUUGUUUAUUUAUUUUGUUUUGGUUGGAAGAUUUGUAAUAGAGACAAUGACUAUGAUAUGAAUUAAUUAAGUUCGUGGUUGUGAGUAUUUUGAGAUUGUGUAAAGUUGAUGAUUUGUGUUUGAUUCAAGAAAGAAAUAUUUGUUUUAAGGUAGUUUUGCAUGUUGUAUUUGAAGUUAAAAAGUGUUUUAUAGAAUCUUAAAAAAUGGUUUGCAAAGUGUUAUGAAGACAUUAUUUAUUUGAACUCUUAACUUUUGUUAGUUACCUGACUUAUGAAUUAGUUCGACUCCUUAAAAAGCCAUUAGCGCUCAUCUUACCUAUUAAUCUCCUAUUUAAGUUUCAAAGCUUCUUUUGUUUCAAUUUCAAGAUUUUGUCUAAAUUAUUAUUAUAAUUAAUGAUUUAUAGGGGCUAUUAGUGAUUUUUCAGAAUUAUGAGUUUAUUAUUGCAACUAUAAUCAUAAUAACAUUGAACAUUAAAUUAAUCAUGCAAUUUAAUUAAACUUAAACUGGCAUUACAUAUGUGAACAAGUAAAAUAUUUGAAAUGGACAGAACUUGGAUAACUUGUGAUAGAUUGUCUGUAGAGUAUGGUUCUGAAGUUGCUGAUUUCUUAGAUUUUGCCAUUUUGAAUGCUGAAAACCGAAUGUCAAUUAGAUGUCCUUGCACCUUUUGUUGUAAUAUGGAGUUUCAUACUCCCUAACAGGUGAAGGAUCAUUUAUUUGAAAAAGGUUUUCUCCCAAGAUAUAUUGUUUGGACUUGGCAUGGUGAGACUGACUCUAAAUCUACAUUUACAAAGUGUGAAGACCAUUCACAUAGUCAAAGAUUUAGAUGUCAUGAUUACAGUAACAUAAUUGAUAUGGUUGAAGAUGCUUACGAGCAUUGUGAUAGAGAUCCUAGUUCUUUUAAGGAUAUGCUUGAAGAUGCUGAAAAGCCUUUGUACCCGGGUGCAAAACAUUCAAAGUUAUCUAGUUUAAUGAGACUUUACAAUGUGAAAGGGAAUUAUGAGUGGUCCAAUAAAGGGUUUUCUGCUUUGUUAGAAGUCCUUACUGAUAUUUUACCAAAUAAUAAUACUUUACCUAAGUCAAUGUACGAGGUUAAGAAAACAAUGAAAGUGCUAGGCUUAGAGUAUGAAAAAAAUACAUGCAUGUUCAAAUGACUGCAUUUUGUAUAAGAAUGAAUUUGAUGAUCUUGUUGAAUGCCCAAAUUGUGGAGCAUCUAGGUAUCAAAGAGAAAAAGAUAGCUCAACAAAAUUUAGGAAAGGGGUUCCUAAAAAGGUAUUAUGGUAUUUUUCACUUAUUCGUAGGUUGAAAAGAUUGUUUCAAUCACUACAAACAGCUCAAAAUUUAACAUGGCAUGCUAAUAAAAGAAUUAGAGAUGGCAAACUUCGCCACCUAGUAGACUCACCAGCCUGACAACUAAUUGACAAUAAGUGGCCAAAAUUUGCACAAGAACCUAGAAAUCUCUAUUUAGCUCUCUCAACUAAUGGGGUUAACCCACAUAGUACACUUAGCACUACUUAUAGUUGUUGGCUUGUUAUAUUAAUAACAUAUAAUCUUCCUCCAUGGUUGUGUAUGAAGAGAAAGUUUUUGAUGUUGUCUCUUUUGAUAUUUGGCCCUAAAUAACCUAAAAAUGAUCUAGAUGUAUACCUAGCACCUUUGAUUGAUGACUUAAAAACUCUAUGAGAUGUAAGUAUUGAUGUUUAUGAUGCUUAUAGAAAAGAAACCUUUAAUUUACGGGCUGUCUUGAUGUAGACAAUCAGUGACUUUCCAGCAUACAAAAACCUCUUUGGUUGUACUGUUAAGGGCUAUUAUGCUUGCCCAAUUUAUGGGAUAGACACUUGUGCAUGUUGGCUGCCACAUAGUAGGAAAAUCUCAUAAAUGGGCCAUCGUCGCUUUCUACCACUUGGUCACCUAUUUCGAAAACUGAAAAAGGUUUUUAAUGGGAAGUAAGAGUGGAAUGAGCCUCCUAAAACUUUAUCUAGUGAGAAAAUCUUUAAUAUGAUGGAAGAUAUUGAUAUUAAGUUUGGGAAAAAGAAGGCUAAAAAGCGGAAACAUGAUGGCGGUGGUGGCGGUGAUGGUGAUGAGAACAUAACUAAAAAAUUGUACAAAAAAAAGUCAAACUUUUUUUACUUAGAUUAUUGGAAGCAUUUAUUAGUUUGCUAUCAAUUAGAUGUGAUGCACAUUGAAAAAAAUGUGUGCGAGAACAUAUAUGGCACAUUACUUCAUCAACCAGGCAAAAAAAAAUAUGGGAUUAAUGCUAGAAAAGAUCUUGAGUCUUUGAAGAUCAGGGGAAAACUAAUUCCUGAUGAAACAAACAAAAAAAACAAAGUCCUACCUCUAGCUCCAUACACUUUGAGUAAAAAAAAAAAAUAGUUUUGUGAAACCUUGCUGAGUGUGAAAGUCCCUGAUGGGUAUUCUUCCAAUGUCCAAAACCUUGUUUCAAUAGAUGAUUGUCGGCUUCAAGGCCUUAAGUCCCAUGAUUGUCAUACUUUGAUGCAAAAAUUUCUACCACUAGCCAUUCGAAAUUGUUUGCCUAUAAAUGUGAGUAGGGCCAUAAUCAGGAUGUGCUUCUUUUUUAAUACAUUGUGCUGUAAAGUGGUAGAUCCUAAUACUCUUGACCAAUUGCAAGAGGAACUUGUAAACACUUUAUGCUUAUUGCAACAGUACUUCCCACAUAACUUUUUUGACAUAAUGAUCCAUUUAACAGUCCACGUAGUUGAAUAAGUUAGGUUAUGUGGGCCUAUUUAUCUUCGAUGGAUGUAUCCUUUUGAGAGAGAAAUGAAAACUCUCAAGGAUUAUGUUCGUAAUCGCUACCGCCUUGAGGGUUGUAUUGUAGAAAGUUAUAUUGCAGAAGAAGCACUUGCAUUUUGUGCUGAGUACCUCUCAAAUUGUGAUGUUAUUAGGCUGCGUACUGGUUGUCCAAUUGAUUUAUCUGUCGAAAGACCUUUGGGAGGUGCAAACAUAAAGGUGGUUGAUGAUCCUUUGUUGGCACAAGCACACCGGUGUGUUCUAAUGAACACCCUUGAAAUCCAAAUAUAUAUCGAGUAAGUUGUUAAUUUUUCCAAAAAAAUAUUACUAUUGUAUUAUAAGAUUACUAUACUAGUUUUUAAAUCUUAAUAUGGUCUCACUGUAGGGAGCAUAUGCAUUAUUUGGCAUCAAGAAACCCCUAUAAGGCAAAAACAAAUCUGUGGUUGCAAAAUGAACACAUACGUACAUUUUCUGGUUGGCUACAAGCAAAAGUUAGAAUUACUUAACUAAAUACAAUAUAGGAUAUAAACUUUAAUAAGAUUUUUCUACAUGUAACUAAUUAUUGUACUUGUUAAUUUAAAUUAUAAGUAGCACAUGAUAAAGCAUAUAAUGUGCUGAUUGACGAAAUAGUUUGGUGGUUGGCAAACAAACCACGCUCAAGCGUGGUGACCUUCUCUGGCUACGAGAUCAAUGACUUCAAUUUUACAAUGAGGGAUCGGGACAGUAAUCGUGUGACCCAAAAUAGUGGUGUUAGGGUUGUCACUAACACUCUACAAAUUUCAAGCUCAAAAGAUAAAAGUCCUCAUUCUGAAGACAUGACGUUUUAUGAAGUCAUUGAUGAGAUUUGACAGCUUGAUUAUCUAAUGGUUAAAAAAACACUUUUCAAGUGUGAUUGGGUAGAUGAUAGAGGGGUUUGCACUGACAAUUUAGGUUUCAUUGUAGUUAAUUUAAAUCGGAUUGGCUAUAAAUCUGAUUGCUUUAUUCUAGCUUGUCAUGCAAAACAAGUAUUUUAUGUAAAGGACCAGCUAGAUAAUAAUAAAUCAAUAGUUUGUUCAGUGAUUGACAAAGCUUAUAAGUUAAAUGGGGAAAUAUGUGAAGACGUGGAUGUAUUUUCUCAAUUAUCUAACAAACUUCCAAUAUGUGAAUUGGAUGAGAAAGAUGACAAGGAAUUUAUGACAAAAAAGAUUGUGAUGCUAUUCCAAUAGAUAUUGAUUUAGAAAAUCAGUGAAUGCAUUAUUGUAGUUAGUUUCCAGCACCAAUUUUCACAGUUUUCCAGUAAGUGAUUUAUUUAUUUCAUUAUAUGUUAUUGCUCUUGUAUUAACUUAUUAAUCUAAAUGAUGUACUUAUUUAUUUUAAUCAUUUUCAGGAUUGUAGGAGAUGGCUGAAGAUGCUGAGUUCACUCUUUCGGAGCUCGACGGAAGACCAAAGAGAAGAAAACAACAAGGCUUGUAAAAACAAGAAGUUAGUCAUGAAGGUACAAUUGAGUACAAUUCUUAUGGUGUUUCAGUUGGAAAGGGAAGAAAUGAUCUUAGAGUUACAUUGGAGUCAUUGUACGUGAAACAAUUUCAAUUUUACUUGAUGAUUGGAGGCGUGUGCCACUGGAGAUGAAGGAAACUUUGUGGCUUCAUUUUCAGGUUUUGUUUACUUGUUUAAUAAUAGUUUAAAGAUUUUAUAUAACUUCUAGAUUUGUUUAAAGUUGUUUCUAAUCCAUGUUAUUGGUUUACAGAAAAAAUUCAAAUUGAGCUUGAAAUGCAAAAGCCAAGUGUUAAAGUGGAUGAUGGUUGCAUCAAGAAACUUUCAAAGUGAAUUGGCAACUGAAUUCGUUCUACCUAACAAGGACGAUCGAAAGUCACUAAAGUUGCCUCAUAUUGAAUAUCCGAGCAUUAAAAAGGAAGAUUGGAAACUUUUUGUUGACAAAGUUUUGUCUGAACAAUUUCAGGUGUGUUGUUUGUUAAUAUUACCUGAUUUAUUUAUUGCUAGUUACUAAUAAUCAGUGGUAACCUUUUGUUCUUCAUAUAAACUAUUUGUACAAGAAAAAAGUAAAAAGGCAAAAGACAAAAGAGCAAAGAAUGUCUACAACCAUCGCUUGGGUAGCACAUGAUACAGUGGCAUGUUGUAUAGAAAAGUAUGUGUGGUAAAUAAUCUAAUUACAGUAACAUAAGUAAUCUAAUACAUAUAAUAUAAUAGAAUCAAUUAUUUAUGUUUUAUGUCACCUUGUAACAGAAAAAGGAGAGUGGAGUUUCUGAGCGGGAGAUUGACCGCAGUGAAGCUUGGUUAAUGGCACGAGCAGAUCGAGAUGGCAAAUAUGCUUCUGAUGUGACGCCAAUUGCUGAGAAAAUAAUAAGUCACUUGUAUACUUAAUUCUUAUGAAUUUUCUUUAUAAUGUGUGUGUGUGUGUGGGUAGAUAUUUACGUACAUAUAUAAUGCUUUUUGUAAUAAUUGUAUGGUAACAUUUACAAGUGACAGAAGCUCAGUAAUACUUUAUCAGAACUUAUUUGUUCGCAUAUAAAAAGGUUAAAACUUGUGUGCAUGUGUGUUUGUAUGUGUAAUGAAAGAGAUGUCUAGGAGAUCAAGCGCUUGUGCGAGGUGUUGUCUUGUAAUAUUUUCUGUAGUUUCAAUUUGAACUGUAUAUGGACUUACUCUGUGUUGAAGAUUCAAGAAGGAUAUUAGUUUAGUUUAGCUGAUGUCUUGUACUCGCAAUUGCAGAUUUACAAUAUUUUUUUUUUGUAGAAUGAGCUGAAGAGUCAAGUUGAACAAGGAACAUUCCAAUCACAAGGGUCACAUGACAUUCUAGGUGAAGCUCUUCAGAAGCAGCCAAAUGGAAGCAGGGUGCAAGGAGUGGGGCAAUUCGUCACCCCAUCUAUGUACUUUUAUGUCCCUGAUGCCACUGAGUUAGCAAGAGAAAGAAAGAUGUAUCAAGAGAGUUUCCAAUUCAUGUCUGCUCAAUUAGAACGCAUGAAUGCAAGGUUAAAUGCGUACAUCAAUACUGAAGUUGGAAGUUCUAACUUUCCUAAGCCCAAAACUUCCACUAGUGUUCAGAUUGACAAUGAUCAACAAUCCCCUAAAACUCUUGGAAAAAGAAAGGUAUAUGACCUGUUACAUGUCAUUAUUUUAUUUCUAUCAUGUAUUACUACUAAUGGUAUGUAUUUUUAUUAUUGCAUAGGCUGAUUUCCCAUCGGGCAAGUCGACUCUAAAAUCUGUGAAGAGUAAAAUGAAGGACACUCUCACCACAAUUUCCCAAGCAACUCCUCAACAAACCCCCGAAAAAGUAGAGUGUGAAAUUACUUCAAAGCCCACACCGAGAAGAUCUCCUAGACUAACUCCUAAAGUACUAGAUGUGCAAUUCUCCUGUCAUGACAAAGUACCCAAAAACGAACCACUGGUCAUCAGACUAGCAGAAGUACCCAAAAGAGAACCACGGGUCAUUAGACCAGCAGCAAAAGGCCUCAACGUACGUGUGAAGAAUACACGGGCAUCAGCACGAUCAAGAAAGAAUGAUAGGAGUAAAUAUAUGAACAUGCUUACCAUGUUCAUCGAGAAUUCUUUACCUCGGUUGAUCAGGAUUUGGCAUGACACAGCAACCUUUGGUGAAAUUUGGGAAACACACUUGGACAAAAUGAUUUGUGCUGAAAUCAUCGAGUUUAAAGGGGUCUCAAACUGCAUCAUUAACAUAUGGAUCAAGUACGGUAAAUCAUAGCUUAUGUUUUAGUAAACUUGGAGCUAUUAUUUUGUUUCCUUUUAUUCAAACUUACUUCGUUUUAUAUAUUUAUUUCCUCUUAGACACUUGUAUGAGGAGAUGGAGAGUAAUGGAAGUAUUAAGCCGGUUCAGUUUGGGCUUUUUGAGAAGCUAUAUCCAAGGGUUAGCUUCAAAGACAGGACUCAAUACAUUUCAAAACUUUUAGACUUGGCAGAAUUGGGACAAGUCAUCGUAUUCCCGUAUAACCCUAGGUAUAACCUUUUUCAUUUGCUAGCCAUAUUCUUUAUUUAGUAGAUUAAUCAUGAAGUUUAAAACUUUUACUUGUAAUUCAUGUAUGAGAACAAUUUUUACUUUGUUUAGUGGCCACUGGGUGUUAUUGGCAAUUGAUAUGGUGAGACGUACAACUUAUUAUCUUGAUCCUUUGGAAGAUAGUCCUGAUGAAGAGCUAAUGCAGACUGUCAAUCAGUUAAGUUUGUUAUUUGUAUCUUUGAUCAUGUUGUUUUAUUUUUAUAUCUUAUGCUAAUUAUUUGCCAACGUUAGCUAUGUCUCUUAAUUGUAGUAGGAUUCGAAUACAUCAGAGUUUAAAUUCUGAUACAAAGGCCAAUGUUCAAUGGAUACCUGUCAAGGUAAAAAUCAGACAAACCUAAAUAAUUAUUGUUAACAUACAGUAAAAAAUUAAUGUAAUUUUGAUCUUGUAUUGUUCGGGGCAGCCAAGCAGCUUUGAAUGUGGUUACUAUGUGAUGAAAUACAUGCAAGAUAUCGUCACAAAUGUGAACGUUCUGAAAAAUAAUGUAAGUAUUGAAAACAGUUUUUACAAUACUGCAUCAUAUUGUUUUAAUUUAUUAUGAAAUGAAUCAGCUCAAAGACCUAUUGUGUGCUUCUUUAUAGUUAUCUUUUUACUACGUAUUGUAUGUAUUUUAUAAACUGUGAGGGUACUUAUAAUGGUGACUAUGUUGCAUACUGUUGAAUAGAUUAUAUGAAUAUCCAUAUAGACAUGAAUUAGGAUUUGGGAUAUACACAAUGUACUGUGUAUCCCAACACAAAAUAAUUGUUUGGGUUACAAAGUAGUUGUUAGUGGGGAUGUGCUAUGGUGUAGUUGCUUGUACUUUACUUUGAUGAGGAUAAGUUGUCAUCCUAAUUAAUGUUUUGUAUCUACAUCCAUAUUUGUAUUAAAUCGCGUACUGUUGGGGUUCACAAGUUACUUCAGCUAUCAAACAUUGUUGUAUAAUUUGACUUUAAAGUAGUAAUUGAUAGGAUAAGUGCAUCAAUAAUGGUUUUUUUUUUUUUUGCAAUUACCAUGAUCAGGAUGUUCAGUAUUUACCUAUAUAAUUUUGGAUAAAACAGUAACAUUGUUGGAGUUUAUUUGUUGGCUUUAAUUGUUAACACACAAAUAUAUUUAAAUGAAUGAUAAUUAAGUAAUUUAGUCAAGGAUUUUCGGUGAAUAACUUGUUGUUUUAAAAUUAAAGUUCAAGGGAAUUGAGAAAUACACCAUGAAGGACCUCUCGCGACUUCGUGAUCAGUGGGCUACAUACGUUGCCAAGUUAAUUACAGCCUACAAUCGCGAGGUAACAUACAAGUAAUUUAUGAUUAUUUUUCCUUUAAAAUAUACAAGACUUAUUUUUUGUGGUGUGCUAAUUGAUUUUAUAUACUUGUAGGUGGAAAAAAAAUGAAGGCAUAUGUGGACUCCAAAAUCAGUGACAGUGUUAUUUUUUUUUCUUGUUGGUUAACAUUUUCAUAAAUUAAUUUAGUACUUUAUCGUGUAUACUACUUGUUCAAAGCUUAAUUUGGUACUUGAAGUUUUUUUUUACCCCCAAAUAAUGAUGUAUUUGAACUAUUUUACUUUAACUGAUGUAUUUGAAAUGUGUAUUAUGUGAAUUGCAUUACAAGAUUAGUUAAGAUGGUUGAGUUAGUUAAGCUUAGUUAAUUUGAUUAAGCAAGUUUGUUAUGAAUGCUGACUUGGCAGCUGAGCUGGAGGAAGGUUGUUAUGCUAUUAGCUCAGUCUCAAACAGCAUGUAGAAGAUUCGAGAUACUUGUAUAAAUACAUUCUUGUAAAACCAUUCGAAUGAAUUCAAUGAUUUAGAUUCAUUCUCUCUUGUUAUUUUCCUUCUGUUUAUCUCUGUAACUUUCUUAGAAACCAAACAAAUACUUUACAAUUUAACAUGGUAUCAGAGCCACACUAAAAACAAAAAUGGCGUUCUCAAGCUCAAAUCCAAACACAACAAUCUCUGUUUCUUCAUUUACUUUCACUUCUCCUAUUAAGCUUGAUCGAUCAAACUACACAAUCUGGAAAUCUCAUAUUCUCUCUUCAGUACGUGCAAAUGGUCUUGAAGAUCAUCUUGAUAGCUCUAAAUCAUGUCCAGAUCAAUUUCUUCAAAGUGAAUCUGAGAACUCUGAAGUUGAAACUCAAACAAAUCCAGCAUUCACCACUUGGAAAAGGAAGGAUCAGAUGCUGCUGAGCUGGAUACUGUCUUCUAUAAAUUUCGAAAUUCUCAGCCUUGUGGUAAACUCUGAAACUUCACUCGAACUUUUGACUAGUCUUGUGCAAUAAUUUGGAUCUGAAACCUUUGCUAAAAAGGUUCAUCUUAAGAUGAUGCUUAAUAAUCUUAGAAAAGGUUCAAUGUUUAUGACUGAAUUCUUUGGAAAGCUGAAAACAAUAACUGAUGAUUUAGCAAUAGCUGGAAGCCCUGUUACCUCUCUGGAUUUUAUUACACAUCUGAUCUCUGGGCUAGGCCAACCAUACUACCCUGUGGUCGUGUAUAUUGAAGCAAAUCUUGUAAAAAUGACUGUUAAUGAAGCUUACUUAAUGCUUUUAACUCAUAAAGCUAGAUUAGAAGCACAUCAGUCAAAUGCUAGUAAGGAAACUAAAUUGACCUAUGCUGCAAAUGUUGCUCAAACUGGAACCAAUACUAAAUUUGGAGGACAAAAUAAUGCUAACUGGAUUAGGAAUGGAAAUAAUAAUAAUGGUGGCAGAGGAGCUUUUGGUAGAGGCUUUUCACAAGGCCGGGGUAGAGGAAAUUAGAAUGGUGUUUGGAAUAAUAAUGCCCAGCCUGGAAAUUAUCAAGGCAGAGGUGGAUAUGGUGUUAACAAUGGCAAUAACUUUGGUGCUAAUAAUGGAAAUUUUGGUGGCUUCACUAAUGAAAAAGGUGCUUCAGAUCCAAAUGGAUCUGCUGUAAUAUAUCAAAUAUGCUUUAAGCCAAAGCAUACUGCAGCUGAAUGCAAGAACAUAUUCAACAAAGAAUUUGUGCCUUAUUACAAUCCAUAUUCAGGCUAUAAUUCAUAUCAGAAUCCUGGACCAAGAGCUUUCUAUCCAAAUUCAGCACCAAGAGCUACUUUUCUGGCAACUUCUGAAGGUGACAUGGCUGAUCAAGGCUGGUAUGUUGACAGUGGGGCAACACAUCAUCUCACCAACAAUCUGCAGAACUUGAAUCUUGGAAGAGAAUAUUCAAGUAAUCAGUUACUGUAUGUUGGUAAUGGCCAAGGUCUGAAAAUUACACACAUUGGAUAUACUUGUCUUCCCACUUGCUGUGAUUCUUUUCUGCAUUUACAAGAUAUCUUGUGUGUACCCCAUCUCACUAAAAAUCUCAUAAGCAUUUCCAAAUUACUUGAAGAUACCAAUUUAAUCAUUAAGUUUGUUGCCAAUAUGUGUUUUAUUAAGGACAAGAGGAAGGGAUUGCAUCUGGCUCAAGGGAUUGCUAGAGGAGGAUUGUAUAAGUUGCUGUCUAAGGAUGAUUUUCUCUCCAGUUCAUGUGUCAUCAAUCAUAAUCCUAGUUCUAUGCUUUCUAUUUUUAACCAGUCAGCUUAUAACUUUUCUGGUUUGUCUUUGAAUGAAGAUUGUACUCAAACAAGUAAUCCUCAGAGUCUUUUGAGCACUGUUAACCCGGCUAUGUUUGCUAAUGUGUUACACCAAAGAUUUGGUCAUCCUAAUAAACAUGCAUUGAAAGGCAUAUUAUCUUCUCUUGCACUUCCUGCAUCUAUCCCUGAUUUUUGUGAUGCUUGUCAAUAUGGUAAAAUGCAUCAACUUUUUUUCUACUCUACAGGCAUAAAAACAAAAACUCCUUUAGAACUUGUACAUACUGAUCUUUGGGGUCCAGCAUCUAUACCAUCUCUACAUGGAUAUAGAUAUCACAUUAGUUUUGUGGAUGAUUACAGUAGAUACUGCUGGAUUUUUCCAUUAACCCUUAAGUCAGAAGCUUUAGAUACAUUCAAGUGUUUCAAAACCUUAGUUGAAAAACAACUUGGUUUCUCUUUGAAGUCUUUACAAUCUGACUGGGGAGGGGAGUACAGAAGCUUUGAAAAAUUUCUUGAGGCAGAAGGGAUACAUUUUAGGCAUAGUUGUCCUCACACACAUCAUCAAAAUGGUGUAGUUGAGAGAAAGCAUAGGCAUGUUGUGAAAACUAGGUUAAGACUUAUUGCUCAAGCUAAAAUGCCUUUAUUUUUUUUGUGGGAGUCAUUUCAUACAGCUUCCUUUCUCAUUAACAGAAUGCCAACCCCAGUGUUGAACAAUGUUUCCCCUUUUGCAAAACUUCAUGGCAAACUACCAGAUUACAAGUUCCUUAGAACAUUUGGUUGCUCUUGCUUUCCUCUUCUCAAACCUUACAAUAACCAUAAACUCAAUUUUCAUACACAAAAAUGCCUAAUGAUUGGCUAUAGUCCUAUACACAAGGGAUAUAAAUGCCUGGAUUCUACUGGUAAAACGUACAUUGUUAGACAUGUUUAGUUCAAUGAAUCAGAAUUUCCUUAUUUUGAACUUUUUCCUACAAAGUCUGAUUCACAAUUAUCAUCCAUCUAACCAAGUCAAGUGUCAUUUUCAAAUAUUCCAAUUACAGAAGUCAUUCAAGACAGCAACAAUGCACAAUCCUCUGUUAUUCCCUCAUCUCCAGAUGCAGGACCUGAUUCAAGUCAUUCCCAUACACCUUCAGCACAUCCAUCUCCAAGCCAUUUAUCUCAAAAUUCAUCACUACACAUCCAAGUUCAUCAGCCAGUACAGACAUCUCCAGUUUAGAAUAAUCAUUCCAUGACUACCAGAUCAAAAGCUGGUGUGUUUAAGCCCAAGACAUACUUAACAGUAGCUCAAGAGCUUGAACCUUCAUAUGUUAAAGCAGCUCUAGUAGACCCCAAAUGGCAACAAGCUAUGCAAGAAGAAUUUGAUGCACUACAAAAGAAUCAAACCUGGGUUCUUAUUCCUCCAGAAACAGCUGGGAAGAUUGUUGGAAACAAAUGGGUAUUCAGAAUUAAAUAUAACCCUGAUGGCAGCAUAUCAAAGUACAAAGCCAGAUUAGUUGCAAAAGGGUUUCAUCAGACAUAAGGUGUGGAUUUUUUUGAAACUUUCAGUCUAGUUGUAAAGCCCUGCACAAUCAGAAUAAUCUUGAGUCUUGCUGUCAUGAAUCACUGGACAAUUAGGCAGCUAGAUGUCAACAAUGCCUUCCUUAAUGGCAUUCUUACAAAGGAUGUUUUUAUGCAUCAACCUGAGGGUUUUGUUCAUCCUCAGUUUCCAGCUCACAUUUGCAAACUCACCAAGGCACUUUAUGGACUCAAACAGGCACCAAGAGCCUGGUAUGACAAGUUGAAAGCUUCCUUAAUUCAGUGGGGUUUUGUGACAUCCAAAUCAGAUACCUCAUUGUUUAUUCAUCAUGUGGCAGGAGAAAUUAUUGUGGCACUAAUCUAUGUAGAUGAUAUCUUAAUCACUGGCUUAAAUUCUCUUUUGGUAGAGAAGGUAAUACAUCAGUUGGGUGCAGAGUUUGCCUUGAAAGAUCUUGGGGAGUUUAAUUAUUUUCUUGGUCUUGAGGUAACUCUAAUUGUGGAUGGGUUGCACUUAUCACAAACUAAGUACAUUGGUGAUCUGCUCAAGAAAGCUCAAAUGGUGAACUACAAGGGCUGUCCAACACCAAUGAGCUCAACAGAAAAAUUAGUCAAAGACAAGGGUGCAAUGUUUGAGAAUCCUUCUCUAUAUCGAAGUCUGGUUGGCUUAUUACAAUAUGUUACACUAACAAGGCCUGGAAUUGCUUUUACAGUGAAUAAACUCAGCCAAUAUCUUUCUAAUCCAUAAGUACUUCAUUGGCAAGCUUGUAAAAGGGUGUUGAGGUAUCUACAGUAUACAACAGAUUAUGGUUUGCAAUUUUACUCAUCUGGAUCACUUAGUCUUACAGCCUUCUCAAAUGCUGAUUGGGGGUCUGAUCUGGAUGAUAGGAAGUCAGUAGGGGGAUAUUGUGUUUACUUAGGCAACAACUUGGUAUCAUGGUCCUCUAAGAAACAACAUAUAGUGUCUAGAAGUACAUCUGAAUCUGAAUACAGAGCUUUGGCUUUGACAACAGCUGAGGUAUUGUGGAUCACUUAUAUUUUCAAAGAAUUAAAAGUGUCUUUGCUGCAGUCUCCAGUUCUCUACUGUGAUAACAAAAGUGUAGAAGCUCUUGCUAGCAAUCCUAAGUAUCAUUCUAAAACUAAACACAUUGAGCUUGAUCUACAUUUCAUUCGAGAGCAUGUAUCUAGAAAGGAACUACAGAUUAGUCAUGUUCCAAGUUGUGAGCAGGUAGCAGAUAUUCUUACUAAACCAUUGGCAUUUGAUCAAUUUCAUUAUCUACGGUCCAAGCUCAAUGUUCUUCCCAGACCUUCAGCUUGAGAGGGGCUGUUAAGCAAAUAGAAUUAGUUAAGAUGGUUUAGUUAGUUAAGCUUAGUUAAUUUGAUUAAGCAAGUUUGUUAUGAAUGCUGACUUGGCAGCUGAGCUGGAGGAAGGUUGUUAUGCUGUUAGCUCAGUCUCAAACAGCAUGUAGAAGAUUCGAGAUACUUGUAAAAAUACAUUCUUGUAAACCUAUUCGAAUUAAUUCAAUGAUUUAGAUUCAUUCUCUCUUGUUAUUUUCCUUCUGUUUCUCUCUGUAACUUUCUUAGAAACCAAACAAAUACUUUACAAUUUAACAGGUAUGUUUAAUAUAUUUUGAGUUUAUUUUAAUUAUAAAAUAACCAGGAAAAUAUGAUUAAAAAAUAAAACACUACCGGUAUAGCACCGUUAAUACUGACACUAAUUAUUUAAAUGACGUUAAGAAUUUUUUAUGUUACUGAGUCAGUGGAUUCCUGAUACUGUAGUCACAUAAAUCAGUGACAUAUAAAUAGUAUCAUUAAAUGCUAACACAAUUGAAUCACUAUCUUUGUGACUCUCUAGUGACACAAAAUACUGACAUAGAAAUAGUAUCAACUGAUACUAACACCAUCGUGUCACUAUUGUGGUGAUACUAUAGUGACACAAGAUACUGACGCAAAAAUCACUUACACCAAAAAUUAGUGUCAGUGUGUUCUGGCUUGAGCAUUACUGACACAAUUAACAAGUGUCAGCAAAAGUAAUUACUGACACUAAAGUGGUGUUAGUAAAGUCCAUUUUUCUAGUAGUGUGUUUGUUAAUUCUAUUUGCAAUUUAUGGAUUGAUGUGUGGGAGCCACCUCUCUAGUGCCAAUAUACCGUGAAGUGCCAUGAAUAGUGCAAAGUGCUACAUGCAGGGUAUGUAUUUUUGAAAAAGACAAUUGAAGUUUUAAUAAGUUUGUUAUUUACUUAUUAGGCACCUAUACGUUUAUGUGGAGCCUUUGAUAUGUGUGGUCUUUCUUUCAGAUUAGUAGAUAACUCAUGAUCAUUAUAUGAUAUAUGAUAUAUGUAGUCUUACUAAGUAGCAAGAAUUGUGGAUAUUCCUAAAAUAAGUAUGAUAAGAUUUAUUAAGUGAUUCAUGAAAUAUGAAGCCUAUGAAUGAAAGUAAGUUUAUACUCAUGCCAAUCCAUGCAUAUGCAUUGUAUAUAUUAUGUAUUUAGUUCGCUAUAUGAAAAACUAAUUUCCUUAUUGAGUUUUUUACACACAUUAUAGUUUAUUGUGACUUUCAGAUGGCUGAUGGAUCUAACGUGUGAUGGAUUUGGAAAAUCUGCUCACAUUCUUUGGUUCCUUUAAUUUUAGAAGAUUUUUUGACAUGUGUGUUUUAACUAGAUUUUGGCAAAGAGAGAAACCUAGCUAAAUACAAUGAAUUUAUAACUUACAAGGGUUGUGGUGCUUAAUAUAGCUAGGUGUGUUGUUUGUUUGAACUUUCCUUGAAGCUUCAAAAAUAAUGGAAAUGAUGGGGGCUUGGAUGAAAUCUAAAUCUAGAGAGGAUUGGUUUGGAGGGCUAUGUUUAACCUGCAAAAUGGAGAAGACUAGUUACAGGUAGAGUUAGCCGUGGCUGGUGACUACACUUUGAUGCUCAAGUUAGUUUUGAGGCUAUACUUUUGUCCCAAGAGUGGUGACUAGAGGUUGAAGAAAACCCUCAGCCUUAUUAUUGCGUAUGUUUUUAAUAAGUGAGAAAAAUAUAACUUGAGCAUCUUUAUGUAAAGCACUUGGGGUUACAUCUUUCACCAUGCCACCUAGUGCAUUUCUAUUGGUGUUAUUUGUUGCCUUGGUAAGGAUAUUUCUAUCCUUUUGCCCAUACGACCUUUUGGCCCUUUGAAGCAUGCUCGGAGAGUAAGUUGGCGUGUUAUUUUCAUUAUUACACGUGUUGGACUCUACUAGGUGGUCUAGCAUGUCUUUACAAAGACCACCCUGCAAUUGAUGGCGUGUUAAUUAGGACAAAUGAUCCCAACUAUUUUAAUGAGCCGUUUUUGGCUUUUUUACAAGUGUGGCAACCUACUAUUCCCUCUUUCUAAGUAGUUCCUUAUUGUCCGGUGUUUUCCUACCUGUUGUCGUCUUGCUUCUCUAAUUGUCCAGUGUUUAAAUAUAUACAUGUAAAUAUUCCCUUUUUGACUUGUAUACAUAUUACUUCUUGUAUUUUAAGCCUUGUAUCGGCUAUUAGGACUAUAAAAGUCUGCUUCACCAGAAAGCCUGAUCAAAUAAGGGUAUUUAUCUGCCAUUUCCUACUGUUAAAAUUUUUCAUUGUUAGUCAAAUGGUACGAAAUGCCUUAUGUGUAGAGGUGGUAACCAAGAUUCAAAACUCUUAAUAUGCAUGAGUUCAUUUAUUUCUUAUUGUUUUCAUUCCAACUUCCAUUUUUGGCAAAUGUUUCCUUUGUUUAACACCUCAUUGAGUGGAAUAAGUUUUAGUUUGCAUGAGAGAAUUAACUACCGGAAUUCCACUGUAAACUUUUCUUUAGCUGCAAGAUCAUGCAAUGAUGAGUACGAAGCUUGGGAGCUUCUUAUUGAGCUGGUUGAUGGAUUUUUUAAGGUACUAUAUUCGACCAUUAAAGUAUGAUCUAUUAAUUGCCCUUAUUAUAGUCUUAAGCCAUGUAACUGUACAUUAUAAUUAUUCAAAAAGGUGCACUUUAACAUUCCCCUCAUGUGUAAAGGCUGGCAAAUGAUAAUCAAACAACAAUGUGAACAACACGCAGAGCAAAUAUUAGUAACCAAAUAGAGUACAGAAAUAGGCUUGGCCAAUACCGGGAUUGUUCUACCCUAGGUAUGUAACAUUAUUUAGUACUCUAUUUAGUUUACUAAUUUUAUUUGUGCCAAUCUGAAAACUUAUAAUUCAAGUGCUAACUUUCUCUCACUAUUUUCCAACCUUUUAUUGAAGUGAUCAAGAAGACGUUGGGAGUUGAGAUCAUGCAAAAAGGGGGUGUUCUAUGAGUUGUUUUGUUCUUUUCCUAGUUUAUCCCUUCUAUCUCUACUUAAUUGAAUAUUAAAAAUCCAAAUUAAAUUUUGUGUAUGUUUGGGAAGGAAAUAUGAGGCCAAUGAUGAAGGGCCACGUGUCGAUAUUUAAGAGAUUAAUUUAUCUCGGGUACCUUAGGUACCUCGGGUACCCUAGGUACCCCGGCUACCCUAAGCACUCCAGGGGUACCUCGGGUACACCAUGAGAGGAUACAAAAGUCUUCGUAAAUAUGUGAAGGGAUAUGUGGGCCCCGAAUCUCAAAAAGACCGGUUUGAUACGUGUCAAAAAAUAAGGAAAUCUCGUGCCGCAAAAGAGGAGACAGCCGCCUGUCACGCCAGUGAAUCCGCUAAAAGUGUCAUAUUGUGACAGUUGGGACCACCAACUUUUCCUGCUACGCCUGCAAAAUUACAACGGAAUUGCAGAGGUACGCGGAACCACUCCACUACGCCCAGCACGUGAAUACGCCACAAACUUGCUCUCCACUCAUAAUUUUGAAACGUCUAAACCGCCAUAUGCAUGAAAAUAAGAAUAUUACUGACAUGACAAUAGGGAAGGCCACUAAAAUAGCGCCAGGUGGCACGGCGACCGGGGUACACCAUAUAAAUACUCAGGUUUGAUUUUUAUCAAGGAGGUAAACACACUCACCACCAAAGAAACUAGGGGUUUCUUCAACCUCAAAACCUCCAUUACCGAGAGCUUAUAAGCUCUCUAACCUGAGAUAACCCAACUCUGACUUGAGCGUCGGAGUGUGGUCGCCGGUCACCCCCGGCUCCACCUCUGACCUCUUUUUUGGUUGUUUCACAGGUUUAAGGCGAGUUUCACCAGCCCGCACGUGCCGAACAAGCGAGGUACCCCGCUCCCCGACAAAAAUAUAAACUUAUUGCUCUUGGGUUGGUUUUGUGGUUUUUUAUUCAUUGACCCAAAAUCAGCCGCAAACAGUGUACAAUUUUUCAAACAUUUAUUGCAGUGACAACCAAAUGUUCAAUAUGUUUCUAAAAAUAUUGGGAAUAUUGCCACUUGAGGAGUGUUUAAUCCUUGUUUUAGCUCUUUAUUUAUUUAUUUAGCUUCGUUUAUCAUUUUUAUUAUUUACGACAAACAUGCUUAAGUGUUUUUUUUUUUUGGAUACUCUGACUAAUUGGGUGUACUUUUGCCUAUAGGAUAUAACCUCCGAAAGUUCUGUAAAAGUAUUUUCUAGCAACUAUUCUAUAUAUCUGCUUCGGGAUGCAUGGCCAUAUGUAGAGAAACGCAAGCUUUUUCUUUAUUUUUUCCACAAAUUUUUACACUUGAAUUAUGGUCGAUCUCUAUGUUAUAUGAGUUAAUUCUAUGCUUAACUCCUCUCACUUAGUCAUUUGUUUGGUUACAGAAAGGCUACAUGGAUUCUUCUUAAUUGUCAUUUUCCAAUCUUAAAGGGAGCUUUAUUGUCGUGAUCUCAUGGACUUCUCAACUCGUUGUUUUAGUUGAUCGUGAUUAAUAUUGGGAUUAUUUUCUCCUAAAUUAGCCCUCUGUUGUGUCUGUCUUUGUCCUCUCCAUCUCUUUAUCUCUCUGUAUGUAAUUGUUUGGGUUAAUCUUUUUUUCCCAAUAACAGCUAUUUAUUUGGUUGUAGUGAUGCAUGGUGGUGCCUUCUUCCUUUUUUAUUUUUAUAAUAUUUUAAGUAGAAUCAAGUGUUGCGGAUUUCUCCAAAAAAAAAAAAAAAAACUAUGAGUUUUCAAAGAAUAUUGAGAUAUUAUGCACUAGUCAAAGGGCCUGAUAUUCAUCUCUUUCCAUAGUUUCUUUUCAAACACUUUAAAUUCAACUUAUUGUUUCAUGAUUUAUUUCGUAAUAUGGCCUUUUAGAUGAAUUCUUGGGAAUCUUUUGAAGGCGGUGUGAUAUUUUCCACUUUCUUGUAUUUUAGUAUCGGAGUCAGUGUUCUCACGUUCUUGUUUGGUCUGUGUGCUUGCUCCACAAGGAAAAGAUUUAAGCAUGGUCUCUUAUCAAAUGUUGCUUAAAUAUCAAUUUUUGCUACUGAAAUUAUUAGUUUCUCUGAUCUUAAAGAGAAAAACUGUUGUUGUGGACUUUUUCAAUUCAUUGUUGGAGCAACUAAGGAAUAUUUGGAUUAUUUUCUCUUAAUUUAGUUUUCCCCUAAUUUUCUCUUUGUUUAGCCAGUCUCUCUCUGUGUGUGAUCUUUUGGUUAAGUCUUUUGCCCAAUUUGUGUGAAGUUUUUUUGCUAAAGAGAAUGACUCAAGUGCUGACAAACUCUUGAGGUCAUUCGAAUGACCUGGAAAAUCCUUAUUUGUCAAUUAUCCAAGAGCCUACUGUUUCGAGGAUUACUCGGUCAGAAUGUUAUUCUUCUUACAAGCGGCGAUGCACUUUUCAUUCCUGAAGACUGGUAUGAUUAAACACUAAAUUUUUAUGACAAGGGUUUCCUUUGCCUGCAUCAAAAUCAAGAAUCUCUCUGUGGUUAGCUUUUCUUUCUUAAUUUGAUUAAUCACAUACUGUUUUGUUAGUUUAUUCUGGAGUACGCUUACCACUGGUCGAUUGUUUCAGGACUUUAUGCAGGCAAAAUGAGACUUGACGGGUGCUAAAUCAAGCUUCUGCUUGUUUGUAGCGUAUUCGCAUGUCAGGUUUUCUCUUCACUUUUAAGAAGGCUGUGGAAUCAAGUAUGCAGCAAGGAACAUGUGCUUUUAGAUUUUGAAUACUUUUUUCUUUUCUUUUCUUUUCUUUUUUCAGUUCUUUCUCAUAGUUUUACUCCUAUAUAUAUCUGUUUGAUCCAUAAGUUUUAUGGCUUAUUUUUUCAAUUUUGUGAACUCUUAUUAUAGUGAUAGACGAAUGGUCUUAGAACGUCUGUGAAUCUUACUGUCUGGUUUACUUAUCUCCCAAUUUGAUUAAAUUUUGGUAUAAGAUUAGCUCACAAACAUGAUUGUGUAUAUGAUUUUGUUCUAUUUUCCCAUGGCUUUUAAGGAUAAAUUAUUGCUACUGUUUACAGUUUUAGGAUAACCCUUGUGCUGAAUCUAUGACCGCAGUCUGCCAAAGUUCUUGGACUCGUGGAUGAGGAAUUAACAUUUUAUAUUGCAUAAGACUUUGGUUUAAGCUGACGUUGAAUGAAAAUAUGUUAUAAUUUUUACUGUUUUUUGUUUUUUUAUUUCAAGUUUGUUCUGUUAUUCCAGAGUUUGGUUGGAAAAACUUAAAUCUUAUAGACUUGGAAAGAUUUCUUAUCUUUUUUUAUUAUCUUUUGCAAUUUAUGUUGGGUCAAGUAAUAUUUCGGUUCUUUUCAAAAAAAAAAAAAAAGGUAAUAUUUUUUGGUUGGUUCCCUUGAUUUUUUAAUAAAGUUUUACCAAUCAGUAGCUUUCUUUUUCCUUCAUUUGAUGAUACUUCAAGUUUCUUUUGAUUAACUUAGAUGAACUACAAGGACUUUCAUCUCCUAACUCUGUUUCGUUGAUUCUGGUUAUGAUAUAGUUUCGUGCAAUAUUGUUUUUUUUUUUUACUAGUAAGAGAUCUUUAUUAUCUACUGUAAUUAAUGUUAGAUAAUUUUUAUUUUUAUUUUUUUACUACUUUAUUUAAUCAAGUUGUAUUCCUUUUUUUUUUCCCAGCUGGUAAGUAAAGAAAGCUUGUUUUUUAAUAUUUUUUUAUAUUGAUAUUACAAUCAAAAGUCCAUAUAUGAUGGCAAUGAAAAUUUGUAAGUUCCGAUAGGAAGUCGACACAUGUGCUAGGAUAUGCAAAGGAUGGAAAUGACAGGGUUGCCCAUGAGGUACAAAGGGUUUAAAUUCUGCGUGCGUAAAUUUAGGGUUAUAAUUCUUUCAUAAUCUGAUCGUAUUCUAAGUAAAUAAUUUACUUAUUGAUUAAUAAUAAAAUUUAAAUUCAAUAAAACUAAAAUGCCUGCCUUUUUUUAUUACUUGUGGUAAAAAAAUUCAAUACGGUUCACACCGUAUAUGAACACAUAAUUUACUUAUGGAUUAAUAAUAAAAUCCACAAGUAAUAAUUUACUUAUUGAUUUUAACUGUGAAAAUGGUAUUUGUCCAAAUCACCAGCAUAAUCAGAAUCAACGUACCCGAUCACACCUUGACUAAGUGUAUCGUCUCUCUCAAACAGUAAACCAACAUCUAUGGUCUUAUGAAUGUACCGUAGAAUCCAUUUCACAGCUUGCCAAAGUCCUUUACCAGGAUUAUGCAUAUACUUGCUCACUAUACCUACUGCAUGUGAAAUGUCAGGCCUUGUACACACCAUUGCAUAUAUUAAGCUACCCACUGCAUUUGAAUGCGGAACUUGUAACAUGUAUUCUCGUUCUGCAUCUGUUGAAGGAGAUAAUUGUGUAGAAAGCUUAAAAUGAGAAGCUAAUGGGGUACUCACAGGUUUUGUUUGCUCAGUCAUGCCAAACUACUGUAGUACCUUCUUCAAAUAUUGCUUCUGAGACAAGCUUACUUUGCCACGAGCUCUAUCUCUACAUAUCUCCAUGCCAAGAAUCUUCUUAACUUCACCUAGAUCUUUAAUUUCAAAUUCUUGAUUGAGUUGAGUCUUCAACUUCUCAAUCUCAUCUUUGUUCUUCGAUGCUAUUAGCAUAUCAUCGACAUACAAUAGCAAAUAAAUGAAAGAUCGUUCUUGUAGCUUGCGAAAAUACACACAAUGAUCAAAUUUGUUUCUUGUGUACCUUUGUUCUUUCAUAAAUCGAUCAAAUCGCUUAUACCACUGCCUCGAAGAUUGUUUCAAUCCAUAAAGCGACUUUGUUAAUUUGCAAACCCAAUUUUCUUUUCCAGCAACCUGAAAUCCAUCUGGCUAAGUCAUGUAGAUUUUCUCUUCCAAAUCACCGUGUAAAAAUGCAGUUUUUACAUCAAGUUGAACUAGUUCAAGAUCAAAUUGUACAACCAUGGCUAGCAAAAUUCGAAUAGACGAGUGUUUUACAACUGGAGAAAAUACCUCAUUGUAGUUUAUUCAUUCCUUCUGAGCGUAACCCUUCGCUACCAAUCUAGCCUUGUAUCGAAUUUCAUUUUUACGAGAAAAUCCUUCAUUUUUUGCAUAUACCCAUUUGCACCCAAUUGCCUUCUUUUCCUUGGGCAGUGUAACUAACUCCCAAGUUUCAUUUUUGUGAAGAGAUUGCAUUUCUUCGUUCAUUGCUUUCUUCCAUUGUAUACUUUCUGGGUUACUUACUGCUUCUCUGUAAGUGGAAGGAACAUCAUCAUUUACAAUAAGAAGUGCAUAAGCCACCAUAUCAACAAAGCGAGCAGGUCUGCGAAUCUCUCUACGUGGCCUUCUAUAUGCAAUUGAAUCUUGUUGUUGUGAAGGUUCCUGGGUCAGAACCUCUUCAUCAUCAUCGGUCAAUGGAGAAUCAUUAUUCGUCUCAUCGACACCAGCUGGAUCAGAUUUAACUUUUUCAAACUCCAUCUGCUGCAAAGUUCUACUGGUCUUCUCAUUCUCUUGAGAAUCGUUUUGUUUCAACAUGGCUGAUUCAUCAAAAGCUACAUCUCUGCUGAAAAUAAUCUUCUUCGUAACAGGACACUAGAGACUGUAUCCUUUUACUCCACCAAUUAUACCCAUAAACAAUGCUUUCUUUGCUCUUGGGUCUAACUUAGAUUCCUUUACAUGAUAAUAAGCAGUGAAACCAAAAACAUGUAAAGAAUCAUAAUCAGUAGCAGGUUUACCAGUCCACAUCUCCAUGGGUGUUCAGCCCUUAAUUAUAAUUAAUGGCAAACGGUUGAUCAGAUGGCAUGCAUAUACAACUGCCUUAGCCCAAAACUCUUUGCUCAAUCCAGUAUUGGACAACAUACACCGAACUUUCUCUAGUAUAGUCUGGUUCAUGCAUUCUGCCACCCCAUUCUGUUGUGGUGUAUCUCGAAUAGUGAAGUGUCGCACAAUACCUUCAUCUUGGCAUAUUUGAAGAAAUGGAUCAUUCUUGUACUCACCACCAUUGUCUGAGCGAAGUCUUUUGACCUUUCGACCAGUCUGAGUCUCGACCAUUUUCUUCCAUUUCAGAAAUAAGCCAAAAACUUCAUUUUUGUUCUUCAUCAAAUACACCCACACUUUUCUUGAAUAAUCAUCAACAAAAGUAACAAAAUAGUGCAUACCUCCCAAAGAAGCUAUUUUGGUAGGUCCUCACACGUCAUUGUGAACAUAGUCCAGAAUCCUUUUUGUGUCGUGAAUUGUUGAACCAAACUUUACCCUUGUCUGCUUGCCCAGAACACAAUGUUCACAAAAUUCUAAUUUGUAAGAAUUUGUACCUUUUAAUAAGCCCUGCUUCACCAAAGUCUGUAAAGCUUUUUCACCAGUAUGUCCCAAACGCAUAUGCCACAACUUGGUUGCUCUGAAUAUGCAUUUUUUCCAGAAACUGUUGAUGCUGAUACAUUAACUGUAUUUCCUUGGAAAUAAUACAAGUUAUUUCUUCUUGUGCCUUUCAUCACCAUCAGCGCCCCAACUACUACCUUCAAUAAUCCAUCUCUCAAAGUGAUUGUGAGCCCUUUAGAUUCUAGGACUCCUAAUGAGAUAAGAUUUUUCUUCAAGCUUGGUACAUAGCGAACGUCUGUCAAGACUUAGAUUGAGCCAUCAUGAUUCUUUAUUGGAUUGUACUUAUUCCCAUGGUUUUACAAGCAUUGUCAUUACCCAUAAAAACAACUCCACCGUCUAGCUCUAUGAAGUUGGAAACCAGCCCUUGUUAGGAUACAUAUAAUAAGUAUAACCCGAAUCCAAAAUCCACUCAUCUGAGUGACAUAUCAAUGUCAUGCCAACCAGACUAAAGUCUGACUCCUCAUCAUGCUCUGCUACACAUGCAACAAAAGUAGCCUUGCCCUUUUGUAACUUAGGACAAUUCUUUUUCCAAUGCCCUUUCUCGCGACAAAAAGCACAUUCAACUUUGGCAGGUCUCCCUUUAGACUUGCUCAUUUUUUCCAGGUUUGCGGCUUUGCGAACGACCUUUCGCUGUCAAUGCUUCUGCAACUGUAUCUCUGUGAUCUUUUUUGUCUUUCUUUUUGGUCUCAGAGUUGUACAAUGCACUGCAUAUAGCAUCGAACGUAACAUUGUCUUUCCCAUGAAGCAAAGUGGUAGUGAGAUGAUCAUAUUCAUCAGGAAGGGAAUUCAACAACAAUAAUGCCUUAUCUUCAUCUUCAAAUUUCUCAUCCAAAUUUAGCAAAUCUGCCAAUAUUUUGUUGAAUGAGUUCACAUGGUCAUUCAUUGACAUGUCAGGUGUAUAUGUGAAUCGAUAGAGUUUAUUCUUCAUAUAAAGCCUAUUUUCAAGACUUUUCAUCAUAUAAUUUUCUUCCAGUGUCUCCCAUAAUUUCUUUGCCGAUGUCUCCCUCAUGACAGAAUAUUUCUGAUCUUUAGCCAGACAUAGGCGAAUAGUACCACAUGCCUGUCUAUUGAUUUGUAUCCAUUCGCUGUCAUCCAUCACGUCAGGCUUUUCUUCAAGAGCAACAUCCAACUCUUGCUGACAUAAGACAUCCAACACCUCACAUUGCCACAUACCAAAAUUAUUGGUACCAUUAAAUUUCUCCACUUUAAACUUUGCAUUAAUCAUAGUAUUCAUCGCUGAUGAAGACGACGACGAUGCCUCUGCCAUCUUUUUCUCUCAAAUGAUCAGUUUCUUCAACAACUAUUUACACUUAAAAAACAGCCUUUAUAAUGUUUAUUUCGCGUGAAUAAAUACAUUAGGAAAGUUCCCAGGAGACCGUUCCCAAUUAAGAACCAGAAUCCUUAGACUCUUAUCGUCUUGUUGACAGAACUUUCCUAGACAUGCAAAAAUACACACUACUUACAAUAGACUGUCUCCCAAGUAUAAAUGGUUGUCUCCAUCGUAUUUGUGAACAGUACCGUAUACAAGAAUAGUACCGUAUACAUGAACAGUACCGUGUCCCCCCAGGUACGAACCGUCGACUCUAAUACCAAUUGUUGCGGAAACGUGGGUUGAGCAAUUACUAAUACUACAACUUCUGGAGAAAUAUAAAUGUGGUGAUAAACAAAUGCAAAGAAAAUAGGACACAAUAAUUUACGUGGUUCAGCGUAAUGCCUACGUCCACGGGCAAAAGCUGGAAGAUAAUUUUACUAACAAAUGAGAAUUUACAAAAGUGGAAAAAACUCACAAAACCCACAACCCCAAUACACCCAAAUCGAACCUCACUAGAACACUCAAGUGGAAGCUCUCACAUAUUCUCUCAAAGAACUCACUUGCAAUUGCUCUCUACUUCUCUCAAAUUUGGGAUCCUUACAAUUGCAAAAUGCUUCUCUAUUUAUAGAGUGCAUUCUGCACCAAGUUGGGUUCAAUUGGUCAAAACGUUGAGCUAGAUCUUGUAUUGCAUGCACAAGCUUUUCAACACCUAACUUUGUCUUUUGAAAAUUAGCAAGCCGACCAACUUUACUUUUUUGAAUUUGGCAAACCCACCAACUUUGCCUUUUGAAAUUUGCAAGCCAUUCUUUGACUUUUCAACAAAAAAGACAUAUUUCAAUGCAUUAAAGACAAAUUACAUUGUAUUGGAGUAUGUGUUUAUUUUAACCUUUUAAAUUGUCUUUAAUUUUAUUAAGCAAGUGAUUCUCUUAUUGUAAAAUUGUUGGGUACACAUACAAAUAUCCCAAAGUUCUUAAGGAAAAAUGUAAGUUCACAAUGAAAUUUAGCUUUUUUCUUAAAUUAAGGAUGAAAGUUGUAUAUUCACCUAAAUGGUGAAAUCCAGUAUUUUUUCUUUUCUUCCUCACCCCCCCGGGCCGCAAAUUAAAGAUGAAAUCAAUCUCAGCUCGUCAUUUAAUUAUAAAUUCACUUUGCUUUAUUUUAGUCUUUUUCGUUCUAGGAUUUUGAAGUUUUUCGACCGACUGGAGUACCGUACUGCUGUCAAAAGAUUUGGCUACAGCAUCUAGAAGCUGCAUCUAGAAGUUUUGAAGAAACAAAAUGAGUAGCACACGGCUUUGAAGUUCUAGAUGCCGAAAUACUUGAAGAGGAAAAUGGAAAAAGAAGAAGUUUGAAGAAGAAAAUGAGGAACGCGAUUUUGACAAGAGAAAAAAAAAUUAUUAUUUUAAUAGCCAAUUUUGGCUAUAAAAAGGGGAGUUCCCCAUCGGCUUAGUGUAUUCUAUUCUUUAAGUUUUUCUUCUCUAUUUUGUAAAGAGAAAGAGAAAGUGAGAGUAUUUUAAGAGUUUUAAUAAACUCUUAAGUAAUUAGUGAGUGAGAGAUUGGGUGUAUUGGGGUUCUGGGUAGUGAGCCAAAAUAUUACAAUACUUGUAAUCCUCAUAUCACUAGUGAAAUAUUUUCCUUCUGUUUUCGCCCAUGGACGCAGGCUAAAAGCCGAACCACGUAAUUUUCUAGUGUCCCUUUUUAUGCUUGUUCUUUAUUUUCUUCCAAUUUCACUUUACCUGCGGCUCUGCUUCACCCACUAAUUUCCUAACAGUGGUAUCAAAGCUAUUGGUUGUAUUUUUGGAGUCGGUUACUAUUCACAUAAGGGGUACUAUUUACGCAUACAGUACUGUUUACGUAUAUGAUACUAUUCAUGUAUACGACACUGUUCACUUGUACGGUAUUGUUCAUAUAUACGGUACUGUUCACGAGAAACGAUGAGAGCGAUCCAAGAAUUUUACAGUGCAAAGUAGGGAAUAGUGGUGUGAGUAAAGCAACUGUGUGGUUUUGUACUUGUCUAGGAAAGUUUUGUCACAAAGGCGAUAAUAGCUUAAGGAGUCUGGGUUUUAAGUGGGACCAUUGUGACCCCUCUAGUCUUUCCUGAAAACUUUCUUGGUGUGCAUUCUCACACAUACUCACAACUAUUCAGGGUGGUACACUAGUUUGUGUGUGGUAUUUAUCAACAAAAUGGCGGCAAAGUAUGAAAUUGAGAAGUUCAAUAGGAAUAAUUUUUCGUUGUGGAAAAUGAAGAUGAAAGCUGUAUUGAGGAAAAAUAAUUGCUUGGCAGCAAUUGGAGAAAGGCCUAUGGAGAUAACUGAUGACAAGUGGAACGAGAUAGAUGGUAACACCAUUUCUGAUCUACACUUGGCACUUACGGAUGGAGUAUUAUCCAAUGUGGCUGAGAAAAAUACAGCGAAGGAAAUAUGGGAUACUCUCACAAAAUUGUACGAGGUCAAAUCACUGUUAGCCUAUAUGGCUAUAUAUAUUGAUUUUGAUGAUAACAAACCACAUGUAUUUAUUAAGUAAAGAUUUAUGAAUUGUGCUUUUAUAAUAAGAAAAUGAUGUUAUGGAAUUAAAGUAUUUUGGACUAAAAUGAAAGUAAUUUCAAAAUCUUUGAUAAUGUUUUAAAUUUCAGAUUUGGACCUAUUUGAAACUAUUUAAAUAUUUUUGGGUCAUUUUAUAAUUUCACAAAGUUUGGGCGAAAUCAUAAUUUCAAAAAGUUUUGGGAUUAAUGAAGCAUUACUUAGAAAUUCUGAAAUUGGACCUAUUUGCAAAGUUUCAUAACGUUUUGGGUCAUACUACUGUUUUAUAAAGUUUUAGGGUCAAACUGAAAAUUUAAGAAAAAUUUCACUGUAGCAGGUUACUGUAGCAUCCGACUUACCGGUUAUAAAAAUCAGAAAACCGGAUUCGGGGUAGAAUGUAUCCAGAAUGAAAACGGCUUACCGGAUUCCGAAUCCGGCAAGCCGGUUAGGCAAAAUUUUGAAUUUUGCCUUAACGGUAACAUAAAUCCAGCUUACCGGAUUCCAUAAACGGCAAACCGGAUAUGCCUGAAAUGUGAGUAACGGCUAGUUUUCGAGCUCAAACUAUAAGAACUCAAAUCCAACUCAUUUUGAAGCUCUCCAACAAGCAAAAACAAAAAGCACACGUGAUAUCUUGAGCUUACAACUUGCAAAACACAAAACAUUGAAUCAUUCAUUGUUCUUCAUCUUUGAAUAUCUACUCAUUGAGUGAGUUUGAUUGUAACUUUCAUUUCUUCAUUUCAUUUGUAAGAGUUUGAGUGUGUGAGACACUUGAGUGAAGAGAUUGGGAGAUAAUCUCUUUGUUGUAAAGGUUUAUUAACACCUCGAAAUCAAUUGUAAUCGGUUGAAGCCUCGGAAAGGCUUGGAUAGUGAAAUUCUCAAGCUUGGAUUGCUUGGAGGCGUGGACGUAGGCGGGGAUUGCCGAACCACGUAAAAAUUCGUGUGUUUGUUUCUCUUCUCCCUUACUCUUUAAUUAUUGUGCCUUUAUUAAACUUAUUGCUUUCAAUUUUUAUUAAGGCAUUAGAUUGCUUGUUGUGUGGAUUUGCUAGGUUAAUUUUUAAAUUUCCAAUUCACCCCCCUCUUGGGUUGCACACUUAUAUUUCAUUUGGUAUCAGAGCGAGGUGCUCUUGUUUAGAUUUAACCAUCUAGAGUUAAAGAUCAAUGGCAACUCAAAAUGAUUCCACAUUUAGGGAAGGGUAGUCCACCACUAGACCACCUUACUUUGAUGGAAACGAUUACCCAUAUUGGAAAACUAGGAUGAGAAUUUACUUGCAAGCCUUAGAUUAUGAGAUUUGGGAAAUCGUUAAUGAUGGUCCAUUCAUGCCUUGGACUAAAAAUGAAGUAGGAGAAGAUAUUCCAAAACCUUCACGGGAUUGGAAUGAAUUCGAAAAUAGAAAAGCUUCUCUAAAUUCCAAGAUCAUGAAUGCCUUGUUUUGUGCACUAGAUAAGAAAGAGUUUCAUAGAGUGUCUAGUUGCGAAAGUGCUAAUGAAAUUUGGCACAAACUUGAGGUUGUCUAUGAAGGCACGAACCAAGUGAAAGAAUCUAAAAUAAGUAGGUACACUCGACAAUAUGAAUUGUUCCAAAUGGAACAAAAUGAAAAUGUGUACUCUAUGUAUACUAGAUUCACGGACAUAGUGAACACUCUAGGAGCCCUAGGAAAGACUUUCUCAAAUAGCGAAAAAGUCAAGAAAAUCAUUAGGUCUCUACCUAAGGAAUGGAGACCAAAAAGGACUGCCAUUGAGGAAGCCAAUGAUUUAAAUGUAUUACCUAUUGAUGAUUUAAUUGGCUCUCUCAUUUCAUAUGAAGAAGAUUUAGCAGCUGAAAAAGGGCAUGAGGAAAAGAAGAAAAACAUUGCUCUCAAGGCUUCAAAACGUGAGAGUGAUGAGGAAAGCGAAAUGGAUGAUGAGGAGUUAGCUAUGUUGGUUAGAAGAUUCAGAAAAUUUUACAAGAAGAAUAAUGAGCAGAGAAAGUUCAGAGGCUACAAGAAUAAGAAGGAGAAGAAGGAGCCAAUCACUUGUUAUGAAUGCAAGAAGCCCGGACACAUACGACCGGAAUGUCCUCUUCUCAACAAACUCAAGAAGAAAGCUAUGGUGGCCACAUGGGAUGAUAGCGAUGAGGAAACAAGUGAUGAGGAUGAGCAACAAGAAAUGACAAACUUAGCUCUCAUGGCCGUUGGGGAAGAAUCAUGUGAUGAACUUGAUGAGGUAAGUGUUCUUCUUACAUAUGAUGAAUUGCAUUAUGCUUUUAAGGAUUUGCAUGAUAAGCUAAUGAAGAUUGGUAAAAAGAAUAUAUGUCUUAAAAAGAAGAUGAUAGAGCUUAAGAAUGAAAAUGAUUCAUUUAGUGCAAAGAUCACAUGCCUAGAAUUAGAAAAUAAAACAUUGCAUGAUAGUAUUGCAUUAUUUGAGAAUUCUAGCACUUCACAUGAGCACUUAGAGUCACACAUGAAUGACUUGAAAAAUGAAAAUGAAAUGCUUAGAAAGAAGAGCAAUGAACUAAAUGAAAUUGUGCUAAAAUUCACAAAUGGGCAAAAGAUGUUGGACAACUUGCUAAACUUACAAAAAUGUGUAUUUGACAAAAGUGGCAUAGGUUAUAAACCAAAUUUGAAACAAAAAUUUUACAAGAGUUAUUUUGUGAAGAAUACAUCUAUUAACAAUCAAAUUGUAUGUCAUUAUUGCAAUCAAGAUGGUCAUAUGAAAAAUAGAUGUGCAGUGAAGAGAAAUGCAUAUUAUGGUGUGAAAUGUGUUUGGGUUCCGAAAGGAACCAUUGCUAACUCUCAAGGACCAAAAAAGGUUUGGGUACCUAAAACUUGAGAUUUUUUCUAUAGGGCUCAAAGAAGAAGAAGAAUAAGUGGUACUUGGACAUCGGUUGUUCAAGACACAUGACAGGGAAUUAUUCUUGGUUUUCAAGCUUUACCAAGAUCGAAAAUGGUAGAGAUGUAUCGUUUGGGGAUAAUUCAAAAGGAAAAAUCAUUGGAAUUGGAAAUGUCGGUAAUGUAUCCUCUACUCUCAUUGAGAAUGUGUGUUUGGUUGAAAACUUGAAACAAAAUUUGCUUAGUAUUAGUCAAUUAUGUGAUAAAGGAUAUAGAGUUAUCUUUGAUGAAUCAAAAUGUGUUAUUGAGAAUGCAUGUGAUGGGAAAGUCUUGUUUGUAGGAAAUAGAUGUGUUAAUGUCUAUACCAUUAAUAUAUAUUGUGCAUCUAUACAUGAAAAAUGUCUCUCCGCAUUGCAUGAUGAUGGUUGGUUAUGGCAUAGAAGAUUAGGUCAUGCAAGCAUGGAUUUGAUUUCAAAAAUCGUGAAAAAUGAUUUAGUUAAAGGUCUUCCAAAAAUCAGUUUUCAAAAAGAUAGAAUUUGUGAAGCAUGCCAAUUUGGAAAACAAAUCAAAACUUCCUUCAAAAGCAAGAAUCAUGUCUCUACUUCAAAACCACUUCAAUUGCUUCAUAUAGAUUUGUUUGGACCUUCUAGAUAUGCUAGUUUAAGUGGCAAAUAUUGUGCAUUUGUAAUUGUGGAUGAUUAUUCUAGAUACACAUGGGUAUUGUUCUUAGCGAAUAAGGAUGAAGCCAUUGAUGCAUUUCGAAUUUUCUAUAAAAAGGUUCAAAAUGAAAAAGGUUAUUCUAUUACUUGUAUUAGAAGUGAUCAUGGUGGAGAAUUUGAAAAUCAUGCAUUUGAAAAUUUUUGUAAUAACUUUGGCAUUGAACAUCAAUUUUCAUCACCUAGGACUCCACAACAAAAUGGAGUAGUAGAGAGAAAGGAUAGGUCUAUUCAAGAAAUGGCUAGGACCAUGUUGAAUGAAAACUCUUUGCCUAAGUAUUUUUGGGCCGAAGCCGUCAACACCGCUUGUUAUGUUUUAAAUCGGGUGUUGAUUAGACCUAAUCUUAAUAAAACUCCAUAUGAGCUUUGGAAAGAUAGAAAACCCAACAUUGGUUAUUUUAAAGUUUUUGGAUGCAAAUGUUUUGUUUUGAACACAAAAGAUAAUCUUGGUAAAUUUGAUCUAAAAUCUGAUGUUGAUAUCUUUCUUGGUUAUUCAAAUUCAAGCAAAGAUUAUAGAGUUUAUAAUAAAAGAACUUUAGUUGUGGAAGAAUCUAUGCAUGUUACAUUUGAUGAGACUAACCCCUCCUAUACGGAGAAAGUCAUUGUUGAUGAUAAUGCAGAAGAAGAACAACAAGAAGAAGCAUCAAAUGACAACCAAGAAGACGCACCACCUGGAAUUCAAGAGGAACAUCAUGAAGAACCAAAUGCAGAGCAAAAUGAAGGUACUUCACAAACACUCCCCAAGGAGUGGAGGUAUGUAUCCUCUCACCCUAAAGAUGUAAUUUUAGGGGAUCCCUCACGAGGUGUUACCACUAGAUCAUCUCUUAGGAACACAUGUGAGCAUGCUGCAUUUAUUUCUCAAAUUGAACCAAAAUCCUUUGCGGAUUCGGAAAAUGAUGAAUCUUGGAUUAUGGCAGUGCAAGAGGAGUUGAAUCAAUUUGAGAGAAACAAUAUGUGGGAGUUAGUUCCUAAUCCGGAACAUCAAUCCAUUAUAGGUACUAAAUGGGUAUUUAGAAACAAAAUGGAUGAAUCCGGUGUGGUUGUAAGAAAUAAAGCUAGAUUAGUGGCUCAAGGUUACAACCAAGAAGAAGGAAUUGAUUUUGAUGAAACUUUUGCACUUGUAGCAAGGUUAGAAUCCAUUAGGAUGUUGUUAGCAUAUGCAUGUCAUAAGGAUUUUAUUUUAUAUCAAAUGGAUGUCAAGAGUGCUUUCUUAAAUGGAUAUAUUAUGGAGGAAGUUUAUAUGAAACAACCUCCUGGUUUUGAAAAUGAAAAAUUUCUAGAUCAUGUGUAUAAGUUAUCCAAGGCUUUGUAUGGUUUAAAACAAGCACCUAGAGCUUGGUAUGAUAGACUUAAAAAUUUCUUGUUGGAUAACGAUUUUUCAAUGGGAAAAGCGGACACAACUCUUUUUGUUAAGCAUAAGAACCAAGACAUACUUAUUGUUCAAAUAUAUGUUGAUGCUAUUAUUUUUUGUUCUACUAAUGAGUUGUUGUGUAAAGAUUUUUCAUCAUGUAUGAGCCAAGAGUUUGAGAUGAGUAUGAUGGGAGAGUUGAAGUACUUCCUUGGACUUCAAAUCAAACAAAACGAGGAAGGAAUUUUCAUAAAUCAAGUUAAGUACGUGAGAGAUCUACUCAAAAGAUUUGGCUAUGAAAAUGGAACGGCAAAAAGCACUCCUAUGAGUACUAUCAUCAAGCUGGACAAAGAUGAGAAAGGUAAGGAAGUUGAUAUCAAGACAUAUCGAGGUAUGAUCGGAUCUUUACUCUACUUGACUGCUAGUAGGCCUGAUAUUAUGUUUAGUGUAUGCUUGUGUGCUAGAUUUCAAUCUUGUCCUAAAGAGUCUCAUAUGCUUGCUGUCAAACGCAUUUUUCGAUAUUUAAUUGGCACCAUUAAUCUUGGCCUUUGGUAUCCUAGAGGAACUCAUAUUGAUUUAACUUGUUAUUCGGAUGCCGAUUUUGCUGGGUAUAAGGUUGAUAGAAAAAGUACUAGUGGAACAUGUCACUUCCUAGGCCAUUCUCUUGUCUCUUGGUUUAGUAAGAAACAAAACUCGGUUGCGCUUUCAACCACCGAGGCAGAAUAUAUUGCCGCAGGUAGUUGUUGUGCACAAAUUCUUUGGAUGAAACAGACCCUUAGAGACUAUGGUAUUAAGCUUGAUCAAAUACCUAUCUUAUGUGACAAUACUAGUGCUAUUAAUCUUUCCAAGAAUCCCAUUCAACAUUCUAGGACUAAACAUAUAGAAAUUAGACAUCAUUUCUUUAGAGAUCAUGUUCAAAAAAGAGAUGUUGUGAUUAAAUUUGUUUCCACUGAAAAUCAACUUGCGGAUAUCUUUACAAAACCUCUUAGCGAAGAGCAUUUUAUAAAGAUAAGACAUGAGCUUGGAAUGAUGAAUGUUGAAUCUUAAUUCAUGUUUCUCUACAUGGCUUGAUAUGUUUGUUAUCAUAUGGAUUUAUGCUUCAUGGAUUAGAUAGCAUGAUAUGCUUGUAAAUUUAUGAUUUUAUGAUUUUGUGUUUCAUGCAUUAAAUGGCGUAUUGAAAAGUUUUAAAUCUCAAAAUGAUUUAAAAUUAAUCAAUUUUUUAAGGCCGGAAAUUAAAUGGUGUGUGUAGUACAAGUAUAAGAGCUAGCAAAUAUUCCCUUUUCAUUCUUCCGAAAAAAAAUGUUUCUUCUUAUUGUUUCUCUCUCUCGGGACAAAUUCCGGACAACCGGAUUUGCUAAGCUUUAUCUCUGCCUCAUAACUGGUCUACCGGUUAUCAAAAACGGAUAGCCGAAUUCGCAUGCAUGCUUGCUGGAACAAAACCGAAUUUCUGGUUCAAGACAUCCGGAAAACCGAAUUGUUUUUGAAAGUUCUCAAAACCGGCCAGCCGGUUAAGGAAACCGGCAAGCCGAAAUCGCGAUGGUUACUCUCGGGUUUAUUUUCGGCAAACCGAAUAUGCAAUCCGGCAGGCCGUUUUCUUGUGUCUUGAUUCUGUCCAUUAACCGGCUUGCCGGUUAGCAAAUCCGGCAAGCCGGAUUCGUGAUCUUUUAAGCACUAUUCAUCUUCCUUAAGCAUUCGGCAUACCGUUUCUUGUUCUCUCACUAGAAGCCAUUUUUCUCCUCUCUUGAUUUCACUCCAAAAUCCAUCUUUUUCUUCCAUUUUCACAUCAAAUUGAAUCAAGAAAAUCAUUCCCCAUCUCAUUAAGAACACAAAACCAUCCUUGAAACCCUUUUUCAACAUCUAAAUCCUUAGAUCCCAAUUUCAACCUAGGGUUUAUCCGAAUUCUUCUCUCUCUAGAUUUCUCACUCUCAAGCCAUUUUUGAUCCAAAUUGUUUCUCCAAAUCACUUUCCAUCUUCAUCAUCUUCAUUCUCUUUAUCCUUUUCAACCCCAAAUCAAUCAAAUCACAAUGUCAAGUUCUCGGCCAGUUCGAAGAAAAGGCAAAGAACCGGUUCAACCAUCCACACGGCCACGGGAAGCAAGGGGCACCUCCAGUCAAUCCACCUUUGAGUCCAUUCAUUUUCAGAACAAGCAACACUUGAUCAAAAGGUUCCAACAAAACUUUCGGACUCGUGAGGUACUCAACACUUUCUUUGUUUCACCGGAUGUUUUGCAUACUCUCCAGAUUAGUCAUAGAUCUUUAUUUCAAUUGUUGGGAGAUGUUGGUUGGAUUGAUGCAUUGUUGAUUGAAGAGAAUGUGUAUCCCGACUUGGUGAAAGUAUUUUACUCGAAUAUGGAUUGUUCCGCGGAGAAAGAGAAUCGAGUAAUCACCAUAGUUGGAGGAGUUUUGAUUGAAUUUGAUGAUUUGGACUUGAACUCUAUCCUAGGAUCUUCCGAUGAUGGCCUGGACAUUUUUUCUCUUAGGAAACCUCCUGAAAUUGAUGACUAUGUUCAUGUUGAUGCCGUUCGUAAUAUAUGUCGGUGUAAUGAUCUUUCUGUUGAAGACUGUACCAUUCAUUUCUGUACUCAGUGUCUUUGUCUUCAAACUCGUUUGUUGCUUCGUAUCAUCCAGUCUAUUGUACUUCCUAGAUCAGGACAUUUGGAUGAGGUUUCUCACAUGGAUGUCGCCAUGAUUGACUAUAUUCUUAGAGGUUGCCCGGUUGACUUGGGCUAUUCCAUCGUUCACACCAUGUUGAGCAUUCCAGCCUUGAUUACCCGCUCUCUUCCUUAUGGUCAUUUCAUUACCCGAAUUCUUAAAUUCUUUGAAGUGCCGCUUCUAGAACCAUCUUGUAGGCCGUCCAAGGGUAUUGGGGAUGAGGUUAUUGUUGGGUUAGGCUUUGAGUGGAAGGAUGGCACUUGGGUUAAAUACAGCGAUAACAAGUUUACCUUUCUAGCCCCAAGUGAUGAUCGGCCACUAAAUGCUGUGAUUCCAGCUGAUCAGCUUCCAGUAUUCUUACUCUCAUUUCGAGGGCAGCGUAGACGCCGAGUUUCUUCCACGGUUGCUUCAGCUCCUAGUGCAUCUGCAUCCGUUUCAUCACCUCCACGGCCUCCUACCUCUGGAGAUGUUACUCUUCAGCAGCUUAUGGAUGAGGUGCAGACACUUUCGGUGCGGCAGACUGAGCUUCAGCAGGAGCAGCAGCAGCAACGGCAGCUGCAGCAGCAGCUCAUUCAUGGACAGCGCCUUCUCUUCGAGCACUUCGGCAUUCCAUAUCUGUUUCCACCUCCUUCACCUCCAUCCUCACCACCUGAGUAGUAUCUCAUGCUUGUACUUAGACACACCUACAUUUCAUUUACUGCAUUGUGUGUUCUUUUAUUUUUGACUCUAUGGAUGGUUAUUGUGCUUUUCAGUUUAUGUAUUUGUUUUGGAUGAUAUGGAUUUGUUAUGACUAUCUAUGUUGGCUGAUAUGGAUUUGUUUUGGUUGAUCAUUAUGGAUUAUAUGGAUUUCUUUACGCUUAUGGAUUUUUUUUUACUAAUGUGCUUGUGUUGCUAUUUUGAUGAUUGAUAGGGGGAGCUUUUAUUCUUUUUGAUGAUGAAGGGGGAGAAUGAUUUAAUAUGUGUUAUGAAAAUAUGCAUGUAUCUAGGGGGAGCAUGUAUGCAAGGGGAGUUUUUGUUAAAUAAUUUUCAAAUAAUUUUUUAACUUGCAUUGAUUAAGGGGGAGCUUUUUCAUAACAAGAUUAAAGUUUUUAAUGUGUUUUGUCAUCAUCAAAAAGGGGGAGAUUAUUAGCCUAUAUGGCUAUAAAUAUUGAUUUUGAUGAUAACAAAUCACAUGUAUUUAUUAAGUAAAGAUUUAUGAAUUGUGCUUUUAUAAUAAGAAAAUGAUGUUAUGGAAUUAAAGUAUUUUGGACUAAAAUAAAAGUAAUUUCAAAAUCUUUGCUAGUGUUUUAAAUUUCGGAUUUGGACCUAUUUGAAACUAUUUAAAUGUUUUUGGGUCAUUUUAUAAUUUCACAAAGUUUGGGCAAAAUCAUAAUUUCAAAAAGUUUUGGGAUUAACGAAGCAUUACUUAGAAAUUCUGAAAUUGGACCUAUUUGCAAAGUUUCAUAACAUUUUGGGCCAUACUACUGUUUUAUAAAGUUUUGGGGUCAAAUUAAAAAUUUAAGAAAAAUUUCACUGUAGCAGGUUACUGUAGCAUCCGGCUUACCGGUUAUAAAAACCAAAAAAUUGGAUUCGGGGCAGAAUGUAUCCAGAACGAAAACGGCUUACCGGAUUCCGAAUCCGGCAAGCCGGUUAGGCAAAAUUUUGAAUUUUGCCUUAACGGUAACAUAAAUCCGGCUUACCGGAUUCCAUAAACGGCAAACCGGAUACGCCUGGAAUGUGCGUAACGGCUAGUUUUCGAGCUCAAACUAUAAGAACUCAAAUCCAACUCAUUUUGAAGCUCUCCAACAAGCAAAAACAAAAAGCGCACGUGAUAUCUUGAGCUUACAACUUGCAAAACACAAAACAUUGAAUCAUUCAUUGUUCUUCAUCUUUGAAUAUCUACUCAUUGAGUGAGUUUGAUUGUAACUUUCAUUUCUUCAUUUCAUUUGUAAGAGUUUGAGUGUGUGAGACACUUGAGUGAAGAGAUUGGGAGAUAAUCUCUUUGUUGUAAAGGUUUAUUGACACCUCGAAGUCAAUUGUAAUCGGUUGAAGCCUCGGAAAGGCUUGGAUAGUGAAAUCCUCAAGCUUGGAUUGCUUGGAGGCGUGGACGUAGGCGGGGAUUGCCGAACCACGUAAAAAUUCGUGUGUUUGUUUCUCUUCUCCCUUACUCUUUAAUUAUUGUGCCUUUAUUAAACUUAUUGCUUUCAAUUUUUAUUAAGGCAUUAGAUUGCUUGUUAUGUGGAUUUGCUAGGUUAAUUUUUAAAUUUCCAAUUCACCCCCCCCUCUUGGGUUGCACACUUAUAUUUCAAUCACUACACAACAAAAUCUUCUUGAAGAGAAAACUCUAUACUCUUCGAAUGGCAGAAUCUACAAUGGUGACCGACCAUAUCAACACCUUGAAGACUCUAGUUUCACAACUCACAACGUUAGGUUAUAAUAUAGAGGAAAAUAAACGUGCAGAGCUUCUACUUCAAAGUCUACCAGAUUCGUAUGAUCAACUCAUCAUCAAUCUAACAAACAACAAUCUAGCGGACAAUCUAAUUUUCGACGAUGUUGCAACCUCCGUAUUAAAUGAAGAGAGCAGGUGGAAAAAUAAGGAAAACAGACAAGCAAGUUCGCAGCAAGUGGAGGCACUAUCGAUGAUGAGAGGGAGAUCAACGGAACGUGGCCCCAGUGGGAGUCAUAAUAAUGAUAGAUCAAAAUCCAGAAGUAAGAAGAAUGUUAAAUGCUACAACUGUGGCAAGAAAAGGCACGUCAAGAAAGAGUGUUGGAGUAACCAGAAGAGAAAAGAUGGCAAAGAACCUGAGUAAUCAAAUGCUCAGGGGUGUGUAGCAAGUACCUCGGAUGAUGGCGAAAUUCUUUACAGCGAGGCAAUAACUGUUUUAGAAGGCAGAAAACGAUUAUCUGAUGUCUGGCUUAUAGACUCAGGAGCUACCUGGCACAUGACCUCUCGGAGAGAAUGGUUCCACACAUAUGAACCUAUCUGAGGAGGAUCUGUAUAUAUGGAUAACGAUCAUGCCUUGGAGAUCGUUGGUAUUGGUACUAUCAAAAUAAAAAUAUUUGAUGGUACAAUUCGUACAAUUGGGGAGGUACGACAUGUCAAUGGCCUGAAGAAAAAUUUAUUGUCUUUGGGACAAAUGGAAUGGGUACAAAACUCAUGUCGAGAAUGAAAUUAUGAAGAUCUUUAAAGGCGCGCUUGUAUUGAUGAAGGCAGAAAAAAUCGAUGCUAAUCUAUUUAUGCUUAAAGGAAAAACACUACAGGAGGCUGAUGCAUGUGUCGUGUCAAAUGGAGAAAAAUCAACGAUGAUGUGGCACCUCAAACUUGGCCACAUGUUAGAACAAGGUUUGAAGAUUCUCUCUUAGCGAAAAUUGCUUCCAGGGCUCAAAUCGGUAAGUUUACAAUUUUGCGAGCAUUGUGUUACAAGUAAGCAACAUAGAUUAAAAUUCAGUAUAUCUAUUGCUAGAAGUAAAUGCAUUCUAGACUUGAUUCAUUAUGAUGUUUGGGAAUCACCAGAUAUGUCAAUGGGAGAUGCAAAGUACAUGGUGACUUUCAUUGAUGAUUAUUCCAGGAGAUGUUGGGUGUAUCCAAUUAAGAAAAAGUCAGAUGUAUUUCCAGUGUUUAAAGAAUACAAACGCAGGUGGAACUUGAAUUAAAAAAAACGAUCAAGUGCUUAAGGACGGAUAAUUGUGGAGAGUAUACAGACGGUGAGUUUCUUGCUUUUUGUAAGCAAAAAGGUAUUCAGAGGCAGUUCACGGUGGCAUAUACUUCUCAACAAAAGGGAGUGGCAGAGCGGAUGAACAAGAUUCUUACAGAACGAAUAAGAGCUAUGUUGAGGACUGCGGGUCUACCUAAUUCAUUAUGGGCAGAAGCAGCUAAAACUGCUUGUUAUAUAGUAAAUCGGUCGCCAUCUACAGCUAUUGGGCUAAAGACAGCGAUGGAAAUGUGGACUGGAAAUCCAGCUGAUUACUCAUACCUACAUGCAUUUGGAUGUCUCGUGUACGUGAUGUACAAUGCUCAAGAAAGAGCAAAGUUGAAUCCAAAAUUUAGAAGAUGUAUCUUCUUGGGAUAUGUUGAUGGAGUAAAGAGGUAUCGUCUGUGGGACCCCACUACCCACAAUAUCGUCAUCAGCAGAGAUGUUAUAUUUGUAGAAGAUCAACUGCAAAUGAGAGAUAAGGAUGAUAACACUGUAAAAGAAAAGUCAGAGACUGUGCCGGUAUAUGUGAAAAAUAAUUCAGAAGAUUCAGAUUCUUCUGAAGCAGCACUAGAGCACGAGGAACAAGAACCAGUCAAGUCCGAGGCUCCAGAAGUUUGUCGAUCAACUCGUGAGAGACGACUGCAAGUGUGGCACUCGGAGUAUGUCACAGAGAUCAAUGUUGCAUACUGUCUUCUAACAGAGGAUGGAGAGCCUUCAACUUUCCAUAAAGCUUUAAACAGCUUAAAUGUUACUUUGUGGAUGACAGCAAUGCAGGAAGAAAUUGAGGCUCUACACAAGAAUAAGACAUGGGAACUUGUACUACUACCACGUGGAAGAAAAGCUAUUGGAAAUAAAUGGGUCUAUAAGAUCAAACGUGAUGGCAAUGACCAAGUGGAACGGUAUCGUGCAAGAUUGGUGGUGAAAGAAUAUGCUUAGAAAGAAGGUAUUGACUUCAACAAAAUAUUUUCUCCGGUAGUUCGACUCACAACAGUCAGAGUAGUCUAGGCAAUGUGUGCUACAUUUGACCUACAUUUAGAGCAGUUAGAUGUGAAAACUGCAUUUCUUCAUGGAGAACUUGAAGAAGAAAUUUAUAUGCUCCAACCAGAAGGUUUUGCAGAAAUAGGAAAGGAGAACUUGGUUUGCAGGUUGAACAAAUCUCUGUAUGGUCUCAAACAUGCACCGAUGUGUUAGUAUAAGAGAUUUGAUUCCUUCAUCAUGAGGCUUGGAUACAACAGACUCAGUUCAGACCAUUGUGCAUAUUACAAGAGGUUUGAAGAUAAUGAUUUCAUUAUUUUGCUGUUGUAUGUGGAUGCAUGUUGGUAGCAGACCCCAACAAAGAUCGAAUCUAAUAAUUGAAGGCAUAAUUGGCUAGAGAGCUUGAAAUGAAGUAUUUGGGACCAGCAAACAAGAUUUUAGGGAUGCAAAUUCACCGAGACAUAAAUAACAGGAAGAUUUGACUUUCACAGAAGAAUUACUUGAAGAAAAUCUUACGGCGCUUCAACAUGCAAGAUUGUAAGUCAAUUUCUACCCCACUUCUUGUUAAUUUCAAGUUAUCCUCAAGUAUGUGUCCUAGCAAUGAAGCAGAGAGGAAGGGAAUGUCUCAAGUACCGUAUGCAUCAGCAGUGAGAAGUUUGAUGUUCGCUAUGAUAUGUACUAGGCUAGACAUUGCACAAGCAGUGGGAGCAGUUAGUCGAUACAUGACGAAUCCUGGUGGAGAGCAUUGGAUAGCUCUGAAGAGGAUUCUGAGAUACAUAAGAGGAACCUCAGAUGUUGCAUUAUGUUAUGGAGAAUCAGAGUUUACUGCCAGGGGCUAUGUGGAUUCAGAUUUUGCAGGAGACCUUGAUAAAAGAAAAUCCACUACUGGCUAUGUGUUUACACUUACGGGAGCAGCUGUAAGCUGGAUUUCAAAACUACAUAUCGUUGUGGCUCUAUCUACAACAGAAGCAUAAUACAUGGCAGCUACACAAGCUUGCAAGGAAGCUAUUUGGAUACAAAGGUUAUUGGAGGAGCUCGAGCAUAAACAACAGAAAAUUCCUGUGUUUUGUGGUAGUCAGAGUGUCUUGCAUAUUGCAAGGAAUCCAGCCUUUCAUUCCAGGACAACGCACAUAGGGGUUCAGUAUCACUUCGUUCGCGAAGUAGUGGGAGACGGAAGUGUGGAUUUACAGAAAAUCCAUACGAAGGAGAACCUAGCAGAUGUUUUGACCAAGCCGAUCAAUGCUGACAAGUUUAUCUGGAGUAGAUCCUCUUGUGGCCUAGCAGAAACGUAGGCAACAUGACAAUGGCGAAGCAGAAAGGAUGAUGUGGAGAUUGAUUAAUUCUCAAUCAAAUCUCCAAGUGGGAGAAUGUAAAAAGAUUUGGCUGCAGCAUCUAGAAGCAGCAUCUAGAAGUUUUGAAGAAGCAAAAUGGGGGGCACACGACUUUGAAGUUCUAGAUACCGAAAUGCUUGAAGAGGAAAAUAUAAAAAGAAGAAGUUUGAAUAAGAAAAGGAGGAACACGGUUUUGACAAGAGAAAAAAAAUUAUUAUUUUAAUAGCCAAUUUUGGCUAUAAAAAGGGGAGUUCCCCAUCGCCUUAGUGUAUUCCAUUCUUUAAGUUUCUCUUCUCUAUUUUGUAAAGAGAGAGAAAGUGAGAGUAUUUUAAGAGUUUUAAUAAACUCUUAAGUAAUUAGUGAAUGAGAGGUUGGGUGUAUUAGGGUUCUGGGUAGUGAGCCAAAAUAUUACAAUAUUUAUAAUCCUCAUAUCACUAGUGAAAUAUUUUUCUUCUGUUUUCGCCCGUGGACGCAGGCUAAAAGCCGAACAACGUAAUUUUCUGGUGUCCCUUUUUAUGCUUGUUAUUUAUUUUCUUCCAAUUUCACUUUACCUGCGGCUCUGUUUCACCCACCAAUUUCUUAACAACUGCAACAUGGUAUUCAAAUCAAUUAAUCUGCCCCCGCAGCUCCACGUGCCGCGAGUACAUGGCUUAACUUGACAUAUAAUUGUUGUUACUUACGGCUGGUGUAACAUUGCAGGACCCUUAAUUAAAAGAUUACGGAUUAACAGUUGUUGAAUGUUGAUGUUGAAUUUCCACAUCGAUAUUGGAAUUUAAAAGAAAUGAAUUUUAUGUAGCUAUAUUGCCUGUAGGGGAAGACAUAAUAAAUUAAUUGAUAUUGCCAGCAAAUUAUUAAUUCGUAUCCAAGUACAGGGAUAGCUAUCGGAAUUAAUUAAGAUUAAUUGGUCAUCUUUCCGAAUUUUUAAUCCAUUCCCAUGUGAACCGAAAACAUGUUAAUUAAUGGAAAUCAAAUAUUUAAAAAAAUAGUAAUUAACUAAUAAUUUAUAACUGUCAAAUUAAUUAAUAGUUUAUCUACAAUUAUUUUGUUUAUUUUUAUUAUUAGCCAAUAAUUUAUAACUAUCAAAAUAAUUGUAGAUAAUCUAAUAAUUAAUUUGAUAGUUAUAAAUUAUUAGCUAAAUUAUUAUUAUUAUUAUUAUUAUUAUUAUUAUUAUUAUUAUUAUUUGAUUUCCAUUAAUUAAUAUGUUUUCGGUUCACAUGGGAAUGGAUUAAAAAUUCGGAAAGAUGAUCAAUUAAUUGGAGAGAGCAACCCUCCACAUCAACCCCUCUAUUCUCUUAUAAGCAAUUGGAACGAAACAUCUGUGAUGCUCCAAACACUACUCAUAUGUUCCAUCUGUUGUUGCUAAUUAAGACCUAGUCGAGGCUUGGUAUAUGUACAACUUUAAACUUUGUAAAUUAAUUUAAAGGUUAUAACUAUAAAAGUAAGAUAGGAGAAUAACUUAAUUAACAACAGGCGUAUCUUAAAGUAUUUUUUUAAAAUAGAAGAACAAUCUAAACGCUUAACCUGGAAUAUAGGGAUGAAAAGAAUAUUUUUCUUAUUAAUAACAAAGAUAUAUACUAAAAAAAAACACUCGUAUUAAUGAUUGGGAAAAAAUUAUUUUUGUAAAAUCACUUUUCCCAUAGAUAAAAAUAUAUAGAGAUAAAACUGAUCCGAUGUUAUCAUAUAUAUGAGUCAUUCUUAGGUGUUGAUGCCCUCAUUUUUUUGUUUUUCAUGUGGAUGUGCUAUUAAGCCAUAUGGUUUAAUAGAAUCAGCGCAAAUACACAAUUUGAGGCUUAUAGUUUUAUAGUGAAUUAAAUAUUAAUUUUAUUAAACCAUGUGACUUAAUAGCGGGUUUGCAUAAAAAAGAAGAAGAAGAGAGCGCCCACUUUAUAUAUAUAUAUAUAUAUAUAUAUAUAUAGAGAGAGAGAGAGAGAGAGAGAGAGAGAGAGAGAGAGAGAGAGAGAGAGUAUCGAUCUAAUCUUGUAUCCUAAAUUUAUCAAAAUAAAGAAAAGCUAUUAAGACAUAUGAUUUAAUAAUAUAAUAUCAUUAUACUAUUAAAAUAUAUGACUUAAUAAUUUUUAAGACUUUAACGAAAUCCAGGAUCCUAAAUUCGAAUAUAUAUAUAUAUAUAUAUAUAUGCACACAUUACAUCUGUCCGGUUUAAACACGCAUUCUGCUUAGUGCUCUUGACUAAUUGUCCUCAAUUACCUUUUUGUUUUUGGGUUGCUAAUUUUAGGGACUUACCAGGUGUAUUGGUUGAUAAAAAGAAUAAGGUUGGGCCGUAGGGUACUUAUAAUUAAUUAAAGUACCCCACACAUCCAGCAGAAUAAAGUCUCUGUACCCUAGGCUUGGCAAAAUCCGGGUCCGGUCCGGGUUUUGGUGUUGCCCAGGACCGGACCGGAUGAGAGAAAUGCAAGCCCGGACCCGGGUUAAAACCCGGUUUUUCCGGGUGCGGUCCGGGCUUGAGCCCGGUACCUUCCGGGUCCGGGUUUUGAUCCGGGCUUUUAAAACCCGCAUGUGAUAAAUUUAAUUUUUUUUUCAAUUUUUUUCUUGAAUUUUUUUUUUUCAUUUCUCUAACAAUGCAAAUUUUAAAAAAGAAAAUAAUCAAAUAAACUCAUUCAAUCUCAAACUUUAAAAAAGAAAAUAGUCAAAUACAAAUAUAUAACACAUUAACAAUGCAAAUUUUGCACAAAUGAUAAAUAAAAAUUAUUUCAAUCUACUUUCUAAAUUCUAAUACCUAAAUUCAUCCAAUUUCUAACUUAAACUCAUUCAAUCUAUAUAUAAAAUAAAUAAAUUAAAUUCAACAACACAAUAAUUACACAAUAAAUUUAAAUAACAUCCAAUAUAUUAUAAAUUCAUAAUUAUAUAUUUAUAUAUAAUAUAUUUAUUUUUUAAAAUUUAUUAAAAAACCGGGUCCGGUCCGGGUUUCGGGUUUUUUGUGUUGAACCUGGACCCGGGACCGGAAAUGUCCGGGUUUGAGAAUUUCAAACCCGGGUCCGGUUUUUAUAUGCAUGCGGUCCGGGUUUUGCCCGGACCGGAUUGGCCGGGUCCGGGCCGGGUCCGGUCCGGGCGGGCUUUUUUGACACCCCUACUGUACCCCAUUAAUUUCUUCCAACAAUUAACCUCGAUCCUAACUUAAGUCAUAAAUUAUUUACAAUUACAUUAAUUAAUGUUUUGCUAGAUGACAAGGAUAUAUUCGCGGAUUGCUAUCGACCUCUUGGGCCAAUUAAAGAGAGAUAAGUUACAAUUCAACAAUUUUGGCACUUAAUUAUCCUAUUGCCGCUGUUUCCGAUGAUACACGCUAUUUGAAAAAUAUAGACGUUAAUUCUAAUUAGUUAUGAAGAUCUUGGUUCUCGCCUGGGAGCUGCAACAAUUAGCUAACUAGGUAUAGAGUUUGUUUAAUAAUAAUAUUAAUUCAAGAAGACAGAAAGCAUAAUUAAUUAGACUAAUAUGAAAAAUACCAUGCAAUUUUAUCUUUUUCUAUGGACGAAUGGAAUUAACACAUUGACACACAAUAAUUUUAUUAAUUAAGGAAGACAAAUUACAUGGACACAAAUUAAAAAAAAAAUCCCUUGCAUAUCUCAAGAGAUCUUAGUAGUUCAAUUAACUAAACCAAAUUCGACACACUCACAAUUAACAUGCAGUAACAGUACCUAUUGUUUUAAAUAAUUAAACACAGCAUAAAAGAGUAACACUACACGCACUUAACCAGUAUAAUCAAGAUUUCUCCCAUAUUGAGGAACAACAAAAAUAUCAAGGUUGCCGUCAUUCACUUUCUCAUCAUCAUUCAAGCUUAUAAACGAAACAAUGAAGCCCUCCAACCAGACGUUACCUGAAAAUUUUCAUAUUAGAAAAUUUAUUUAUAAAGUAUAUAUUAAAAAUAAGAAUUAGAAAUGAAAUUGAGGGUUGGCCUACAACCUGCGCAGGGAGUUUCCAUAUUCUUCAAAUCAGAAAAGAUCUUGCUUGCUUCAGGUGAUGAACUGUAAUCAAAACUCAAAAGUAAGUUGCUUUUGCUUCCUGUUCGACAUAAUACACAUAUAUAUAGAAUGAAGGUGGGAUGAUCGCAGCGUCGUUAAUGCAUGCAGUGCAUAUAAUGGAUCAACGGCUGACGUUUCCUAAGUGCUGAUCAAUAGCUGAAAAUUUAAUUAAAAGAUGAGGGGAUCACAGCUGUUAAAUGUUAACGUUGAAUUUCCCACAUCGGUCGGAUCUCUGACAGAAAGAUUGAGUUUGAUUAAAAUAUCCCGAUGCGGGGAUCAAGUUUGUAUCAAUUAAUAAUAAAAAUAAAUAAAAUAAGGAUAGAGUUGUUCACCCUCUAAAUUUCAUUCUGGACAAUCUAAUUUUUAACAAAGAGUGAAGCCAUUGGCACUCUUCAUUAUCCUUAUAAAACCCACUUUAAAUAAAAUUACAUUUAUGGGCAAAUAAGAAUUGAGUACAUAUAGAAUUUUUUUCCAACAAAUUACUUUGUUUCGUAAUUAAUCCCUUUUUUUUAAUUUUCUACUUGUUACUUCCUGUCUAACUAAAAUAAAUUGUACAAAUUUAGAAUAAUCUAUUAUUCUUUUCAUAGUGUUCUUGUUGAUUAAAUAUUUAUGUACUUAACACUGUUUCAAAUUAUAAUUUAAAAUAUGCGUAAUUUAAAUUACAGUACUGAAGUGUUUAUGAAACGCUAACUGUACUGACUUGAAAGUUAAGUUAACUUGAUCAAUUUCUUAUAUGAUGAAAAAUCUAUAAUAUCAAACUUAUAAGUUUGUCAAGAUUAUUAUUUAAAAGUCACAUACUACAAAAAAAAAAUUAUAGUUACAUCUUUUUUUUUUCAGAGCUUGUAACUUAAAAAGUUGCAGCAUCUUAAUACCAAACAUGGUUCAUCGAUUUAGAUUGGGUUGGAACUAUUUAGAGAGGAAAACGGAUCUAAUUUUUGGGGAGAGGAAGUGUUUUACAAAAGUGUAAAAAAGAAAAUUAGGCGAUACAGAGAGAAAAACCCAUAACCGGCCGGACUACCGCACUGCAACCUGCUAUUCAAGUCAAUUAAUCUGCCCCCGCAGCUCCACGUGCCGCGAGUAUAAUUGCUGUUACUUACGGCUGGUGUAACAUCGCAGGACCCUUAAUUAAAAGAUUACGGAUUAACAGCUAUUGAAUGUUGGGCAGCGCCUAUGUUACAUUUGUUGCAACAAACAUUCCGAUGAUAUGGACUGUUGGAUUUGUAAUUUUUCAAAUCCAACGGAUGUCAAGAAAUUUAACACAGAAUGAGGUACACGUGCAAUGGUCAAACGAUUAUUAUAAAGUAAAUAUGGGCAACCUCCCGAAACGGUUCUGGAAAAUUGCUGUUAACGGGGUAAUGGGUAAUGAAAUUGAUAGAGGGAGAAGGAAAGUGAUGAGCGCAUAUUUUGGGUAUGAAAAAUAGGAGAGGGAAAAAUGAGGAGUAAUUAGGGUUUGAAAGAAGGGAAAAUAACAGUAGCACCAAACGAUAUUAUAAGCUUCCGCUUUCAAUUUUGCAAGUUCACUUAAAUUGGAAACCUAACAAAUUGCUGCUCACUAAAACCGAAGCUAGAGCCACCCGAAUAUCACGGAAUAUGGUAAAAUUUGAAACCUCAUCUUCGCAAGUUGUCUUGAUUAAAUAAUUCCACACACAUGAUUCAUUGCUAUGACUGGUUCCUUAUUAUUUUAAUGCCUUUAUUUGAAAAAAUUCCUAAAAUCAACCCUAACAAAAGCCGGAGUGAAGCGUAUGGUUUAAGGCUGUAAUCGAAAGUUGGAGUGAAGCGUAUGAUUUAAGGUUAAAGAAACAAAUUGACAAUUUUCAAAAACCUUCAUAGUUUCUCAAAUUGCAUCUCCUCCUCAUUUUAAUAAUCAGUAGUAACAUACAGACCUAGAAAUGAUCUCUUGUUUUUUUCAGCCUUUAACUAAUAAAUUCCAAUAUAAAACUAUGAAUAUUUCGUUGAUAAUGUUAGAGAAGGGAGAUGUUUCUUCCUUCAAUAAACGGAGCAAGAGAAAAUGGAUUCCAGAAGUUUGACAGCCACAUUUCAAUCGGGAUGGAAAAAAAUUAAAUUUUGUUUUUGAAAUUUUCAUGAUAUGCCGCUAAUAUUCAACCGGCUAUUCUAAGGAAUGAGUCCUUGACUUUUACUUUUAACACUUUUUGCAACUGGUUCCAAUCGGUUCCAACAUGUUUUUAAUAUUGCUUUUUAUCGCCACGUGUUGCUCGUACGUUGGUCAAUUGAUCACGUCGUUAUUGUUACUUACACAAACUGUAACAUAAGCUUACCCUGAAUGUUGAUGUUGAAUUUCCACAUCGAUAUUGGAAUUUAAAAGAAAUGAAUUUUAUGUUGCUAUAUUGCCUGUAGGGGAAGACAGAAUAAAUUAAUUGAUAUUGCCAGCAAAUUAUUAAUUCGUCUCCAAGUACAGGGCUAGCUAUCGGAAUUAAUUAAGAUUAAUUGGUCAUCUUUCCGAAUUUUUAAUCCAUUCCCAUGUGAACCGAAAACAUUUUAAUUAAUGGAAAUCAAAUAUUAAAAAAAUAAUAGUAAUAACUUAACUAAUAAUUUAUAACUGUCAAAUUAAUUAAUAGUUUAUCUGCAAUUAUUUUGUUUAUUUUUAUUAUUAGCCAAUAAUUUAUAACUAUCAAAAUAAUUGUAGAUAAACUAAUAAUUAAUUUGAUAGUUAUAAAUUAUUAGCUAAGUUAUUAUUAUAUUUUUUUAAUAUUUGAUUUCCAUUAAUUAAUAUGUUUUCGGUUCACAUGGGAAUGGAUUAAAAAUUCGGAAAGAUGAUCAAUUAAUUGGAGCGAGAAACCCUCCACAUCAACCCCUCUAUUCUCUUAUAAGCAAUUGGAACGAAACAUCUGUGAUGCCCCAAACGCUAGUCAUAUGUUCCAUCUGUUGUUGCUAAUUAAGACCUAGUCGAGGCUUGAUAUAUGUACAACUUUAAACUUUGUAAAUUAAUUUAAAGUUUAUAACUAUAAAAGUUUAGAAAAAGUAAGGAUAGUAGGGUAACUUAAUUAAGGGAAAAUAUCCACCGUCCACCCGUUUUUUCCAACUUUUUCAAAAAUACACAAUUCCUUCUUUUUUUUAUUGGAAUCCACCUAAAGUUACAUUUUGUUUCACUUUUCCACUUCUGUUUGGAAUCCGUUAAGAAAACAAACGGAAACUUUAAAAAAUGACCAUUUUACCUCCCAAAACGAAAAUUACAAUUUCACCUUAAAAAUUACAAAAAAUAAUCAGAUCAAAUCUAAUUAUUUUCUCCAUCGGUCAAUAAAGAAAUUAAUUCCACAACCAUCAAAUGCAGGGUUUUUUUUUUAAUAUGUCUAUAAUUAGAAUACUAAAUUAUAACAGUAGUAUUAAAAAUUGUCAAAUCUCGCAAACCAUCAAUUGAAUUUAAGAUAAGUAGAGUUUUAUUAUUCAUUGAGUAGUUAAGAUUUUUUUGUACUUCAUUAACAUACCAAUAAUGAUAUUCAUCAUUAAAUCUGAUUAUUUUUUACAUUUUUUAGGUGAAAUUGUAAUUUUCAUUUUGGGGGUAAAAUGGUCAUUUUUUUAAGUUUCCGUUAGUUUUCUUAACGAAUUCCAAACGGAAGUGGAAAAGUGAAAUAAAAUGUAACUUUAGGUGGAUUCCAGCCCAAAAAAAAAAAUAAUUAUGUAUUUUUGAAAAAGUUGGAAAAAAAAGGAUGGACGGUGGAUAUUUUCUCCUUAAUUAACAACAGGAGUAUUUUAAAGUAUUUUUAAAAUAUAAGAACAAUCCAACCGCUUAACAUGAAAUAAAGGGAUGAAACAAAUAUUUUUCUUAUUAAUAAAAAGAAUAUGUAAUAAAAAAAAAGCUCGUCUUAAUGAUUAGGAAAAAAAAUAUUUUUGAUAUAAUGAAAUAGGUCUAAUCGAUUGUAAAAUAUAAAAAUAUUUUUUUAAAUAUUGAAAUUAUUUUAAAAUGCAUAUAUUAUUACAUUUAUUUUAAUGCUAUAUUUUUAUUUAUUAUAAAAUUUUAGGGUCAAUUUUUUGGGUUAAUAGAGUCAAAUGAUAUUAUGGUAAAAAAAGGAGUCUUGGUGUCUCCUAUUAAAAACUCGAUGUCUUUGUGACAAUUUCUCCAAACCUUGAGGGUGUAAGUGUGCUUGGAAAAUUUAAGAUUGAAUCCAUUUGAAGUAAACUGAAGUUUACCCUUAAUGUAAAUAUAAAUAAUUUAUGACUUAUUACUAGUUUGGUAAGACUUAUCUAAGAAUGGCCUGUUUAAACCCUAAAAAAUGUUCAUUAGAUCUGGUUUUAAAUUAAAAUUUUAUUACUAAAACGUCCCUAACAUAAAUUAAUAUUAUAGCCUAAACAGUACAAUUGAACAGAAAAAAAAAAAUGCUCCAUGCUACUCCAUCUUUAACCCAUAUCUUUUUUUAAUGAAUUAGGGAAAGCAAAGCUACACCACCCAUAAUUUGGUUAAAUGGUCAUGUAGACAUCUAAAUUUUCAACAAUAGACAUCAAAAACCCUUCUUAAAAUGUUUUAAGACACCACAUUUCACUUUGGCUUUUUUUUUUUUUUUUUUGGGAUAAGCUAACCGAGUUUGCCAAUAAUGUAAAAAAACCAAAUAAAUAAAAUGCCUUUGACUGAUAUGUUAUUAUAUAUAUAAAAUGGAUGCGUUUUAUUUUUCAUUUUCAGGUUAAUUAAAAUGUUUUAAAUUAAAUUAAAAACUCUGGAAAAACAGUCAAUAUAUCGUUCCAUGUAUAGAAGCAAGUGAUGACAUGAUAUGGGCAUAACUGUAAAUUUAGUAUUUGACAUCCAAAUAAACCUCAAAAAUAGCAAGAGGGAGUCUUGGUAUCCAUUGUUAAAAUGUUGACAACAAUACCAUUUGUCUCAACUAACUAAAAAAAAAUUGAUUCCAAUGUUUUAUAAUAAAUAGAAAUAAAAAAUAAAUUAAAUGCAAUAAUAGAUAUAGUUUAAAAUAAUUUCAUUAUUUUAAAAACUAUUUUAAUACUUUACAACCUUAUAUUAUAUUAAGCUAAAUUUUAUAAUAAAUGGAACAUAACGUUAAAGUAAAUAUAUAAAAUUUUAAAUUAUUUUUCAAUAUGAUAUAGAAUAAUUUUAAUAUUAUUAAUAGACUAUAUAUAUUUUAUAUUAAUUGUAAAAUCUAUUUAACCCAAAGAUUUUAUUAAAUUUUUUUAUAAUAAAUACAUAUAUAUUAUUAAAAUAAAUAUAAUAAUUUACAUUUAGAAAUUAUUUUAUAUAUUAAAAAUUUUCUAAUAUCAAAUUAAAUUAUUUAAAUUAUAUUUUUAUUUAUAAAAAAAAAUUAAAGAUAACAUUUUAGUUACUAUUUACAAAAAGUAUUAUAGCCAAAAGGGGGUUUUAACAUUCCUUAUUAAAAAUCUAGGGUUCUACAUGACUAUUUUGCAAACCUUGGCGUAUAGGUAUCCUUUUCCAAAAAAAAAAAAAAUUACUUAUUUAUAUUGCCUGUUGGGAAAUACAGAAUAAAUUAAUUGAUAUUGCCAGCAAAUUGUUGAUUCAUAUCCAAGUGAACGGACAGCUGUUGAAAUUAAUUAGGGUUUAAUUUAGAAAUUUUUAGGCAACCAUAUUCCCAGACGGAAUCGGAAUCUCAAAUCUUUUUUUUUUUUGCAGAGAAAUCUGAUCGAUGUAGGAAAUUCAACGUCAACAUUUAACAACUGCGAGUUUCUUUAAUAUGCAUCUCUAUCACACCAGAACCAAGAACACACACAACUGGUAGCUACUAAAAUAAUAUGGAAGAAUAUGGAAGCUACUUUUGUAAACUUUUAAGAAGCAAUAUAAAAAUUAACAUAAUGAAAACAAAUUUCAUUCAUUCUCCAGCACAAAUGUUCAUUUAUAUAAGUAUUUAAAACAUGAAAAUAGAGGUGAUACAAUUAAAAAAUUUAGAGAUAAUGAUUGAUUAACAAAAAUUGAGUUAAUUGAUAAUUCUUAAUCAAUAACUAAGAUAGAAACAAUCAAUCAUUUGAUUGAUUGUUUUGUUUCUAUUAAUAUUGUUGAUCCUUAUCAUUCUCCCUCAAGUUGGAGAGAAUUUUUUUGAACUUCUAGCUUGUCUUUAAAAAUCAUAUUUCCUGAUUUUUAUUUAUAGUCUCAACCAAGUGUCAUGCAACAAAUAGGGAGUAUUCCUCUAAAACUUGUCUAGGAAAUCUUUUUGUUAUUUUCAUGUACGCUUUUUUUAGACUAAGAAAAAUCAUAAGUAAUAAAUUAUUUUUAUUAAGGAAUUCUUUCAAUAUGAAAGUCGUUCCUUCAAUUAUUUUUAAGGAAAUCUUCACUCAAUGAUUUUAUCUUCACUCCUUUGAUAUUGUCAUGGAAUUCUUUCAUUUAGAAAGUCAUUUCACUGAUCUGGUCAAGGAAAACAUCAAUUUUCAGGAUUUCUUUUCAUUCCCCUUUUCUUUUGAGGUCAUUUCCUUUGUGAUGGUAGAAGUGUGGUGGUUAAUGACGCAGUUGAACAACUUCUUCUUCUUCUUCUUCUUCUUCUUUUUCUACGAAAUUGAAGAACAAUAAAAAAGGAACUCACAUCUCUCCUUUAGACCACCAUGCUCUAGAAACAUAUCAUCGACACGGUGGCUAAGCAUAAACCCACAAAUUUAAGGACUUUCAAACUUGUCUAAUACCAUGAAAAUUUUUAGAAAUAAAUUAAGAAGAUAAAUCUCACUCUUACUCAUAUAUGAGCACAAAAACUCAAUUCAUACAAUACUUGAAACAUGAAAAUGAAAAUGAUACAAUUAACAUAAUUUGAAAUAACGAUUGAUUAAUACUGAUAGAGUCAAUUAAAAUUUAUUUCGAUUUAUAAUCAAUCUUUCUAAAUCAAUAAUAUAGAGACAACCAAUCAUUUGAUUUAUUUCCAUUACUAUUCUUUGAUUUUUAUCAGCUUUUCAUGUACUUCAAGUUAGGACAAUUUCAUGUGAAUUCUAUUUCUAGUUUUUAUAUUAAUAAUAUGUCAUCUUUUAAUUAAUUUUCUAUAAUAAUUUUUUUAGGUAAGACUGAAUGGUUUGAGACGCUUAUUACAAAGAAGGGUGCUUUUUUUAGCCAAUGCUGGAUAUAAACUAACGACGUAGCGUUUGCCAACCUCAAUCUUCUUGUAGUCUCUCAAUAUAUGAAAAACCCUAAUGAGGCUGGUUAAUUGAAUUAUAAAAUUGAUUUGUUUUCAUUUGAGUAAAUGUUAUACUUCUGAAAGUUUGUAUUUCAGAUACAAGUUAACAUUUGAUAAGAAUCAAACAAUAUUGAUAAAAAUAAAAUAAUUAUUUAUUUGAUUCAUUGUCUUCAUUUUAAUUAUUGAAUAAGAAAGAUUGAUUGUGAAUUAAUAUAAAGAUUGAUUGACUCAAUAUUUGCUAAAUAUGAAUCAUUAUUCCUAAAUUAUGUUAAUUGUAUCAUUUCUUUUUAUAUUUCAAAUACUUAUAUAAACUGAGGAGUCGUGCUCAUUAAUUUUGUGCUCAUUAAUUUAUAAGAGAGAAAUUUAUCUUCUUUAUAUUAUUUUUGAAACAUUUUCAACAUUGCAUCACCUUAAAAUGCCCUUUCAAAUUACUUGUCAAUAUGUGUUAGGAAAUUUAACUGGAGAAAAUAAAAAUAAGUUAUGAAGGUCAAAGGGGAGCAAAUAAAGCAGGAGAAAACAAAGAAGCUUAGCAAAGUAAAAACUGGAAACCAAGAAGCAAAAAUAAAGAUUUUGAGUAAUCUAUAAUUUCGGAAGGCCCCACCAUAACUACCACUGAAAAUAGCCUCAUGAAUUGAAGAAGGGGAACAUCGAACUUAGCAGCCAUAUUAUCUUAAUUUAUCAAAGAUAUAUGAACAAGUAUUAAAACGAAAUCAUAUCAGAGAUAAUUGCUUUACGAUUCAACAACUUAUUCUUAAUAUGAGAACAAGUAAAACAAGAACAACCUAAAUUGAGCAAGUAAGAAAUAGUUCCAGCCCAUGGAUAUUAAGUUCUAAAGAAAAUUAAAUUCUUAUAUAUUUUGUCUAACUAAACAAUGGAAAUAAAGAUUGAAUUUAAAUUAUUUUCCUCUCCUUCAAUCUCUCCUCCCAUCCAAACACCACGUAAAUGUUAGAUAUUUCAACUUACAAUCCACAUAUGUCAUGAUGUGUGCGUGUUGGAAUGGUCUAGUAACAUUCAUCAGAUAAUCAUAUGAAAUAAAAUGGAUGAAUAAAAGCUAUUAGAGAGAAGGACUUACAAAUUUAAUUUUUUUGAAGAGAAAAGAACAAAAAUAGCUUUUAUUAAAAAAAUACAAAAUAGAGAAAAUGAUGCAUUUCUUUUGUUCUCUUAAUUUGCCAUCUUUAAAAAACUCUGUUUAGCUAGAAAAAUAAUAAUUUUUUUAAAGUAAAACAAACAUAAUAUUUUUUUUAAAACAAGCAAACACACAAAAGCAUGUUAUAUGAGCUAUCCCCUCCCGUUAACCAGAUCGAGGCAUUGUCCUCAAUGUCUAAAGAAAAAGAGAUAAAGUUUACAUGGCUGCACCUGAUAAUGUGAAAGGAACAUCAUCAAAAGACCAUAGUAAUGAUUUAUAUCCAAUGGCCUAAUAGGUUGUUGGUGGAUGUUCAGUUGUGCCCAUGAUGCAAUUGUGAAAAUUUCUUCUAAGAUGCCUAGUCCACUUGGUAAAGCAAUAAAAGCAUCAACAUGUUCAAUCUUUACAAUGAGAUAUUCAUAUAUACAUAUAACAAUGAGCUCUUCUCCAUUUGUUUUCACGAUGAUAUUUCCUCUAGUUUAAGGUUUUUGGGACUAUACACAAAACUUGACUUCCUUUAGUGUUUGCAGUUAGCGAGAUGGUGUGUGAAAUCUCUAAUGUUAUGGGUGUCAAUGUGUAAGUGUACACGAUAAGUAAUAUACUGAUGAGCAUUCAAAUUGUCUCAACAGGGAUUGAUGUUAUCAAAUUUGCUACAGUAAUCUUAACACUGUAGUUUUGUUUUAAAUGAAAAUAAAGCAACUAAUGAAACUAACAAACAAAUCAAAGUAAAAAUGCAGUAAAUAAAAUAAAAUAAAGGAAAUUCUCAUGUCAAAUAUAAGGAUGUAACUAAUGGGAAUUGAGUAGUUGAGUGCAUAAACUCACUUAAUAGCAUUAACUAUUUUUUCAAUUAUAGUACCAUUGGUACAACAUCUACUACAGCGCUGGGCAGAAUCCCUCAUGCAUCCUCAGUUGUCGCAUGUUUGAUAUCUUAUAUCUAAUGCAACCUAACAGUGACCAAUUGUUACGCCAAUAUUAAAUAUACCAUUAAACGAUCUAGGUUCUGUUUACCCUACAAGAUGAAUACAUAUAUCUAAUUCAUCACAAAUUUUAGAUCAAGCAUGACCCUAUUCAAAUUGAGAUUAACUCAACUUGAAAAACUCAAUCUAAAACCAAGUAUUAUCUUAAUGAGAUCUAUUGAAUCAGACCUUUUUUAGGCUCUUUCUUAGCUAGUAUCCUUAAAUGGGUGGUCAGCCGAAAUAGAGAAUAAAAUAAAUGCAAAUAAGACAAAAUGUUAUAGCAAACACAGAGCAACAUGCGUAUAUUAGUCAAACAUCCAUUAAGUUCAUUUAUUACUCAACUACAAUCAAAUUCAGUUCAUGAUUUGCGAUAGAAAAAUUAACAAAAGAGUUUCAGCCAUCAAAUAGAUCUCCAUGAAUAAAUAGAAAACAAGAAAAUAAGAAGAAUGGCUGAUUUCUAUUUUAUUUCUGCAGUUUCUCCUCUGUCGACCUUCAAUCUCUCUCUUGAAUUUUGUUUUCUUGUUGUUUCUUUACGAUUUUUUCUUCUUGGGUGAUGGCUUUCCCUUUUUUUCUCUGUGUGUGUGCUCAUUUUAUAGCUUAAAAUUAAGGAAACCAUAAGUCUAGAGCGCACAUAUUCUAGUUUUGGAAAUUCCAUAUCGCAAUCUUCUAAGUAUCUCGCGCGAAAUCUUCUCUAUCAAUGCUUCAGGAUUGCUACAGCAAUGGUUACUACAUGUUACUUAAAAUUUAAGCUUCCGAACACUUACAAUUAUGCAUAUGAUCUAAGCACAAAUUAAUCUAAAACAAACUAAAUUUAUUAAAAAUAAACAAAAAUUGAUGUUCAUACAAAAUAUAACUAAAAUGCUAUAAAAAUAUGUCAUUUACUCUCUAAAUAAUUUUGAUUUAAGUCUAAAAGUACUAUGAUAACUCCAUUUCAUAGAGUUAUCACGAGACAACCCUUAUUAAUGUAAAAUCACCAUCUCCACAUAUUAAAUGUAUUUUUCUCAUAGACAAUAUCCCCUCGAGGUCUUUGACAGCCUCAACGAAAUUUAGAGUAUGUCCAAAAGUUGAUCCAAAGAAUACAAAAAUAUUUUUAAGUUGUCGAAAUGGAAUUACUGGCAUUAUGAUUUUCUUUCUGUUAAAAAUUAUAUAUGUAUUUACAAAUCCAGGAAAGACAAUCCAUUAAUGAUAAUAAAUUCGGAGGUUGGCAAUUGUUAAACAGAGUGUCAAAAAUAGUUAAAAUGAUAAUCAGUUAAAUGCUAUAGGAAAUUUCAAAUAAAUAAGUCAAUAAAGUUAGAGCAAAGUAAUAAUAGAAAAUGAAAAUGAUAUGUACUAAUAGUUGUGAUUGUGGCUCACGACUUCUUUUAGUUUUACAUCUAGUAAUGGCUUGAAUGCUUUCUAUGGAUCGGGGAUAGGAUUCCCAACCAAUUUUCUUAUAAAUUAGUGUUGGGUUAUUUCUAUUACUAUGGGUGUUAAUGUACAAGUGUACACAAUAAGUAAUGUAUCAAUGUACAAGCCAGUUAGCCACACCAGCAUUCACCUCAGCAGCUGCAUUUUGAACAAUAGCCGCAUUCUCAACAGCAGGCAUCGUUUUAGUGGUAGGUUCUGAUCGUACUGGUAGCAUGUACACAACAAGUAAUGUAUCAAUGUACAAGUCUACACAACAAGUAAUAUACUGAUAAGUAUUCAGAUCGUCUCCACAAGGAUUGAUGUUAUCAGAUUUGCUACAACAAUCUUAACAGUGCAGUUUAAUUCUAAAUUAAAAUAUGACAAUUUAUGAAACUAAUAAACUAAUUAAAAAUACAAUAAAGAAAAUUUUCACGUCAAACACAAGGAUGUAACUAAUGGGAAUAGAGUAGUUGAGUGAUUAAACUCACUUAAUAGUGUUGAUUGCUCCUCUAAUUAAAACCCUAUUGCUACAACAUCUAUUACAGCACUGAGCAAAAUCCCUUAUGCAUCCUUAGAUGUCGUAUGUUGGAUAUCUUAUAUCUAAAUGCAACAUAACAGUGAUCAAUUGUUAUGCUAACAUUAGAUAUAACAUUAAAUGUUCUAGGUUUCAUUUACCCUACAAGGUCAAUCCCCACGUCCAGUUCUUCACUAAUUUUAUAUUAAGCAUUACCCUAUGCAAAUUGAGAUUCACUCAACUUGGGAAACCCAAUCUAAAACCCAGUAUUGUUUGAAUUUGUUCCACUAAGUUGGCCAUUUUCAAGGCUCUUUAUUAGCUAGUAUCCAUUAAAUGUGUGAUCAGCCAAAAUAGAGAAUUGAAAUAAAUACAAUUGAGACAAAAUGCUAUAACAAAUACAGAGCAAUACGCAUAUGUCAGUCAAACAGAUCGUUUAUCACUCAACCACAACAAAUUCAAUUCGUGAUUUGCGAUAGAACAGUAAAUAAAAUUGUUUCAGCCAUCAAAUACAUCCCCAUAAUUAAAUAGACAACAAGAAGAUAAGAAGAAGAACUGAAGUAUGCUCGAUCUUAGUGAUAUCUUCUUUAUUUCCUCUUUGAAUCUUCUGUUACAUCCUUCAAUUUACCUCUUAAUGUUUUGUUUUCUUAUUGUUUCUUUUCGGUAUUCCCCUUAGGUGAUGGUUCUUUACUUUUUCUUUCCUUUUCAUGUGUGCUCAUUUUAUAACUUAGAAUUAAGGCAACUGAAAGUGUGUGACGCGUAUCCUUCAUUUUUAGAAACUUUAUAUCGCAAUAUUUUAGUUAUUGCGCACAAAAUUCAGUCUGUCAUUGCUCCAGGAUUGCUACAGCAACUGCUAUAGCAUCUUCAGUGUUCCAGACUUAUUUCAAUUCCUCUGCAGUCAAGAUAUUUUGUCACUUUUGCAAGUCUGUUGCAGCAACAUUUCAUCCCUAAAACUUGAGCUUUUCGGUCACCUACAAUUAUGCACAUAAUAUAAGCACAAAAUAAUCUAAAAAAACUCAAUUUAUUAAAAAUAAAUUAAAAUGGAUGCUUAUGCCAAAUGUAACUAAUAUGCCAUAAAAAUACAUCAUUUAUUUUCUAAGUAAUAUUGAUUUAAGUCUAAAAGUAUCAUGAUAACUUUCAGUUCAUAAAGUUAUCAAUUAGCAAAUUGAGUAAUUUGAAAUUGGCUUCCCAAGACUAAAUUGUUUACCUUCUUUUAGGAAUUAUCUCUAUAAAUUGUGAAUCUCGCAUUGCACAUAGUCACUUGGAUGCAUCUUAAGAGAUCGCAAGAUAUCAUCUAAUGCUUGUUUACAUGGACCAUCCUUAAUGAAUUUAAUUUUAUCUUUACGAUUUUAAAAACCAUUCCUAAAGUUGUACAAUACGCUUCACAAGAAAGUCUUUCACAUUUAUGAUAUUUAGAGCCAAUUCGUUUAGCUCUUCUUUUUUUAGCAAAUGAUAUCAUAUAAGUCCAAUGAACCAAUUAACACAUACAAUGCAUUCUUCUUUUCACCUUUCAUCACAAUAGAACCCUCCUUAGUCACUUUUAUGCCAUCAUUAUCUAACUUAAAUGAAUAUCUAGAGUUGUCCAACAUGCCUAAAGAGAUCAAAUUUCCCUUUAACUCAGGAGCAUGUCUAAGCCUAUGUAAAGUUUUGAUGAUCCCAUUAAAUAUUUUAAUCUUGAAAAACCUUAUUCCAACAAUUUAACACUUAUUGGUGUUUCCCACAAAAACUCUACCACCAUCAAUAAACUCAUAUUGAUGAAAAAGUGACUUAUUAGGCAUAUGUGAAAAGAACAACUCAAGUUUAAUACCCACUGACCUUCUAAGUUGCCUUUUGAGGUUAUAAAUAGAUCUGCACUAUAAUAACCAUCAUCAAAGGAGAUAUUUAAAGCCACAGCCACACCUCCUAACCUUUAUUGACUUUCAUUCUUCUUUUUCUUUGCACUCUCUCUGAUGUAAUGCAUUUGUUUCCUACAAAAAAAGCAUUUCCUCUUGUUUUUCUUUUUUUUGCAUUCUCUUGGUUCUUUCCUUACCCCUUUCUUUGAUUCUUGUUCUACUGUUCCUUCUUCUUUCGAUUCUGGCAAUUAGCCAUUCACCAUUACUUACUUCAUGGCCAUCAUGCUUUUCAAUCUCUUUUGAGCUUAGUGAUGUCGUGACAUCUUCCAAAGUCAAGGUUUUCUUCUAUACAACAUUGUAUCCACAAAACCUUCAUAUGAUUGUGGCAAUGAACUUAAAAAGAAAAUGAUUUUGCCUUCAUCUCUAAUCUUCACAUUUUCAACCUCUUCAAGAUCAAGAAUGAUCUUGUUGAAAGUGUCAAUGUGUUCUUAAAUAGACACCCCUUAUAUCAUUGAAAAAGUGUACAACUAUUUCUUCAAGAACAACUUGUGAGCCAAAGAUUUCUUCAUACAAAGGCCUCCACCUUAUUCUAUAUCCUAAGGUAUGUUUUUGUUUAGAGAUUUCCCUCAAGAUUGAGUCACUAAGACUCAAAAUUAGGGUUUUGAAGGCUCUAUUUUAAAUAUGUUUCUUCUUUUCAUCAGGUUUAAAGCUUGUUUCCUUAUCAAAAUCUUCUUCUUCUAAGACGGAUUCAAGGCCCUGAUGCACAAGUAGAGCCCUCAUCUUCAUCUUCCAAAGUGAGAAAUCACCACUCAGCUUCGUAAUUUCUGGUUUUAAAAGUGACAUGGUCAAGGUUCACAAAGUCUCUGAUACCAAUUAUUGUAAUUAAUGGUUAACAAUCAAGAACUCAACCAAUCUUUCGAGCUUUAAUCAAACAAGAUUAAUUCAAAUCAAGAUUGAAGAAAAACAUGGCAAGAACAAAGAAAUAGAACUCAAUCACAAAGAACAAGCUUCUCUGUUUGAAGGGAAAAACUGGCACACUUUUACUAAUCAAGCUUAUCAUAAAUUGAUCAGACAUUACAAAAGAGGUUGCAAGCUUUAGAAAUAAACAAAAAGCACAUAAUUUGGUUAAGAAACAAGAGAGAAAAGGUUCACACAUUAGAGGUUGUGCACUAGCCUAUUUAUUUUGGAAAUUUUCAAAAACCAUCUAACAACCUUUAACGAACUAUAGCCAUGUCAGUAAAAAUUUACAAAAUGACCCUAAGCUAAAGUCGAUCUGUACAAUGGCCCAACAAAUCUCCUUCAUUUUACUUCAAUCCUAAAAAACAGAAUAUAUAUCUUCACAUUUAUAAUGGUUGGCUUAAAAGAAAAUAUAGAGAUUGUAUAUAAAAUAAAAAACUACUAAACUGUAAAAAUGAAAAAUAGGCAGACUCAAAAAAUAAUAAUAAUAAUAGGUUCAAAAACUCGCUUCAAACUUAUUAUGACAUAUACAUUCGUUCAAAUAACUUAAUCAAUUUCACUCAUCAAAUCUCUCAAUUCAUAGUUGUCACUAACAUCAUCAUGCAAAGUUGCUAACGUGGUGUAGCAAAACUCAAAACCAAAGAUAAUAUAAGUCAUCAUGUCAUCCAAUGUCAAAUGAUCAUACAAGAUGCCUAGAAAACUUUAAUAAUCUUUUUAAUGCCAAUAGUAAGAGAAAUAAGUAGGAGAGAUUGCACUUAAAUUGGCGAUCGCUCUUAAAUUGAUCGCAAAAUAUUCUACAAAAAAAUCUAAAGAAAACGUUAAAAUAAAUAUAAAGAAUAAAAUACAAAAAGCAAAAUAUUAGAGUUUUUUAUCUAUAAAAGGAUAAUGGUAGUGAUACUCUUUAAUGUCAUACAACUUAGGCCACAUCUGUCUUAAGCUUAUCUGAAAGUUAUCUAAAAUACUAUAAAAUGAUAACAAUUUGAGCACUUCAGAUCUUACUACUUUAUUCAUGUCAAAAUGUGACUUAUCUUGUGCUGCUUUAGGAAGUAGCUCUAGUUUGAAUGGUUUUUCUUCAAGAGGAAAUAGCUUAAUCUUUUCUUUCCACUUAGUUAAAACCAUGAUACGGCAAAUAAAGUAAAAUAUUAACUUCUAGGAAAAUUAUCAUUCGUAUACUUUAAAUUUGUACUUUUAUCAAAAAUACUACAAUAUUUUAAGGGUGUAAAGGGUGUAUCAAUCGUCCACCUUAAAUUGACAAACGUUAUCUACCGACCACUAAACCUCUAGCUGCCGUUUGAAAGUUAAUGGAAUUAUAGUGAAUUGACGAUUUUACCCUUGAAAAUUAUCACUUGUAUACUCUUAAAAUCUCUUAUUAUCAUUUAGAUACCCUUAAAUUAUCACUUGUAUCAUAUGAAAAUACCAGACUACCCCUCUAAUGUCAUCAUAUUUAAACAACAACUAACGGUUUGGUGGACGGUAGAUAUAUUUUGUCAACUUAGGGUGGACGAUUGAUAUACCCUAAAAGUGUUGUAGUAAAUUUGAUAAAAGAGUAAACUAAGGGUAUACGAUUGAUAAUUUCCCUAACUUCUAAAAUAGCACUAUCAACAUCAAAAGAUAAAACAAAGUGUAUUAAGUAUGUCUUUAGAAGAUCAUCAUAAUGGUUAGAAAUGAAUCAAUCAUUAACUUGUGCUUCUAUCAUAUCUACUUCAACACUUCAUCAUCUUCUUGUGCCUGCUUGAGAACAUUAAAAAUAUUCAAUUUCAUACCCGUGUUACCGACAGACAAUUGUAUGUUUCAAGUCCUACAACUAAUAUAAUCAUCUACUAUCGCCCAAAAAGGACAACUUAAAAUAACAAGAGUGUGUUUUGUAUGAUUCUGCACAGGUUGAGUAUCAAUAACAAUAAAAUCAAUAGAAGAAUAAAAUUUAUCAAUCUGCAUGAACACAUCCUCUAUAAUACCACAAGAUAUUUUUAUUGACCUAUCAGUAAGUUGUAAAAUAAUAGAAAUUGAAUGUAAUUGACCUAGCCCAAGUUGCUUAUAAACAUAAUAAGGCAAAAUAUUAACACUAACUCGUAGAUUCAACAAAGCUUUAUCAAACAAUUAGAUCCCUAUAACAUUUGAGAUAGUAAAAGAACCUAAAUCCUUAAAUUUUGGUUGCAUUUUAUAUUGAAAUAAAUUGCUAGUUUGUUCAAUUAGAAAUGCCUUCUUAAUAACAUGCAAAUUUCUCUUUCUAGUCUUCAAAAACUCGGCAUAUGAGGAACGUUGCUUGAUAGCGUCAUGUAAAGCAACCUUUAUAUUUACCUACUUGAAGAUUUUCAUGAUUUCACCUGUUGAAGUCUCUAAUUAUCAAUUAAUUCUUAAUUUUUAAAUGACAACUCAAAAUCAAUUUAUGUCUACUUAUGAAUAUAAAAAUUAAGUCCAAUUAAAAUUAAUUUUAUAUAGAUUCAUUUUUGCUUAAUAGUAUGAUAUCUAAGCAUCCCACAUAAACAUAUCGAAGAAUAAAGAGUCAAAAGUUUUCCUAAGCACUUUUUGUAAACAAUUUGAGGAAAGACAUAGAAUCCAAGAUAAUCACAUAUAAACUUUAUAGAUCCGAGCAUAAGUUUACUCAAACAUUAAUCCUAACAAUCAAUAAUGCUUGACAGAAUUGAUGAAAAGUUUUAAUAAUAUUCAACCAAACAUGUGAAACAAGAACCACAGACAUUAAAGCACAUAAGUAAAGAAUUAAUUGCAUAAAAAUAAUUAAUUUCAUUGACUAGGGCUUCAUCCUUAGUUACACAUAAUUGACUUGUGAAUAAAAAAGUAAAUAAAACCAGUUAUGGAAAAUAUAUCCAAGCCACUGCAACUGCUUUCAUCUCUACUCGGCGGCUGCAACUCUUUCUUUCUCUACCGUCUGUCGCACACAAAAGCCAAAUUUUGGCUUAUAUAAUUCUGGAUGGGCGACUUCUUUGAUGCCUUAUGCCUCCUCCAGAUCCAUAAUCAACAAGGAAACUAAUGUUUUCCAUGUGCUCUUCAGUUAUUUUACUUACAAAAUGGGCCAAUAAAUUUUAAUUCUGAUUUAUCCAUAAGCCCACAGAAAAUCCAAAUAAUUUUCAACUUUUCUCCAAUUUAUUUCUUUAAGCACAGCUUAUUCCCAAUCUUUAAUUUAUUAUCCUGUUAAAUAAAAUAAUUCAAAUAACUAAAAGUAAUAAAUAAAAUAAACUAGCAAAUAUAUAAUAAAGGGUAAAAUAUGUAUAUUUUAUAUGAUCGUCAAGCCUAGCACUACAUGCCUACCUAGACGAAAACCACACAAGUUAUAAAUACAAUGAGUUAGAAAUUUCGGCAAUGGAUGAAGAACGACUUUGCGUAAAACAUCACAAGGUGAUUUGAAGGGUUGGCUAGAAAGAUACAAAAGCUUAUUGAUCGUAGAGUUCAACUAAGUAGUUGUGGAAGGACAAGCUUACAUGUACUUCGGCAGAAGGUCAUCAUGGCAAUCAAAACUAGACAAAAUAUUAACAUUCAAACACGAGAAAUCAUAUCAUUUAGUGUCAUUGAUAAUAUAAAUGAGCAUUUUGAUGUGUCUAUUGACCAAUAAACUUGUUCUUGAGGGGAGUGGCAGUUUAGUAGGAUACUUUCAUCUUACGCAACAAACUGUACUAUUAAUUUUAGUGUUAGGGUGGAGGAUUUUAUCAAUCUACUUUUGAAGAAUGAUAAGUAUAAUACCAUAUAUGCCAAAUAUAGAUGUUCAAAAUCUAUAAUGGGAGCACUACUUCCUCCAAAUAAACAACGUAAAAUACAAAUGUUCACAGAAUCAGUCCAAGCAAGAACGAAUAGCAGCACCGAACCAAAGAAAAGGGAAACACUGAAAACUGCGAUCUAUUGGUUUAGUAUUUUAAAAUUAGAUAUUUUUUUUGUUUCAUGAACACUAUAUUUAAUUUCAGAUGAUCUUAUAAAGGGUACCUUAUUAUUUAGGAAGUUGCAUUUUGAUAAUGUUGUUUUAUUUUGAAGGAACUUAGAAAGGACUUGUUGAUGCGUAAAUUAGCAAGUGUACUAGUCGGCACAAGUAAUAUAAUGAAGAGUAGAGUAUCAUCCCACAAAGAUUGUAUAUCCUAUUAGCAACCGAAAUUAUUCUAACCCUAAUUUAUUUGAACUUAGAAAGGUCUCAUUAUGUAUCCUCAAAUCAUUUAAAUAUUGGCCAGAUAUUUAAAAGCACUAAGCACAAUAAUGAAUACUCAACCAUGGAAUAAUAAUUUAAAAAUAACACAAAUUUAUGGAAUUAAACUUUCAUAGUUAGGCUAUAUCGUGGCCCUAGUAAAAUAAAUUACUUCAUGAGAAUAAAUAUUGUAGGAAACAUUUUAGCACAACAAUAGAGAAAAGAGAAAAAAAAACUCAAGAAUUAAUUUCCGUCUCCCUCUGAAUCUCUUAUGGCUGCUUCAUUCUUUUUCUACCUUCUCUCUCGGCUUUUCUCUCCAAUUUGUGCGGCUGCUCCCUUUUUGUCUUCUUAAUUUGUACGGCUACCCCCUUGCUUUUGUUCUCGUCCUUUUUAUAUUAUUGCUCAGCCUCCAAAUCCUUAAAUCAAAAGGAUUUUAAAACAAAACAAACCUAGCCAACUUUUUAAGCCCAUGCACGUGAAGCCCACUUGACAAAUGCCAAUGCUUUAUGUAAUCAUCCACGUGACUUGUACAAAUAGCCAAUAAAUUUCUAAACUUAUUUGGUAAUAAAUCUAAUAAUUAUUCUUUAAGCAUUAUUCUUUCCUCUUUUCUUUCACAAUCUGCAAUUAUUUUCAUUAAGUACCAAUUUGUUUCCUCUUUAAGCUUCCUUUCUCAUGAAUAUUCCCAAUAUUCCUACAACAACAAAAUAUGAAAAUUAAGAUAAAAAUUUAUAUAAUAAAAGAUAAUUUAACAUAAAAUUAACUUAUGGAAGCAUUAAAAUAAUAUGGAAAUUAUUAGCACAUCACCUGUCGACCGCAUCAGUCAAAGCAGGAGGGAACAUCGGCAACGAGAGCCGAAAUGGCUGAUAAUGAUAUUUGAGUUGAAUUUCUCACUAUAAGAAAUUUGACUUUUUAAGACAAUUUUUUAUGACAUUUGUAGAUUUUGUCAUAAAAUAAUAUUUAUUGUGAAGAUUUUUUAAAAUCGUAGCUAAUAAUCUUGUCCUGGCCAAUGUUACAUUUUGUAAAGAAUAAUAUUUGUUUUGUGAUCCAAUAAUUGGUCACUUAAUCAAAUAUUUUGCGACAAACAUAAAAUUAGCCACAAAAGGACAUACUUUUUUUAGCGCAAAAAAUUCCCUCCAAAAUUGAUCAUUUUCUGACAAAAUAUCAUCUUUUAUGACAAAAACUAUGGUAGCAAAAUAUAAUUAUAAGUGACAUAAUCAUUUCGUAACUAAAAGAGGGAUAUAAAAUUGAUCAAACUGUUUGUGAUGAAAAAUAUUAGUCUCGAAACUUAACAUGGUUUUGAUUAAUUUUUAAGACCCUAUUUUUUUGUAACAGAUAAUUACCUACUGUGACAAAACUAAAAAAUAGUAGAUUAAAAUUGUCUUGAGUAAUUUUGUAUUUCAUGACCAUUGUUUUCAUAGAUACAUUAUUUAAUAUUCGAUUCAUUUUUUUUUUUGACGAACUUUACAACAUUGACCCAAAAAAAAAAAAUAAUCAAUAUUUUUUUAAUUAUAUUAUAUUUUGCGACCAACAAAUUUUUUUAUGUAUUUUAUUAAAUAAUUGAUCUUUUAUCUUAUUAAUGUGUGAAAACAUCAAUUUACCUCUAUGUACUAUUAAGAAGAUUUAAAAAAAAAGUCAUUACUGCGCCUCUCUUUUGCCACCAUCUUCUGAAUGAAAGUGAAAAUAAAUUGAAGUAUUUAUACUUUUGGGGGAUAAAUUGAUGAUUUUCAUUUCAAGUAAAGAGUAAAUUGAAGUUUAUUCUAAAAUGCAUUGAAGGACAAUUAGCAAAUUUUCAAUAGACUUGAAAUUGCUCGAAUGAGAGCUUCCUGCAAGACUAAUUAGUUAAAUACCUUUUUCUUAAAGUUUAAUUACCCACAUUAUUGUUUUUUAUAUAGCUUCAUACAAAUUUUGUUGGGUUAUUAUCAUUUCACUAUUUCAAAAAUUGUCAAAUAUCAAAUGACUACAACAAGUAUUGUCUCCUAUCAUUUUCCUACUAUAUUUUUAUAAAAAUAUUAUUUUACUACUUUUCUGUUAUAACCGUUAGUUGACCAGUUAGUUGACUAAUAAAAUAUCAAUUUCACCCUUCAUGAUUAAAAAAAAUACUUGAAACUUAUUUACAAAAUAAAUUUGUAAUAUAUUUAUUAAAAUGGAUAUAUAAUACCACCAUAAUUCCUUUUGCUGGAAUUAUGAUAUAUGGAUUACAAAUUUGUCUUAUUAUUAUUUUUAAUCAUGAAGGGGAAAAUUGAUAUUUUGUUAGUCAACUAACUGGUCAACUAACGGUUGUAACGAAAAAGUAGUAAAAUGAUAUUUUUAUAAAGAUAUAGUAGGAAAAUGAUAGGAAACAAUACUUGUUGUAGUCAUUUGAUAUUUGGUAAUUUUUGAAGUAGUAAAAUGAUAAUAACCCAAUUUUGUUUAACUAUGUUAGAUUAAUAAAAAUUAAAAUAAUAGCCUUAAAAUAAUUAACCUGGAUUAAUAAAAAAUGAUAAUAGACUUUUUUUAAACCAAUAAUAACAAACUUAUAAUAGCUUUUUUUUUUUUUUAAAAGAAUCUUAUAAUAGUUAAUUAUGUUGGAUUUAUAAAAAGAAUACAUAUUAUAUUGGAUAAAAAUUAAAAAAAUAAAAAAUAACUAAACUUAAAUAGAACAUAAAUUUCUCUAAUGAAAUCGUGAAAUACAAAUUAAUCAUCUCCCACUCACUCCUUGGCCAAUUUUGUUGUUAUCCAAACAAAACAAUUUAAUUCCCUCCCACUCUCUCCCUAGCCAAUUCACUUUAAUUGAUUUUGUAUUAAAAAACUACCCAUCUUUAUCUUUUGUAAUCCUUUCCAAUUUGUAUGUGUUUGUGAAUGAUGAUAACAGAACAAAAACCCACGACUAUGGAGGCAACACUGUAACCUUACCUUAGGCGCUGCACAAGACACUAGAAUCACGCCCUUUGCCGCCGCUCAAAAGCACGCCACCCUCACCGGUUCACUCACGCAUGCCAAAAUGAGCCACUCAACAAAAUUCACUCUCAUCACUCGUUCUACUUCGAAAUUGUGAUUAUAUAUAAACUAAGCCAAUUUAAUUUUGAUUAGUUUAGUUGUGAUUGGAUUAUGUGAAAUUCAUAUUUUUGUGUUUGGUAAAAUUAGGGAUUGAAAUUCUUAAAUCUAUUAUUUGAAUACUUUUAUGCUUAUCAAGUGCUUGAUAAAAUUCCUAAGAGAAUCUAGUAAAAGAAAAACAUAAAAUACAUGCAAAUAAAUGAAGGAAUUUGAAGUAAUUUUUGCUCACUUCAUCUUAGUAUGUAAUUAAUCAUCUUUCUUUAUUUUUUUUAAAGAAAAUUAUAGCUAGUAUUAAUAUAAUAAAAAGAGUUAGCAAAUUAUUCAAGUUCAGCAGAUAUAAUAAUAAGUUAAGUUACAAAUUUUUAAAUAUAAAAGAUUCGAUAGCUUUGAUGUGUUGUUUAGAAGGACGAUUUUGAAGCUUGGUUUGCUAAAGUAGUAAAGUUUGCUCAAAAUAUGCAAAAUUUGUACAAGUGCAUCGAGGUUGAUUAUGUGCUUGUAAUCUUUUGAUUAUAUUGUUAAUUUGAAGUAAUAAUGAAAGCAAGUAUGUGCUUGUAAUCUCUUUUCUUUCAGAAUUUUUCCCAUCUUUUUAAUGGAUGAAAGAAUUGAUUGCGGAUAUGUUUUAUUAAGAAAUUUAAUUGAUGUUGCAUUCUUACCUCAAUAUUUUUAUUUAUACCUAUUUGGCUUGCCAUAUACUAUUCUUUUAUGCAUUACCAAUAAUAUUUUCUUUAUAAGAUUACUCUUCGACACCAAUUAAGUGUUUUCUCAAGUUUUUUGUAUUGUUAAUAUUAUUUUUUUAGGGUUAUUUUCAGGGACCUCCCCUGAGGUUUAGUGUAUUUACAGUCGGAUAGAAAGUAUGCAUGUAAUUACAGGGACCUCCCCUGACGUUAAUACAAAAAUACAUAUAACGUUAUCAUAAAGGGAAAAUACGUAAAAAUACAUUUAAAAUUUAAACAAAAACAAAAUUCAAACGAAACUUGCUUGGAUGUCUGAGAACUAAAGACAUGAACUCCCUAUUACCCAGUGACUAUCGUUACCCAACAGACAAAUGAAAAUGAAUUUUUUCAGAAAACGCACUCCACUUCAAAGACACUGCUUACAUAAAAUCGUUGGAGAGCUUACACAACAAAACCCAACUUCAUUUUCAUCGUUGGAGAAGAAGCAAUCACUGAUCUGUUUUCAUCUAAAUGCAUGAGAUGACAUCGUGCGGUGGUCCAAAGCUUCCACGAAGUGAGCAUCGCCGACGGCCAGUGUCUGUCGCGACUGGAAUUAGAUCGCAAAAGAGGUUAGUCUUCGAAAUACAGCUUGCUUCCUUGAAUCAGUGGCUUACGGCUUUUGUUGAUUAAAAAUAACAAUGGGUCUGUUUCAAUUAAUGAAUAUGUUGCUAGAUGUUGUUUUUAUUUGGGGUUGUUGGUGUUGAGUUGAAAAUGUGUGAUAAAAUGGGUCUGCUUAGCUGGACGAUUGGUCCUGUUAUUUGCUGAAUUAUUAAUAAGUAUUAUUAAUUAGUUGUGGACAAUGCGUGAUAAAACAAUUUGAGAUAAGCUACCGAAAAUAUGUAGAAUGCUUGUUUGAGGGGUGGAAAUGAAGUGGUUUGAUCCACACUUUGAUUUUUUAAAGGGAUAGGACUCUACUUUGUGAAUUAUGAGCAUAGGCAAUAUAGUGCACAUGACUGGUACGAUAAGUGAACUUAGUCUGUCGUGUAUAGAAUAAAUUAACUUUCGGGAAAUUUGAGCGAAAAGAAUUGAAAAACCCCAACUCCAGAACAUCCACUAAACAAAGAGUAUGUAGUACUUUAACCUGCUAAUGUCAAAGUUUAUAUAAAAAAAGAACUUCAGGAAUUCUAGAGCUCAUCAAUCAAGUAGAAUUUUCUCUGUAGACGUGGUAGUUGAUAUCUCUCUUCAAUCUUGAUUAUGAAUGAUUGUUUUAUUGCUUUUUUAAGUGCUUCUAAGGUUUUAUUUUGCUCAUGUAUGAUAUUUAAUUACUUGAAAAAGCCUAAUGAUUUUUUGAUAUGAUUGCUCUGCCAAGCUAAUCUUCGUUAUUUGUGAAAUUUGGUGUUUUUUCUUUGAAGCCGGUUGUUUGCUUUUGAUAGAUUCCAUCUUGCAUUUAUUCCUUUUCCAUGGAUUUUGCAGGAUUGAAGAUAGAUUCCAUCUUGUAUGCUUUUGUGUUGUCUCUGUUUUUUCUAUUUGAUCUAGAUUUAAUACAUGAAAGGUUACUAACAAAUUAUCUUUGGUCGUAUUCUCUUUCCGAAACUUCUUUUGCUAAAUUAUUGGAAUUAUAUAAUUUUUGGUAUUUGGCAUGUCUGGAUGUGUACCCUGAAAAAUAUAAAAAAGGACAGAGGCGCAGUGCGUAUCAUAUAAAUGUUGCCAAGCACAUGUUGGAGGGUUAAGUAAAUUAUUAAAUGGUAUUUAUUGUGCUGGCAAAUAUGGUAUUUUUAUGUUGUAGAAGUUCAUUUCACAAUGUUUUCUUUUUCAUUUAAUAUUUUAUAGUGACCAUAUGCAAUGACUUUAACCUUACAGCUUAAUUUACAUGGACAUAGAAGCUGUUGUGGGUGGUAAAAUGGUUAAUGUUGCACAUGUCAUUCCAGAGCAAUACACAUUGAAGAAGUUGUGGGAGGAUGUGAAGGAUGUUUGUUUUGAUUUGCAUGUACGUGUGUAAUUUUUUUAUAUCCAUUGGAUAUUUUGGUGUGUAAUUUUUUUUUUAAAUCCAUUAGAUAUUUUGGUGUGAAUUCUAUUACCCAUCAGUUUAUCAUAUGAAUCAAAAUAGAUUUUGGCGGCAAGGGCAUUUUUGGAAUUUCAACAGUCAACUGACAGUCCACUUAACGGAACAUUAACAUUAGGGGAGGUCCCUGUAAUUACAUGCAUACUUUCUAUCCGACUGUCAAUACACUAAACCUCAGGGGAGGUCCCUAAAAAUAACCCUAUUUUUUCAAUCAUGUAGAACCAAAUAUAGAUAGAGAAAAAUGAUGUACCAAUAAUAGAUGAUCAAAUUGUGAAAUACUUUUGGGACAAAUCUUUAAUUUUAUGAAGAUUGAAAAUGACAGGUACCUUCAAAGUCAUCAUCUACUACAGCUUUGUCUCAACAAAAAAGGAUCAAAAAUUAAAAUCAAGGAAGAAGAUGGCAAAUUUAAGGAAGUUUAAGCAUUUAUAAAACAACCACCUGUUGUUUACUUAAUUCUACUUUUGUGUAAUGUUACUUUUGAAAUGCAAGUUAUGCAACUCAAGAGGGGGGGUGAAUUGAGAUUUUAAAAUUAUGCAAUACAAUUCACACAACAAUUUAAUCUAUUGCCUUAAUCAAAUAAAAAAUAAUAAAUUCAAUCAAGCACAAUAUUAAAAGAGUAAGGGAAGAGAAAACAAACACAAGGAUUUUUACGUGGUUCGGCUAUCCCCGCCUACGUCCACGCCUCCAAACACACCCGGCUUGAGGAUUUCAUUAUCCAAGCCUCCCAAGGCUUCAAAUGUUUACAAUUGACUUCAAUGUGUCAAUGGACCUUUACAACAAGAGAUUAUCUCCCCAAUCUCUUCACCUCAAGUGUUUCUCAUACUUGUACACUCAUAAUUUGAUGAGAAAUGAAAAUCACAACAAUGAAACUCUCUUUAAGAGUAGAUAACAAAUUAUAGCUCAAUGAUGAUUCAAUAAAUGAUAAUUUACAAAAUGGAAGUGAUGAUUCAAUAAAUGAUAAUUUACAAAAUGGAAGCUCAAUAUAUGUUAUAUGAUCUUAUUUAUGCUUGCAUUAGUUUUUAAAAUGAAGUUGGAGUUAAGUUUUUAUAGUUAAAUCCCGAAAACUAGCCGUUAUAGGCAAAUUUCCGCGCCCAAGCAGUUAGCCGCUUGAUUUAUCCGGCUAGCCGCUCAUGAACAGUGAUAGUACCGUCAUUUUUGAAUUUUGCUACAGUAAUAUUAUUCACUAAAAUUACACUUUUGGUCCAAAACUUUCUAUAAUUAUACUAUGGUCUAAAAUGUUAUAAAACUUUGUAAAUAGGUCCAAUUUCAGAAUUUCCUAAGAAUAGUUCUUUCCAAAACUUUUUGAAAUUAUGAUAUGGCCCCAAAGAUAUUAUUAUUUCGCAAAAAGGUCCUUUUCAACAUAAUACCCAUAUUUUUCAAAGUUCUCAAAAUCUUUCACUUUAGUCCAAAAUAUUCAAAAAUUAUAGUAUGGCCCAAAACAUUUCAAAUGUUUGUAAAAACGUCCAACUCCGAAAUUUAAUAAUAAUACUUAUUAAAAUCAAAGAUUUCAAAACUUUGCAUUUAAGUCCAAAUUACUCAAAACCACAAGGUAUUUUAUCUUAUAAAAAUAAAACCUUUUAGUUUAUAAAAAGUAAUUAACUAAAUUAAUCUUUUGAGCUUCUCAAAUGCUAAAUCAUUCAUCAAUUAAAUCAUACCGGCUUUACAAGAAUUUAUCGCACUAAUUUGUCCGUUGAGCUCUAAACUUUAUUCUUGAUUCGCCGUUGUCCGUUGAGUGUCUUGAGCUUGAUUUCACUUGAUUCACUUGCAUAAAUAUUAUCCUUAAAAAAAUAGUGAAAAUGUGAAAUACAAUAUCUAUUAAAUCACUUAAUACAUAUGUUUGUUAUCAUCAAAAUUACAUUAUGUGUAGCCCUUUAGGCUAACAACUUUUAUUUUUCUUCUAUAAUGUAAUCUUAUUUUUAGACUAUUGAUUUUUACCUUUUAGAUUUUAGAUUUCUUUGUAAAUUAUAUUUAUGUUAAUAAUAUUUUUCACUUCAAAGUUCUUUUGUCAUUAAAUUUUAAAUUCUAUGACUACAUAUUGUUAUUAAAAUUUAUGUGAGACUAUAAAAAUUGUCCUUAAAAUAUAUUGGAGACUAAAUUAAUUACUAAUUGUAUUUGUAAAAAUUGUUACAAAUGAUUACUACUUGAGACGAUUGCAUAACGUUGCGAUAUGUAAAUUUCAACAACAGAAAAAUAGUGUUGCUAAUUGUAUCUUUGAACCUUUAAAAUAACGAUUUUUGGUAAUUAUCGAGACUAUCUUUACAUACUCUUAAGACAAAUAUUAUAGUCAUUAUAAAUCACCUAUUGAGACAAAUAUUACAGUCACUAUAAAUCACCUAUUGAGACAAAUAUUAUAGUCAUUAUAAAUCACAUAUUGCGACAAAUAUGAAAUGUUAUUGAUUGUAUUUUUUUAAUCUCUAAUUUGACCAUUUUGAACACCAUUUGUGGCAAUUUUAACUUAAUUUUAAGACAAUGAUUUUUGUCGCAAAACAUAUUUUUAACAUGACAAAAAGAAUUUUGGUCACUAAAGCAUUUUAAGACGGUCUUUCUGCAACUAACUUGUGACGGUAUAUUUAUCGUCAUAGAAAAUAUAAGGUGACUAAUUUGUUAUCUUUAGCAACUAAAUUUUUUGUAAUAAAAUAUCAUUUUUCUUGUAGUGUCUCUAGAGCAAACACAAAUCACAAAUUGUUGACAUUGUACAUUUUCUUGGACUAAGUUUAGAUACAAAAUCUUUGAUGCAAAAGAGUUGAAUGGAAAGAUUUUAACUAUGGGGAUAUAUUGAACACAUGGUGUCACUAAAUAUUUUGAUUGAAUAAUACUAUUUUUUUGUUCAUUAGAUAAGAAAGUAGACGUUAAUGUCAAGAACGAUAACAAUUUAAUGCAAGCAUCUAUAGCUCUUUUGAGACAGUUAAUUAUUAUUAUCUAGGAUGGAAUCACAAAUAAUAAAAAAAAUGCAAAGUAUUGUUCGAUCUCGUAUCAAUGUUUUAUAUAAAUUAUAUGCAAAAGUCAAGUACCAUGUAAUGGUUUCACAAUGUUCAUUCGAGUUCUUUUAUUACAAUGCAAAAUGAUUAACCAUAGUGUGAUAUUAUGUCAUCCAAGAUAGAUUGUAGAGGAAACAAACAAACCUUUAUGAUUGAAGUUUAUUAAUUGUGAGCAUUUUACUGAUUUCAUCUUCUUCAAUUUACUCAGGUUAUUAUCUUUUUUUUUAGAAACACUUAAAAUGCAAAAUCCUCUAAUCUUUGUGUUUGAACUACGAAUUGUUGUAAACCGCAUAUUUUCUCCAAGGAAGCCCUUGUCUUUAUUUAUCUUUGAUUAUGUUUUAUGUAUUUAUUAUUAUAAAACUUCAUUAAUUCUGAAAAAUAAUUUAUCAUUGUAAUUGGAUAUGGGUUUCUUAUUAAAUCCAUUGAACUUACAAAACUCAAAUGAAUAUGAGAAACAAUGAAAAAUAUUUUAUACCCUCAUUAAUAUAAUCAUUUAUUAAUUAUAAAAUAAUUUCCCUAAAUAUUUCAUAAAAGGAUAAUAUUGGAAAAAAAAUGUGGAGUGCGUUAUAAAAUUUAAGAAAAUGGUAAACGAACGAAAGUAAAAUAAAGAAUAAAAAAUGGAAAAAAUGCUCAAAUAUCUUCAUUAUUUGAAACCUGAUUCACUUAUUCUCGUCCCCAACCACUCGUUCUCCACUCACUUCGUCCUCUCCACUCGUUCUCGUUAGUCACUUCGUCCCCUCCACUUGUUCUUCACGCGUUCCUUUCUCCACUCGUCCUUGUCACCAUCCAACGCUGCAGACAGUAUCCUUUCUCAUCCCCAACGCCUGCUAAAGAUCGAUCUACAACAAAAACGAUCGAUCUACAAUGGAGCCGCCACCAGUAGAACAACCGAUAGAGUCACCGCUACUACGUCAUUUGAGUCAUCGUGAAGGUCUUGUUUAACUCUCUUUAUCUCUCAGUCGUACAUAAUCAAUAUUUUGUAUCAAUUUUUGUCAAAUAAAUAAAAAAAUAUUUUUUUUAUUUGAAUUCUGUGAUAUAUUUUAUUUUUGUAUGAUGGUUGUGUGAAAGGAAUAAUGAUAAUUCUAUAAAAAAAAAAUAAUUACGUGAUUUGUGAUAAUUUUUUUCUGAUAAGUUGAUUUAGGAAAUAUUGUAUUAAUGCUUAAAUGCAUCGAAUUUUUGGUUCUGAAAUGCACCGAAUUUUUGCAUAAUAUUUGAUUUGAAUAUUAGUUUUGCAUUUUGCAUAAUGUUUAAUUUAAAUGCCGAUAUUGAUUAAUUUAUACCUAUUAAGAAAUAAUUAGUGAUGAUUUGUUUUGUUUAUACAUAUUAAGAGGAUAGUUACUGAAUUUUUCACUCUUAGCAGUUCUAUAUUAAGAGGAUCCUAAGAUGCAUGCUUAGAAAUUUAAAUUUAUUACUAAUUUUAAAGAACACGGUUCUUACUAAUGUUUUGCAUUUUGCAUAUAAUUAAGAUUAGGAAUGCAAGUAGUAAUUUGGGCAUAUAAUAUUUGAUCUGAACUUUUCCAAUGUAGAAACCAAAUGCCUACUCAAAGCUGUUAUGUUGUUUUCAAAGGACGAAAGUCGUGCAUAUAUAAUUCUUGGCCUAAAUGCCAGAAGCAAGUAAAUGGAUUCAAAGAGAAUGCUUAUCAAUCUUAUAAAUCUUUGUUGGAUGUCGAAACAACGUACAAUGAGUACAAAGCAUGAAAAAUUACCAGAGACAUCCAAUAUGGUAGAAACUACAAAAUUUAUUGUGGAAACACACAAAAAGGGGGUGCAAACUGAAGUGCCUACAUGCGACAAAGCUAUGCAAACUAAUAAAGUCAAAAGUGAUUGUAUUAUUCUGCCUAUAUUAUCCAUUGUAUGUUUUAUUUUAUGAAUAAUUAUUGCUAUAUGUAUUUUGCACAAAUAAAGAGAUUGUACUCCUUGUUAUGUAUAAAUUUAAAUAAUUUAAACAAAAUGAUUGUUAUGUAUGAGUUGCAAUGUUUAAUCGUAAGAAGGAAGGACCUUUCCCUCUGGAGCCUAUGCAUGUCUAGAGAUAUUAUGUGUAUCAAAAGAAACAACAAUAAUGUAAUGAUACACAAGUCGCCAAAUCUAACAUAUAUUAUUGAUCCAUCACUACAAUUUCAAACAUUUAAAUUCAAAUAUAUCAUAAUUUCAAACAUUUAAAGCCAGAUCUAACAUGUAUCAUUAAUCCAUCACAAUAAUUUCAAAAUUUUAAAGUUAAAUUUAACACAAAUCAUUAAUCAACCAAUACAAUUUCAAAAAUUUAAAGUCAAACCUAACAUAUAUCAUUAAUCAAUCACUACAAUUUAAAGCCAAAAUACAAGUCAAGCAUCAUGAUUGUUAUCUUCAUUACAUUGCUGCUUAGUAACUGGUGGAAAUUCUUAUUUUGAGAUCCUUGAUAGGUCAUCGAAGGAGAAGAAUAAUGCAACUGCGAAGUAUACGGUGGGACCGGUUGCUAUAAUACAUAAAAAUAAACAUCAUAUUACAUUUUAGAAAUAUUAAAAUAUAAGUAUACAUUAACGACUUGUAAACAACAACUUACUGUAUUCCAAUUAUAAGAAAAUGACUGAUAAAUAUUGCUUCCACCGAAUUGAGAUGGGUACAUAGGUACCUAAUCAAAUAAUAAAAUAUAUGUAAAAUCCAUAUAAAAAUCUUAAAACUAAAAUUUAAUUAAUUUAAUUCUUACAUUAUAAUAGCCCAUAGUGUCGCAUUGGUUGAGAUUUCCAUAAACAACACUUCCUUCUUGUAGCGUCUACAUAUGCUCAAUCUUAUACUUAGUUACAUAUCCUCGAAAUAAAAGAAAAGUUUAAAAGAAAAAUUCACAAAACUUAUUGUGGCUAUGUUGCUCUCUUGUGUGGAGAUUUUAUUAGGCACAUGAUAAGACGAUGGAGCAUUUUCUUGUAAAUCUUGCAAGAUUAUUGAAGACAAUUAAAUUAAGACCAAAUGAAUUAGAAAAGAUAUAUUUGUAUUUAAAAGACCUUUUUUUUUUUUUUUGCAGCCUUGUUCCUUUGACCAGAUUUCUUACGAAUUGAAGAUUUUUACCUUAAGCACGGUAGACGGCCUUUACGACGUGUCACUGCUGGAUCAUUAAGUACAAGUUGAACAUUGUUGCUGCUACAACUUACUUUGCCAGUAACAGUUCUUUCCACACUGUCACUGUGAAUUUGCUUGUUACUGCUACAACUUGCUCCACCAGUAAUAGUUUUUUCCACACUUCCACAGCGAAUUUGCUUGGGCAGAUCAUUCAUUGCUUUCUCAAUCCAAUCCAGCACCAUUUUGUAACUAUUUUCAUCAUCAGAAGCUAUAUCUGCAACCUCACUAAAAGCGCUACACAUUUUUUCAUAUCUUUCCCACUGGAUGGACAAAUUCUGCACACCAUAACUAAUUUUCACCUUACUAUAGCACCUCCUCACAUCUUUCCUCCACCUUGAUAAGAUGUAUAUUUCUGGAAGUAAUUCAACUAGGUUACGUAUUAACACUGCAAGGGGAUGACUAUAAAGAAUCCCCCUAAAUUGAAACUUUGAACAGAUAUAAUUAACUUCACAGUCAACUUCUUCGAAAACAACCUCAAAGAUUUUUUUCUUACCUUGCCCAUAUGAUUCACUUAUUUUAUAUAUUGAUCCCACAUAAUCCAAUAUAUCACAAUACAUUAGUACAGUUAAUUCUUAUAGGAAUUCUUUGAACUUAGAAAUACUGUACACCUCUUCAACUUACUUCUCCAUCUCAUAUCUUGUUACACAUGGUGUCCGUUUACUGAAACACUUCGCAUCUGUUUGCCAUUCUAAUUUAGCUUUCCUGCUCAAUGCAUUUUCAUAUUGCUUCAUAAACGGCUUCAGAUUUGUUUUUGAGUUAACAAACCCAUCAAAAAAUGUAUUCAUACUUUCACUUCGCUAAGUAGUUGACAUUCUUGCCCAAAAACAGUCUUUUAAAUAGCAUGGAACCCAACAAUGCCUCUCAUCGUAUAAACCAUUUAACCAUUCAUUAUCCCAUAAAUCAUAUUCUGUAAUCAUGUCAUGCCAAGCUUCUUCGAACGCAACAGAACUCAAUGAAUUAUAAACAACAGAAAGCAGCGAAAAAAAAUACAUUCAUGUUCUUUAAACGCCCCUAACUUUUCAGGUACCUUCUUCAUUACAUGUCAUAAAUACUACCAAUGCCUAGUAGUAGGAAAAAUAUUUUCAAUUGCCUUUUGCAUUGUCUUGUCUUGGUCUGUAAUGAUACCAAGAAAAGGAGAAUCGGACAUGCAUGAUAGCCACGUCUCAAAUAACCAUGUAAAUAUCUCAGUAUCCUGCACGUGAAAUCAAUCCGCAUCCUAACAAAAUAGAUUGGUCAUGGUGAUUAACUCGGACAAAGGGAGCGAAUGGCAUGUCAUACUUGUUGGUUAGAUAUGCAAUGUCAAAUGUGAUGACAUCUCUAAAUAUUUGUAAGCUACUCUACUCCUUAGAUCUGCUCAAAAUACAUUCUUUAACCAAUCCUGCUCAUCUAAAUCAAUGCUAAAAAAAAACUCUUACAUUCUAAUUACUUUUUCAGGAAGUCUUUAAAAGUGUCAUAGCAUCUCCUUCCCCAAGCUAUAAUUGCCUUGUUUCAUCAACAAAAUUUCUGCAAUCUUUUUCUAAGAAUAGACAUUUUCAUGCCCACCAGCUUCAACAACAAUAGAAUUGAAAUUUUGGGCAAUUAUAAUUCCCGCACAAUCAUUCAUUUCAAUUCACUUUUUAGCACUUGCACUAAUUUUGCGAUUGUAAGGGAAAUACCUAGCUUUGUCUGGACUCAAUCCGUGGUUGUGUUGAAGAUUUAAAAUUCGAAGAACCCAUUUUCCAUCUUCAUUUAGACAACCUUCAAUUUUUGCAUCACAACCAUUUUUCACAUUAGGUUUCGACUUCAAUGCAAAUUUACUUUUUGACUUGCCACUAUGGCAACAUACAAAUGUUACACAUUUGACAAUCCCAUCAGUCCUUUUCUUAGUACUUCGAACCUUCACAGAAAACCCCUCUUGUUUGUCAUAGGCUUUGUAAAAUGCAAACAUUUCUUCAUGACUAUCAAAUAACAUUCUAAGAGUUGGCUCAUAUUUUUUUGGUUGCACAAUUCCAACUACAUUGUCGGCUCCUAUUUCUUGUAACUCUUCAAAUGCAUGCUCAUUUUCCAAAUUCUCCAUUUCUACAAAAUAAUUAACAUUUGUAUUAAGAAUAAGUAAUUAUAAAUUUUUAUUACAUUUUUUCCAAUAACAAAAAUCCUAACAAUUUAAAUAAACAAAACACAUCCACAAAUUUUUAUAAAUUUAUUCCAUUAUUUCCAGCAUUCUAAAUUAAAAAAAAAUCCUAACAAUUUAAAUAUAUAAAACACAUCCACAAAUUUUUAUAAUUUAUUUCAUUAUUUCCAGCAAUUAAAAUUAAAAAAAAUCCUAACAAUUUAAAUAUAUAAAACACAUCCAGAAAUUGUCAUAAAUUUAAUCCAUUACUUUCUAACAAUUUAAAUUAAAAAAAUCCUAACAAUUUAAAUGUAAAAACGCAUCCAAAUUUUUUACAAAUUUAAUACAUUACUUUUUAUCAAUUCAAACAAAAAAAAAAAAUCAUAACAAUUCAUAACAAUUUAAACAUAUAAAACGCACGCAUCCAAGAAUUUUUACAAAUUUAAUCCUUCACUUUCUAACAAUUUAAACUGAAAAGAAAAAAAUCUAACAAUUUAAAUAUAAACAACACAACCAAAAGCUAAUUUUAUUUUAAUGUAAUGGGAAAGUGAAAGUUACCAAUUAUCCGGCUAAAAUUUCAUCAACGUUGUUGGUGUAGUCUUUGGCACCAAAUUCAGAUCUCCGAAUGCAGAUCUCCAAAUAAUAGCCGCUAGUUUUACUUCAAUUUUCUUCUGUUAAUGCAAAUGCAUAUCUGAGUUGGUUUGGUUUGGCUUCUUUGUUGGGUUUGAGGGAUAAUGGCAAUUUUAGUUUUUUAUCAUUACUUUCUUAUUUUGCCAUUUCCUUUUCGUUACUUUUGGUUUCCUUUUCAUUAUUUUAAUGUUUUCUUUUUAUUAUUUUAAUUUUUAAAUGAAAAAAGCAACAAACAAAGGGACCCACAAAAACGGCAGCAUGCAUUGCCAUUUCUGUCGUCCCUUUAUCAUCCGUUUGUUUAUUUAGCACUACUCUAAGGUAGUGUUUACUUGCUGGAGUGGGAGUGAGGAGUCUGGAUUCCUCCCACUCCAGUGUUUACUUACUAAUUUUAAGAGGGGAGUGGGAAUCCCACUCUGUGGGACUCACUUUUUUUUGGAGUGGGGAGUGAGAUUCCCACUCCCAUGGGGGGAGGUGGGAGUGAGAAUCCAGUCCCCUCUCUUCCAUUUUUAUCCUUACAUUUAAUCAAAUAAAAUAAUAUCAUGUUUAUUUAAAUAAUAUUAUUAUAUUAUUUUAUAAAUUAUACUUAUUAAAAACAAUAAUUUAUAUUGAUUCUAAGUUAAAAUUACUUAAAAAUAAUAUUAUUAUACUCAUAGAGAAUUAAUAAUAUUACUAUAUACUCUUUUUAUUUGAAAAUAUAAUAUUAUUAUAUUUAUUUAAAAAUCAUAGUAUUAUAUUUAUUUAAAAAUCAUAGUAUUAUAUUUAUUUAAUAUUAUUAAUUAAUAAUAAUCAAUAUUUUAUUCUAAGAAAAUAUUAUUUUUGUAUUAUAUUAUUAAUAUUAAUAAUUAUUAUUAUUUUACAAAUAUAAUAAAAUAAAUAUUUUAUUUUUCAAAUCUAUUUUUAUUAAUUUUGUAACUAAAAACUAUAAUUCUUUAAAAUAAUGAUAAAACUGUAAUUUAAAAUCAUUUAAUCUCAAUUCCAUGCUUUCAUUCUUGUUUAAGUAAACAACCUACUUCCACUCCCACUCCCACUCCACACUCCUAAUCCCAGAAUUCCCACUCCUCAUGAUUUCCACUCCAAUCCAAAAUGUAAACGCAGCAUAAAUUUUAAUAGAGAGAAAUAUCGCAACCAACUCUGACUAGUGGUGUGAUUUGACAUAUAUACUACAACUCAUUUUUCCUUUUCACCAAAUGAGACAAACUAAUUUUCUAUGUUUAUUUUUUCCUUUCCAACCGUUGACAUGUGCUCGCGACUAAAUUUUGAUUAUAGCUUUCGCUGCUAACCAUACUCAAAGUUCAGCUUUGGUGAGGGCCAAUUAUGGGAGUUUUCCAAAUAUAGUGUCAAAAUCAAAAGGAACAAACCAUAAAAAUGAAUGAUGUGGGAAAUAUUUGGUCAACACAAUUUGAUAAGACGAUGUAUGAAAUUUUAGCAAUAUCAGUAUGAUUCAGACGGCUCUAAGUUCGGUUUUGGUGAGGAGCAAUUUUUAGAGUCUUUCAAAUUUAAGUGAAUCUACAAAAUUGAAAGAGAAAGCUAAUUCAAUAAAGUGUUUAGUGAUUUGAAUUCUUCCCCAUAGUAUUCUUAUUUUUCCCUUUCUGAAACCCUAAUUACACUAAUUUUUCCCUCUUUUUUUUUUUUUGACACCUAAAAUAUGCGCUCAUCACUUUUCUUUUCCCUAUCUAAAAUUCAUUGUCCAUUACCUCAUUAACUAUUAUUCUUUAAGAACUUUUUUUAGAGGUUGCCCGCCUUUUGUUUAGAAUAAUUAUUUAACCAUUGUAUUUGUACCUUAUUUUACAUUAAAUUUGUUUCCAUCCGUUGGAUUUGAGAAAUGGAAAAUCCAAGAUCCAUAUCGUCAGGCUAUUUAUUUCUGCACUUGUAACAUAGGCGCUGCCAAAAUAAUCUCUCUUACACCUUAGUAAUUUGGUCAUUUCAAACUAGACAGGUUGUUAAUCAAGGACUAAUUUGAUAUAAAUAAAUAUAUUAUGUUAUUAUUUAAAAGAAAUAAAAAGAUAGGGAUGCAAAUGUUAUUAUACAUUCAGUAUUAAAUACAACUUAGAAUUCUAUAUAGUUCAAAAAUCACCACAACUAGUGUCUAGCCAUCUAUUCCUGUGUUUAGGAUUAUAUAUACUCUUUUCCAUAAUUGUGAAAGAGAAAAUAAAUUGUGGAGUCCCCACAUCUUAUAUUGAGGAAGGUUUCUACCCUUUCUCACAAUAAGCCCACUUUACAGGGUCCAAUUACCCCAGGCUACAGCCUCGGUGCUAUUUCUAUUUUUGAACUAAUUUAUUUAUAAAGUUUCAGUCUUUAAAAAUAUAUGUUAAAAACAUAUAUAUAAGUUAUUAAAGAAAUAGCAGUGAUAUAACCACAAAUAAAUUUAUAAAUUAUGACAAAAAUAGAAAAAAAAAUAAUAGGAUAAAAUAGACUCAAUUUCAAGUUAUAAUGUAUUUAAUAGGAGUGGGCAAUUUCGGAUUCGGAUCGGAUUCGGAUGAAUCCGAUCGGAUUUCAGAUAAUUCGCAUUGAAAAAAAAUUCAUCCGAAUUCAAUCCGACUUUAAAUCCGAUCCGAAUAAUUCGGAUCAGAUGAAAAUUUCGGAUUACUCGGAUUCGGAUCGAAUCGGAUGAGUUUAGUUUUUGGAUUAUAUUUCGGAUUCGGAUUAUAUUUUGGAUUCGGAUUGAAAUCGGAUUUGGACAUUUUUAACAAUUCUCACAAAAAAUUUAUGAAAUAUAUAAUUAAUGAAAACUUACUAACCAUUAAAAAAAAAAAACCAAAACAAAUUGACAAAUGACAAUGUAUUAUUUCCUUGACAACAUGGCAUUGACAUAUACCAAGAAAACAAGCCGAUACAAAGUUUCCAUUCACAAAAAAAAAAAAAAAAAAUAAAGUUUCCAUUCACAAAAAUAAAAAAAAUAUAAUCCAUUAAAAUGAAAAUAUUUAAAUAAUCAAAUCUAAUAAUCUAUAAUCAACGACCCAUUUAUAUUCUCAUAUGCAUUCAUUUUGUACAAACACUCCCAUUUAAUUUAAUUAGUAAUCCUCUUACAAGCUAGGUGCAUAAACAUUACUCCAAGUCCAAGCCUGCAAAUAAGCAACACAAAAUAAACAUUGCUCCAAGCCUCCAACUCUCCAAAGUCCAAAUGAAUAACACAAAAUAAACUUUGCUCCAACUCCAAUCUCCAAGUAAACAACACAAAAUAAACAUUACUCCAAGUCUUCAAACAAACAACACAAAAUAAACAAUCAACUAUUACUCAAAGUCUCCAAAUAAAUAAACAACACAAAAUCACAAAAUAAAUAUUAUCAUUAUAUCAUCCAACAAUAAAAUAAACCAAAAUAAAAAUUAUCAUCCAAAAACAUUUAGUCAUUUAACUUAUUUUUUUAAUUUUCAGUUUUUUUUUUAGUUUACAGUGCAAAUCCGAUCCGAUCCGAACCAAAUCCGACCGGAUCCCACAAAUUUCAUCCAAUCGGAUUUGCCUUCAAAUCCGAAUCGGAUGCCCACCCCUAGCAUUUAAGUUGGAUACGGUGGUUGAAGAUGUAGUUGCCAUUGUACAAACAAGAUAAGAUAUUGCUUUAUCGAAGCGGUUCGAAAAAUACAAGCCUGAAAAUAAUUGUUUUAUAGGAAAAAUAGAAGAUCUUAUUCAAUCAUACUCUGAAUUACACAAUAACAAAUUUUUUCUUAAUAAAUCCACUCAUUAAAUUAAACUCAUAUAGAAAGGUUGUAAAAAGAUCCCAAACUAAUUAAAAUUUUUAAAAAUUACCCUACAUCAAAUUUAUUUUUUGUACCAUAAAACAAAACGAUAGUCGCAAACUUAUUUUGUACUAGGAGUAAUGAUUAUGUACAAAAAUGGGCACAGAAAGGUCUUUGGCUCUACAGUCUACUCGGUGAUUCGUGAAAUACUGAAAUGCUUUCAAAGGGGGGCAAAAAGAAAAAAGAAAAAAGAAAAUAGAAUAUAUUCUAAUUUUUUUAAUUAAAAAAAAAACCCUACUAUAUACUUUUAUAAUAACUCCCUCGAGUGCAAUGUCUCAAAGGUUGUCUUCUUCGUCCCGCUGACAACCCAAAAGGCAGAAACGCAAUGUCGUCGCAUUCGAUGGAGUCAUUGAUUCUCCAACUCCACGAGAUCUCGGCGGUUAAAUUCGGAAACUUUAAGCUAAAAUCCGGCAUAUCGUCUCCCGUUUACAUCGACCUACGACUUAUCGUUUCUUACCCUUCCCUCCUCCGCCAAAUAUCCAAAACCAUCAUCUCCUCCCUCCCCUCCACAACCAAAUACGACCUCGUGUGCGGCGUUCCGUACACCGCCCUCCCAAUCGCCACCUGCGUCUCCGUCUCCAACGACGUCCCCAUGCUCAUGCGGCGCAAGGAAAUCAAAGACUACGGCACCGCCAAGGCCAUCGAAGGCAAUUUCAAGAAGGACGAAAUCUGUCUGAUCAUCGAAGAUUUAGUCACCAGCGGCGCGUCGGUCCUCGAAACGGCGGUGCCAUUGAGAGCGGCGGGGCUGGUGGUGACGGACGCCGUCGUAUUGAUCGACAGAGAGCAGGGAGGGAGGGAGAAUCUGAAGGAGAACGGAAUUGAGUUGCAUGCGAUGAUAAAGCUGAGCGGUUAGGAUUUUGAGGGAGAAAGGGAAGCUUGAUGAGGAAACGGAGAGAGUGGUGAUGAAGUUUUUGGAGGAGAACAAGAAAGUGGCGGCUUCGAAUUUAGGUGGGGUUAGGGUUAAGGGUUUGAAGUACGAAGAGAGGGCGAAUUUGAUGAAGAAUGAGACUGGGAGAAAAUUGUUUCAAGUGAUGGUGAAGAAGAAUGACACUGUGACCAUGCAGGCUGAAGGGUAAGACUCUGCGCUUCUGUAUUUCUUAAUUUCUUUGUUCUUUGUGUCCUUGCUUCCUCUUGAGGGUUCCUGUCUCUGUGUCUGCAGUGGUAUAUUUUGUAUAUUGGAUUGGGCCGAUAUAAUAAAUGCUCACAUAAUCUCUGGACCGGGAAUUGUGGAUGGUCUGAAAUUAAAGGUUAGAAUCAACUAUUUGGUAUAACUUUUGUCUGCCUUGAAGUAAUCAACUAAUCUGUUUCUAAUGUUAUGCAUAGUAUUGAUUUACCAGGGAUUACCUCGUGGUAGGGGUCUGUUGCUGCUGGCUGAGAUGAGCUCAGCUGGAAACCUAGCAAAGGGAGACUAUACAGCAGCAGCUGUGAAAAUUGCCGAGGAUCAUUCUGAUUUUGUCAUUGGAUUCAUCUCAGUUAAUCCAGCAUCAUGGCCAGGGGCACCAGUCAAUCCAGCCUUUAUUCAAGCAACCCCUGGAGUUCAAAUGGUAAAGGGAGGUGAUGAUCUAGGCCAACAAUAUAACACUCCAUACUCGGUAAGUUCUGUUCGUUCACUAGCUCCCCUCAACAUGUUUAUUUUUCUAGCAAUACUAUCCAUGAAAACUAUUAAUACAAACUUAUCUAUGCAAAUGAACAUGGGAAUACAAUUAUUAAGGUAAACGUUAAAAGAAAGUCAAUUUAAUUGCCACAUCACCCAUUUUCAUUUGUGGUUUUUUUUUUUUUUUUUUUAUAAUCAAAUUUCAAUGUGCCAGGUUAGUUUAUAUUGGUUGAGUGUGUAUGUCUAGUAUUUUGAUAAAUUUGUCACAAGUUGUAAAAUAGAUGUAAACUUGAGUGAAGAAUUAGCAAUUGAACAACCAGCUCCAAUCGAAUUAGCAUUUUUGCCUUAUGUUCAAAUUUGAGAAGGCCUAACUGAAACAUUUUUUCUUAGGGUCCCAGGUGCAUUGAGCCAGCCGAAGGACUAAUGGGUGCUAGUUACUUAAUAUAAUCUAAGAAAUAAAAUCAGCAUUUUACAUGUAAUGGAAUUUUAGACAUGUCAAUGAGGCAUAAGGGGAAGAAGUUUUGAUUGCAAAUUUGGGAGGCCAUCAAAAUGAUUUGUUUUGGUGUGAUAACGAAAAAUUCUAAUGAAUAAACCCAAACCCUGGAAUGUUUUGCCAUAUAUGACUAGAUCCUCAAAAGGUUAGGAAAAUGAGGUAAAGAAGAUCCAUUUUCCUCCUGUUUUAUAUAUGUAGGAACUUUAUCUUUUCAUGGGUAUAUCAUUGCUAUCACUAGAUCCCCAAGAGAUUAGGAAAAUAAGAUAGAAAAGAUCCAUUUCGUCCUUUUUUUUUCACAUAUAGGAAUUUCAUCUUUUCAUGGGUACUUCAUUUCUAUGGAGCCAAAGAUAUCAUUUGCUCUAGUUUCUGAAAUUGAGCUUCGUACACCAUGUUUUGAAAUUGACCCUUGACUAGAGAGAAAAAAUUUUCGUUUAUGACCAGAAAUUUUCUGUAAAUUGAAAUGAGAAAAAGUUGGAGAGGAAAAGCUUGGGAUUUAUAAUUUGGUAACAUGGUUUAUCUUUUCUUCAGGCAGUAAGCUUUGCUUAGCUGUGUCUAGAUAUCUUUUUGUCCUUGAUUGGCUGAAUUCCUAGAUAUUUCAUCCUAAAGACUUAUUCGUCUCCAUCUUUUCCCUCCAUACAUUGAACCAAUGUUGUAUCUUGUUUCAAAACAGGUAAUUUCUCCAACUUCAAAUUUAGCCUAGCCAACUAUAAUUUAACCAGGGAACAAGCUAGAAGGGGCAGAGUUAAUGAACUAAGGUUAACUGGUGUUUAAAAUAGUUGUAACUUGUACCUCAGUGAUUUUAUUCGAGAGCCUCACAGCCAUGUGAUAUUCCCUUUGUCACACAUAGUAUGACUAUUAAGAUGCUUCUUGCAGGCUAACUAAUCCAACUUGUUACACCAACAAAACAAUAGCUGAGUGCUCGACUGCUCUUAACCUGUUCUAUUUGGUUGACACUGUUGCAGCUUUAAUAACUUUAACGUAAAAUUGUUCUCCAGGUCAUCUACGAUAGGGGUGGUGACAUAAUUAUUGUGGGUCGUGGAAUUAUAAAGGCAGCAGACCCUGCAUUGGCAGCCCGUGAGUACCGGCUUCAAGGAUGGGAGGCCUACUUGGCUAAGUGCAGUCUGGACUUCUGCUCGCUUCAACGGUUGCGAUAAUGAACAGAUGAGUCAAGUUCUGCAUUGUACUUAUAGUAACUUCUCAAGUCUGGUAAUGCUGCUUGUCUGGUUUUCCCAAUGAAACAUGGUUGCAAGAUUUCUGAGUGUUGUGUUAUCAACAAUAUAUGAAAUUUAUGAACAUGGUGUUUGGAGUUGCCAACCAUCUCAUUCAAAAUUAUCAUAUUGAAUGAUUCGGAUGAUUCCUCUUUUGUGGUUUGGAUGGACACGUGGCAAGGCGCAGUAGAUGCCUUGGAAAUUGGUAUUGGACAAUUAUCUUUAAAUGUUGAUAUGGUAAAAUGACCAGGAUUACUCUAUGUUUAGCAAAACGAAUCAUUUUCUCUCUAAUAUUUUAUAACCUACAAAUAAUAAUGUUAGAAUGUCAGUUUUUCCAAAAAAAAAUUGAUAGCAGAAUAUUAAAUAAAGGGAUAUUUUUUUUAGAAAAGGAAAAUAGUUAAUUUAGCCAAAUAGAAAGAAGAUACUCAUUUUCCCAAUGGUUUUUUUUGAACUCUCAUUUUCUCAAUAUAUAACUAAUAAUUUAACAAAGUGUUAUUAAGAUUUUAAAAUAUUUCUUAGGAUGAAUUGAUUUUUAAACGCGAGCGAGAGGAAAUUGAUGAGAUUUAAUUAGUAACAUUAAGAUCGGUAAAUGAUAUAAUAUAAAACAAAACUAGUAAAGAACAAAAAGGGCCAACAUGAAGAAAACCCAAAAUUGAAACCUGUCCUUUCUGUAUUUUCUCGAGAAAUUUCUCUCUCCGACUUACAGCUCAACGGCUUUAAUUUGAAAUUCUUCACACUCUUUCAAUUGUCUUUCAACGCGCACACUUCGUAUCCUUCGUUAUUAAUUGUUCACACACGCUCCCCCAACACCGAGCAGACUCUCUCUCUCUCUCUCUCUCUCUCUCUCUUCUGUCCGAAUUAGGGUUCUGUUGGGCUGUGAAACAUUAUAAUGCGCUUCUGAUUUCAAAUACUUUUCCAGGUAAUUUAAUCUUUUUUCCUUUCUUGCUUUCUGGAAUAUUCUAAGAUCUUAAUCUAGAUUUGUUUCCUCAUUUCGGCAUUUUAAAAAAUUUGCUUUUUUUUUUCUCUUACGGUUUAGGGUUCUCAAAAUCAUAUACGAUGCUGUUUUACUGCCACAUUUGUAAUUCGGCCAUUUUUCUUUUUCCUUUUUUUUUGUGAGUGUUGAAAAGGAAAAAAAGUGAUAUUUUCCUUUCUGGGUAUUGCUGGAUUUUGGCCCCAGAAAAAAAACUGUAAUUCCGUCUCUUUGCUUGUAUAUAUGUAUAGGUAUCUUCUACAUUACCAUCUUAUUGGCUUUCCGGGUGACGAAAAUGGGUAGCUUAACUUUCUUAUAAUUGAGUUAUGCUAUGUGGGUUUGUUGUGGUGAUUAAAUACUGAUGGCAGUGUCUAAUGAGAUGAUGAGGGAACUCUAUCUAUGCGAAAAUGCAUGGUGUAUUUUGUGUUUAAAGAUUUUUAUGCAAGUUUUAUUGUAUUACGUUGUUUUAUUAAUAUUACUGUCUCCCAAUAUUUGAGUUCUUGUGUUUAUCGAAUGAUAGAAAAGAGUUUACCCUGAUUUAUGGUUUUGAUUGAGAUGUGAUGGGUAUUUUUAUUUGAUUAUAGGUUGGCAAGUCAAAACUUGACCUUGGUGCCUGCAAGGAAGAAGUCAAGAAGAUUGACUAGGAAACAAGAUCUGUUGGUAAGAAUUCCUUCCCAACGAAAACUUUAAUACUGAUUAAUGUCAUAAACUUGUUGGUUCAUUUUUUUUUUAUUUAAAUUUUCAUUUGCCUGGGCAUGUUUGCUGUACUAUUAUUCAUGAAUUGGGAAUUGAUCUUUGAAUGAGUAUUGGAAUCAAAUAAUGACGAAAGUAUAUAAUGAACAGUUGAAUGUUCUUUGGCCAAAAUAAAUUCACUUUGGCAUGACUUAAGGCUGAAAGAAAAGAUUAUGUAAUGAAAAGAAGACAAUUUUUAUGAUGAUUAUGUAUACAUGUCAAACAAUGUCGUAAAAAGGAAAUAUGUCAUAGAAUGCAGAAAAUGUAGGAAACUACAUUGCCCCUCUUAUGAGUUUAUCUAUAUAUAUAGUUUCCUUAUAUAUAUAUAUAUAUAUACCCUAAGGACCGGAAAGAGUUAAAGCUUAGGGUGACUGGUAGAAUUUGGAAAGAACAGUGAUGGAUGGAAGUGCUUUUUGUCUUGCAGCUUCGUGCAAUCAUGUUUUGCCGUCAUAGCUGGUAGUUGAGUUUUAUCUUGUUGGUGGGUAGUCCAGUGAGUCCUCUGGUUCAUGUAUUUUUUUGUUAUGUAGAAAGCAAAUUCUCUUUGCAUGUCCUUGCACUGAAUGCAUGAGUGGGGAAGACGUGUUGUGCUCUUUAUGCCUACAAUUGUAAUAUCUAUCUAAAUAUAUUUCAAUUUAUUGCAUUGCUGCAGUGCCAUUAGUUUUCUCUUUGCCUAUGAUGCAUAUGAACGAAGUCAACAGGAAGUAAAGCUUUGUGUCAUUAGUUUAACCAUGAAGCACUUGAAAGAGUUUUGUGGAAAGUUUUUCAAAGAAACAAAUUUUCUUAUUAUCAAUUUGCAACUGAAUAAAAAAAUGACACAUUAAAUUCUCUCUUUUUAAUUAAAAAUUUUAUUAUCGAAAUAAUUUUUAAAAAUUACUUAAUUAAUUCUUUCUUUUUUUUUUUCUCAAUUUCAUAAAUUCUCAUAAAUUCAUUCAGAUAUCCUUUUUUAGCUACAAAUAAUCGAUAUCACUAAGUAUUUCAUGUUUGCUUUAUAUGAAAAAAAGGAAUUAUGAAUAAAGUAUUUUAGAUAUAUUAUUAUUAUUAUUAUUAUUAUUAUUCAUGAUAUAUUAAAAAAGGACAAAAUUAAACUAAAAAUAAAGUGAAAUUGAGUGUUUAAUUUGUAAAGAAUAGAGAAAAUAUGCAAUUGUAAGAUAAAGAGAGAGUGAUUAGUGAAGAGUAAUUUUGAGAAUUUUAAAUUUUUAAUAAUAAAUUUAUUUUUUAAAAUAGGUACAGAGAUAAAUUUAUUUCAAAUAGGAGAGGAAUUUAAUGAGUUCAAAUAGCCCCACCAUUGUAAUAAUAUUAUACAGAAUUUAAUGUUAUACUAUAUUAUAUUUAUUUUUUAUUGAUAUUAUUUAAAUUUAUUAUUAAUUAUAUUAAAUUAUUAACUAAAUAAUUAUUUUAUGUUAAUUAUUUUAAUGUUAAUCAUUAAUAUAUAAAUAUAAUAUAAAAUAGCAUUUUUAAAUAAAACUACAUGAUACCAUAAUUUUAUUUUUAAAUUUUAUUUAUUAUAAUAAUAAAAUUUAUUAAAAUAUAUUUAAUGCCUUAAUUAAGGCAAAAGCUGGUAAUGUUCCACAAUGCAGUUUCCAAAACUUUCAAAUAUAGGUAACCAAUAAAUUAAUGUAAUCCGUAUUUAUAAUAUUAUGCAAUGUUAUGUUCCAAACACACCCUUAAUUUAGUUUUUGCCGCAUUAUCAAACCUCGUGCCCUCCUCUGUAAAUUGUAUUGGUAACUUUUACAACAUAAAAUUAUUUAGUCAAUUAGAAUAUAUUUAAUUAUUACUAUUUUAUAAAAUAAUAAAUUUAAAUGGUAAAAAUAUUGAUUACUGCCAACCAUCACAAUCCACCGCUUGCGAUAUCAUUUCGAUAUCCUUUGACAUCAAUUUAGGAAUUAAUAUAAUCCUUAUUAUUGGAGCUAUACAACGAUAUAUGUAAAACCAAAAAUAGAGCUUCAUUCAUUGUAGAUCUAUGGUCAAAGUUUUGUAUCUCUAAACUUUGACCGUAUAUUUAUUAUAAUGAUAGGAAACUCUGUUGCUGAUGAGAUAUGCACCAUUGUGUAUAUCGAAUGAUGAAAAUUAUAAUGGUACCGAAAUUGACAUCAAAAGAUACUGGAAUAUGAACACCGAUGAUAGCUCAUGGUGGCCCAUGGGCGACAGUGGUGAGUAAUCUUCUGUCGUUUAUAAAUUUUAAAUAAUAAAUUUAAUAAUUAUAAAUAAUAAAACUUUUAAGACAUUUAUAAUUAUAAAAAAUAAUUUAAUAUAAGUAAUAAUAUUUAUAUUGUUACAUAUAAUGCUAUACAAUAUAACACCAAAUAUUGUACAAUAUUAAUAUAAUAAAAUGAUAAUGCAAUAAUGCAAUAAUGCAAUACGCCUACACUAUAAUACAAUAUAGUGUGCCAAACACUCUCUACCACUUUACUUAAUGUUGCUCAAUGCCUUUUAUUUCAAUUCCCAAUCAUGAGUUUAUCUCAAUUAAUGCCGGACCCAAAUGUAGUGUUGUGCAAUGCUGCAAGUCAAACAUACCCUUUGUGUAAUACAUACACACACGCACUCUCUUUUUUUAAGUAAGAGCAUCCCCACAUUGUUAAAGUAAAAAUGUCACUAAAAUACAAAAGAAUAAAAAUUUCAAUAUAUAUAUUUUUUAUUUGUUAGUAUAAUGAAAAUUGUGUUUUUUGUUUGUUAGUAGCUUCCUCAUUUUAACAAAGUUAGGAUGCCCUCACUAAAAAAUGAUUAUAUAUAUCGGAGUGAGUUUUCAAUUAAAGAUCCAUUAUUAUAUUAAAGUCAAUGAUAAAUUAAAAAUAAAAAACACUGGUUAAUAAUAUAUAUGCAUCGGAGUCUGUAUUUUUAUUUUUUAACUUAUUGUUGAUUUUCAUAUAGUUAAGAUUCAUGUAUAUAUAUUUAAAAAGUGGAAGAAGAAAUCAAUUUAAAGGGCCGUUGAGAUCCGGAUCCAAAAGUCCAGAAAACUUCAAAUUGGACUGUGACCCAAACAUUAGAAAACAUUCACCAAAACAAAACCCAAACAGAACCCCAGAAUCAGCUUACACUCGACCUCUCCCGGAAGCGGUAUCGAGUUGAUUUUGCAGGUGAAAAUCCGUUGAUUUUAAUUUAUUUUUCUCCAAAAUUUUCAUUUCAUUUCUUAUUAUUAUUAUUAUUUCUUUUCAAUAAGUUCAUUGAAUUUGUUCUCUGUUUCUUAACUGAGAAAAUGAUUAAAUAAAGUCUUCUUGUUGAUUCAGGUUUAUACUCGUAAAUAAUAUAUCAUGCCGGACACUCAGGCUCUUGUGAAUGACUUUCUUAACAAGCUUAAAAAACGGUGACGUUUCGGACAAUAUAUUUUAAUUAUUCUUUUUUUUUUUACUGAUUUUAGGAGCUGAUUUUGUUUGUUUGUUUUGUGAGUGGCAGUAAGAUCGAGGGCUCGCAAGCAACGGCAAGGCAGAACGCGGAGCUGCUUCCGGAAUCAGCUUACACUCGACCUCUCCCGGAAGCGGUAUCGAGUUGAUUUUGCAGGUGAAAAUCCGUUGAUUUUAAUUUAUUUUUCUCCAAAAUUUUCAUUUCAUUUCUUAUUAUUAUUAUUAUUUCUUUUCAAUAAGUUCAUUGAAUUUGUUCUCUGUUUCUUAACUGAGAAAAUGAUUAAAUAAAGUCUUCUUGUUGAUUCAGGUUUAUACUCGUAAAUAAUAUAUCAUGCCGGACACUCAGGCUCUUGUGAAUGACUUUCUUAACAAGCUUAAAAAACGGUGACGUUUCGGACAAUAUAUUUUAAUUAUUCUUUUUUUUUUUACUGAUUUUAGGAGCUGAUUUUGUUUGUUUGUUUUGUGAGUGGCAGUAAGAUCGAGGGCUCGCAAGCAACGGCAAGGCAGAACGCGGAGCUGCUUCGCUCUGUGAUUUCGCAGCAGCGCGUGCCGUACACAAAUCAGGCUGGAGCUUUAAUUGAUGCUGUCAAAGCUGUUGGCGAGCAGCUCAUUGCUGCCAAUCCUGUUGGUUCGUUUUUUUUUUUUUCCGUUUUCUUUUCGACUAUUAGUUUGCUCUUGAAUAAAUACAAAUAUGGUACUUAGUCAUGUUAGUUAUUUUUAAUAUCAUUGUGAUGAUAUCAUCUUUUUUCAGCUGAAUUGAUUUUUAUCAAAAUGUUAUUAACUUGAAGUAUGUUAAUUGUUUUCAUCGCUCUUAAUUUAGUUUUGUUGUAAUCUAGCAUCCUCCAAUUAGUACAGCUAAUAUAGUGUAUGUGCUGUAGGUAAUUUGGCAUAGUUACCUCUGAGGUUGGGGUCUUGUACAAUUAUUGAUGUUAGGCACCAGAACUUGCAUUUGUUUGGGGCAUGCAUUAGAUAAUCUGGUAUCUACAAAUUUAUUGUACUUCCAUAGCAAAUAUUCUUCUUUUCUUUUUGAAUCACAUGGAUGAAACUAUGCAUUCUGCUGUUGAAAAUUAGAACUGUUGCUAUAUUCACUAUCAAAUGGAUUCGGCAUCGCUAAGAAACCUUUUCUACAAAGUUAUACUUGGUUUUUUAUUUAUGAUUUGUUUCUUUUAUUUCUUUCCCUUUUGUGGCUUUUCAAUUCUCCCUAGCACUUUUUUCCAGAUCCUCUUUCCAAAAUUAAAAAUGAUUAAUUUUCUUCUUUGUUUGUGAUGUAUGUUUUCUUCACUUUUCUGAUUGAUUAAAUGAUAUAUCAAUGCAGAGCUUGCCGUGGGUAAUAUUGUGAGGCGUGUUUUACACAUCAUUAGAGAGGAAGAUCUGUCUUUGACUACGGCUGCUAUUGGUGGGCUGAACUUAUCUGCUGUAAGUGAUGAUGAAAAUGAUGAUGAUCGAGAUGGCGACUCAACUCUAUCGGCAGCUGCUGUUGCUGCUGCUGCUAGAAGUACUUUGCGUCCACCUUCUUUGCAAACUCUGCUCGAGGACACACCUGUCUCUGCAGCUGUUCCUCAGACUUCCUCAUCUGGGGGUGAUUCUGAAGGAAAAAGCAAAUGUGUGUUACUUUUUUUUAUUUUUUUUUUAAUAAAGUGUUUUUGAUAAUUCUUCAAUCACAGCAUCUUCUGUUAUUUUCCCUAAAUAAGCUUGUCUUAUGUAACACAUGUUUUAAAUAUGCAAUCGGAUGCAUCUUGGUGAUAAACUGGUGUUCCUGAAUGUUUUAGCAUUGAUGAUUUAGUUAAUUCAGCCUUAUGAUGGUAGAUAGUUAACAUACUAGUUUCCUUCACAGCUGCUGAUAAAAGUUCAAGAAGUCGGAAGCUGAAGCAUGAUGUUAUUGAAGCGGUUAAUGAACUUAUUCAAGAUAUUGUCACUUGCCAUGAACAGAUUGCUGAACAAGCAGUGGAGCAUAUACAUCAGAAGUAAUUAUUCCUUUUCCUGAUUUCAACUAGACAAUACGUUUUUUCUCUCUCAUACCUUUUCUCCAUACUUGGACUUUAUUUUCAGGAGAAUUGGAUGUCUACAUAAUUCCUUUUUACCUGUUAUUUUAGGAUAUAUGUAUUCAGUUUGUUGUUUAUGCAUGUACUACACUUAAAAAUGCAUGCAAUAUCUCAUUUAGAAGCAUAUAUAUAUGCUCUUUUCAUUCUUGUUAGGUUUUUUCUAUGUCACUUUCUUAAGUCUAAAAGAAUAAUGUUGUUUGUCUGUUCUCUUGUUGUCUUCCCAAGGAAUUGUAGGAUGAUAAUUUCAUGUAUCGAUGAUGAACUGUAAGCAGUUUUCAUAUCUGGCUUGCAAGCAUUCCCUUUUAGUAUGAUGUGGAGGUUAGGUUGCCGGAAUUGUUGGUGAUUUACAAAUAAUCGAAGGUUACUUCUAUUAAGAGGAAUGAGAGAUUUACAAAUACCAUAUUGCACUACAAGACUCGAUGUCUAGAUACAAAUCAUGGACUCCCUUUUAUAGGCUCAAGGGAUCCACUAUUACACACUAUUUGCAUUAUUGAUCCUUAUUACUAAGGAAUUUACUUUACAACUCAUUAUCUACUUUAAAUCACAUCACACUUAUUACACUCUUAUUCUUAUCUCUAAGGAGAAUACGAAUACUCGAUGUCUAGAUACAAAUCAUGGACUCCCUUUUAUAGGCUCAAGGGAUCCACUAUUACACACUAUUUGCAUUAUUGAUCCUUGUCACUAAGGAAUUUACUUUACAACUCAUUAUCUACUUUAAAUCACAUCACACUUAUUACACUCUUAUCCUUAUCUCUAAGGAGAAUACGAAUACAAUACAUAUAUUAUUAUCACCACUGCUUCAACUGCAGGGUCCACUAAGUUUCCGCUACAAUCCCGAGUUGCCACUUGUUGGCGUGCUCAUCCCUGACCUAUGGUUCCACCUUUCUUCGGAUGCUGCUUCCAUAUCAUCUGCUAGUUGCUGCCAAUCUAGUUCGACUACAUUGUCUGGUUGGGGCCAUUCUUGAAGGUCUAGCCAUUCGGCCAUUUCUUCAAGCUCGUUCCUCCAUCUAUCAAUAUCUGGAGUAUCCAAAUAAUUGACCUCUCUUGGCCCAUGCCUGAUAAGGUAAGGUAGUCGUUAUACCUCUGCUGCAUAUCUGCUGCUUGCUCCUAGUUUUUAUGCAGCUUGAGGUUUCUGAUCUCUUCCCGGUAGUAGAGAUCUGGAGUACUACAGACCUGUGGAGAAAUGGGACUGUGAGUAAUGUACAUAGGAAUGGUCCCAUAUACUUCUGCUAGAGCCUUUCUUGCAUUCUAACAGUCAGUCCACAUGGAGUCGAUGUCUUCUUGGGAGUGGUCAUGUUGUACUACCUGUACCAUAGGCUGCUUGUAUCUUCCCCAGAUAUCCGUUAACUUCACAAUCACUAUUGUAGUAUGAGUGAUGUGAUAUCCAUUGAUCAAUUUGAGUGUCAGGAUAUCUUCAAAGAUUGAGGCGAACAUUCGAUCGAACCAUCUUCCCUUUUCGUAUCUCCGACUGGUGUGAAUAAGAUUUGGCUCGAAUAGUAUUGCCACCGGGUAGAUGUUCAGCCAAUACCAGGUUAUGUAAUAGGCUUGAGGGGUUAUGUCACAAAUAACAUAAUGUCCCCAGUUUGAGUUCUCAUAUUACAUGAUGGAAUGUACAACCAAUUUUGAAGACUGUUUCGUGCAUCUGAUCAAGAUUUCUUGACAUUUCUUGUAAUGUACAACCAAUGUGGGUCAAAAGCUCUUUGACAUUUCUUGUUGUGGGCAGGUCUAUGUUCUUACAUGGCCAUAAGCUGCCAUACUCGCCAUGUUAGAGCUCGAUCUUUUGGAUCGCUCUUAUGAUUGAUGACCCUCUCAAAGAUUUCUCCUUGUACUUCCGAAGGAAGCCACGCAAUGAAAGUGUUGAGAUCUUUGAGAAAGUGUGCUCUAGUCUCAUGAACACUAGAGCUGUCUUCUUCCCACCUCUUUGGAAGGCUUCUUCUUUUGAUCAUGGUGAUUGGUCUAGAAAGAAAAUCCGCUACAGUAUUGGAUUCUCCUUUGAUGUGUCUUACUUCGAAUUUGAAUUUCAAGAGAGACUCAGACCACCUUGCAAGCUGUAGAUCUAGGAUUUCUCCUUCUUUUCUUCUUAGUAAUUCCUGGAGGUACUUGUAAUCUGUUUCAAUCACAAAGGGGGUUAAUGAAAGAAAGAAUUGGAACUUCUUAAUCCCUUUGGCCAGAUUUAUAGCCAUUUCUUGUUUCCCUUGGAUUUUUUUAUUAACAGUGCUCCCCAAUAAUGGAUUCUUUUUUCCUGUGAUGAAAAGCGAAAAGAGAUUGCCUUAACAGUUUUUUUCUUUUUUCCCCUCGAUAAAGUAUGUUUUGUGCUAACGUUGACCAGUUGCACUAGUCAAAUAAGAUUAUCAAAUCAAUCAAGUUGUUCUAUUGAUUUUGGGUGGAUACCUGGUUCACUACUAAAGUGCAUUCUGUCCAUUGUUUAGUACUGCAGAUACUCAUAGUUUCGUAUUAAAAAAAUAUAAAAAAAGAUUAUCAAAGGAAUUGUGAAUCUAAUUUUUUCAUUGAUAGUCUUAUUUGACAUGUGUAAUAGGUCAAUGUUAAGACAGAACAUACCUUAUCAAAAUAAUAUUUCAAAGAAAAACAUGUUGUAGCAGCCUCCUGCUGCCAGUCAAAGUUGGCCUCUGACCACCGUCUAAACUUUUUCUCUUUGAGCUUGAACAACUGUGUAUGUAGUUAGUUGUAUUAGGACUUAAAAAUUUGACUUCCCUUUGAUAUCAUUUCCUUUUUACAUAGGAAUGUUUCCUCCGAGUAGUGUCUGUGAUUUUCAAUCAUAGUUGGGAAAAUCUAUCAUUCUUCAUAUUUGAUUAAUACAAGCAUUGACACUAAUCUAGAAGUAUUUAUUACAUGUCCUCUGUUUGUAGAUAUUCACAUGUUGCCGUUGCAAGGACUGCCUACUGAAUUUGUUUUGGAAAGGAUAUCCUCUACGCCCUUGUGUUUUGUCUUAAAAUCAGUGAAGUCCAUUUUGAGAAAUAGUGAAAUGCCUGUAUCAUUAAUUUCUUUUUCUGUUGCCAUUAAGCAAAACAAAUAUUCAAUGGGAUGCAUUUGACUCUUUCUGAAAAUUGACUCCUUGACAAAGCAGCAGUGAAUGUUAUUUGCCGUAAUUUUGCUUACAUGGUGACAGCGCUUAGUCUCAUUUGAUUUUUUUUUUUUUAAUUACAAAAGAGAGCAAUAUGUGCAACUUUUGCUCACAGUUCAAAUGUUUUGGUCCUAGUUGACUUGCGAAUGACUAAAGUGGUAAUAUUCUGAACUUUUAAUGGUGGGAUAUUUGCGUAACUUGCUGGACGUCAGGGUUAAAUUGUGGUCGGGAAAACUUAUACAUAUCAGCAGUGUACAAAAGUUUGGCUCAUUAUUAGCAGGGGAAAUAUUGUGAUUCAUGGCCUUUAUCUAGUUUGGGUCAGCUAUGGCAUAUUAUAUAUGUUCUCUUGUGUCUUAUCUCCUAUAUUGUCCAAUACAUGUAUAUGCUUAUUUUUAAAUUCUUCAUCUAUGUUUCUUCCUACCAUUUGCUACUUCCAUUAAUUUUAGCUAUUAAAUGUAUUUUCAGUGAGGUAAUAUUAACUUUAGGCAGUUCAAGGACGGUGUUGGAAUUUCUUUUUGCUGCAAAGGAGAAAAAAAGAUCAUUCCGGGUAUUUGUUGCAGAGGGUGCUCCAAGGUUUGUGCAAUGGCUUGCUAUUUGUUGAUUGCAAAGAAAUAUUUCACUGGCUACUUUGGCUCUGAUGUUCUCUCUCUCUCUCUCUCUCUCUCUCUCUAUCACAUUCUCUGUUUGGUUGCUGCUCUGCUACUUCUUGUUUUAUAGGUAUCAGGGGCAUCUGCUUGCAAAAGAAUUGGUAGCAAGAGGUUUACAGACCACACUGAUUACUGAUUCUGCAGUUUUUGCCAUGAUUUCCCGAGUAAACAUGGUAUGUUUGGGCCACUUUUCUCGUUUGGUUUUGGAUUUCCUGAAAUUUUUUUAGCUUGAUCUAAAAAUUUGCAAUGUAAAGGUUAUAGUUGGAGCUCAUGCUGUCAUGGCCAAUGGUGGGGUUAUAGCACCUGUUGGGAUGAAUUUGGUUGCACUUGCAGCUCAGAAGCAUGCUGUCCCUUUUGUUGUACUUGCCGGAAGUCACAAGGUAGUUUGGUGCAACAAACUGCUUAACUAGAAAAUUAAGUAAAAUUUAGAAAGCCCAUUUUCCUUAACUGCCAUUCCUAAAUUCGUUGGUCUUGUGUAUGAACUGGUGUGGAGUUUAAGAUGGUGCUCAGUUAUUCAUGUGAAGCGAACUUCCCUUUCAGAUAAAACUGAUCACUAAUGUAAGGAGUAGUAUGUGCAAGAUGCAAAUGUGUUUAUGAAUAGUAUGUGGGUGUAAAAGCUCAUAUUCUUUGUACCAAAUAUUAUUGAAUGUUGGUUGAAUUAAUCUCUGUAGCUGCUGUCCUUUUUAAUGCAUCAACAUUUUUGCUGGGUAUUGAAUUGCAUCUGGUUGUAAUAACAUUGUAGUUGGAGAUAAAUCAUUGAACUCUGGUACUUCAGUUCUGGGUAUGAUCUUUUUGACAAAUGUGGUUGGUCUAUAUGACAGUUAUGCCCCCUCUAUCCGCACAAUCCUGAAGUUUUACCGAAUGAGUUGAGAUCCCCAUCAGAGCUGCUGGACUUUGGAGAAUUCUCAGACUGCAUGGAUUUUGGGAGUGGCAGUGGUUCCCCUCUUCUUCAUGUGGUCAAUCCAGCAUUUGACUAUGUUCCACCGAAACUUGUUAGUCUUUUUAUUACUGACGCGUAAGUUCAACUGCCCUUUUAGCAUGAGACAGAGACAAUCUACACCUUACGUGCAAUUUUUAUACAAUAUAUAUAUAUAUUAAGAUUACUUAUUUGAUUUCAUUGUAGAGUACCAGUUUUCUGGCCCCUUUAUUUUCCAUUGGUGUUCCAGUUCUAUCUCUUAAUAUAUUUCAUUUUUUUUCCUCUGCUGUUGCUGUGUUGUUCUGCUAAUUUCUUUUCUUCUUCACAGGGGAGGGCACAAUCCUUCAUACAUGUAUCGGUUGAUUGCUGAUUAUUACUCGGCUGAUGACUUGGUUGUGCAGCGAAGAGCUACUGCUGGGAAUUGAUUUUGGUUUGUAUCAUCUAUUGUGUAAGUAGUCUUUUUGUGCCAAUGCUCUGGUGGAAAAUUGUUGAUUUUAACAAAAAGGAUAAUCUUUUUAAAUUGACAUAACAAUUGGUACUCUUUCUGAUUGUUAUGAUUCCAAUAAACUUAAUUGAUAUUGCAAACUGCUUCAUCUCGGGAUAUAAAAUAAUUAAAAGAUGACAAUGAGUGAAUGCUGUAACUUGGUAUAUCAUUUUGAGCUUUGACUUUAUCUAAUCUUUGCCCUAUUUUAAGGUCAGGAAUUUAUUACGGCAAGAGCAUUAGCUUUGGGUUUGAGAAAUUUCAAAUCACUGAAUUUGGAGCUGAGCUGAUGCUGUAAAAGAACUCAGGGACAUAGCGAUUGCGAGGCAAUGGUGUGAACUUGUGCAAAUUUUAGGGACGCAAACAAUGAUAGGAUAAUUUUUGUUGGCAGAAAUAUUAAAAUGUACUGAGAUAAAAAGGUGGAUACGGUUAGAUAAUAUUUUUUGAUUGUAUCAAGGUUGGUGGUCAAGUGCUGUAUUCUUCUUCAUCAGUGAUUUUCAGACGGACGGUAUAACAUUGUUGUAUUGCUUGUUGCUUAAAAUUUUCAUAGCAGAAUGUAGCUGUUGAGAUGUUUCCUAGAAUAAUUUUCUCGUCUUUGCAUGAAUAACAUUGGAGAAUAAUUAUCUGUUUAACUCUGUGUUUUCUUUCGUUCCUCGACGGUUGAGACAUGUUACUUUUGAGUAAUGAUAUAAGCCCAAAGGUCGACAUAAAUGAGUGCCAUGUGGAUGCCUCCAAGAAAGAAACAGGGCGUCCAAACGGCAUCACGAGAGUGACAUAACGUUUCUGUCGGGCUCAAUAUAUCAUUACAUGUUACGUUUUGGAACAUAAACCAAGGAUUUGAAAUGCAUUAUUUUACAUUAAUCCCCCUGACAUAAUAGGGCGAACCCUUUAAGCCAUUUUUCAAAUGUCGCAUUUGAGAAGGGUCGAGUGUUAAAAAGGGAGUAACAAGAGCUACGAGACUAGUCUCUUGACUCGCAUUACAAGAGGUUACAUAAAACUUCGAAUAUUAAAAUUAAGGCGCACAUAAUGCAACUUAGAUAAUGAGAAAUCAGCAGUAACUUUGCAAACAGUGGAAAAUGUUACAUAAAAAUGAGAAUACAGUUUUCAUUGAUGGUCUACAUCAAACCAGAAAUACAGAUAAGUCCUGGCAUAUAUAACUCGAACUCGCUGCAGCAGUAGAUCUCCACUAGUCAAAACAGCCUUGGCACCUCCUUCAAUUCGAGUAUGCAAAACAGUAACACUAUCACCAUUACUCUUCAUUGGAGUAGAUGUAAUACAGCUACGAGCUGUACUCACGAUUGGGCAUGAGAGGAAGUCCAGUGGAUUCGUCUCACACUGAAGUACACACCCAUCUAUAGUUAACCUUCCACUCCGAUGGAGCAAGCAGCAGCCAAGCUCUGCUUUCACUGUUAAAUUCGCCAGCUUGCAUGUGGAUAGAAACUCCAAGGCACUGCCCAAACAAAACAAAUAUUGCAUAGCAAAUUUUGUUGCUUGAGAUAUUAUGCCGGUCAUUUUCGAGGAUCCUACUUCAUAUUUUUGGAUAACUAAAUCUAAAGGAAGAGGCUUGGUAUAAAACAGCUCAACCUUAAAAUAUAUAACAAGAUCUUGAAAAAGAGCAACCAGCAGCACAUCACAAUUAUUCAUCUUAUGUGAUGAUUUAUUAUAUCUACCUGUGAACCAUGCAUAAAGUCUGUUGAAUUAAAGUGUCACUCCUAUUAAAGGUAUCUUCUGUAAAAUCCAACAAUAUGAAAGGGUCCUCAUGUAAUUGUAAUUAAUCUCCACAAAACAGUAUAACUUAAUCUGAAAUAAAAACCAGAAAAUUUACAAACCUGUCCGAACCUCGAGAACAGAUGAGGGUUGUUUCAUCAGGAAGCUCACCUCCACCGACCUGGAAAGUAAGUUCAGAGAAAAGGAAAAAGUGGAAAACAUUUAGAUGACAGAGAUCUUAUUUCUCUCUCUUCUGCUUUCCAACCAAGAAUAGAAAGUGAGAAGCCAUGUUUUUAUCUUCAGUAGGCAAUUACUUUGCGAUCAUAAUACAAAAAGGAAACCAAGGAAAUAAGUGACAAUAGCCAGCUUUCAUGAGUUGCGCUGAAGGCAGAUUUGUCACUCAGACAAAGCUGGUUUACUCAAUCAUAUCGUUUCUCAUAUUGGAUUGAUUCCUUGAACCCGCAUGAUAAUGGGAUAAAUCUGAUGUUGACUUGUGCAAUAAAGUUCCCUAAGGUUAACCAAACUAUGAAUUUCAAAUUCACCAGUCCUCAUAUGACUGCAAAACUUAAUUAGUGACCAUCAUUAUGAGCCCUAUAUGAGAAUAGGGUUUAAAUUUUGGGAUUUAUGGUUUAGGUAUCUGCAUUAAUCUGUCUCUCUAGUAUAGAUAAUUUUUAUUUACUUUCUAUAUGAGCAUGCCAUUCACUCUUUUUUCAUUUUGGGAGAAGAAACAGUCAACCUACAAAGAUAAUAAAAUUCAAGCAAAUAUAAUAACAACUAAUGUCAACAAUAGCCCCAAGAGGUGAAGAAAUUUUACCCAUCACCUCACACAGUUCUACCACAAGUCAGUUAAUCCAAAUUCAUUAGUUGGGGGCAACGCCUCAGGUCAACUUCGAAUCAACUUCAGAAGAAUAACCUUCCAUCAAUAACUUAUACAAUUCAUUUUUAUAUUAAUUUUAACAAUAAGUCUGUAUCAAACAUAUCUUGCAGCUCAUUAUGUAGAAUAUAAAUUAAAGAAUAAGAAUUCUGUUGGACUAAAUGACUGUAAUGAAAUAUGUACAGUAAAAGGACAAAUAGUGUGCCCCUCUUUUUUCUUUUUGCCUUUUUAAAUUUUCAUGAUAUUAACAGUCCAAGAGACUUUCCUAACCAAGUUUCUAUAGUGUAAAUUACAUCGCGGAAUGGGAAUAAUCCUUUAAUUGUUCACAUGGGUGUCUUAUUGAGAACAGGAACGAUUGAAUAACGACCAAAUUAAGUCAGGCACAGUGGUUUGUAUUCGCACACAAAUAUGAAAUAAUGUUUUAUAAAACAAACAACAUACCAGGCACAGUUGUUUUUUUAUCUGAAUAUUAGAGACAGGAUGACUACCGCCUGCUGCAAUUAAAAUGGUGUCGCCCGGUCUAUGAGGAACAAUGUGAAGAUCAGGUUUUAUAGUCCUAGCGUAUCCCAAAAAUCACAUACAGGCAGUCACAACAUUACAAACCUUGCCACAGAUACGGCUGUCUUAAGGUCGGGGAAAACUCCAGGCUCUGAGAGAUCCUUAACAGACUGAUCUACCCGCAGCCACAAGCGAGGAUGACAUGCCAAAUAAUUCCAUCUGUGGCAAACGAGUGCGGUGUUAUACCGAUCUGCAAGCUCCAUAACAAUUGUGAAAGCGAUCGCACAAAAUUAUAUCAUACAUGCAUUUGGCAGACAUCUAAAACAUCCAUCUCAAUGCCAAACAAUCAUCAUAAAGACAAUUACAUAUAAAAUAUGUCAAAAUCAUCAUAAAGACAAUUAUGCAUAAAAUAUGUCAAGCUUACUCAACAAUAUCUAUUAAACCCCAGAAAUCUUGAUGUAAUUAUCAUGUCUUUGACAAUAAUUUCUAUCCGAUCCUUCUAGAUUUCUUUUAAGGCAUGUGAAGAAUGAGGAUAUACAGCGCUUCUAAGGGACACAAUAUACUAUUUUACGCACAAAAGAGUAUCAAUAACAUAAAUUUAGCACAGAGAGUUUUUGAAACAGGAAUUUAAAAUUAAUAGACAAUUGUUCACAACAGAAAUGCCCAUAUUCUGAAAUUCCGCAUAAAUAUAAAAUUUUUGUUUUUAAAAAAAAAAUAAAUAAUCCUCUCAAUGUACAAAAUAAAUUUCAGGAAAAGUGAUGAAUUGGGCAAAACCCAAUAGGGAAAAUAAAUAAGACUCCCAACACAAAAGUCAAAAACCCGAAGCAAACUUCUAAAAAGGCCAGCAACAUUCAGCUCACAAAUACUACAUAACUUAAUGACACUAAACAUUUAUAAGAAAGAGAAGAUUUUUUUUAAUUAAAUACAAAUAAUUCCCCAAAAAAAGAUAGUCACCUGGAAUUGGGGAUAAGAAGCUGAAUACGUGCAUAAGGCAGCCAUCAUCAAGAUUGUUUAUUGGAGCAAUAAAAGAAUUAUUUUUCAUAGUUUUGCUUUUGAAUCGUUUAGUACUUCGUUCACUGUUUAUCUUCUCUUCAUCUUCCAUUUGUUCAACAAACUCCAAGUCGACUGUUCACUGAAUCAAAAUCUUUCUUUUAACGUUUGCUAUGUUUGACUAUCAUCAGGUAUUUGACUAACCGACAACACUAACAGCACCCAAUUUUUUCAUUCACCACCCACAAGAAACCGACAUGACCCACGCCACGCACGAAAUUACUUCUGAGUUAGGCCCAAUGUUGGCCACCAGAAUUGCUUUUAAGUUUUCGCCCAAAACAAGCCAGCUGGGCUUUGAUGUCUGCCCCAACUUUUUCUAAAAAAAAGUAUAGUUAGUAUUAUUGAAUAAAAAUGUUAUAAAUAUCAAAUUCUUUGAUAAAUUUUCAUAAUUAUUUUUAUAAAUAUCAUGAAAUUUUAUUGUAUGGCAAGUGAUUUAUCAAACAUUCAGCAAGAAUUGUGGUUUUUUUUUUUUACACAAAAUAUGUAGGUUAAAUAUUUGUUUAAUAUUGAGGUGCUUUAACUCGAAAAUUACGAUUGCUGUAACAAAAUUCAUAUAAUUGUGAAAUAAAAAUUGAUAAUGUGUAGUAAAUAUGACUUUUAAUAAUUUUAAUAAAAUAAUAAAGACAUUAUAAAUUUUUAUCAUAAAAUUAUGGAAUAAAAUUAACUUAACUUCUAAACUAUAACAAUAGAAGUAUACUAAACACUUUAGGCCCUAUUUGGAGUGUUGUCAAGUAGCUUGAUUGCCAUAAUGGAGUACUUACUCAUUUAUUGCUACAACUUUUAAGGUACAGUGUCCAGCAAAAUACUAAACAGAAUUAAAUAAUCGAAAACAAAUUGUAAAUGUUAACAAUGUUUAAAUAUAGCUAAGAACAUCAAUAUAUAUAGAGUUUGUAAAUAACACAUACCUAAAAAAGUAUAGAAAGACAAAGAUAGCCUUGAGUUUUGUACUAAAUUGGAGAAAAAAAUAAAAUUAUUUUUUCCAAAAAUAACCACAAAGUUGUUAGUAAUAAGUAGAGAUGGUAAAAUGAGUUGUUAUCAUGACACGAUAACACGACAUGGAUGUGGCACGAAUUUUGUAUAUUCAUGUUGAUAAAUAUUGAUGCAAUUAAUUAAAUAGUUGAUACUAUACGACACAAUAAAUAACCGUAUGGUUUUCAUGUUGGAUCACCUCAGCAUGAUUACAUGUUUAUGGCAUGAAUAUCAAUUAAUAUAAGUAAUAUUAUUAAAAAAAAUUCACACACACACAGAGACACACACACAUAUAUUUGUGUUGGUAAAUAUUGAAAUGAUUAAUAAAAUGGUUGAUACGAUACGAGACGAUAAAUAACCAUAUUGUUUCAUGUUAGACCACCCUAACAUGAUUACAUGUUUAUGACAUGAAUAUCAAUUAAUAUAUGGUAAUAUUAUUAAAAAAAUUAACAUAUAUAUAAACGAUCAAUAAAUGAGUCAUACCCAUAUUUUGGUAUUUUAAUAUUGAUGUUUUGAUAUUUUGAUACAAUUAAAAAAAAUAGAUCAUGUCAGUGUUUUCUUAACUUGAUACAACAUAGUUUAACUCAAUUAAGUAACUCACAUGUUAAAAAUUCUCUAGUAUUCUCACAAACUCUGUAGCUCCGCUAGUGGCUAGUAGUGUGGGAGUCAUUGUGUGAGCCUUUGUUAUUUUCUUUGACACUAUUUGUUUUUUAAUUGUUAUUUAUUCCUUUCUAAGUUUCUAACUAUUUUUAUAAGUUCGCGAUGAAGAUUUCAAACUAGUUAAAUUGUGUGGCUCACUUUUGUUGAAAGAAAAAGUUGCUAUGAUUGUGGUUUCAGACAAGACAUAUCAUUAUGGAAAUGUGUUGACCGCCACUAGUUUAGUGGGAAACGUUUUGAUGUAAUCGGUGAAUAAGGAUGUCUUUAUUUGUAGCGUUGCUCUGAUUUGAAAGUUCAUCAAGGGUGUUGGGAGUAGAGCAUUUAGAACAAAAUAUAUUCUUGUUUCCUUUUCCUAAUGAGAAUGAUCACUGUCAUAAUUUGUCAAUGAGACAUUGGCUUUUUUUUUUUUUUGAAUUACAUGAGACUAAUGUUCAAAUUACAACUCAUAUUAUAUGAGAUUUACAACUGAUAUUUACAAUCAGACAAUUACUGGGCCUAAUUUACAUUAAUUCUUAUAUAGCACUGCCCAGAUUUUACCCUCUCUAAUAUUCGAGGGGUGUCUACUCCACUCACAUUUCGAAAGGGAGAAGACUGCCUUCACUUAAUAAUUAAGGAAGGAAAUAAACCCCUACAUGCAUCGUGGGGGCUCGAACCGCUGCCUCACAGUUGUGAGGGCAGGGUCCUGGCCACUGGGCCAAGGCCCAGUUGGUUAGACCUUGGCAUUUUAAUCGUUCUUUAUUGGCUCUCUUUCCUUUAGCUAGCAAUAGAGAAUAGUCUAGUCAACAAUUUACUAUAGUUUUUUUUGGGUUCAUAUUUACAAUAUGUCGUUAUGUUACAUGUCGAAGGAAAUGGUUGAUUUCCUCGGAGGAAUGCUUGGAGGAGUGAAGAAUUUGGAUGCUAGUCUUAGUUGUGUUUUGUAUGAAAGUUCUUUUGCAUUCAAGUUUUAAUUGAUGUCUCUAGGCCACUUAAACUUGGUUUGCUAAUUCAGUUUCACACUAAUGAUGAUGUUCCUGUGCUCCUAGUGGUUUAUAAAAGAUUAUCAUAUUUUUGUUAAUAUUGCGAUUGUAUAGAUAAUUUAUUUCCAUAUUGUUCCGCAUUUGACUUAGCUAAAGUGGAGCAGGGUGUGGUCAUGGAGUAUGGAUGCGGGCUGAUGCUGGUAGUGUUUUUCGGAAGUCAGAGGGUCGUAGACAAGUAAAUCAUAGUGGUAGAGAAUUGGAUUUGGGAUAUCAUAAGGUGGCUUUUAACGCGACAAUAAAUGCUCCAAGUGUUACGAAUAAUCAUGAGAGUAAUGAUAUAAGAAAAGAGGAUAGUGGGAGAAAUGAGCAUGUCUGUGUGAAUAAUGCUUAUAUUUACGAGAUAGUGAACGAGAGAAAUCAAGUUCAGUGAUUAAUAAAAAGACAAAUCGUGGAUGCACUUAUAAGAAUUUCAAAUUCUGAUUGUAUAUGUGUUUUACAACCUUUUAUUACUAAUAGUCACUUGCCUAAGGAAACAAAGAAGGCAUCAUGCACAGAAUUUGUUAAAGAUUUUGUGAAGGAUUGAAUGGAGUUUAUGGUAGUGACGUGGUUGGCCAUGGGCCUUAUGUGCCCCAAACUGGAGUUAUGGCUUCUUGUCUUGGUGAUGAUUCGAGUGACAAAAAUGAAUCUAGUAAUGUUGCAAGAUUGAAAAAUUAGAGAGAGUAAAGAGAAAAAAUUUACCACAAUGUGAAGGGGCUACGAAAAGGAAAAAAUGAAAGCGACUGGCAUGAAAAAUUCUAAAAGAAAAGUCUCAUAUUUCUCUAACUUUGGGAUCUAAGUAUAGUAAUGAGAAGGAUAUUAGAGAUUGGUCUAAUCAAUGGAAAUGAGGCAGGAUGGUUGCUGUUGAAUCGGAGGAUGGUGAUGAUGGCGUUUUUGCAGACAAUAAUUUGGUUGCGUAGUCUAUGGCUUUGUCAAAUUUAUCAACAAGAGUUAACGUUGAUUAGCCCCACCGGUUGCCAUGAUAUCCUAACCUAAAAUGUCCAAGGUUUGGGGAAUCCUUUGAAUCCCACACUCUUUAUAAAAUGCUCCGUGAGGUUAGACCUUCUGUUGUCUUUUUAUGCGAAACUAGAUUAAUGGCGGCAAAGAUGAAUUGUAUUAGUAUGACAUUGGGUUUGGACAAUUGUUUAGAUAUUGAUUUGGUUUUUUCUAGAUAAACCUUUGCUAAUAUAAGCGAGUGGAUGGCCCUCUUGCAUGAGGACUGCUCCGAUUCCCCGACCGGAAGCAUCGCAUUCUAUAGAAAAUGGUUUGGUGAAAUUCGGCAAGGCUAAAACUGGAGUGGAAGCCAUGGCUUGGCGGAGCUCAUCAAAUGCUGCUUCAAUAGUAGGACUCCAAGUAAAAGAAUCUUGUUUAAGCAUGUCAGUUAAGGGAGCAGCAAUUUUUCCAUACCCAGCAAUAAAUUUAUGGUAGUAUCCCAUCAAGCCAAGGAAGCCUCGUAAAGUUUUGAUAGUGGUAGGUUUAGGCCAUUCAAGCAUGCACUGAACCUUUUCAGGAAUGACAGCUACGCCAGUAGCAGAAACAAUAUGACCCAAAUAUUCAACAGAUGACUGAGCAAAAGAACAUUUUGUAAGCUUGACAUAAAGUCGAUUUUGUUGCAAACAUUGAAGGACAGCAGAGAGGUGUCGAGCAUGCUCCUGUAGAGAAGUGCUGUAGACAAGGAUAUCAUCAAAGAAAACUAAAACAAAUUUGCGAAUGAAGGGUCGAAAAAUCUCAUUCAUCAGGUUCUGAAAUGUGGCUGGCGCAUUUGAAAGGCCAAAAGGCAUCACAAGAAAUUCGUAGUGGCCAUCAUGAGUACGGAAGGCUGUUUUUGCUAUAUCGGAGGGAUGAACUCGAAUCUGGUGAUAGCCCGAGCGAAGGUCCAGCUUACUGAAAACUGAUGCACCAUGUAAUUCAUCUAAUAGUUCGUCAACAACUGGAAUCAGAUAACGGUCUUUGAUGGUUACCUUGUUGAGAGCACGAUAAUCGAUACACAUACGCCAAUAACCAUUUUUCUUUUUAACUAAUAAAACCGGAGAGGAAUAAGGACUAAUACUAUGCUGAAUGAGCCCGGCAUCCAAAAGCUAACGAAUCAAGCGGUCAAUUUCUUGUUUCUGAAAAUGAGGAUAACGAUAAGGUCGUACAUUGACAGGAGAGCUUCCAGGAAGUAAUGGAAUAUGGUGAUCAAUUAAGCGUUGAGGAGGAAGUUCGGUGGGUUCCGCAAAAAUGCCAGAAUAUGUCUCUAGGACCUUAGUAAUAAUUGAAGGUGCUGAUAUAUCAGCUACUGAAGUGGUUAUUGCCAUAAUAUGGAAAAAAAAAUGCCUUGCUUUUCUUGAAGCAAUAACCUAUUAAUUUCACCAUGAUUUGCCAAAACCGGUGGCAGGGAAUUAUAUCCAGUGAGUUGAACCGGUUGGCCUUUCCAAGUGAACUGCAUAGUUAGCUGUGAGAAGUCCCACAAUAUAGCACCUAAUGAUCGUAACCACUCAGCACCCAACACAAUGUCACAGCCACUUACUGGAAGUAAGAAUAAAUCCAAGUGAAAUUUAAAGCCUUGAAUAUUCACUGGGACGUGAGAACAUUUUCCCGAGCUGCUGAUCACUCCACCAUCAGCUACAGUAACUUGAAACUGAGUUGUAGUAGUGAUAGGGCACCCACAUUGCUUAGCCAAUGAUGGAUUCAAAAAAUUGUGAGUAGAACCAAAGUCUAUUAAUAUAGUGACACACCAUGUUUUUUUAAAUUCCCUUUCAGUCGCAUGGUGUUUUGUGGGGUUGCUCCAGUGAGAGCCUUUAAAGAGACUUCUACUGUUUCUGGGAAAUCCUCAAAAGCCUCAAUGUGUUCAUCUUUAUCGUCGAUAUCUGCAUCCAUUAUUAAAGUUGAGGAGCUUUACAACGAUGCUCAGGUUUAAAUUGUUCAUCACAAUUGAAACACAAUCCUUUGGCUCGUCUUUCAGUUUGUUCGGCAACUGAUAGACAUUGAAAUGGUGGGAAUCCCGGAGGGGGUGGGCCUAAUAAAGAGGGCUGUGAUGACCCCCCAGUUUUGGUUAUUGUGGGAGAUGAAUUAAGGAGUGGUGAUGGCCUGCUUAUACUAGGCCGAGGUGGAAUCCUUCGAUUAGAAACAGCCGCGUAUUCUUCUUGGAAUCUUGCAAGCUCAAAAGUUCGUAGGAGACUUGCAGGUUUCAACAUCUGCACUCCAAUUUUAAUAUCCUCUCGUAAUCCCGAAAGGAAGCAACUAAUGAAGAAUGAUUCAGGUAGAUUCCGAGUUCUAUCAGCCAAUCGUUCAAAUUGUCGUUGAUAUUCAAUAACAGUCCCAGUCUGUCGUAGUUUGGUAAUGGACCCGACUACAUCACCGUCUUCGAAUGUUCCAAAUCGAGUAACUAGAGCUCGUUUGAAUUGGGCCCAAGUCAUAUUACCCAUAGUUUGCUCUAACCAGUGAUACCAAGGUACCGCAUCUCCAUCGAGGUGUCUGAUAGCAAGUGACAGCACAUCUAUCUCAGGCAAGGCAGCCAAUCAUUGAUACUGUUCACAGCAAAAGAUCCAGCUUGAUGGAUUUUCCCCGCUGAAAACUGAAAAAUCCAGCUGUAUAUGGCGGGGUUGCACAAGGGCUCCUCCAAUACGUCCUGCAGGUUCAGGUUGUUGAUUAUUGAUUUGUAACGGUUGGUGGUUGUUUCUAUUUUCUUGAAACCAGAUGAAUUGAUCGCGGAGACUUAAGAUUAAUUCUUGGAGAUCGUUGGACUGUUGGGAUAAGACCUCAACUUUCUCAUUGAAUUGAUGAGAUAAUUGUUCCACCCUUUCCUCCAGUUCCUUAACAGUUAUUAUGCCCAAGAAAAAAAACUGCUCUGAUACCAGAUGUUAGGCCACUGCUUUGAGAUAGUAGUUUAGAAGCGACGAAUUGAUGAGAAGAGUAAUAAGAAGAAGUGGCCAAAGGGGAAACGAGAGUUUUAGAAGCAAUUCUUAUUAUUUAUUAAAGUAGCAACAGUUCCUUAUAUAAGCCAAGAGAUCCUACGAAAAUAAUAAUUCCUAAUAACAUAAUAACUUAAUAACUAAUCCUUAACGGAAAAGGAAAUAAUGGAGGUCUAAGACUAGGACUCUAACAGGGGUUUGUUAGAUAAUGAAGGAAAUCGGGUUACUUCUAUGGUUGGUAUUAAGGAAAUUAUUGAGGAUUAUUUUUAUUCUUUUUUUUCUUCCUUCAAUGUGAAUGCUGAGGAGAAAGAAUCAGUCUUGUCUUUUUUGCAAGCUAAAGCAACGAAUGAAAUGAAUUGGGAGUUGGAUAUUGAAUUUACUAGUGACAAAUUAAAGAAUGCAGUUAUGCAAUUUGAUCCUGCAAAUGCACCUAGGUCGGAUAGUUUUUUACCAAUUUUUUUCUAAGAUCUUUAAUCAGUACAACUUGUUUAGCUAUCUUAAAUGGGGAGGCUGCACUUCCUGUACAAUAAUUGUUUAAUUCCUAAGGUAGACAUACUUAUGUGACAUAUUGGGUUAUAGUUGAAGUUUUUGCUAAUCAUAUAAAAUGAUGUUACAUGAUGUUAGCUCUAGUAAUCAAAGUGCUUUUAUCCUAAAUCGUCUAAUUACUGAUAAUGUCAUAGUGGGCUAUGAAUGCUUGCAUAAAUUGCGAUGCUGUCAAAAGAGUUAGAGUGGUUUGGUAGCAUUAAAGCUUGAUGUCAUUAAGACAUAUGAUUGAAUGGAAUGAGAUUUUUUGGAACAACUAAUGGCGUGGCUUGGUUUUUCCACAAGAAGGACUCGGCUUAUAAUGAGUUGUGUCAACAUCGACGUUAUCCUUCUUGAUUAAUGGUGAGGCUCAAGAGCAGGCCUGUCCAAGUCAAGGUAUUAGGUAAGGCUGUCCACUCUCUCCCUAUAUAUAUAUAUAUAUAUAUAUAUAUAUAUUUUGUUCUCUGUGCUGAAGCUUUCUUUGCUAUGCUAAUUGCUUUUGAAAAAUCUAAUUUAAUCCGGGGGGUUAGAUUUGCAUCAAAUUUAUUUGUAUCCCAUUUGCUAUUUGUAGAUGACAGCAUGAUACUUUGUAGGGCUGUGUUGGCGAAUUAUCAUUAUUUAAGGGAUAUUUUUUAUUUGUACUCUUAGGGCUGAAGUCAAAUUUUUAACUUUAAUAAGUCCAAUAUUUUAUUUAGCCCAAAUGCACGUAAGAGUUUUACAGAGGUCUUUGGAUUUUUUAAAGUUUCAGCGUAUGAAAAAUAUAUAGGAUUUCCAGUGAUGAUUAGAAAGAAAAAGAAAGAGUUUUUCUAUGUGUUGAAAUUUAGGGUGUUGAAAAACUUGAGUAAUUGGUAGGAAAAUUUUUUUCUGUUCUGGUGGAAAAGGAGAUUCUAAUUAAGGCAAUGGCACAGGCAGCCCCUUCAUAAGCUAUGAGUGUGUUCCUAUUACCAGUGAGUAUGUGUGAAGAUCAUCAACGGAGGUUUAUCGCUUUCCGAUGGAUUUCUACAAAGAAUAAGCGGAAGAUACACUGGAUGGAAUGAAAUAGUAUGAGUUAGGAAAAAAAAAAGAGGAAUGCAUAGUUUUUUGAGAUCUAGUUUACUUUAAUAAGACAAUGUUGGCAAAGCAAGGAUGACAGUUGCUUAUUUAUUAUCAUAUACUUGUUUUGGGAGUAUUAAAGGCAAGAUAUUCUGAUGAAGCUCUUUUCUUGAUAUGACUAUUGGUAGUAAUCUUUUAUUUAUUUGGCGAAGCAUUAUUGGGGUGUGAGUUGUUACAAUAGAGGAUUUAAUAGUGUGGGAUCAGGAAAACAUGUUCGUAUUUAUUGUGAUAAUUGGGUGCCUAGACUGAUAACGUUCUGACUUAUCCCAACAGUAACUUUAGGCGAAGAUGCAAGGACUACUGUUUUGUUAGAAAAUGAGAAUUCUUGGAAUAUGGCCUUGUUAUUGCCUUAGGAUGUACAUUCUAUUGUGAAAAUUAAGCUGCCUUCACAAACCUGUCAUGAUCGAGUAAUGUGACACUAUGAUCGUUGUAGGGAUUACACUGUGAAGUCUGGGUGCCAUAUUGUAAGGAAGUGGAAGAACUUGACUGGUGUUACAUCAUCUAAUGGUUCAACUAGGCAGUUAGAAGACUAUUUAGAAGCUAAUUGUUCCUUCCAAGCUUAAAAUGUUUUGAUGGUGUGCACUUUCAGGUUUCCUUCCGUCUAUGGAAAACUUGGAGCUGAAAAGUGUGGUAGCUGAUUCGCUGUGUAGGCUCUAUGUAUAAUGUGGCGAGUCUAUUAUGCGUGCUUUAUCUAAUUGCCCAAGAUGUAAGGGAAUUUGCUUCAUUUGUUGAUUUUGAUUCUUUUGGCCACGUUGUAUGUUUGCGGGAUGUGUGGGAUAGUGUAAAUUCAAAAAUUACUUGUACUGAGAUUCAACUCUUGUUUUAAUAAUAUGAGGGAUAUGAUGGGAGAGAAAUAAGAUUUUAUAUGAUGGAGCAGUGGCAUCUCCUAAUUGUGUGGUGGCUUCUGCUCAAGGGAUUUGGAUGGUUGUGAAAGAAAAAAUUGUAUGGAUACAGUUGAUGUGUACAAGUUUGAAUCCUAUGAUUUGGGAGCCACCAUAAAUAUGGUGGUUUAGAUUAAAUAUUGAUGUGGCUGUGGAUGUUCAUAGUGGUAAGGUUAGCUAUAAGGCUAUUAUUAGAAAUCAUGAGGGGUUGGUUUAUGUUGGUUGGAGAUAAUCUUGGGGUGUAUACUAAUAACGUGGCUGCUGCUGAGGCAAAGACCCUACCUUGGUAUUCGACAUGCUAAGGAGAUUGGUUUGUCUCCUUUAAUGGUUUAAUCGGACUCGUUAUAUCUUAUCCAAUUGAUCUAGGGAAAGUAGUAUACUCGUACAUAGCUUUUAUAGACAGUUUCUGAGGUGCAACAACUAAUGUCACUACAAGUAUGACUUCAAGAUUCGACAUAUCUUAAGGAGAUGUAAUCAAACUGCGGAUGUUCUAACUAAGUUCACUAUUUGUAAAUGUUUAUCUUUUGUUUUACUAGAAGAUUUUUCACAGUCAUUAAAUUGAUAUCUUUGAGCUUUUUCCUAAUUUAAUAAGAAUUACUUAUUUAAGAAAAACAUUGAUACUACAUAAGACACAACAUGAUUACAUAAAUUGACACCCAUACUAAUAAGUGAUAUCUUGCCAAAAAAAAGAGUGGGUUAUUUGAAUGCAUUAAACUUUUCAUUGAACCCAUUUACUAAAUAAACUUACCUCUAAUUUUUAAAAUUUAAAAUUUUACUCAAUAAACCCUCUUAAGUACCCAAUACACCCUUACUUAACUCAGUUUUUAUAAUAAUAGUGUUUUUACUGAUUAAACCCAUUAAAUUAAUUUAUAAACCUUUAAUAAAUGUUUGUUUUCUUUUUUUUUUCCCAUUAAAUUCAAAAUUUUCUUUAUGAAUGUGAUUAAAAAAUAUAUAUAAUUACAACAGCACACAUUCAUACCUCUUCCCAUUUCACACCAUCUCAACCUUUGAUUCAAGAUGUAGAUUAUUCAAGUUGUUCAUGAAGGCAACAAACAAACAAUAUCUAUUCCUAUCAUUGCUUCUGUAGUAAUCACCAACAUAAAAUAAGCCCCAGCCACUGGAAGUAACUUUUACAGAUUGAAUGCGAGGAAAAAUAUGCAACAGAGCUGAUAGAUGCAGCUGCUUCAACGAACAUCAAGCUCCUCCUCCCGUUCCCAUUGCUGGCCUCAACAUUCAAUCUAACUUUUUCUCCUUCAACUUCACCAUUUUUUCCCUUUUGCUGCACUUGCAACAACUACAAGUCUCUGGCCAGUGUUGACCCAAGCCUUGCUGGUGCUACAUAGGAAAGAGGCUAUCAUGAUCAUUGAUGCCAUUUCCACAAUAUUCAUGUGCUUUCCUUCAAUGUUUCAUUAAAUUUCUCAUGUAGUUAUUCAAAAUCCAGAACAUCUAUUUCAAUUUUUCAAGCUGAUGGAGCAAUACGAUGAGAAAGGAACAUUUAAAUAAUUGCAAAAAUGAAUUGCUUUACUUCUCCGGUUCUCCUAAAAAAAAAGAAAAAAGAAAAAGAAUCGCUUUGUGGCAAAGAUAAGAAUCGGUUUAUGGCCGUCAACAACACUUGUUUUUCUAAUCAGAAUCUUUACUGUGCAUGCAAGGGAAAAAAAAUCCUUAACAUUCUGGUGUUCCUGAUUUGUAGUAAAAUAAUAGAAAAGAUCAAUAGACAGCAGCACAGAAGCUAUUACAACCAAAAUGAUGAAGAAGAAAGAACUUCAACACUGAAACAUUUUAAAGUAAACACGACUUGAAAUUUCAUAAAGAUCCCAACAAAAUUCUUAGCCUCUUUCUGCCGCUUCUUCUCUUCUUUGCGUAUUGUUGCCCACUGUCAAAUGCAAACAAAGAUAUAAUCGCCAAUUUUAUUACCUGAAUCCAAUCUAAUAUGCCUAAUUAACAAAAUUAUGUGGUUUGGGAAAAGAAUUAAGCCUCUAAUUGAUUAGGGUUUAAUGAAAAUAUGAUUAUAAUUUAAUAAAAUUAUAUAGAAUGUAAAAAUAAAUUUAAAUAUUAAAAUUUUUAUUUUUUUAUUAUAUUUUAACAUCCACGAUUAUAAUUUAAUUUUAGGGGAAAAGCUUUUCUCAUCCCUAGAGUUUCAUGCAAUAACUCAUUUAAUCCUUAUUUUUUAAACAAUAGUUCAAAACAUCCUUUCGUUAACUCACCGUUAAUUGAAUGUCAUUUGUUAGUAAUUCAUUAAGGGUAAAAAAAGAUUUUUCAUAAAAAAAAAAUUAGAAAAAUAAAUAAAAAUUGACAUAUAACUAAAAAUGAUUUUAUCUAAUUUCACUAAAUCAGAAAUACCAAAAAAGAUGAAAAACUUCUAUUUCAAGCAUUUUUUUUCACUUCUUUCUAUUUUGGCGGUAUGAAAGCCCUAUAAAUCCUAGAUCUAAUUGAAUGUCGUUUGUUAGUAAUUUAUUAAGGGUAAAAAAAGAUUUUCUAUCAAAGAAAAAAUUAGAAAAAUAAAUAAAAGUUGACAUAUAAUUAAAAAUGAUUUUAUCUAAUCCCACUAAAUCGGAAAUACCGAAAAAGAUGAAAAUUUUCUAUUUCAAGCAUUUUUUUUUUCACUUCUUUCUAUUUUGGCGGUAUGAAAGCCCUAUAAACCCUAGAUCUAAAUAUAAAAAAUAUCACAAUUUUCUUAUUCAUAUAAGUAUACUCUCUAAUUGCACUGUAAAUGACUUGAAUUGAGUUGAAGAUAAAGAAAAUAUUCAACACAUGCAAGCACAUAAAAAUUAGUGGUAUUUUUGAGUUUUUCUUCCAAUGAUUUAAAGAUAUUGUGUUAAUUACAGUUUGUUCCUUAUGACAAUUAUUCAAUGGCUAUAUUAAUUUAUAUCAUCGUUGAUUUCAUUUAAGAAAAAGUUAAUGAAUUUUACAUAUUUUGUAGUGUUAUUUAAUUGUGUAAAAAAAUUAUUUUAAUAUAGUUUGUAUUACUUAAAUGAAAAAUCUUAUUUUGCCCUCAAUGAAUUAUUAGUUAACGGCUUUACACUAGUGGUGAGUAGAAAUAAAAUAAGUUAUUACAUUAAAUCUUAGAGAUGAAAAAGAUUUUUUCCCUUUAAUUUAAGAGUAUAUUAAUCAUAAAAAAUUAUUUUUAAAAAUAGAUUUAAUAAAUAAUUUAAUGAAUUCACAGAGCCAAAAAAAAAAAUUUUUACUCUUUUAAAUAUUUGUAACUCCACUUGUCCUUUUCCCUUAACGUAGCAUUGUUGCUUCUACAGAAACAGUGACAGGGCCGUACGUAGAAGCGCAAGAAGCGACCAAAAGGAGCAAGAAAGCGAAACGAAUUCCGGAAAUGGGCGGCAGCGGCGGCGGCGGCGAGUGCAUAACGAGGAGCAGCCACGUGAUGGAGGGAGGCGGUAGCUUGGAGAGUUACAGAUAUUUCCUCUCUCGACGCACCGUUCUGCAAAUGCUCAAUGAUAGAGGCUACGCGGUUCCCAACUCGGAACUCACUCGUUCACUCACUGAGUUCCGUUUUACUUUUGGCGACAAAUGUGACCUUGAAAGUCUCCGUCUUUGCCUCCCUCUCCGCUCCAAUCCCUCCAAAAAGGUAACAUUUUUAUUUCCAUUUCAUCAUCAUCAUUAUUAUUAUUAUUAAUUUAAUUUUUAAUAAUAAUAAUGCGAUUCUUAUUUUAUUUUAUUUAUUGGUAAGAUGCUGGUUGUGUACUUGGGAACUGAAGAAAUCAGGACGCAAGCCAUUCGGGGCCUUUACGGUCAGAUUCUUAACAAGGAAGCUUUACAUGGACUCAUACUGAUUUUGCAAAGCAAUAUGAACACUUUUGCUCGGAAAGAAGUGCUAAAGUUUCCAUUUAAAGUUGAGAUUUUCCAUGUAGGUUACCCUGGAACUCCCAUGGCUAUGUAGAAAAAUGGCUCAGCUCUUAUAGACUUAUGGGUGUUGUUAUGAACUGGAACUAGUAUUGAUAAUUAGUAUGUUUUAAAUGUAUUAUAGAAGAUAUCUCAUGCUAUUGUUUGAGUUGUCGUUGGUUUUGUUGUUACAGGUGACUAAGUGAGUCACAAAUUUUCAUCGCUUUUGUGGAAAUUUGCAGAACAUGUUUGGGGGUUGAGAUUGGGAUUGUAAACUUUUCAGUUAUGAACUAUCUAAAUUCUAAAGAUCUUCUCAAAAAAAAACAAAAAAAUUCUAAAGAUGAAGAAACCUUCUAGAGUGGUACAAGAGGUGUGGGGUUAUUUAUAUUAAAAAAAGAGUACUAAGGAUUAAGAAAUUUGCUUUAGGAAGUUUUUUAGGUUUUCCUUGAGGCUGCUCCAAACACUUUGUGGUGCUUUGUCAUGGAUCCAUAUUCAAUUUAUUCUAUUUACUGCUGGUUUUCCAUCCAAGGUAUCAGUUGAUAUUGCACUUUAAAUGUUUGAAGAGUGCUGCUUAACCCUGCUAAGAUGUAAGAUCUGGCAAGUGGGUCUUCUAUUGUCUAUGGUACCAGUAGCUUUAGUAGCUAUAUAUUGUUGGGGUUUGAUGUCUGUUAAAUGUUUUUGCCUGUGAUGAUAGCUAAUGAUUAAUGCAAUUUUUUUAUAAUCAUUUUAAUACUUUGAGACUGCACAAAUGCUAUGGAUAAUUGAGGUUUUGGUUCUGUUUAUUUGAAUUUGACAACAACUUACGUUGGCUUUCCCUUUUAGAUCACUGACUUGUUGGUCAAUGUUACAAAGCACAUUUUGCAACCAAAGCAUGAGGUGCUAUCUGCUGGGGAGAGAGACAAAUUAAUGAAGAAGUACAAGAUAGAAGGCAAGCAGGUAAUAAUUUUAGUUACACAAUAAAUGCAUCCUUUGACGUUCAUAAAUUUAAUGACUCUACAUUCAUAUGCAUACUAUUGAUGGAAAAAGUUCUUGGGGUAUGGGAUCAUUAACAAAUGGAAGCCAGUACUUAAGUUGACUUGUGGAAGUUUUUCUCUGUCUUGGAGUAACUCCCUUUUAAAUUUCUUACCAUCCAUCCCAUUGUUGAUAUUCAAAGCCCAUUUGUUGAUGGUUAACUUGUUCAAUUAGAAUGCCGGUUGCAGUAAAGGAAAAAGGAAGCAAAGAUGUGAUCAAUUUGUUGGAUUUUUUGCGUACUCAAAUUGGCCAUAAGUUGUAGUUCGCUGGUUUAAACUUAAGGGUUCUGUUUUUAAUAAUCAAAUGCUGCAAUUUAUGCCAGUGCCAUUGACCGAUGCAUCUUGUCAUGAACGUCCUUUUGCUGACCUUUUGUUCAUGAAUGGAGUUCCCAUCUGCUCAGUCUCUUGCUAAUUCCAUCUGGCUGGAUAUUUGGAUUUCUUCAUGUCUAGAACUCAGCAGUUGAGAGUCAGUGUGCGGUAGUACUGGUGGUUUAUGGACAUAAAACUAAUGAGAAAAAGAUGUCUAGAAGUUGUGAGCUCAGUUUUAUUGGGCACAACUUAAGAUCAAAGUUGAACUUGCGAUAUCUAAUUAAUUAAUAUAUUAAGCCAGGUAGAAUUUUGUUAGGACGCUUUGGAGCUAAGUAAUCUGCUCAACCAUAUAAUGCAAGCUUAGGCUGCAUAAAUGAACUUCAGCGACGUGGAAAUUUUUUCUGGGCAUGAAAUUAUAAAUGAAAUAUGGCCUAUACGCCUGAUAGUUCUCAAUUGAAUUCAUCGACUUUGAACGUCUGGGGCCUACCUCUUAUGUCUUGAUUGGCUUAUCUCUUUAGUCUGAGCAAUAUGUUAAAAAUGGGUUGUGACUUAGAAAGAGGCGUCAAUGAGCCUAUGUGUCAUGAAUCAGGAAAAGAAGUAUGCCAUGUAAAGAAUAUGGUGGAUUCUUUUUUAUAACAGUGUUCGUUUGUCUAUGUAACUGCUCAUAAGUUUUGUUGCAUGAUUGAUCAAAGUAGAACACCAACCUACCUCUAUUUUUAUCUUGUCUUUCAGCUCCCUCGAAUGCUGGAAACUGAUGCGUUUGCUCAAUACUAUGGACUGCAGAAGGGCCAGGUGGUGAAAUUUACUUACUGUUCUGGAAUUGCUGAAUUUCUUGAAACCUACCGCCGCGUUCUCUGAUGCUUCCCUGUGUAUUAUAUGCUCAUUAAAACAGUGUUGACAAGCUAGCUAGAUACAUAUUAUAUACAUGGGAUGAAAACAUAUAUCAGGAUACAUGCUGACCAUGUGUACAUGUACAAGCAAAAUGAGCUGUAUAUUUUGACUAGUUUAUUUCAGAAACUCAAUGGCUCGAUAGAAUUUCAUUUGCAGAAUUGAAAAAAUUGCCAUUUCUUUUAUUUAACACAUUGCAUACCUCGUAGCUGCUUCUAAGCCGAUAGUUUCUAAACAAAUGUUGUGAAUAUUUUCUACACCAAUCUGCUUCACAACACUGCAAUCAGUGGGAUCAAUCCGUGAAAGAUCAACAAUGCUACUUUGACAUAAAGUAGAUUGAAAAUUUUUACACGAAAAUAAAAAUGGCACCGCUUAAUUUUGUUUUUAAAAAAUAAGAAAAAAUUGAAUUAAAAAGUAAAUUAAAAAGUAAAUUAAAAAAGAAAAGAAAAGCAAAAGUCACUGUAACAAAUAUAAAAAGGCCACCUUGCUUCUUUAUUAUUAUUAUUAUUUUUUUAACUUAAUUACCCAUCAAAUAUGAGAAGCUUCUCUUUUUGUUUUUUCAAUUAAAAGGUUGUGUCAAAUAUAGCAAACGCAAACCAGCACUCCAGCAGAUUAACUGAAAAUUUUUUAUUUAUUAACUUCGUUGAUCAGCAAUAAUGUCUAUGAAUAACUCAAUUUUCAUAAUAUAAAUAGAAAAUAAAUUCACAAAAUCUUGCUACAUAAAAUGACCAUUAUACAUUAAUAAUAAAAAAAUAUCAUGAUACCCAAUUGGCACAGAAAAAAAGACAGUAGCGUUUUUAAUUUUAAAUGAAUAACAGAAAAAUUAUCAGUCGUUAACAUAAAUUUAUCCUGUUAUAAAAUAUUAUAAAAGUUAGAAUUUAUUCAAUUUUUCACCAUAUGUUUACAAAUUGUGUCAACCAUCCACCAAAAAGGUAACAAUACACUUGUAAAAUAACUACUAUUAUAAUUUAUUUUUCCUUUUGUUUGGUCAUUUAUAAGGGUAAUUAUAUCUUUUUUGUGGACAGUUGCAAAUUACAAACUUAGGUGGAAAAUUAAAUAAUUCAAAUUUUUGUAAUAAUUUUUAGAAUGGGUAAACUUUUUGAAAGAAACCAUAAAAAAUGUGGGGGUUUAAGCCGGACCCCUUCCUAUAAAAUAAAUCAGUAAAUAAGUAAAUACAUAAGGAGGGGGACAUAAAUCAAAUCUCCUAAAGCAAAUAUAAGUCAAUAAAAAUAGAAAGAGAAGUAUAAAACGAUCAAUAAAUAAGCAAAUACAUAAGUAGGGGGACGUAAACCAAACCAAACAUCCUAAAGUAAAUGUAAGUUCAUAAGAAUAGAAAGAAAAGUAUAAAAUGAUUAAAUGGAAUAAAAAAGUCAUCAAUCCUAACUUCUGACAUGAGGACCAGUCUCUGCAUCCAAAUACAGAAUACCAGAUAAGCCUGCAGGAAGAUCCCGAGAACACAAGAAAUGUCGAUUAACCCGAUGAGUACAAGCCUAAUUGGCCAAAAAAUCUGCAGCAGAAGUGGCCUCUCAAAAGACAUGCCUCACCGAAAUUAGAAAAGAAGAAAUCAAAGCACACACUCGACGCAGCGAAUAAACAUAAUCCCAACGAACAUGACCGUAGGAAUGAAUCCACGAAACCGCCGUGGCCAAGUCUGACUCUACCUCAAGCACAGAGUAAUCAAGCUAAACAUCAAGCUCCUACCCGUCACAAACUAUCAUAAGCUCAGUGUAAAGGAUCGGCUAGUAGCCAAGAAAAGACCGAAAAGUAGCCAAAAACCACACCGUGAUGAUCACAGAGAAUAUCACCCGAAGCAGCCAUCCUAGGAUUGCCCCUAGAGCAACCAUCCACAAUCAACUUUGCAACCCCAGGAGGCGCCCUCAUUCAAGAAACUAUUCAAAACGGUCUCUUGGGUGGAGUUAUGAUCGCAAACCCUCCACAAUCUGAGUACACAAAACUUCCCUCAACUGAGCAGACUUAAAACCAAAGAAGUUAGCAAACCAAAGGAAUUAGCAAGCCUGAGAUCUGAAACCACCCUAUAAAUAAUCGUAUCAAUAGAGAAAGGCUAGGAACCUGAAAGUAUUGUGAGCCUUCCAAAGGUUGCUGCUUCCAUGAAUAGGGUAAAGUUAAAGUGGAGGAUUAAUAAUUCCCGUUAAUAAUAAAACAUAAUUCUAAUGUAAUUUAGAUUACAUUAUAAAAGUCUAUUUUAUUAAAAAAAUGGUAAUUAUUCACCAACUACUUAUUUUUUUGAGUUUUUUUAAAAAUACACAAUUCUUUUUUUUACUAAAUUCCACUUGAAGUUAUAUUUUUUUGCACAUGUACACUUCCGUUUGAGGACUGUUAUAACAUUAUUAACGUCAUAGGGGCAAAUUGGUCAUUUCACCAGUGCAGCCCCAAAACGAUGUCGUUUUGCAACUUUGAUUAGAGAGAAAGGAAAAGAAAAAGGCAAACUAGUCAAGAGUAGGGCAAAUAAUGAGAAUAGUCAUUUUUCGUUCACACAUUAGGUGACCCACCACCAUGCAUGAAGAACCAGCAAAGAAUUAUAAUUUUUUAUUUAUGGGGCAAAACAAUCAUUUGCUCAAGAUUCCAUUAGUUUUCUUAACAUUCUCCAGACAGAAGUGGACAUGUGCAAAGAAAUGUAACUUCAGAAGGAAUUUCGUAAAAAAAAAUUAGGUUUUUAAAAAAAAGUUUGAAAAAAUAAGUGAUCGAUGAAUAAUUAUCUUAAAAAAAAGGUAAAAGGAAUUUACCAAAAACACUGAUGGCUCCUUUGGCGGCUGUUGCGAUGAUAAUUUCAAAUUAAAAUUUUCAACAUAAAGUGCUCUGCAGCUUUGUACUUGUCAAAGUGGGAGUAGGUGGAAGCUAGAGUGUUGGAGUAGCUAAGGGCAAAUAAGUGAAAAAAAUGAAGUAGUGAGUAGUAAUUGAAUGUAAUUUUAUUUUGAAAAUGGUGGUAAAAAUGUAACUAAAUACUUUAUUGUUAAUAAAACAAAAAUUACUUUAUACGAUCUGGGGAAAAAAAAAGGAAGAGUAAUGGACACAUGUCCAACACACAAACGGUGAGUGAGUCAGUGACUGGCACCCAAAACGAACGAUUGACCACAACACUGCUCUGUAUGUUUUAAAUUAUCACUACUUCACCAAUUAAUGAAUGUGGUUAAAUUGGUCAUACCAACUUAGAAUAUCAAGUUAUAUAAAUUAGGAAAAAUUGUGGUGCAACUGUAGUACCGUAUUACAGUUACAUUCAGCUGUUGGAUCUCAAUAUACUCCACCUAUUCAAGUGGAUCCAACGGCUGGAUGCAACUGUGGCAUGGUACCACAAAUACACUGUAGUCAGACCCAAAUAUAAACUUAUAGGCUUUUUACUAUUUCAUAAUUAAAAAAAAAUCAAAGAUUUAUUUAUGGGCGAAACCUUAUUAGGUUUCAAUACACUACUUCUUGCUUACAAGGUGUUUUAUUUCCUCUCAAAAGAUUAAUCUCAGUUACAUAUUCUAAAAUUAAUCUCAAAAGAUUCAUUUCAAUUUCAUUCAGCAUUUGAAAUGAAAAAAGAUAAAAUAGGGCCAUUCUAGUAAAAAAAAAAGUACAUUAUCAGUAGUGGGAAAAAAUUGAAUUGUUGAAUAAGAUCCAAUGGUUCAUAAUAAUUAAUUAAGAUUAACUUAAAUUUUUAAAAUUGACUGCCUUUUUAAGUGAGAGUAAUUAAGACAAAGAGCUGAAAAAUAAUGUCCGCAUUUUUUUUCACAUGGUAGUAAUCUACCAAAACACAAUUCUUUUAAUUGAGAUUCAACAAUAAAAGCAGUACAAAUAUGACCUUUGUAAGAAUAAAUCUAACUAGUUAUACUUUGUAUCACAACAUUAUACGUCAAUUAAAGAAGACAUAUAUUCAUUCUUAUAUAUCAUUACAUUUUUGCAUGAUUGGAUUAAUAUUUUAUUUUAUAAAAAUUAGAGAUUGGGAGCUGGCCAUUUAUGUUUAUGCACUAUGAGAGUAAAACCUUUCCACUCAUAAAGUUAUAAGAAAUAGUCUUUUGAGGAUAAUAAAUUAUUACUACCUUUUUAUAUGAGUAUGACAUUCAUGGGAGGUUAAUCUUUAAUAUUAGAUUACGAUGGUUAGACUCCGAAGUUAAGCUUAUCAUUGUGAUCACCGAGAGGUAAGUAAACUAGAGCUUAGACUGGGAUCACAAUAAACAUAUGUAUUUGUGUGGAUUUUGGAAAGAUUAUUUUGAUAUUUGCAUUAUAAACGUUUUUUACUAGUAUAUUUAACAUUGUGUUUAUAUAUGCUUUAGCAUAAGCACGGGUAUGCAAAUUUUUCUUUCAAGUCUUCAUAUGAAAAGAAUUAUGUCACUACUAGAAAAAUGGGCUUUACUGACGCUUUGCAAAAGUGUCAGUAAUUAUGUACAUAUACACCAUUUUCCACUUUUGAAAAAUAGGAAUCACAGAUUAAUGAUAAUGGGGUGUCAGUAAAUUAAACAUCAAAGAUCACUGACAUCAAAGUAUCAAAGAUAAAAAAAAAAUUCAUAAAAAUUUGUUUUAGCUCCAACUCGAACCUGAGAGCUCUAAGAUUUAAAGCUUUAAUGUUUGGAGCACAGACCAUCAAAUCUCGAUGAAUCAAAGUCAUAAUAAUAUUUAAAUUAUUAAAAAAUAAAAAUAUAAAUAACAACAACAUAAAACUCACACUUAAUGACUUUUCCCCAUCUACCCAGACUGUACAUCGACUAUCUCUAUCUUGGUUUUAUCGUUCUCUUUCUCUUUCAUUUUUCUCUUCUCGAUCUCUUCUGUUUUGCACUAUCCAUUUACAAAUGAAAUUCAAUUAAUUUAGAUAGAUAAUGAAAAGCUAAAACUCCGUUUUGUUUUUCCAUUUUCCCCAAAUUGAAAAACAAACCAAAACCCUAAUCGCUUGUUAUUGAAGGGGUUUUUUCUCCAACUAAACCAUCCAGUGCCUAUAUUAGGCAAGCAAGUAAAAGCCAUCGACAAGGGGUGAAGUGGCACCAUCGGUUGCGUAUUCAAGUAAUCUCAUUCUCCCUCACAAGUUAAGUUCAGAGAAAGAACUGUAGAGGAGGUUAUCAGCUGGUAAUGGCUGAAUAUUUUAUUUUUUUGGGCAAUUUAAUUAAUGGGUUUGUUUUAAUUUGCCUUAUGAAUAAUAUUUUUUAAUUUUAAUUUUUGGGUUGUUUCAGAUGUUCAGAAAUUGAACUGUAGUGCGACCCUGGUGGGUUUUGUUUUCCAAAAUUUUUUUAUUUAAUUUUAACUUGAAAUUUUUGUUCUUAUUUUUCUAUAUCUUCACUCACAUACAGUCCAAAAAUACAUGCAUUUUAAGUGGUGCAUUACUUAAACUCAAAACACUUGUUGCUGCGACUCUAUUUUUUCUGCCACAUUUGAGGUCAGUUUAAAACUUUUGUGCAUGUGAUUUACUGUCAUUGUUAUUUAAAACUAAGAAAGUGCAUUUUUUUUAGUUUAUGAAAUAAACUAUUAGUUCCGUUUCUUAACACUAUUAGUUCCGUUUCUUAACUUUGAUUAAUAAGUUAGUUCAUUUUGAAUGCACUAAAAUAUGAAAUUUCAUUUUAGCUUUUGCCUUUCUGAUUAGGAGAUGAUUGUUUGGGUAUUAUAUUGGUUGAAUGAUUGUGUAUUUAGUGGUUACGAACUAUUUACAUCUCUGUUUCAUGUAAAGAGAGGCAAAUUUUGUUAUAUAAUUUUACUUGUUUAUUUAUUCUGUUUUGGUUGGAAGAUUUGUAAUAGAGACAAUGACUAUGAUAUGAAUUAAUUAAGUUCGUGGUUGUGAGUAUUUUGAGAUUGUAUAAAGUUGAUGAUUUGUGUUUGAUUCAAGAAAGAAAUAUUUGUUUUAAGGUAGUUCUGCAUGUUGUAUUUGACGUUAAAAAGUGAUUUAUAGAAUCUUAAAAAAUGGUUUGCAAAGUGUUAUGAAGACAUUAUUUAUUUGAACUCUUAACUUUUGUUAGUUUCUUGACUUAUGAAUUAGUUCGACUCCUUAAAAAGCCAUUAGCGCUCAUCUUACCUAUUAAUCUCCUAUUUAAGUUUCAAAGCUUCUUUUGUUUCAAUUUCAGGAUUUUGUCUAAAUUAUUAUUAUAAUUAAUGAUUUAUAGGGGCUAUUAGUGAUUUUCCAGAAUUAUGAGUUUAUUAUUGCAACUAUAAUCAUAAUAACAUUGAACAUUAAAUUAAUCAUGCAAUUUAAUUAAACUUAAACUGACAUUACAUAUGUGAACAAGUAAAAUAUUUGAAAUGGACAGAACUUGGAUAACUUGUGAUAGAUUGUCUGUAGAGUAUCGUUCUGGAGUUGCUGAUUUCUUAGAUUUUGCCAUUUUGAAUAAUGAAAACCGAAUGUCAAUUAGAUGUCCUUGCACCUUUUGUUGUAAUAUGGAGUUUCAUACUCCUCAACAGGUGAAGGAUCAUUUAUUUGAAAAAGGUUUUCUCCCAAGAUAUAUUGUUUGGACUUGGCAUGGUGAGACUGACUCUAAAUCUACAUUUACAAAGUGUGAAGACCAUUCACAUAGUCAAAGAUUUAGAUGUCAUGAUUACAGUAACAUAAUUGAUAUGGUUGAAGAUGCUUACGAGCAUUGUGAUAGAGAUCAUAGUUCUUUUAAGGAUAUGCUUGAAGAUGCUGAAAAGCCUUUGUACCCGGGUGCAAAACAUUCAAAGUCAUCUAGUUUAAUGAGACUUUACAAUGUGAAAGGGAAUUAUGGGUGGUCCAAUAAAGGGUUUUCUGCUUUGUUAGAAGUCCUUGCUGAUAUUUUGCCAAAUAAUAAUACUUUACCUAAGUCAAUGUACGAGGUUAAGAAAACAAUGAAAGUGCUAGGCUUAGAGUAUGAAAAAAUACAUGCAUGUUCAAAUGACUGCAUUUUGUAUAAGAAUGAAUUUGCUGAUCUUGUUGAAUGCCCAAAUUGUGGACCAUCUAGGUAUCAAAGAGAAAAAGAUAGCUCAACAAAAUUUAGGAAAUGGGUUCCUAAAAAGGCAUUAUGGUAUUUUCCACUUAUUCGUAGGUUGAAAAGAUUGUUUCAAUCACUACAAACAGCUCAAAAUUUAACAUGGCAUGCUAAUAAAAGAAUUAGAGAUGGAAAACUUCGCCACCCAGUAGACUCACCAGCCUGACAACUAAUUGACAAUAAGUGCCCAAAAUUUGCACGAGAACCUAGAAAUCUCUGUUUAGCUCUCUCAACUGAUGGGGUUAACCCACAUAGUACACUUAGCACUACUUAUAGUUGUUGGCUUGUUAUAUUAAUAACAUAUAAUCUUCCUCCAUGGUUGUGUAUGAAGAGAAAGUUUUUGAUGUUGUCUCUUUUGAUAUUUGGCCCUGAAUAACCUAAAAAUGAUCUAGAUGUAUACCUAGCACCUUUGAUUGAUGACUUAAAAACUCUAUGAGAUGUAAGUAUUGAUGUUUAUGAUGCUUAUAGAAAAGAAACCUUUAAUUUACGGGCUGUCUUGAUGUAGACAAUCAGUGACUUUCCAGCAUACAAAAACCUCUUUGGUUGUACUGUUAAGGGCUAUUAUGCUUGCCCAAUUUGUGGGAUAGACACUUGUGCAUGUUGGCUGCCACAUAGUAGGAAAGUCUCAUAAAUGGGCCAUCGCCGCUUUCUACCACUUGGUCACCUAUUUCGAAAACUGAAAAAAGUUUUUAAUGGGAAGUAAGAGUGGAAUGAGCCUCAUAAAACUUCAUCUAGUGAGAAAAUCUUUAAUAUGGUGGAAGAUAUUGAUAUUAAGUUUGGGAAAAAGAAGGCCAAAAAGCGGAAACAUGAUGGCGGUGGUGGCAGUGAUGGUGAUGAGAACAUAACUGAAAAAUUGUACAAAAAAAAGUCAAACUUUUUUUACUUAGAUUAUUGGAAGCAUUUAUUAGUUUGCUAUCAAUUAGAUGUGAUGCACAUUGAAAAAAAUGUGUGCGAGAACAUAUAUGGCACAUUACUUCAUCAACCAGGCAAAACAAAAUAUGGGAUUAAUGCUAGAAAAGAUCUUGAGUCUUUGAAGAUCAGGGGAAAACUAAUUCCUGAUGAAACAAACAAAAAAAACAAAGUCCUACCUCUAGCUCCAUACACUUUGAGUAAAAAAAAAAUAUAUAUAGUUUUGUGAAACCUUGCUGAGUGUGAAAGUCCCUGAUAGGUAUUCUUCCAAUGUCCAAAACCUUGUUUCAAUAGAUGAUUGUCGGCUUCAAGGCCUUAAGUCCCAUGAAUGUCAUACUUUGAUGCAAAAAUUUCUACCACUAGCCAUUUGAAAUUGUUUGCCUAUAAAUGUGAGUAGGGCCAUAAUCAGGAUGUGCUUCUUUUUUAAUACAUUGUGCUGUAAAGUGGUAGAUCCUAAUACUCUUGACCAAUUGCAAGAGGAACUUGUAAACACUUUAUGCUUACUACAACAGUACUUCCCACAUAACUUUUUUGACAUAAUGAUCCAUUUAACAGUCCACGUAGUUGAACAAGUUAGGUUAUGUGGGCCUGUUUAUCUUCGAUGGAUGUAUCCUUUUGAGAGAGAAAUGAAAACUCUCAAGGAUUAUGUUCGUAAUCGCUACCGCCUUGAGGGUUGUAUUGUAGAAAGUUAAAUUGCAGAAGAAGCACUUGCAUUUUGUGCUGAGUACCUCUCAAAUUGUGAUGUUAUUAGGCUGCGUACUGGUUGUCCAAUUGAUUUAUCUGUCGAAAGACCUUUGGGAGGUGCAAACAUAAAGGUGGUUGAUGAUCCUUUGCUGGCACAAGCACACCGGUGUGUUCUAAUGAACACCCUUGAAAUCCAAAUAUAUAUCGAGUAAGUUGUUAAUUUUUCCAAAAAAAUAUUACUAUUGUAUUAUAAGAUUACUAUACUAGUUUUUAAAUCUUAAUAUGGUCUCACUGUAGGGAGCAUAUGCAUUAUUUGGCAUUAAGAAACCCCUAUAAGGCAAAAACAAAUCUGUGGUUGCAAAAUGAACACAUACGUACAUUUUCUGGUUGGUUACAAGCAAAGGUUAGAAUAACUUAACUAAAUACAAUAUAGGAUAUAAACUUAAAUAAGAUUUUUCUACAUGUAACUAAUUAUUGUACUUGUUAAUUUAAAUUAUAAGUAGCACAUGAUAAAGCAAAUAAUGUGCUGAUUGACGAAAUAGUUUGGUGGUUGGCAAACAAACCACGCUCAAGCGUGGUGACCUUCUCUGGCUACGAGAUCAAUGACUUCAAUUUUACAACGAGGGACCGAGACAGUAAUCGUGUGACCCAAAAUAAUGGUGUUAGGGUUGUCACUAACACUCUACAAAUUUCAAGCUCAAAAGAUAAAAGUCCUCAUUCUGAAGACAUGACGUUUUAUGAAGUCAUUGAUGAGAUUUGACAGCUUGAUUAUCUAAUGGUUAAAAAAACACUUUUCAAGUGUGAUUGGGUAGAUGAUAGAGGGGUUUGCACUGACAAUUUAGGUUUCACUGUAGUUAAUUUAAAUCGGAUUGGCUAUAAAUCUGAUUGCUUUAUUCUAGCUUGUCAUGCAAAACAAGUAUUUUAUGUAAAGGACCAGCUAGAUAAUAAUAAAUCAAUAGUUUGUUCAGUGACUGACAAAGCUUAUAAGUUAAAUGGGGAAAGAUGUGAAGACGUGGAUGUAUUUUCUCAAUUAUCUAACAAACUUCCAAUAUGUGAGUUGGAUGAGAAAGAUGACAAGGAAUUUAUGACAAAAAAGAUUGUGAUGCUAUUUCAAUAGAUAUUGAUUUAGAAAAUCAGUGAAUGCAUUAUUGUAGUUAGUUUCCAGCACCAAUUUUCACAGUUUUCCAGUAAGUGAUUUAUUUAUUUCAUUAUAUGUUUUUGCUCUUGUAUUAACUUAUUAAUCUAAAUGAUGUACUUAUUUAUUUUAAUCAUUUUCAGGAUUGUAGGAGAUGGCUGAAGAUGCUGAGUUCACUCUUUCGGAGCUCGACGGAAGACCAAGGAGAAGAAAACAACAAGGCUUGCAAAAAUAAGAAGUUAGUCAUGCAGGUGCAAUUGAGUACAAUUCUUAUGGUGUUUCAGUUGGAAAGGGAAGAAAUGAUCUUAGGAGUUACAUUGGAGUCAUUGUACGUGAAACAAUUUCAAUUUUACUUGAUGAUUGGAGGCGUGUGCCACUAGAGAUGAAGGAAACUUUGUGGCUUCAUUUUCAUGUUUUGUUUACUUGUUUAAUAAUAGUUUAAAGAUUUUAUAUAACUUCUAGAUUUGUUUAAAGUUGUUUCUAAUCCAUGUUAUUGGUUUACAGAAAAAUUCAAAUUGAGCUUGAAAUGCAAAAGCCAAGUGUUAAAGUGGAUGAUGGUUGCAUCAAGAAACUUUCGAAGUGAAUUGGCAACUGAAUUCAUUCUACCUAACAAGGACGAUCGAAAGUCACUAAAGUUGCCUCAUAUUGAAUAUCCGAGCAUUAAAAAGGAAGAUUGGAAACUUUUUGUUGACAAAGUUUUGUCUGAACAAUUUCAGGUGUGUUGUUUGUUAAUAUUACCUGAUUUAUUUAUUGCUAGUUACUAAUAAUCAAUGGUAACCUUUUAUUCUUCAUAUAAACUGUUUGUACAGGAAAAAAGUAAAAAGGCAAAAGACAAAAGAGCAAAGAAUGUCUACAACCAUCGCUUGGGUAGCACAGGAUACGGUGGCAUGUUGUAUAGAAAAGUAUGUGUGGUAAAUAAUCUAAUUACAGUAACAUAAGUAAUCUAAUACAUAUAAUAUAAUAGAAUCAAUUAUUUAUGUUUUAUGUCACCUUGUAACAGAAAAAUGAGAGUGGAGUUUCUGAGCGGGAGAUUGACCGCAGUGAAGCUUGGUUAAUGGCACGAGCAGAUCGAGAUGGCAAAUAUACUUCUGAUGUGACGCCAAUUGCUGAGAAAAUAGUAAGUCACUUGUAUACUUAAUUCUUAUGAAUUUUCUUUAUAAUGUGUGUGUGUGUGGGUAAAUAUUUACGUACAUAUAUAAUGCUUUUUGUAAUAAUUGUAUGGUAACAUUUACAAGUGACAGAAGCUCAAUAAUACUUUAUCAGAACUUAUUUGUUCGCAUAUAAAAAGGUUAAAACUUGUGUGCAUGUGUGUUUGUAUGUGUAAUGAAAGAGAUGUCUAGGAGAUCAAGCGCUUGUGCGAGGUGCUGUCUUAUAAUAUUUUAUGUAGUUUCAAUUUGAACUGUAUAUGGACUUGCUCUGUGUUGAAGAUUCAAGAAGGAUAUUAGUUUAGUUUAGCUGAUGUCUUGUACUCGCAAUUGCAGAUUUACAAUAUUUUUUUUUUUGUAGAAUGAGCUGAAGAGUCAAGUUGAACAAGGAACAUUCCAAUCACAAGGGUCACAUGACAUUCUAGGCGAAGCUCUUCAGAAGCAGCCAAAUGGAAGCAGGGUGCAAGGAGUGGGGCAAUUCGUCACCCCAUCUAUGUACUUUUAUGUCCCUGAUGCCACUGAGUUAGCAAGAGAAAGAAAGAUGUAUCAAGAGAGUUUCCAAUUCAUGUCUGCUCAAUUAGAACGCAUGAAUGCAAGGUUAAAUGCGUACAUCAAUACUGAAGUUGGAAGUUCUAACUUUCCUAAGCCCAAAACUUCCACUAGUGUUCAGAUUGACAAUGAUCAACAAUCCCCUAAAACUCUUGGAAAAAGAAAGGUAUAUGGCCUGUUACAUGUCAUUAUUUUAUUUCUAUCAUGUAUUACUACUAAUGGUAUGUAUUUUGAUUAUUGCAUAGGCUGAUUUCCCAUCGGGCAAGUCGACUCUAAAAUCUGUGAAGAGUAAAAUGAAGGACACUCCCACCACAAUUUCCCAAGCAACUCCUCAACAAAUCCCCGAAAAAGUAGAGUGUGAAAUUACUUCAAUUUAACAUGGUAUCAGAGCCAUACUAAAAACAAAAAUGGCGUUCUCAAGCUCAAAUCCAAACACAGCAAUCUAUGUUUCUUCAUUUACUUUCACUUCUCCUAUUAAGCUUGAUCAAUCGAACUACACAAUCUGGAAAUCUCAGAUUCUCUCUUCAGUACGUGCAAAUGGUCUUGAAGAUCAUCUUGAUAGCUCUAAAUCAUGUCCAGAUCAAUUUCUUCAAAGUGAAUCUGAGAACUCUGAAGUUGAAACUCAAACAAAUCCAGCAUUCACCACUUGGAAAAGGAAGGAUCAGAUGCUGCUGAGCUGGAUGUUGUCUUCCAUAAAUCUCGAAAUUCUCAGCCUUGUGGUAAACUCUGAAACUUCACUCGAACUUUUGACUAGUCUUGUGCAAUAAUUUGGAUCUGAAACCUUUGCUAAAAAGGUUCAUCUUAAGAUGAUGCUUAAUAAUCUUAGAAAAUGUUCAAUGUUUAUGACUGAAUUCUUUGGAAAGCUGAAAACAAUAACUGAUGAUUUAGCAAUAGCUGGAACCCCUGUUACCUCUCUGGAUUUUAUUACACAUCUGAUCUCUGGGCUAGGCCAACCAUACUACCUUGUGGUCGUGUAUAUUGAAGCAAAUCUUGCAAAAAUGACUGUUAAUGAAGCUUACUUAAUGCUUUUAACUUAUAAAGCUAGAUUAGAAGCACAUCAGUCAAAUGCUAGUAAGGAAACUAAAUUGACCUAUGCUGCAAAUGUUGCUCAAACUGGAACCAAUACUAAAUUUGGAGGACAAAAUAAUGCUAACUGGAUUAGGAAUGGAAAUAAUAAUAAUGGUGGCAGAGGAGCUUUUGGUAGAGGCUUUUCACAAGGCCGGGGUAGAGGAAAUUGGAAUGGUGUUUGGAAUAAUAAUGCCCAGCCUGGAAAUUAUCAAGGCAGAGGUGGAUAUGGUGUUAACAAUGGCAAUAACUUUGGUGCUAAUAAUGGAAAUUUUGGUGGCUUCACUAAUGGAAAAGGUGCUUCAGAUCCAAAUGGAGCUGUUGUAAUCUAUCAAAUAUGCUUUAAGCCAAAGCAUACUGCAGCUGAAUGCAGGAACAUAUUCAACAAAGAAUUUGUGCCUUAUUACAAUCCAUAUUCAGGCUAUAAUUCAUAUCAGAAUCCUGGACCAAGAGCUUUCUAUCCAAAUUCAGCACCAAGAGCUGCUUUUCUAGCAACUUCUGAAGGUGACAUGGCUGAUCAAGGCUGGUAUGUUGACAGUGGGGCAACACAUCAUCUCACCAACAGUCUGCAGAACUUGAAUCUUAGAAGAGAAUAUUCAGGUAAUCAAUUAAUGCAUGUUGGUAAUGGCCAAGGUCUGAAAAUUACACACAUUGGAUAUACUUGUCUUCCCACUUCCUGUGAUUCUUUUAUGCAUUUACAAGAUAUCUUGUGUGACCUUAUCUCACUAAAAAUCUCAUAAGCAUUUCCAAAUUACUUGAAGAUACCAAUUUAAUCAUUGAGUUUGUUGCCAAUAUGUGUUUUAUUAAGGACAAGAGGAAGGGAGUGCAUCUGGCUCAAGGGAUUGCUAGAGGAGGAUUGUAUAAGUUGCUGUCUAAGAAUGAUUUUCUCUCCAGUUCAUGUGUCAUCAAUCAUAAUCCUAGUUCUAUGCUUUCUGUUUUUAACCAGUCAGCUUGUAACUUUUCUGGUUUGUCUUUGAAUGAAGAUUGUACUCAAACAAGUAAUCCUCAUAGUAUUUUGAGCACUGUUAACCCAGUUAUGUUUGCUAAUGUGUUACACCAAAGAUUUAGUCAUCCUAAUAAACAUGCAUUGAAAGGCAUAUUAUCUUCUCUUGCACUUCCUGCAUCUAUUCCUGAUUUUUGUGAUGCUUGUCAAUAUGGUAAAAUGCAUCAACUUUUUUUCUACUCUACAAGCAUAAAAACAAAAACUCCUUUAUGGAUUGAUGUGUGGGAGCCACCUCUCUAGUGCCAAUAUACCGUGAAGUGCCAUGAAUAGUGCAAAGUGCUACAUGCAGGGUAUGUAUUUUUGAAAAAGACAAUUGAAGUUUUAAUAAGUUUGUUAUUUACUUAUUAGGCACCUAUACACGUUCAUGUGGAGCCUUUUGAUAUGUGUGGUCUUUCUUUCAAAUUAGUAGAUAACUCAUGAUCAUUAUAUGAUAUAUGAUAUAUGUAGUCUUACUAAGUAGCAACAAUUGUGGAUAUUCCUAAAAUAAGUAUGAUAAGAUUUAUUAAGUGAUUCAUGAAAUAUGAAGCCUAUGAAUGAAAGUAAGUUUAUACUCAUGCCAAUCCAUGCAUAUGCAUUGUAUAUAUUAUGUAUUUAGUUCGCUAUAUGAAAAACUAAUUUCCUUAUUGAGUUUUUUACACACAUUAUAGUUUAUUGUGACUUUCAGAUGGCUGAUGGAUCUAACGUGUGAUGGAUUUGGCAAAUCUGCUCACAUUCUUUGGUUCCCUUAAUUUUAGAAGAUUUUUUGACAUGUGUGUUUUAACUAGAUUUUGGCAAAGAGGGAAAACUAGCUAAAUACAAUGAAUUUAUAAACUACAAGGGUUGUGGUGCUUAACAUAGCUAGGUGUGUUGUUUGUUUGAACUUUCCUUGAAGCUUCAAAAAUAAUGGAAAUGAUGGGGGCUUGGAUGAAAUCUAAAUCUAGAGAGGAUUGGUUUGGAGGGCUAUGUUUAACCUGCAAAAUGGAGAAGACUAGUUACAGGUAGAGUUAGCCGUGGCUGGUGACUACACUUUGAUGCUCAAGUUAGUUUUGAAGCUAUAUUUUUGUCCCAAGAGUGGUGACUAGAGGUUGAAGAAAACCCUCAGCCUUAUUAUUGCGUAUGUUUUUAACAAGUGAGAAAAAUAUAACUUGAGCAUCUUUAUGUAAAGCACUUGGGGUUACAUCUUUCACCAUGCCACCUAGUGCAUUUCUAUUGGUGUUAUUUGUUGCCUUGGUAAGGAUAUUUCUAUCAUUUUACCCAUACGACCUUUUGGCCCUUUAAAGCAUGCUCAGAGAGUAAGUUGGCGUGUUAUUUUCAUUAUUACACGUGUUGGACUCUACUAGGUGGUCCAGCAUGUCUUUACAAAGACCACCCUGCAAUUAAUGGUGUGUUAAUUAGGACAAAUGAUCCCAACUAUUUUAAUGAGCCGUUUUUGGCUUUUUUACAAGUGUGGCAACCUACUAUUCCCUCUUUCUAAGUAGUUCCUUAUUGUCCGGUGUUUUCCUACCUAUUGUUGUCUUGCUUCUCUGAUUGUCCAGUGUUUAAAUAUAUACAUGUAAAUAUUCCCUUUUUGACUUGUAUACAUAUUACUUCUUGUAUUUUAAGCCUUGUAUCAGCUAUUAGGACUGUGAAAGUCUGCUUCACCAGAAAGCCUGAUCAAAUAAGGGUAUUUAUCUGCCACUUCCUACUGUUAAAAUUUUUCAUUGUUAGUCAAAUGGUACGAAAUGCCUUAUGUGUAGAGGCGGUAACCAAGAUUCAGAACUCUUAAUAUGCAUGAGUUCAUUUAUUUCUUAUUGUUUUCAUUCCAACUUCCAUUUUUGGCAAAUGUUUCCUUUGUUUAACACCUCAUUGAGUGGAAUAAGUUUUAGUUUGCAUGAGAGAAUUAACUACCGGAAUUCCACUGUAAACUUUUCUUUAGCUGCAAGAUCAUGCAAUGAUGAGUACGAAGCUUGGGAGCUUCUUAUUGAGCUGGUUGAUGGAUUUUUUAAGGUACUAUAUUUGACCAUUAAAGUCUGAUCCAUUAAUUGCCCCUAUUAUAGUCUUAAGCCAUGUGACUGUACAUUAUAAUUAUUCAAAAAGGUGCACUUUAACAUUCCCCUCACGUGUAAGGCUGGCAAAUGAUAAUCAAACAACAAUGUGAACAACACGCAGAGCAAAUAUUAGUAACCAAAUAAAGUACAGAAAUAGGGUUGGCCAAUACCGGGAUUGCUCUACCCUAGGUAUGUAACAUUAUUUAGUACUCUAUUUAGUUUACUAAUUUUAUUUGUGCCAAUCUGAAAACUUAUAAUUCAAGUGCUAACUUUCUCUCACUAUUUUUCAACCUUUUAUUGAAGUGAUCAAGAAGACGUUGGGAGUUGAGAUCAUGCAAAAAGGGGGUGUUCUAUGAGUUGUUUUGUUCUUUUCCUAGCUUAUCCCUUCUAUCUCUACUUAAUUGAAUAUUAAAAAUCCAAAUUAAAUUUUGUGUAUGUUUGGGAAGGAAAUAUGAGGCCAAUGAUGAAGCGCCACGUGUCGAUAUUUAAGAGAUUAAUUUAUCUCGGGUACCUUAGGUACCUCGGGUAUCCUAGGUACGCCGGCUACCCUAAGCACUCCAGGGGUACCUCGGGUACACCAUGAGAGGAUACAAAAGUCUUCGUAAAUAUGUGAAGGGAUAUGUGGGCCCCGAAUCUCAAAAAGACCGGUUUGAUACGUGUCAAAAAAUAAGGAAAUCUCGUGCCGCAAAGGAGGAGACAGCGGCCUGUCACGCCAGCGAAUCCGCUAAAAGUGUGAUAUUGUGACAGUUGGGACCACCAACUUUUCCUGCUACGCCUGCAAAAUUACAACGGAAUUGCAGAGGUACGCGGGACCACUCCACUACGCCCAGCACGUGAAUACGCCACAAACUUGCUCUCCACUCAUAAUUUUGAAACGUUUAAACCGCCAUACACAUGAAAAUAAGAAUAUUACUGACAUGACAAUAGGCAAGGCCACUAAAAUAGCGCCAGGUGGCACGACAACCGGGGUACACCAUAUAAAUACUCAGGUUUGAUUUUUAUCAAGGAGGUAAACACACUCACCACCAAAGAAACUAGGGGUUUCUUCAACCUCAAAACCUCCAUUACCGAGAGCUUGUAAGCUCUCUAACCUGAGAUAACCCAACUCUGACUUGAGCGUAGGAGUGUCGUCGCCGACCACCCUCGGCUCCACCUCUGACCUCUUUUUUGGUUGUUUCGCAGGUUUAAGGCGAGUUUCACCAGCCCUCCACACCUGAAGUCAGCCCUCCUCCAUAUCCACCGCCAUCUCAAUCCUCCUCCACUCCACAAAAAGCCUAAACAGCCUGCACGUGCUGAACAAGCAAGGUACCCCACUCCCCGAAAAAAAUAUAAAUUUAUUGCUCUUGGGUUGGUUUUGUGGUUUUUUAUUCAUUGACCCAAAAUCAACCGCAAACAGUGUACAUUUUUUCAAACAUUUAUUGCAGUGACAACCAAAUGUUCAAUAUGUUUCUAAAGAUAUUGGGAAUAUUGGCACUUGAGGAGUGUUUAAUCCUUGUUUUAGCUCUUUAUUUAUUUAUUUAGCUUCGUUUAUCAUUUUUAUUAUUUACGACAAACAUGCUUAAGUGUUUUUUUUUUUUGGAUACUCUGACUAAUUGGGUGUACUUUUGCCUAUAGGAUAUAACCUCUGAAAGUUCUGUAAAAGUAUUUUCUAGCAACUAUUCUAUAUAUCUGCUUCGGGAUGCAUGGCCAUAUGUAGAGAAACGCAAGCUUUUUCUUUAUUUUUUCCACAAAUUUUUACACUUGAAUUAUGGUCGAUCUCUAUGUUAUAUGAGUUAAUUCUAUGCUUAACUCCUCUCACUUAGUCAUUUGUUUGGUUACAGAAAGGCUACAUGGAUUCUUCUUAAUUGUCAUUUUCCAAUCUUAAAGGGAGCUUUAUUGUCGUGAUCUCAUGGACUUCUCAACUCGUUGUUUUAGUUGAUCGUGAUUAAUAUUGGAAUUAUUUUCUCCUAAAUUAGCCCUCUGUUGUGUCUGUCUUUGUCCUCUCCAUCUCUUUAUCUCUCUGUAUGUAAUUGUUUGGGUUAAUCUUCUUUUCCCAAUAACAGCUAUUUAUUUGGUUGUAGUGAUGCAUGGUGGUGCCUUCUUCCUUUUUUAUUUUUAUAAUAUUUUAAGUAGAAUCAGGUGUCGCGGAUUUCUCCAAAAAAAAAAAAAACUAUGAGUUUUCAAAGAAUAUUGAGAUAUUAUGCACUAGUCAAAGGGCCUGAUAUUCAUCUCUUUCCAUAGUUUCUUUUCAAACACUUUAAAUUCAACUUAUUGUUUCGUGAUUUCUUUCGUAAUAUGGCCUGUUAGAUGAAUUCUUGGGAAUAUUUUGAAGGCGGUGUGCUAUUUUCCACUUUGUUGUAUUUUAGUAUCGGAGUCAGUGUUCUCACGUUCUUGUUUGGUAUGUGUGCUUGCUCCACAAGGAAAAGAUUUAAGCAUGGUCUCUUAUCAAAUGCUGCUUAAAUAUCAAUUUUUGCUACUGAAAUUAUUAGUUUCUCUGAUCUUAAAGAGAAAAACUGUUGUUGUGGACUUUUUCAAUUCAUUGUUGGAGCAGCUAAGGAAUAUUUGGAUUAUUUUCUCUUAAUUUAGUUUUCCCUUAAUUUUCUCUUUGUUUAGCCAGUCUCUCUCUGUGUGUGAUCUUUUGGUUAAGUCUUUUGCCCAAUUUGUGUGAAGUUUUUUUGCUAAAGAGAAUGACUCAAGUGCUGACAAACUCUUGAGGUCAAUUGAAUGACUUGGAAAAUCCUUAUUUGUCAAUUAUCCAAGAGCCUACUGUUUCGAGGAUUACUCGGUCAUAAUGUUAUUCUUCUUGCAAGCGGCGAUACACUUUUCAUUCCUGAAGGCUGGUAUGAUUAAACACUAAAUUUUUACGACAAGGGUUUCCUUUGCCUGCAUCAAAAUCAAGAAUCUCUUUGUGGUUAGCUUUUCUUUCUUAAUUUGAUUAAUCACAUAUUGUUUUGUUAGUUUAUUCUGGAGUACGCUUACCACUGGUCGAUUGUUUCAGGACUUGAUGCAGGCAAAAUGAGACUUGACGGGUGCUAAAUCAAGCUUCUGCUUGUUUGUAGCGUAUUCGCAUGUCAGGUUUUCUCUUCACUUUUAAGAAGGCUGUGGAAUCAAGUAUGCAGCAAGGAACAUGUGCUUUUAGAUUUUGAAUACUUUUUUUCUUUUCUUUUCUUUUUUCAGUUCUUUCUCAUAGUUUUACUCCUAUAUAUAUCUGUUUGAUCCAUAAGUUUUAUGGCUUAUUUUUUCAAUUUUGUGAACUCUUAUUAUAGUGAUAGACGAACGGUCUUAGAACGUCUGUGAAUCUUACUGUCUGGUUUACUUAUCUCCCAAUUUGAUUAAAUUUUGGUAUAAGAUUAGCUCACAAACAUGAUUGUGUAUAUGACUUUGUUCUAUUUUCCCAUGGCUUUUAAGGAUAAAUUAUUGCUACUGUUUACAGUUUUAGGAUAACCCUUGUGCUGAAUCUAUGACCGCAGUCUGCCAAAGUUCUUGGACUCGUGGAUGAGGAAUUAACAUUUUAUAUUGCAUAAGACUUUGGUUUAAGCUGACGUUGAAUGAAAAUAUGUUAUAAUUUUUACUAUUUUUUGUUUUUUUAUUUCAAGUUUAUUAUGUUAUUCCAGAGUUUGGUUGGAAAAACUUAAAUCUUAUAGACUUGGAAAGAUUUCUUAUCUUUUUUUAUUAACUUUUGCAAUUUAUGUUGGGUCAAGUAAUAUUUCGGUUCUUUUAAAAAAAAAAAGGUAAUAUUUUUUGGUUGGUUCCCUUGAUUUUUUAAUAAAGUUUUACAAGUCAGUAGCUUUCUUUUUCCUUCAUUUGAUGAUACUUCAAGUUUCUUUUGAUUAACUUAGAUGAACUACAAGGACUUUCAUCUCCUAACUCUGUUUCGUUGAUUCUGGUUAUGAUAUAGUUUCGUGCAAUAUUGUUUUUUUUUUUUUUACUAGUAAGAGAUCUUUAUUAUCUACUGUAAUUAAUGUUAGAUAAUUUUUAUUUUUAUUUUUUUACUACUUUAUUUAAUCAAGUUGUAUUCCUUUUUUUUUCCUUAGCUGGUAAGUAAAGAAAGCUUGUUUUUUAAUAUUUUUUUAUAUUGAUAUUACAAUCAAAAGUCCAUAUAUGAUGGCAAUGAAAAUUUGUAAGUUCCGACAGGAAGUCGACACGUGUGCUAGGAUAUGCAAAGGACGAAAAUGACGGGGUUGCCCAUGAGGUACAAAGGGUUUAAAUUUUGCGUGCGUAAAUUUAGGAUUAUAAUUCUUUCAUAAUCUGAUCGUAUUCUAAGUAAAUAUUUACUUAUUGAUUAAUAAUAAAAUUUAAAUUCAAUAAAACUAAAAUGCCUGCCUUUUUUUAUUACUUGUGGUAAAAAAAUUCAAUACGGUUCACACCGUAUAUGAACACAUAAUUUACUUAUUGAUUAAUAAUAAAAUCCACAAGUAAUAAUUUACUUAUUGAUUUUAGCUGUGAAAAUGGUAUUUGUCCAAAUCACCAGCAUAAUCAGAAUCAACGUACCCGAUCACACCUUGACUAAGUGUAUCGUCUCUCUCAAACAGUAAACCAACAUCCAUGGUCUUAUGAAUGUACCGUAGAAUCCAUUUCACAGCUUGCCAAAGUCCUUUACCAGGAUUAUGCAUAUACCUGCUCACUAUACCUACUGCAUGUGAAAUGUCAGGCCUUGUACAAACCAUUGCAUACAUUAAGCUACCCACUGCAUUUGAAUGCGGAACUUGUAACAUGUAUUCUCGUUUCGCAUCUGUUGAAGGAGAUAAUUGUGCAGAAAGCUUAAAAUGAGAAGCUAAUGGGGUACUCACAGGUUUUGUCUGCUCAGACAUGCCAAACUACUGUAGUACCUUCUUCAAAUAUUACUUCUGAGACAAGCUUACUUUGCCACGAGCUCUAUCUCUACAUAUCUCCAUGCCAAGAAUCUUCUUAACUUCACCUAGAUCUUUAAUUUCAAAUUCUUGAUUGAGUUGAGUCUUCAACUUCUCAAUCUCAUCUUUGUUCUUCGAUGCUAUUAGCAUAUCAUCGACAUACAAUAGCAAAUAAAUGAAAGAUCGUUCUUGUAGCUUGCGAAAAUACACACAAUGAUCAAAUUUGUUUCUUGUGUACCUUUGUUCUUUCAUAAAUCGAUCAAAUCGCUUAUACCACUGCCUCGAAGAUUGUUUCAAUCUAUAAAACGACUUUGUCAAUUUGCAAACCCAAUUUUCAUUUCCAGCAACCUGAAAUCCAUCUGGCUGAGUCAUGUAGAUUUUCUCUUCCAAAUCACCGUGUAAAAAUGCAGUUUUUACAUCAAGUUGAACUAGUUCAAGAUCAAAUUGUGCAACCAUGGCUAGCAAAAUUUGAAUAGACGAGUGUUUUACAACUGGAGAAAAUACCUCAUUGUAGUCUAUUCAUUCCUUCUGAGCGUAACCCUUCGCUACCAAUCUAGCCUUGUAUCGAAUUUCAUUUUUACGAGAAAAUCCUUCAUUUUUUGCAUAUACCCAUUUGCACCCAAUUGCCUUCUUUUCCUUGGGCAGUGUAACUAACUCCCAAGUUUCAUUUUUGUGAAGAGAUUGCAUUUCUUCGUUCAUUGCUUUCUUCUAUUGUAUACUUUCUGGGUUACUUAUUGCUUCUUUGUAAGUGGAAGGAACAUCAUCAUUUACAAUAGGAAGUGCAUAAGCCACCAUAUCAACAAAGCGAGCAGGUCUGCGAAUCUCUCUACGUGGCCUUCUAUAUGCAAUUGAAUCUUGUUGUUGUGAAGGUUCCUGGGUCAGAACCUCUUCAUCAUCAUCGGUCGAUGGAGAAUCAUUAUUUGUCUCAUCGACACCAGCUGGAUCAGAUUUAACUUUUUCAAACUCCAUCUGCUGCAAAGUUCUACUGGUCUUCUCAUUCUCUUGAGAAUCGUUUUGUUUCAACAUGGCUGAUUCAUCAAAAGUUACAUCUCUGCUGAAAAUAAUCUUCUUCGUAACAGGACACCAGAGACGGUAUCCUUUUACUCCACCAGUUAGACCCAUAAACAAUGCUUUCUUUGCUCUUGGGUCUAACUUAGAUUCCUUUACAUGAUAAUAAGCAGUGAAACCAAAAACAUGUAAAGAAUCAUAAUCAGUAGCAGGUUUACCAGUCCACAUCUCCAUGGCUGUUCUGCCCUUAACUGUAGUUAAUGGCAAACGGUUGAUCAGAUGGCAUGCAUAUACAACUGCCUUAGCCCAAAACUCUUUGCUCAAUCCAGCAUUGGACAACAUACACCGAACUUUCUCUAGUAUAGUCUGGUUCAUGCGUUCUGCCACCCCAUUCUGUUGUGGUGUAUCUCGAAUAGUGAAGUGUCGCACAAUACCUUCAUCUUGGCAUAUUUGAAGAAAUUGAUAAUUCUUGUACUCACCACCAUUGUCUAAGCGAAGUCUUUUGACCUUUCGACCAGUCUGAGUCUCGACCAUUUUCUUUCAUUUCAGAAAUAAGCCCAAAACUUCAUUUUUGUUCUUCAUCAAAUACACCCACACUUUUCUUGAAUAAUCAUCAACAAAAGUAACAAAAUAGUGCAUACCUCCCAAAGAAGCUAUUUUGGUAGGUCCUCACACAUCAUUGUGAACAUAGUCCAGAAUCCUUUUUGUGUCGUGAAUUGUUGAACCAAACUUUACCCUUGUCUGCUUGCCCAGAUCACAAUGUUCACAAAAUUCUAAUUUGUAAGAAUUUGUACCUUUUAAUAAGCCCUGCUUCAUCAAAGUCUGCAAAGCUUUUUCACCAGCAUGUCCCAAACGCAUAUGCCACAACUUGGUUGCUUCUGAAUAUGCAUUUUUUCCAGAAACUGUUGAUGCUGAUACAAUAACUGUAUUUCCUUGGAAAUAAUACAAGUUAUUUCUUCUUGUGCCUUUCAUCACCAUCAGCACCCCAACUACUACCUUCAAUAAUCCAUCUCUCAAAGUGAUUGUGAGCCCUUUAGAUUCUAGGACUCCUAAUGAGAUAAGAUUUUUCUUCAAGCUUGGUACAUAGCGAACGUCCGUCAAGACUUGGAUUGAGCCAUCAUGAUUCUUUAUUGGAUUGUACUUAUUCCCAUGGUUUUACAAGCAUUGUCAUUACCCAUAAAAACAACUCCACCGUCUAGCUCUAUGAAGUUAGAAAACCAGCCCUUGUUAGGACACAUAUAAUAAGUAUAACCCAAAUCCAAAAUCCACUCAUCUGAGUGACAUAUCAAUGUCAUGCCAACCAGACUAAAGUCUGACUCCUCAUCAUGCUCUGCUACACAUGCAACAGAAGUAGCCUUGCCCUUUUGUAACUUAGGAUAAUUUUUUUUCCAAUGCCCUUUCUCGCGACAAAAAGCACAUUCAACUUUGGCAGGUUUCCCUUUAGACUUGCUCCUUUUUCCAGGUUUGCGGCUUUACGAACGACCUUUCGCUGUCAAUGCUUCUGCAACUGUAUCUCUGUGAUCUUUUUUGUCUUUCUUUUUGGUCUUAGAGUUGUACAAUGCACUGCAUACAACAUCGAACGUAACAUUGUCUUUCCCAUGAAGCAAAGUGGUAGUGAGAUGAUCAUAUUCAUCAGGAAGGGAAUUCAACAACAAUAAUGCCUUAUCUUCAUCUUCAAAUUUCUCAUCCAAAUUUAGCAAAUCUGCCAAUAUUUUGUUGAAUGAGUUCACAUGGUCAUUCAUUGACAUGUCAGGUGUAUAUGUGAAUCGAUAGAGUUUCUUCUUCAUAUAAAGCCUAUUUUCAAGACUUUUCAUCAUAUACUUUUCUUCCAGUGUCUCCCACAAUUUCUUUGCCGAUGUCUCCCUCAUGACAGAAUAUUUCUGAUCUUUAGCCAGACAUAGGCGAAUAGUACCACAUGCCUGUCUAUUGAUUUUUAUCCACUUGUUGUCAUCCAUCACGUCAGGCUUUUCUUCAAGAGCAACGUCCAACUCUUGCUGACAUAAGACAUCCAACACCUCACAUUGCCACAUACCAAAAUUAUUGGUACCAUCAAAUUUCUCCACUUUAAACUUUGCAUUAAUCAUAGUAUUCAUCACUGAUGAAGACGACGACGAUGCCUCUGCCAUCUUUUUUUCUCAAAUGAUCAGUUUCUUCAACAACUAUUUACACUUAAAAAACAGCCUUUAUAAUGUUUAUUUCGCGUGAAUAAAUGCAUUAGGAAAGUUCCCAGGAGACCGUUCCCAAUUAAGAACCAGAAUCCUUAGACUCUUAUCGUCUUGUUGACAAUAACUUUCCUAGACAUGCAAAAAUACACACUACUUACAAUAGACUGUCUCCACCGUAUUUGUGAACAGAACUGUAUACAAGAAUAGUACCGUAUACAUGAACAGUACUGUAUCCCCCCAAGUAUGAACCGUCGGCUCUGAUACCAAUUGUUGCGGAAACGUGAGUUGAGCAAUUACUAAUAUUGCAACUUCUGGAGAAAUAUAAAUAUGGUGAUAAACAAAUGCAAAGAAAAUAAGACACAAUAAUUUACGUGGUUCGGCGUAAUGCCUACGUCCACGGGCAAAAGCUGGAAGAUAAUUUUAUAACAAAUGAGAAUUUACAAAAGUGGAAAAAACUCACAAAACCCACAACCCCAAUACACCCAAAUGGAACCUCACUAGAACACUCAAGUGGAAGCUCUCACAUAUUCUCUCAAAGAACUCACUUGCAAUUGCUCUCUACUUCUCUCAAAUUUGGGAUCCUUACAAUUGCAAAAUGCUUCUCUAUUUAUAGAGUGCAUUCUGCACCAAGUUGGGUUCAAUUGGUCAAAACGUUAAGCUAGAUCUUGUAUUGCAUGCACAAGCUUUUCAACACCUAACUUUGUCUUUUGAAAAUUAGCAAGCUGACCAACUUUGCUUUUUUGAAUUUGGCAAACCCACCAACUUUGCCUUUUGAAAUUUGCAAGCCAUUCUUUGACUUUUCAACAAAAAAGACACAUUUCAAUGCAUUAAAGACAAAUUACAUUGUAUUGGAGUAUGUGUUUAUUUUAACCUUUUAAAUUGUCUUUAAUUUUAUUAAGCAAGUGAUUCUCUUAUUGUAAAAUUGCUGGGUACACAUACAAAUAUCCCAAAGUUCUUAAGGAAAAAUGUAAGUUCACAAUGAAAUUUAGCUUUUUUCUUAAAUUAAGGAUGAAAGUUGUAUAUUCACAUAAAUGGUGAAAUCCAGCAUUUUUUCUUUUCUUCCUCACCCCCCCGGGCCGCAAAUUAAAGAUGAAAUCAAUCUCAGCUCGUCAUUUAAUUAUAAAUUCACUUUGCUUUAUUUUAGUCUUUUUCGUUCUAGGAUUUUGAAGUUUUUCGACCGACUGGAGUACCGUACUACUGUCCAAAGAUUUGGCUACAGCAUCUAGAAGCUGCAUCUAGAAGUUUUGAAGAAACAAAAUGAGUGGCACACGGCUUUGAAGUUCUAGAUGCUGAAAUACUUGAAGAGGAAAAUGGAAAAAGAAGAAGUUUGAAGAAGAAAAUGAGGAACGCGAUUUUGACAAGAGAAAAAAAAAUUAUUAUUUUAAUAGCCAAUUUUGGCUAUAAAAAGGGGAGUUCCCCAUCGGCUUAGUGUAUUCUAUUCUUUAAGUUUUUCUUCUCUAUUUUGUAAAGAGAAAGAGAAAGUGAGAGUAUUUUAAGAGUUUUAAUAAACUCUUAAGUAAUUAGUGAGUGAGAGAUUAGGUGUAUUGGGGUUUUGGGUAGUGAGCCAAAAUAUUACAAUACUUGUAAUCCUCAUAUCACUAGUGAAAUAUUUUCCUUCUGUUUUCGCCCGUGAACGCAGGCUAAAAGCCGAACCAUGUAAUUUUCUAGUGUCCCUUUUUAUGCUUGUUCUUUAUUUUCUUCCAAUUUCACUUUACCUGCGGCUCUGCUUCACCCACCAAUUUCCUAACAGUGGUAUCAGAGCUAUUGGUUGUAUUUUUGGAGUCGGUUACUAUUCACAUAAGGGGUAUUAUUUACGCAUACAGUACUGUUUACAUAUAUGAUACUAUUCAUGUAUACAACACUGUUCACGUAUACGGUAUUGUUCAUAUAUAUAGUACUGUUCACGAGAAACGAUGAGAGCAAUCCAAGAAUUUUACAGUGCAAAGUAGGGAAUAGUGGUGUGAGUAAAGCAACUGUGUGGUUUUGUACUUGUCCAGGAAAGUUCUAUCACAAAGGCAAUAAUAGCUUAAGGAGUCUGAGUUUUAAGUGGGACCAUUGUGACCCCUCUAGUCUUUCCUGAAAACUUUCUUGGUGUGCAUUCUCACACAUACUCACAACUAUUCAGGGUGGUACACUAGUUUGUGUGUGGUACUUAUCAACAAAAUGGCGGCAAAGUAUGAAAUUGAGAAGUUCAAUGUGAAUAAUUUUUCGUUGUGGAAAAUGAAGAUGAAAGCUGUAUUGAGGAAAAAUAAUUGCUUGGCAGCAAUUGGAGAAAGGCCUAUGGAGAUAACUGAUGACAAGUGGAACGAGAUAGAUGGUAACGCCAUUUCUGAUCUACACUUGGCACUUGCGGAUGGAGUAUUAUCCAAUGUGGCUGAGAAAAAUAUAGCGAAGGAAAUAUAGGAUACUCUUACAAAAUUGUACGAGGUCAAAUCACUACACAACAAAAUCUUCUUAAAGAGAAAACUCUAUACUCUUCGAAUGAUGGAAUCUACAAUGGUGACCAACCACAUCAACACCUUGAAGACUCUAGUUUCACAACUCACAACGUUGGGUCAUAAUAUAGAGGAAAAUGAACGUGCAGAGCUUCUACUUCAAAGUCUACCAGAUUCGUAUGAUCAACUCAUCAUCAAUCUAACAAACAAUAAUCUAGCGGACAAUCUAAUUUUUGACGAUGUUGCAACCUCCAUAUUAAAUGAGGAGAGCAGGCGAAAAAAUAAGAAAAAUAGACAAGCAAGUUCGCAGCAAGUGGAGGCGCUAUCGAUGACGAGAGGGAGAUCAACGGAACGUGGCCCCAGUGGGAGUCACAAUAAUGAUAGAUCAAAAUUCAGAAGUAAGAAGAAUGUUAAAUGCUACAACUGUGGCAAGAAAAGGCACGUUAAGAAAGAGUGUUGGAGUAACCAGAAGAGAAAAGAUGGCAAAGAACCUGAGUCAUCAAAUGCUCAGGGGUGUGUAGCAAGUACCUCGGAUGAUGGCGAAAUUCUCUACAGCGAGGCAACAACUGUUUUAGAAGGCAGAAAAUGAUUAUCUGAUGUCUGGCUUAUAGACUCAGGAGCUACCUGGCACAUGACCUCUCGGAGAGAAUGGUUCCACACAUAUGAACCUAUCUGAGGAGGAUCUGUAUAUAUGGGUAAUGAUCAUGCCUUGAAGAUCGCUAGUAUUGGUACUAUCAAAAUAAAAAUAUUUGAUGGUAUAAUUUGUACAAUUGGGGAGGUACGACAUGUCAACGGCCUGAAGAAAAAUUUAUUGUCUUUGGGACAAAUGGAAUGGGUACAAAACUCAUGUGGAGAAUGAAAUUAUGAAGAUCUUUAAAGGCGCGCUUGUAUUGAUGAAGGCAGAAAAAAUCGGUGCUAAUCUAUUCAUGCUUAAAGGAAAAACACUACAUGAGGCUGAUGCGUGUGUCAUGUCAAAUGGAGAAGAAUCAACGAUGAUGUGGCACCUCAAACUUGGCCACAUGUUAGAACAAGGUUUGAAGGUUCUCUUUUAGCGAAAAUUGCUUCCAGGGCUCAAAUCGGUAAGUUUACAAUUUUGCGAGCAUUGUGUUACAAGUAAGCAGCAUAGAUUAAAAUUCAGUAUAUCUAUUGCUAUAAGUAAAUGCAUUCUAGACUUGAUUCAUUAUGAUGUUUGGGAAUCGCCGGAUAUGUCAAUGGGAGAUGCAAAGUACAUGGUGACUUUCAUUGAUGAUUAUUCCAGGAGAUGUUGGGUGUAUCCAAUUAAGAAAAAUUCUGAUGUAUUUCCAGUGUUUAAAGAAUACAAAUCGCGGGUGGAACUUGAAUUCGGAAAAAUGAUCAAGUGCUUGAGGACGGAUAAUUAUGGAGAGUAUACAGACGGUGAGUUUCUUGCUUUUUGUAAGCAAAACAGUAUUCAGAGGCAGUUCACGGUAGCAUAUACUUCUCAACAAAAGGGAGUGGCAGAGCGGAUGAACAAGACUCUUACAGAACGAAUAAGAGCUAUGUUGAGGACUACGGGUCUACCUAAUUCAUUAUAGGCAGAAGCAGCUAAAACUGCUUGUUAUAUAGUAAAUCGGUCGCCAUCUACAACUAUUGGGUUGAAGACAGCGAUGGAAAUGUGGACUGGAAAGCCAGCUGAUUACUCACACCUACAUGCAUUUGGAUGUCUCGUGUACGUGAUGUACAAUGCUCAAGAAAGAGCAAAGUUGAAUCCAAAAUUUAGAAGAUGUAUCUUCUUGGGAUAUGUUGAUGGAGUAAAGAGGUAUCGUCUGUGGGACCCCACUGCCCACAAUAUCGUCAUCAGCAGAGAUGUUAUCUUUGUAGAAGAUCAACUGCAAAUGAGAGAUAAGGAUGAUAGCACUGUAAAAGAAAAGUCAGAGACUGUGCCGGUAUAUGUGAAAAAUAAUUCAGAAGAUUCAGAUUCUUCUGAAGCAGCACCAGAGCACGAGGAACAAGAACCAGUCAAGUCCGAGGCUCCAGAAGUUUGUCGGUCAACUCGUGAGAGACGACCGCAAGUGUGGCACUCGGAGUAUGUCACAAAGAUCAAUGUUGCAUAUUGUCUUCUAACAGAGGAUGGAGAGCCUUCAACUUUCUAUGAAGCUUUAAACAACUUAAAUGUUACUUUGUGGAUGACAGCAAUGCAGGAAGAAAUUGAGGCUCUACACAAGAAUAAGAUAUGGGAACUUGUACUACUACCACGUGGAAGAAAAGCUAUUGGAAAUAAAUGGGUCUAUAAGAUCAAAUGUGAUGGCAAUGACCAAGUGGAACGGUAUCGUGCAAGAUUGGUGGUGAAAGGAUAUGCUUAGAAAGAAGGUAUUGACUUCAACAAAAUAUUUUCUCCGGUAGUUCGACUCACAACAAUCAGAGUAGUCUUGGCAAUGUGUGCUACAUCUGACCUACAUUUAGAGCAGUUAGAUGUGAAAACUGCAUUUCUUCAUGGAGAACUUGAAGAAGAAAUUUAUAUGCUCCAACCAGAAGGUUUUGCAGAAAUAGGAAAAGAGAACUUGGUUUGCAGGUUGAACAAAUCUCUGUAUGGUCUCAAACAGGCACCGAUGUGUUGGUAUAAGAGAUUUGAUUCCUUCAUCAUGAGGCUUGGAUACAACAGACUCAGUUCAGACCAUUGUGCAUAUUACAAGAGGUUUGAAGAUAAUGAUUUCAUUAUUUUGUUGUUGUACGUGGAUGACAUGUUGGUAGCAGACCCCAACAAAGAUCGAAUCUAAUAAUUGAAGGCAUAGUUGGCUAGAGAGCUUGAAAUGAAGGAUUUGGGACCAGCAAACAAGAUUUUAGGGAUGCAAAUUCACCGAGACAUAAAUAACAGGAAGAUUUGACUUUCACCGAAGAAUUACUUGAAGAAAAUCUUGUCGCGCUUCAACAUGCAAGAUUGUAAGUCAAUUUCUACCCGACUUCCUGUUAAUUUCAAGUUAUCCUCAAGUAUGUAUCCUAGCAAUGAAGCAAAGAGGAAGGGAAUGUCUCAAGUACCGUAUGCAUCAGCAGUGGGAAGUUUGAUGUUCGCUAUGAUAUGUACUAGGCUAGACAUUGCACAAGCAGUGGCAGCAGUUAGUUGAUACAUGACGAAUCCUGGUGGAGAGCAUUGGAUAGCUCUGAAGAGGAUUCUGAGAUACAUAAGAGGAACCUCAGAUGUUGCAUUAUGUUAUGGAGAAUCAGAGUUUACUGCCAGGGGCUAUGUGGAUUCAGAUUUUGCAGGAGACCUUGAUAAAAGAAAAUCCACUAUUGGCUAUGUGUUUACACUUGCGGGAGCAGCUGUAAGCUGGGUUUCAAAACUACAGAUUGUUGUGGCUCUAUCUACAACAGAAGCAUAAUACAUGGCAGCUACACAAGCUUGCAAGGAAGCUAUUUGGAUACAAAGGUUAUUGGAGGAGCUCGGGCACAAACAACAGAAAAUUCCUGUGUUUUGUGGUAGUCAGAGUGUCUUGCAUAUUGCAAGGAAUCCAGCCUUUCAUUCCAGGACAAAGCACAUAGGGGUUCAGUAUCACUUCGUUCGCGAAGUAGUGGAAGACGGAAGUGUGGAUUUACAGAAAAUCCAUACGAAGGAGAACCUAGCAGAUGUUUUGACCAAGCCGAUCAAUGUUGACAAGUUUAUCUGAAGUAGAUCCUCUUGUGGCCUAGCAGAAACGUAGGCAACAUGGCAAUGGCGAAGCAGAAAGGAUGAAGUGGAGAUUGAUUAAUUCUCAAUCAAAUCUCCAAGUGGGAGAAUGUAAAAAGAUUUGGCUGCAGCAUCUAGAAGCUGCAUCUAGAAGUUUUGAAGAAGCAAAAUGGGGGGCACAUGACUUUGAAGUUCUAGAUGCCGAAAUGCUUGAAGAGGAAAAUAUGAAAAGAAGAAGUUUGAAGAAGAAAAGGAGGAACACGGUUUUGACAAGAGAAAAAAAAAUUAUUAUUUUAAUAGUCAAUUUUGGCUAUAAAAAGGGGAGUUCCCCAUCGGCUUAGUGUAUUUCAUUCUUUAAGUUUCUCUUCUCUAUUUUGUAAAGAGAGAGAAAGUGCGAGUAUUUUAAGAGUUUUAAUAAACUCUUAAGUAAUUAGUGAAUAAAAGGUUGGGUGUAUUAGGGUUCUGGGUAGUGAGCUAAAAUAUUACAAUACUUAUAAUCCUCAUAUCACUAGUGAAAUAUUUUUCUUUUAUUUUCACCCGUGGACGCAGGCUAAAAGCCGAACAACGUAAUUUUCUGGUGUCCCUUUUUAUGCUUGUUAUUUAUUUUCUUCCAAUUUCACUUUACCUGCGGCUCUGUUUCACCCACCAAUUUCUUAACAACUGCAACAUGCUAUUCAAAUCAAUUAAUUUGCCCCCGCAGCUCCACGUGCUGCGAAUACGUGGCUUAACUUGACAUAUAAUUGUUGUUACGGCUGGUGUAACAUUGCAGGACCCUUAAUUAAAAGAUUACAGAUUAACAGCUGUUGAAUGUUGAUGUUGAAUUUCCACAUCGAUAUUGGAAUUUAAAAUAAAUGAAUUUUAUGUAGCUAUAUUGCCUGUAGGGGAAGACAUAAUAAAUUAAUUGAUAUUGCCAGCAAAUUAUUAAUUCGGAUCCAAGUACAGGGCUAGCUAUCGGAAUUAAUUAAGAUUAAUUGGUCAUCUUUCCGAAUUUUUAAUCCAUUCCCAUGUGAACCGAAAACAUGUUAAUUAAUGGAAAUCAAAUAUUUAAAAAAAUAGUAAUUAACUAAUAAUUUAUAACUGUCAAAUUAAUUAAUAGUUUAUCUACAAUUAUUUUGUUUAUUUUUAUUAUUAGCCAAUAAUUUAUAACUAGCAAAAUAAUUGUAGAUAAACUAAUAAUUAAUUUGAUAGUUAUAAAUUAUUAGCUAAAUUAUUAUUAUUAUUAUUAUUAUUAUUAUUAUUAUUAUUAUUAUUUGAUUUCCAUUAAUUAAUAUGUUUUCGGUUCACAUGGGAAUGGAUUAAAAAUUCGGAAAGAUGAUCAAUUAAUUGGAGAGAGCAACCCUCCACAUCAACCCCUCUAUUCUCUUAUAAGCAAUUGGAACGAAACAUCUGUGAUGCCCCAAACGCUAGUCAUAUGUUCCAUCUGUUGUUGCUAAUUAAGACCUAGUCGAGGCUUGGUAUAUGUACAACUUUAAACUUUGUAAAUUAAUUUAAAGGUUAUAACUAUAAAAGUAAGGAUAGGAGAAUAACUUAAUUAACAACAGGCGUAUCUUAAAGUAUUUUUUUAAAAUAGAAGAACAAUCUAAACGCUUAACCUGGAAUAUAGGGAUGAAAAGAAUAUUUUUCUUAUUAAUAACAAAGAUAUAUACUAAAAAAAAACACUCGUAUUAAUGAUUGGGAAAAAAUUAUUUUUGUAAAAUCACUUUUCCCAUAGAUCAAAAUAUAUAGAGAUAAAACUGAUCCGAUGUUAUCAUAUAUAUGAGUCAUUCUUAGGUGUUGAUGCCCUCAUUUUUUUUGUUUUUCAUGUGGAUGUGCUAUUAAGCCAUAUGGUUUAAUAGAAUCAGCGCAGAUACACAAUUUGAGGCUUAUAGUUUUAUAGUGAAUUAAAUAUUGAUUUUAUUAAACCAUGUGACUUAAUAGCGGGUUUGCAUAAAAAAAAAAAAGAAGAGAGCGCCUGUUGAGUGUUAGAAAAUGUAUAUUUAUAAAGGAGAAAAUUAUCAUUUUACAUUUCAAGUUUUACUAACAACCCUUACUUUUAUGUAUUUAAGCUUCUUGCAAUUUAAUUAUGUGUGUUUGAUUUUAAUUAAGUAUUUUAUGUAUUUUAGGGGCAUCAUGGUCAUUUCACAAUAAACGAGAGAUCAGACGGCAAACCGGACAUCACUUUUGAACUCAGGACGGUCGAAAACCUUAGGAGGAGCAUAAAAGGAAAAAUGGCACUAUUCACAUGUACGGUACUAUUCACGUGUACGGUACUGCCUACGUUACUGUUCAUGACACUGUUCACAUAGACGGAUUGAUGAUGUGGCAUUGAUCGAUGAUGUGGCAUUGACUGAUGAGGUGUCACGAUCCUGUUGGGCUAAAAUUCUUAUGUACUGUUGAUGGUGACGUGGCAGCAUAUCAGUGGAUGAAAAAUCUCGCGUACGGUACAUGCAUCACACAGGAUUAUUUUCAACCAAACCGCGUCACUGUUCACCCGGGUCAAACCGUGUUACUGUUCAUCCACGUAGUCAAACCGCGUACUGUUGACUGAUGACGUGGCGCAAUCCUGAGCGUCCAAACUGUUUUUAAUCCGAUGGCCAUGAUUUACUCCAUGUAUCUAUAAAAAGGGGGCUUCCCCCCCCCUAAUUUGAUAUCUCUGAAUCCAUUUUUAGACUCUAUUUUCUGUAAUUCCUUCUCCAUCUUGUAUUUUCAAUGUAUUUUAAUAAAUUUCUAUUUUGCCCCUAGUUCAAUUAUGAGUGGCUAAUUUUCUUUCAAGUUUGGGUUGAAGGUGAAGUCUCAACAUGUGUCAUGGGCUUUAUUUGGUAAAUUUAUUUUCUCUUCCCCUCUAGUUUUUGUGGAUAUUUUGACUUCUCGUCGACAAAUAAUACUAAUCUUGUCUAGUACCGCCUUGGUUUUACCGGCCCUCUAGUACAUUGUUAUUAUUAUUUGUCACGAUAAGCCCUUAGCACCAUAUUGAUUAGAGCGUGGUUCAUGAGGUGUCGAUUCCCCCCUCAUGAUUUAAUUGGCAUUAAUAAGGAUUAUUUAGCCCAUGGUGCAUGUUGAUACGGAUCCAGAUACUCAAGUACGUCAUUUCAAUAGAAUUCUCUUCAAUUUAUUCUCGCCAUUUCAAUUCCAAUUUUAGAAUUUAUUCUCGCCAUUUUAAUUUAAGUUUUAGCAUAUUCCAAAUCAUUUCCACCACAAAUCUAAUCACCCAUUUACAAAAUUAAUUCUACACACAAUUAAAAUCCACCUUCUCGUGGGAUCGACACUCGUCACCAUUGAUCUAUACUACAAUAGAUUCGUGCGCUUGCGAGUACAUUAAAAUUUGCACAACAAGUUUUUUGGCGCCGUUGCCGGGGAGGUAAGUAAUUUUAAUUCAUAGAAAUAGUUUUUGAAUAGUUCCAUUUAAUUGUUUUCUUGUAUUUUUUUCUAAAAAAAAGAAAAAAGAAAAAAAAAGGUGAAUCUACAUUUAAAGGUUAGUAUUUCUUUUCUUUUUCUCUUCUUUAAAAUUCUGUAAUUUAAUUUUCAAUUUAUUUUUCUUUGUAAAUUUUUUUUUAUCUUAUUAAUUUAUUCUUAGUUUAUUUCACGUAUUUGUUUUAGUGUGUUGUUAUAGAAAAGUUGUAACAACGCAAUAAGAUUAGUAUCGUAAUUUCUCCUUUUUCUUUAUUUUUAUUCGUUUGGUUCCCAUUUAUUUUUGUGUUCCUUGCAUGCAUGGUCGUAGGUCAUUAUUUCGUAAUCUUGAACCUAUAGACCUUGAAUUAGAAAAAACACUUCGCAAACACAAACACGUAAAAAAUAAAAUGGAUUUACAAGCACCACAGGAGAGGCCAUUUAAGGACUAUUUUAGUCCCUUAGCUAAUUUGAGCACAUCAUGUAUAAGAUACCCAAAUGUAGCUGCUGGGAGUUUUGAAUUAAAACCUAGUGUGCUAAAUUGUCUCCCCACAUUUUAUGGCCUAGAAAAUGAGGACCCAUAUAAUCAUCUGAAUGAUUUUCAUGCCAUUUGUCAAACUUUUAAAUAUGAAAAUUUUUCAGAUGAUGAUGUUAAACUCAUAUUAUUCCCAUUUUCUUUAAAGGAUAGAGCUCGUUCAUGGUUAAAUAUUUUACCUGCUAAUAGCAUUGCAUCAUGGGAACAAAUGGUAACUAAAUUUUUGAAUAAAUAUUUCCCAGUGCAUAAAACCAAUGCUAUUCGCAGGGAAAUCUCAGAGUUUACCCAGAGAGAAGACGAGCAGUUUUUCGAAACAUGGGAGCGAUUCAAUGGGCUACUCUUGAAAUGUCCACAUCAUGGGUACGAGAAAUGGCACCAAUGCCAAUACUUUUUAGAAGGGUUAUUGCCAAAUGUGCAAGAAUGGCUAAUGGCAACAAGUGGAGGAGAGCUAAUGUCAAAAAGUGCAUCAGACAUUUGGGAAUUCUUCCAGCGACAAGCGGAUAAUUCCCAACAACGGAGUCGAUCACUCAGGAAUACUAGAAGAAUUAAGGGAGUAAAUGAGGUUCAAAUUGGCGAGUCAACUUUGGGAAUCAAAGAAGUCAAGGAGAUGGUUGAAGGUCUUGCUCGGCAAAUAGCAUCGUUAUCGACUGCUAAAUCAACAGAACCACAUGACCAUGACUCAUACCCAGAUCAAGCCAAUGCCAUAGGUGUAAUGAGAAAGCCAUCAAAUUACAACCCAUACUCUAACACAUAUAAUCCUGGAUGGAGAGACCACCCCAAUUUUUCAUGGUCUCAAGGAUUCCAACAGAAUGGACCAGCGGCUCCAGCUCCACCAAUGCAACAAAUUUCUCAAAUUCCUCAAGCCUCUCAGUCCCUAUUUAGACCAUUCAAUCAGAACCAAAACUACUCUCAACCCAGACCAUGGGAUGAUGCAUUCCAGAAUUUCAAGAAUGUUACUCACUCCACGAUUGAGCAACAGAACCGCACCAUUGAUGGACUACAAAAUGAGUUGAGAGCAGGCUUCAACUCACAAGCUCAAUCAGUUUCAAGCCUCGAGAAAACGGUGGGACAACUUGCUUCUUCAGUUCAGACCUUGGCAAUGACUGUUGAGAAAGGCAAAUUUCCAAGUCAACCAGUGCCUAAUCCUAAAGGAGUACAUGAAGCAAGUACCAGUUCACCACAGCAGCAUGGAGAGGUCAAAGCAGUCAUGACCUUGCGAAAAGGAAAGGAAGUCGACAACAAAGUGGAGAUGUCGGUGACAAAAGAAAAUCAAAUUGUACCCGUGAAUGUUGAGGACUCAUCACCGGAGGGGAAAGAAGAAACCAACCCAUGAGAAUAUGUUCCUAAAGCUCCAUUUCCUCAGAGGUUAGCUAAAGGAAAGAAGGGAAAAUCCACAGGUGAAAUUCUUGAAAUCUUCAAACAGGUAAGUGUCAACAUCCCUUUGCUUGAUGCGAUAAAACAAAUUCCAUCUUAUGCCAAGUUUCUUAAAGACCUUUGUACUAAAAAGAGAAAUAUGCAUGUUCAAAAGAAGGCAUUUUUAACAGAAAACAUUAGUUCUAUACUCCAACAUAAAAUUCCUCUAAAAUGAAAAGACCCAGGCUCCCCCACUAUCUCAUAUAGUAUAGGGAACCACACAAUUGAGAAUGCUUUGUUGGAUUUAGGAGCUAGUGUAAAUUUGUUGCCUUACUCUGUAUUUAUGAAACUUGGACUUGGAGAAUUACACCCAACUCCAGUGGUGUUAAAGCUUGCAGAUCGGUCCACGAAAAUACCUCGUGGUAUUGUGGAGGACGUGCUUAUCCAGGUAGGCAAGUUUUAUUUUCCUGUUGAUUUCAUUGUAAUUGACACUCAACCAAUACAGGAUUCAAGGAAGCACAUCCCCAUUAUUCUAGGCCGACCUUUCUUGGCAACUGCGGAUGCUCACAUUUAAUGCAGGACUGGAAAUAUGCAGUUGUCCUUCGGCAACAUGACUAUGGAGCUUAACAUCUUCAACAUUGCCAAACAACCUCACAAUGCAGAUGAUGGAAUUGUUGAUGUGGAUUUAAUUGAAGCAUUAGUUGAUGAUACUUUUGUUUCAAACCUUAGUGAUGAUCCUUUACAAACAUGUUUAACUCACUUUGGUUUGGAUUUUGAUAUUGACAGAUCAGUCGAUGAGGUCAACGCUCUACUUGACUCAGCACCAUCCAUGGACACUAAUAAAUGGAAGUUAAGAGUUGAACAACUAGCACCAUCAGAAAAGAAACUCAUCCCAUCAUCAGAAUCACCACCGAAACUCGAGCUCAAAACAUUGCCCAACACUCUGGAAUAUGCAUUUUUGGGAGAAGAAAGUACUCUACCGGUAAUCAUCUCAUCAUCCCUAAAUGACGAACAAAAAGGUAAGUUGUUGGAUGUUUUAAAAGAGCACAAAGGAGCAUUAGGAUGGACCAUAGCAGACAUAAAAGGUAUAAACCCAGUAGACUGCAUGCAUUACAUUCACCUUGAUGAAAAUGCUAAACCUACUAGGGAAAUGCAACGUCAGUUAAAUCCUAACAUGAAAGAAGUUGUUAGAACUGAAGUCCUUAAGUUAUUAGACGCAGGUAUCAUUUACCCAAUUUCUGAUAGUUCAUGGGUCAGUCCUGUACAAGUUGUCCCCAAAAAGUCAUGAGUCACAGUAGUUACGAAUGCCGAUGAUGAAUUAAUACCAACUAGAGUGACUACAGGAUGGCGUGUAUGCAUUGAUUAUAGAAAGUUGAAUUCUAUCACACGUAAAGACCAUUUUCCUUUACCAUUUAUCGAUCAAAUGCUUGAUAGAUUGGCAGGCCAUGAAUUUUAUUGCUUUCUAGAUGGCUACUCAGGAUAUAAUCAGAUUCCCAUAGCACCAAAAAAUCAAGAGAAAACUACUUUCACUUGCUAUUUUGGCACAUUUGCAUAUAGGAGAAUGCCAUUUGGAUUAUGUAAUGCACCUGCUACAUUUCAACGAUGCAUGUUGAGCAUUUUUUCUGAUAUGGUUGAACGAUUCCUUGAAGUCUUUAUGGAUGAUUUUUCUGUCUUUGGUGACUCGUUUGAUCAAUGUUUACAUCAUCUAACAUUAGUUCUGCAGAGAUGUAUCGAGAAGAACUUAGUCUUAAAUUGGGAGAAGUGUCAUUUUAUGGUAAAGCAAAGUAUUGUUCUUGGUCACAUCAUUUCGAGCAAAGGUAUUGAGGUUGACAAAGCCAAGGUGGAUCUCAUUUCUAAUCUUCCUCCACCCAAAACAGUCAGAGAAGUAAGAUCUUUCCUUGGGCAUGCUGGUUUCUAUAAACGUUUCAUUAAAGAUUUUAGCAAAGUUUCUAGACCCUUAUGCAAUUUACUUGCUAAGGAUGUACCUUUUAUCUUUGAUGAUUCAUGUCUUGUGGCAUUUGAAAAACUAAAGCAGUUGUUGACAUCAUCACCCAUCAUUCAGCCCCCAAACUGGAACUUACCAUUUGAGCUCAUGUGUGAUGCAUCUGAUUAUGCAGUAGGAGCAGUAUUAGGACAAAGAGUUGAUCGAAUUCCCCAUGUUAUUUACUAUGCUAGUAUGACAUUGAAUGAUGCACAGUUGAACUAUUCAACUACUGAAAAAGAAAUGCUAGCAGUAGUGUUUCCAUUAGAGAAAUUUCGAUCUUAUCUCAUUGGUUGUAAAAUAAUUAUAUUCACAGAUCAUGCUGCUCUUAAAUAUCUUCUCACAAAGAAAGAUGCAAAAGCUAGACUAAUUCGUUGGGUGUUACUUUUGCAAGAAUUUGACUUGGAAUUCAAAGAUAAGAAAGGGACAGAAAAUGUUGUGGCGGACCACCUCUCUCGUCUCCAUUUUGACACAAUUACAGAGCCAUUAAUAUUGAAUGAGUCAUUUUCAGAUGAACAAUUAAUGAGUGUGGAAGUAUUACCUUGGUAUGCUGAUAUAGUUAAUUAUCUUGUUACAGGUAAACUUCCAGAGCAUUAGACCAAGCAAGACAAGGCUAAAUUCUUUGCAGAGAUAAAGAAUUUCUUUUGGGAUGACCCGUAUUUGUUCAAGUAUUGUGCUGAUCAAAUUGUUAGACGAUGCGUCCCAGAAAAUGAAAGUCAGAAUAUUCUUUCAUUCUGCCAUGAACAAGCUUGUGGAUGACAUUUCAGUGCUAAGAAAACGGCAACUAAAGUUUUACAAUGUGGUUUUUAUUGGCCAACUAUAUUUCGAGACACUUACACUUUCUGUGCUUCAUGUAAUAGGUGUCAACGAAUGAGGAGCAUUACGCGAAGGAACAUGAUGCCACUAAAUCCAAUUUUAGUGGUUGAGAUUUUUGACGUAUGGGGUAUCGACUUCAUGGGACCCUUUCCCUCUUCUUUUGGCCAUCAAUACAUAUUGGUUGCUGUUGACUAUGUAUCGAAAUGGGUAGAAGCAAUUCCAUGUAGAACCAAUGAUCACAAGGUGGUGAUAGGAUUUUUGAAAAGCAACAUUGUUUCACGCUUUGGAUUCCCUCGAGCGAUAAUCAGUGAUGGUGGUGCCCACUUUUGUAACAAAGCAUUCAAAGCUCUUUUGACAAAGUAUUCAAUCACUCACAAAGUGGUGACCCCAUAUCAUCCGCAAACCAGUGGCCAAGUUGAGAUCUCCAAUCGAGAAAUAAAACACAUAUUAGAAAAAACAGUGAGGUCAGACAGAAAAGAUUGGUCAUUAAGACUUGAUGAUGCAUUAUGGGCAUAUAGAACAGCUUUCAAGACCCCGAUUGGGAUGUCACCCUACAGGCUAGUGUAUGGAAAAGCUUGCCACCUACCUGUGGAACUCGAGCAUCGUGCGUAUUGGGCCAUCAAGAAAUUCAACUUUGACAUGCAGCAAGCCAGCUCAGAAAGAAGAUUACAACUGGCAGAACUUGAAGAAAUUCGCAAUGAUGCAUACGAAAAUGCCAAAAUUUACAAGCAACGAAUGAAAGUCUUUCAUGACAAGCACAUUAUGAGAAAAUCUUUCACUCCAGGUCAGAAAGUACUUUUAUUCAAUUCUCGCUUGCAACUAUUCCCAGGUAAGUUACGCUCUCGAUGGUCUGGUCCCUUUAUUGUUCAUACUGUUUUUCCACAUGGGGUAAUUGAAAUUAAGGACCCAAAGAACGGUGUCACGUUUAAAGUUAAUGGUCAAAGAUUAAAGCCAUAUCUAGAAUACCAACCACAUUGAGAAGACACCGAAAUAAAUUUGAGUGACCCACCAUAUUUGAAUUGAUUUUUUUUUCUUUUCGUUGAUUUGAUUUUUCUUUCUUUCUUUUUAUUAUUCUUUUGCUAAUUGAAAUUAUUUUUGCAUAAGUGUGUUUGUUUAACUAUUAAGUUUUCUCUUAUCAUUUUUCAUCAUGAGUACCAUACUUAGACCGUUCCUCUUGAACAUUCUUAAACCACUUCAACGUGUCAAAACUCAUCUCAAAAGGCAGAUUCAAUUUUGUAAAACACAACGCAUUUGGGCUCUACAACCACCAGAGUUAGUAGCCUAUGUUGAGAAUCUAGAAAGCCAACUCCGAGAUAUUGAGAGAAGUGUUUACGACAUCCAAUUGGAGCUUGAGGUAAAUUCAAUAAGAGGACGAUUUUAAUUUUCUUUGUGUGUUUUAAUUUGUUUUUCUGUUUGUGUGCUUUAGUUUGUUACCCCGGUGAAGUGGCGGAUAACGGUACUCCGCGACAAUCAAGUCGGUUACUUCAGUUUCCCAUAAUAACUGACAUUCUGAGGCGAAAAUAUGGACAGAAACGAGAUUCUAGCGAAGCUUCACAAGCGAUUCCCUUCACUUCCUCAGAAUGCCCUCCUUACGAUCUAUAAAGCUCGGUCCGAACGCAUGCGAUUACUCAUGAGGAAUAACAUACCUGCUGACAUCCGUUGGUUAAUCGAGGCUAAAGUACGAUUGGCAGGUGAGUUACCUCCAAAAUUUAUUGCAUAUAUGCCUGGUUGUGGUAAAGGAAAUUAUGCAAGAAAACGAUGAGCUCGAAGAAUUUCUGUUGCUUGUCGUAAGUGUGCCAGAAUGAGUUGCGAUAAAAACCCAUGUUCUUUAGGAAUGGUGUCUGAUAACAGGGAAUAUAAGAUUCAAUUCAUUAGGGAUGGCUUGAAUAAGGAGUCAUUGGAUGAUAUCCUUUUGUCUCUUGAAACACAUCUCAGUGGAUAUGCGCAAGGAGCGAUUCUCCAGUUAUGGCCAUUAUUCCAGAAAGAGCAUGCACGAUAUAGUCUUGGGAAUCUGACUAUAAACGACCCUGUUUGCCAGUUUAUAAGAAAACUGGAUGGGAAGCCCAUCCUCGACCCAUAGAGGGCGUUUAAGCCGUUUCUGGAAGUAAAACCAAAGGAAGAUGUGAGCCACAAUCGCAACUACUUGUACAUAUCAUUUUUACUUUACUGUUAUUUUAUUUCAUUUCACUGUUGUUUUAUUGUUUGCAUUAUUGUCUUUAAUAAUUUUAUUACUGUUUGCUUUUUUCUUUUUAUUGUUUCCUUUUUGACUCGCGAGCCAUAUGCUUUACGCGUUAUUUGACACUGACAUGCUACCUCAUACACAGCUGUGACCCACUGUCACCAAGACUCUUAAAUGUGAUUUCUUUUGUCAAACACUCACAAAUUGUUUUUGAGAAGUAUCCCAAUGGCAGCUACUCCCAAUAGAUAAUUCAAGAACAUUUGUGUGCUUUCUGGAUUUAACUAUGGCAAACAUAAAGAGUUCGUUGAGGCAGCCAUAGAUCUUGGUCGAAGCAUAGCAGCGAGAAAAUUACACUUGGUGUAUGGAGGAGGUAACCGAGGGUUAUCAAAAAUGGUCUCAGAAGCAGCUUUUAUCAGAGGAAGUCAAGUGUUAGGCAUCAUCCCAAGAGUCCUAAAACCAUUGGGCAGUUCGUCUGACUCAUCAACUGGAGAAGAGUUAGUCGUCUCAGGUAUGCAAGAAAGAAUAACUGAAAUGCUUAAUCAUGCUGAUGCUUUUAUUUUCCUUUCAGGAGAUCUUGCAACACUAGAGGCACCUAUCACACUAGCAUCUUGGGCCCAUCUGCACAUCCACCAGAAACCCAUCGGUUUGUUAAAUGUCAAUAACUUUUAUGAUGGCUUUAUCGCAUUUCUUAACCAUGCAAUAAAAAACUAUUUCAUUCCUUCUAAUGUGAAAAAAAACUCUUUAUUUGUGCUCACAAUGCUAAUGAGCUACUUGAUAUGUUACAAGCUUAUAAACCGGAGCCAGACCCCUGGACUUUUGUGUUGGAGCGACCAAAUAAUGAUGGUAACAGUAGCCGCAGUAAGAAGUACAAAUUAGAUUUAACUCUCCGCCUGUAAAUAUUUUCUUCUGUGUUUCACCACCCAGGUGAUGUCUUCUAAACUCUACUUCUUUCCUUUAAAACAUUGAGGACAAUGUUUCGUUCUGGUUGGAGGGAGGGAAUAGUCGACAAUUGUGGAAUCUUGGUUAAGUUUUUACUGAUUUUUUGUUGUAGAAACUAACUGUUGCUAACGUUUUGUGUUGAAGAUGGCUAAAUAUGGAGUGUAGUUACUCUAGAAACGCAUCUUCAUCGUUUAAAAAAAUAAAAUCGUUUUAUUCCUCUUUCUCCUUUAUAAAUAUAUAUUUUCAAAUUUUUGAGUCGAAGAUGGCUGAAUAUGGAGUGUAGUGCCUCUAGAAACGCAUCUUCUAAGUUUAAAAAAAAAAACCCAUUUUUUUUAUCAUUUUAAGUGUAACUUUUCUAAUUAGUUUUUAUGCAUCAUUUUCACAUUUCUGCAUGCAUAUUUUCCUUUCAUGUUUAGAAUAGGUUGGGGGGUAGAAUGUUGUUUAAAAAAAAAAAAUUGUGUGAUUUGUUUUAACAUUGGAUGACAUGAUUAAUUUCAAAUUUUAGUAUUUGUAUUAUCUUUGGUCUUAAGUGAUGUUACGCUAUGUUUGCUACUUUACAUGUUGAUGUCGGAGACAAAUAUAAGUUGCUUGAAGGAAUGAACAUGUCAUAAAUAAGUGCCAAGUGAGUUGUUGAGCCUAUCAUUUUCUUGGAGAGUAACCCUUUUGCUCAUUCUCUAUACAGCUUAGCAGUUUAUUAUUUUAUACACGAUCUCUAGAUUUCUUUUGAGUUAACCCUUAAAAAAAAUGGUAAAAUUAAAAUAAAAAAAAAGAAAAAGAAAAAAAAUGUGUGUUACUACAUUUGGAGGCCCAUCUAACUAGUAGAUAUGGAAGGUUAUUUAGAGCCCUAAAAGACGAUGGAAAUGCCAUCUUUGAUCCGUUUGAGCCUUUCUAGCCAUCCAUUUUAUCAAAUAUCCAUAGUUAACCAUUUUGAGCCUUUUUUUUAAAAAAAAAAAACCUUUUAUUUGUUAAACUUAUCAUCUUGACCCACUCCGAUUUGGAGUAUUACCCGAUGUUUUAUAAAUUCCAUCACCUAUUUAUGUUUGAGAAAAUGUAACUAAUUAUGUUGUUCAGUGAAGUUAUGCCAAAUAAAAGCAAAAAAACAAAAAACAAAAAACAAAAACAAAAGUUGUUGUUUCAAAAGAAUAAAAAUAACAAUAAUAAGUGAAAUCCACCUUGCAACUUCCAAAAAAAAAAAAAAAAAUUUUUCUCUGCAUUUUUCACAAACACAUUUUAUUUUCCUUAUUUCCCUUCUUUAUUAGCCAUGUCCCUAACCUACGUUACGUCCUAAUAAAAGUCCUUCUUGAUUUUAGGGAACUAUAGUCUGAAGUAGAAGUUAGUUAUAUGGGCUAAAAAGAUGUAGUGGUGCAUAUAAAAAAUAAAUCAAUAAAUUGGGUUGACUAACAUUUUUUAUUUGACUUGAGAUCGUAUUAUUUCUAAGCUGAGGGCAUAUUUCUUUCAUCUUGGUGAGAGCAUGUGAUCUCACUUCUUUAUUAUUUUCUCUCAAUUACCAUUCAUUGGAGUGACUAUUGUUAUUGGGUUUAAUUUCUUUGUGAGAGUGUCACUACUUCCAGUGAGAUUUUGGGGUUUGACAUGUCAUUCUUGAAAGUAGCUAUAACAAAGUCUACUGGGCUGAUUCAUGUGGAUGGUUGAUGUGGGUGUGAUGUUUCUUUAGACUGGAGAUAAUGCUUAUACUUUUAUUUGAUUGCUAUCAUUAAUCUGAUUGAAUAAACACGAGUGUUUCUAUUAAAAAAAAAAAUCAUUUUGGAUUUGAAUUUCGUUUUCGCUUUAUUUGCUAGGGACUAGCAAUAAGCUGGUUGGGGGGUGUGUUGAGUGUUAGAAAAUGUAUAUUUAUAAAGGAGAAAAUCAUCAUUUUACAUUUCAAGUUUUACUAACAACCCUUACUUUUAUGUAUUUAAGCUUCUUGCAAUUUAAUUAUGUGUGUUUGAUUUUAAUUAAGUAUUUUAUGUAUUUUAGGGGCAUCAUGGUCAUUUCACAAUAAACGAGAGAUCAGACGGCAAAACGGACAUCACUUUUGAACUCAGGACGGUCGAAAACCUUAGGAGGAGCAUAAAAGGAAAAAUGGCACUAUUCACAUGUACGGUACUAUUCACGUGUACGGUACUGUCUACGUUACUGUUCAUGACACUGUUCACAUAGACGGAUUGAUGACGUGGCAUUGAUCGAUGAUGUGGCAUUGACUGAUGAGGUGUCACGAUCCUGUUGGGCUAAAAUUCUUAUGUACUGUUGAUGGUGACGUGGCAGCAUAUCAGUGGAUGAAAAAUCUCGCGUACGGUACAUGCAUCACACAAGAUUAUUUUCAACCAAACCGCGUCACUGUUCACCCGGGUCAAACCGUAUUACUGUUCAUCCACGUGGUCAAACCGCGUACUGUUGACUGAUGACGUGGCACAAUCCUGAGCGUCCAAACUGUUUUUAAUCCGAUGGCCAUGAUUUACUCCAUGUAUCUAUAAAAAGGGGGCUUCCCCCCCCCCCCCUAAUUUGAUAUCUCUGAAUCCAUUUUUGGACUCUAUUUUCUGUAAUUCCUUCUCCAUCUUGUAUUUUCUAUGUAUUUUAAUAAAUUUCUAUUUUGCCCUUAGUUCAAUUAUGAGUGGCUAAUUUUCUUUCAAGCUUGGGUUGAAGGUGAAGUCUCAACAUGUGUCAUAGGCUUUAUUUGGUAAAUUUAUUUUCUUUUCCCCUCUAGUUUUUGUAGAUGUUUUGACUUCUCGUCGAUAAAUAAUACUAAUCUUGUCUAGUACUGCCUUGGUUUCAUCGGCCCUCUAGUACAAGGUUAUUAUUAUUUGGCACAAUAAGCCCUUAGCACCAUAUUGAUUAGAGCGUGGUUCAUGAGGUGUGGAUUCCCCCCUCGUGAUUUAAUUGGCAUUAAUAAGGAUUAUUUAGCCCAUGGUGUAUGUUGAUACGGAUCCAGAUACCCAAGUAUGUCAUUUCAAUAGAAUUCUCUUCAAUUUAUUCUCGCCAUUUCAAUUCUAAUUUUAGAAUUUAUUCUCGCCAUUUUAAUUUAAGUUUUAGCAUAUUCCAAAUCAUUUCCACCACAAAUCUAAUCACCCAUUUACAAAAUUAAUUCUACACACAAUUAAAAUCCACCUUCUCGUGGGAUCGACACUCGUCACCAUUGAUCUAUACUACAAUAGAUUCGUGCACUUGCGAGUACAUUAAAAUUUGCACAACAACGCCCACCUUGAGAAUUUAUAUAUAUAUAGAGAGAGAGAGAGAGAGAGAGAGAGAGAGAGAGAGAGAGUAUCGAUCUAAUCUUGUAUCCUAAAUUUAUCAAAAAAAAAAAAAAAAGCUAUUAAGACAUAUGAUUUAAUAAUAUAAUACCAUUAUACUAUUAAAAUAUAUGACUUAAUAAUUUUUAAGACUUUAACGAAAUCCAGGAUCUUAAAUUCGAAUAUAUAUAUAUAUAUAUAUGCACACAUUACAUCUGUCCGGUUUAAACACGCAUUCUGCUUAAUGCUCUUGACCAAUUGUCCUCAAUUACCUUUUUUUUUUGGGGUGCUAAUUUUAGGGACUUACCAGGUGUAUUGGUUGAUAAAAAGAAUAAGGUUGGGCCGUAGGGUACUUAUAAUUAAUUAAAGUACCCCACACAUCCAGCAGAAUAAAGUCUCUGUACCCCAUUAAUUUCUUCCAACAAUUAACCUCGAUCCUAACUUAAGUCAUAAAUUAUUCACAAUUACAUUAAUUAAUGUUUUGCUAGAUGACAAGGAUAUAUUCGCGGAUUGCUAUCGACCUCUUGGGCCAAUUAAAGAGAGAUAAGUUACAAUUCAACAAUUUUGGCACUUAAUUAUCCUAUUGCCGCUGUUUCCGAUGAUACACGCUAUUUGAAAAAUAUAGACGUUAAUUCUAAUUAGUUAUGAAGAUCUUGGUUCUCGCCUGGGAGCUGCAACAAUUAGCUAACUAGGUAUAGAGUUUUGUUUAAUAAUAAUAUUAAUUCAAGAAGACAGAGAGCAUAAUUAAUUAGACUAAUAUGAAAAAUACCAUGCAAUUUCAUCUUUUUCUAUGGACGAAUGGAAUUAACACAUUGACACACAAUAAUUUUAUUAAUUAAGGAAGACAAAUUACAUGGACACAAAUUAAAAAAAAAAAUCCCUUGCAUAUCUCAAGAGAUCUUAGUAGUUCAAUUAACUAAACCAAAUUCGACACACUCACAAUUAACAGGCAGUAACAGUACCUAUUGUUUUACAUAAUUAAACACAACAUAAAAGAGUAACACUACACGCACUUAACCAGUAUAAUCAAGAUUUCUCCCAUAUUGAGGAACAACAAGAAGAUCAAGGUUGCCGUCAUUUACUUUCUCAUCAUCAUUCAAGCUUAUAAACGAAACAAUGAAGCCCUCCAACCAGACGUUACCUGAAAAUUUUCAUAUUAGAAAAUUUAUUUAUAAAGUAUAUAUUAAAAAUAAGAAUUAGAAAUGAAAUUGAGGGUUGGCCUACAACCUGCGCAGGGAGUUUCCAUAUUCUUCAAAUCAGAAAAGAUAUUGCUUGCUUCAGGUGAUGAACCGUAAUCAAAACUCAAAAGUAAGUUGCUUUUGCUUCCUGUUCGACAUAAUACACAUAUAUAUAGAACGAAGGUGGGAUGAUCGCAGCGUCGUUAAUGCAUGCAGUGUAUAUAAUGGAUCAACGACUGACGUUUCCUAAGUGCUGAUCAACAGCUGAAAUUUAAUUAAAAGAUGAGGGGAUCACAGCUGUUGAAUGUUGACGUUGAAUUUCCCACAUCGGUCAGAUCUCUGACAGAAAGAUUGAGUUUGAUUAAAAUAUCCCGAUGCGGACGGGGAUCAAGUUUGUAUCAAUUAAUAAUAAAAAUAAAUAAAAUAAGGGUAGAGUUGUUCACCCUCUAAAUUUCAUUCUGGACACUCUAAUUUUUAACAAAGAGUGAAGCCAUUGGCACUCUUCAUUAUCUUUAUAAAACCCACUUUAAAUAAAAUUACAUUUAGGGGCAAAUAAGAAUUGAGUACAUAUAGAAUUUUUUUCCAACAAAUUACUUUGUUUCGUAAGUAAUCCCUUUUUUUUUUAAUUUUCUACUUGUUACUUCUUAUCUAACUCAAAUAAAUUGUACAAAUUUAGAAUAAUCUAUUAUUCUUUUCAUAGUGUUCUUGUUGAUUAAAUAUUUAUGUACUUAACAUUGUUUCAAAUUAUAAUUUAAAAUAUGCGUAAUUUAAAUUACAGUACUGAAGUGUUUAUGAAACACUAAUUGUACUGACUUGAAAGUUAAGUUAACUUGAUCAAUUUCUUAUAUGAUAAAAAACCUAUAAUAUCAAACUUAUAAGUUUGUCAAGAUUAUUAUUUAAAAGUCACAUACUACAAAAAAAAAUUUAUAGUUACAUCUUUUUUUUUCAGAGCUUGUAACUUAAAAAGUUGCAGCAUCUUAAUACCAAACAUGGCUCAUCAAUUUAGACUGGGUUGGAACUAUUUAGAGAGGAAAACGGAUCUAAUUUUUGGGGAGAGGAAGUGUUUUACAAAAUUGUAAAAAAGAAAAUUAGGCGAUACAGAGAGAAAAACCCAUAACCGGCCGGACUACCGCACUGCAACCUGCUAUUCAAGUCAAUUAAUCUGCCCCCACAGCUCCACGUGCCGCGAGUAUAAUUGCUGUUACUUACGGCUGGUGUAACAUCGCAGGACCCUUAAUUAAAAGAUUACGGAUUAACAGCUGUUGAAUGUUGAUGUUGAAUUUCCACAUCGAUAUUGGAAUUUAAAAGAAGUGAAUUUUAUGUUGCUAUAUUGCCUGUAGGGGAAGACAGAAUAAAUUAAUUGAUAUUGCCAGCAAAUUCUUAAUUCGUAUCCAAGUACAGGGCUAGCUAUCGGAAUUAAUUAAGAUUAAUUGGUCAUCUUUCCGAAUUUUUAAUCCAUUCCCAUGUGAACCGAAAACAUGUUAAUUAAUGGAAAUCAAAUAUUAAAAAAAUAAUAGUAAUAACUUAACUAAUAAUUUAUAACUGUCAAAUUAAUUAAUAGUUUAUCUACAAUUAUUUUGUUUAUUUUUAUUAUUAGCCAAUAAUUUAUAACUAUCAAAAUAAUUGUAGAUAAACUAAUAAUUAAUUUGAUAGUUAUAAAUUAUUAUUAUUAUUUUAAUAUUUGAUUUCCAUUAAUUAAUAUGUUUUCAGUUCACAUGGGAAUGGAUUAAAAAUUCGGAAAGAUGAUCAAUUAAAUGAAGCGAGAAACCCUCCACAUCAACCCCUCUAUUCUCUUAUAAGCAAUUGGAACGAAACAUCUGUGAUGCCCCAAACGCUAGUCAUAUGUUCCAUCUGUUGUUGCUAAUUAAGACCUAGUCGAGGCUUGAUAUAUGUACAACUUUAAACUUUGUAAAUUAAUUUAAAGGUUAUAACUAUAAAAGUUUAGAAAAAGUAAGGAUAGUAGGGUAACUUAAUUAAGAGAAAAUAUCCACCGUCCACCCGUUUUUUCCAACUUUUUCAAAAAUAUAUAAUUCCUUCUUUUUUUGGCUGGAAUCCACCUAAAGUUAUAUUUUGUUUCACUUUUCCACUUCCGUUUGGAAUCCGCUAAGAAAAUAAACGGAAACUUUAAAAAAUGACCAUUUUACCUCCCAAAACGAAAAUUACAAUUUCACCUUAAAAGUUGCAAAAAAUAAUCAGAUUAAAUCUAAUUAUUUUCUCCAUCGGUCAAUAAAGAAAUUAAUUCCACAACAAUCAAAUGCAGGGUUUUUUUUUUAAUAUGUCUAUAAUUAGAAUACUAAAUUAUAACAGUAGUAUUAAAAAUAGCCCAAUCUCGCAAACCAUCAAUUGAAUUUAAGAUAAGUAGAGUUUUAUUAUUCAUUGAGUUAUAAUAUCUGGUAGUUAAGAUUUUUUUGUACUUCAUUAACAUACCAAUAAUGAUAUUCAUCAUAAAAUCUGAUUAUUUUUUACAUUUUUUAGGUGAAAUUUUAAUUUUCGUUUUGGGGGUAAAAUGGUUAUUUUUUAAGUUUCCGUUAGUUUUCUUAACAGAUUCCAAACAGAAGUGGAAAAGUGAAAUAAAAUGUAACUUUAUGUGGAUUCCAGCCAAAAAAAGAAAGAAUUAUGUAUUUUUAAAAAAGUUAGAAAAAAAGGGUGGACGGUGGAUAUUUUCCCCUACUUAACAACAGGAGUAUUUUAAAGUAUUUUUAAAAUAUAAGAACAAUCCAACCGCUUAACAUGAAAUAAAGGGAUGAAACAAAUAUUUUUCUUAUUAAUAAAAAGAAUAUGUAAUAAAAAAAAGCUCGUCUUAAUGAUUGGGAAAAAAAAUAUUUUUGAUAUAAUGAAAUAGGUCUAAUCGAUUGUAAAAUAUAAAAAUAUUUUUUUAAAUAUUGAAAUUAUUUUAAAAUGCAUAUAUUAUUACAUUUAUUUUAAUGCUAUAUUUUUAUUUAUUAUAAAAUUUUAGGGUCAAUUCUUUGGGUUAAUAGAGUCAAAUGAUAUUAUGGUAAAAAAAAGAGUCUUGGUGUCUCCUAUUAAAAACUUGAUGUCUUUGUGACAAUUUCUCCAAACCUUGAGGGUGUAAGCGUGCUUGGAAAAUUUAAGAUUGUCAAUCCAUUUGGGGUAAACUGAAGUUUACCCUUAAUGUAAAUAUAAAUAAUUUAUGACUUAUUACUAGUUUGGUAAGACUUAUCUAAGAAUGGCCUGUUUAAACCCUAAAAAAUGUUCAUUAGAUCUGGUUUUAAAUUAAAAUUUUAUUACCAAAACGUCCCUAACAUAAAUUAAUAUUAUAGCCUAAACAGUAUAAUUGAACAGAAAAAAAAAAAAAUGCUCCAUGCUACUCCAUCUUUAAUCCAUAUCUUUUUUUAAUGAAUUAGGGAAAGCAAAGCUACACCACCCAUAAUUUGGUCAAAUGGUCAUGUAGACAUCUAAAUUUUCAACAAUAGACAUCAAAAACCCUUCUUAAAAUGUUUUAAGACACCACAUUUCACUUUGGCUUUUUUUUUUUUUUUUUGGGAUAAGCUAACCGAGUUUGCCAAUAAUGUAAAAAAACCAAAUAAAUAAAAUGCCUUUGACUGAUCUGUUAUUAUAUAUAUAUAAUGGAUUCGUUUUAUUUUUCAUUUUCAGGUUAAUUAAAAUGUUUUAAAUUAAAUUAAAAACUCUGGAAAAACAGUCAAUAUAUCGUUCCAUGUAUAGAAGCAAGUGAUGACAUGAUAUGGGCAUAACUGUAAAUUAGUAUUUGACAUCCAAAUAAACGGCAAAAAUAGCAAGAGGGAGUCUUGGUAUCCAUUGUUAAAAUGUUUACAACAAUACCAUUUGUCUCAACUAACUGAAAAAAAAAAUUGAUUCCGAUGUUUUAUAAUAAAUAGAAAUAAAAAAUAAAUUAAAUGCAAUAAUAUAUAUAGUUUAAAAUAAUUUCAUUAUUUUAAAAACUAUUUUAAUACUUUACAACCUUAUAUUAUAUUAAGCUAAAUUUUAUAAUAAAUGGAACAUAACGUUAAAGUAAAUAUAUAAAAUUUUAAAUUAUUUUUCAAUAUGAUAUAGAAUAAUUUUAAUAUUAUUAAUAGACUAUAUAUAUUUUAUAUUAAUUGUAAAAUCUAUUUAACCCAAAGAUUUAUUAAAUUUUUUAUAAUAAAUACAUAUAUAUUAUUAAAAUAAAUAUAAUAAUUUACAUUUAGAAAUUAUUUUAUAUAUUAAAAAUUUUCUAAUAUCAAAUUAAAUUAUUUAAAUUAUAUUUUUAUUUAUCAAAAAAAUUUAAAGAUAACAUUUUAGUUACUAUUUACAAAAAGUAUUAUAGCCAAAAGGGGGUUUUAACAUUCCUUAUUAAAAAUCUGGGGUUCUACAUGACUAUUUUGCAAACCUUGGCGUAUAGGUAUCCUUUUCUAAAAAAAAAAAAAAAUUACUUAUUUAUAUUGUCUGUUGGGAAAUACAGAAUAAAUUAAUUGAUAUUGCCAGCAAAUUGUUGAUUCAUAUCCAAGUGAACGGACAGCUGUUGAAAUUAAUUAGGGUUUAAUUUAGAAAUUUUUAGGCAACCAUAUUCCCAGACGGAAUCGGAAUCUCAAAUCUUUUUUUUUUUUUUUUGCAGAGAAAUCUGAUCGAUGUAGGAAAUUCAACGUCAACAUUUAGCAACUGCGAGUUUCUUUAAUAUGCAUGUCUAUCACACCAGAACCAAGAACACACACAACUGGUAGCUACUUAAAUAAUAUGGAAGAAUAUGGAAGCUACUUUUGUAAACUUUUAAGAAGCAAUAUAAAAAUUAACAUAAUGAAAACAAAUUUCAUUCAUUCUCCAGCACAAAUGUUCAUUUAUAUAAGUAUUUAAAACAUGAAAAUAGAGGUGAUACAAUUAACAAAUUUAGAGAUAAUGAUUGAUUAACAAAAAUUGAGUUAAUCGAUAAUUCUUAAUGAAUAACUAAGAUAGAAACAAUCAAUCAUUUGAUUGAUUGUUUUGUUUCUAUUAAUAUUGUUGAUCCUUAUCAUUCUCCCUCAAGUUGGAGAGAAUUUUUUUGAACUUCUAGCUUGUCUUUAAAAAUCAUAUUUCCUUGAUUUUUAUUUAUAGUCUCAACCAAGUGUCAUGCAACAAAUAGGGAGUAUUCCUCUAAAACUUGUUUAGGAAAUCUUUUUGUUAUUUUCAUGUACACUUUUUUUAGACUAAGAAAAAUCAUAAGUAAUAAAUUAUUUUUAUUAAGGAAUUCUUUCAAUAUGAAAGUCGUUCCUUCAAUUAUUUUUAAGGAAAUCUUCACUCAAUGAUUUUAUCUUCACUCCUUUGAUAUUGUCAUGGAAUUCUUUCAUUUAGAAAGUCAUUCCACUGAUCUGGUCAAGGAAAACAUCAAUUUUCAGGAUUUCUUUUCAUUCCCCUUUUCUUUUGAGGUCAUUUCCUUUGUGAUGGUAGAAGUGUGGUGGUUAAUGAUGCAGUUGAACAACUUCUUCUUCUUCUUCUUCUUCUUCUUCCUUUUCUACGAAAUUGAAGAACAAUAAAAAAGGAACUCACAUCUCUCCUUUAGACCACCAUGCUCUAGAAACAUAUCAUCGACACCGUGGCUAAGCAUAAACCCACAAAUUUAAGGACUUUCAAACUUGUCUAAUACCAUGAAAAUUUUUAGAAAUAAAUUAAGAAGAUAAAUCUCACUCUUACUCAUAUAUGAGCACAAAAACUCAAUUCAUACAAUACUUGAAACAUGAAAAUGAAAAUGAUACAAUUAACAUAAUUUGAAAUAACGAUUGAUUAAUACUGAUAGAGUCAAUUAAAAUUUAUUUCGAUUUAUAAUCAAUCUUUCUAAAUCAAUAAUAUAGAGACAACCAAUCAUUUGAUUUAUUUCCAUUACUAUUGCUUGAUUUUUAUCAGCUUUUCAUGUACUUCAAGUUAGGACAAUUUCAUGUGAAUUCUAUUUCUAGUUUUUAUAUUAAUAAUAUGUCAUCUUUUAAUUAAUUUUCUAUAAUAAUUUUUUUAGGUAAGACUGAAUGGUUUGAGACGCUUAUUACAAAGAAGGGUGCUUUUUUUAGCCAAUGCUGGAUAUAAACUAACGACGUAGCGUUUGCCAAUCUCAAUCUUCUUGUAGUCUCUCAAUAUAUGAAAAACCCUAAUGAGGCUGGUUAAUUGAAUUAUAAAAUUGAUUUGUUUUCAUUUGAGUAAAUGUUAUACUUCUAAAAGUUUGUAUUUCAGAUACAAGUUAACAUUUGAUAAGAAUCAAACAAUAUUGAUAAAAAUAAAAUAAUUAUUUAUUUGAUUCAUUGUCUUCAUUUUAAUUAUUGACUAAGAAAGAUUGAUUGUGAAUUAAUAUAAAGAUUGAUCGACUCAAUAUUUGCUAAAUAUGAAUCAUUAUUCCUAAAUUAUGUUAAUUGUAUCAUUUCUUUUUAUAUUUCAAAUACUUAUAUAAACUGAGGAGUUGUGCUCAUUAAUUUUGUGCUCAUUAAUUUAUAAGAGAGAAAUUUAUCUUCUUUAUAUUAUUUUUGAAACAUUUUCAACAUUGCAUCACCUUAAAAUGCCCUUUCAAAUUACUUGUCAAUAUGUGUUAAUUUUACAGGCGUAGUAGGGAAAGCUGGUGGUCUCAACUGUCAUAAUAUCAAAUUUUUGGCUUAUUCGCUGACGUGACAGACGGCUGUCUCCUCUUUUGCAGCACGAGAUUUCCUCACCGAUUCCUUAUUUUUUGACACGUAUUCAACUUCAACCGAUCUUUUUGAGAUUCGGGGCCCACAUAUCUCUUGACAUUUUUACAAAGACUUUUUAUACCCUUACAUGGUGUACCUCAGGUACCCCACAGAGCAUCUGGGGUACCCGGUGUAAGCCAACCUUAUUUUGGUGACUCUGGCUAAUAAACUCUAUAUUGAUAGAGGCGUUUCUCAUGACUGACUCUUUGGAGACUUUUCUUUGACCGUUUUGCGUCUGAUUUGUGGUACCCUUCGUACCUUCUUAAUCUCCAGCUGUACCUCGGGUACCGGGUUUAUAGUGUAGGUUGGGUAUCUCGGGUACCAAGGUUAUAGUGUAAGUCGGGUAACCGAGCUUAUAGUGAAUGUCGAGUACCGAGUUUAUUGUGUAGGCUAGGUAUCUUAGGUACUGAGCUAAUGGUGUAGAUCAGGUACCUCGGGUACCGAGUUUAUAGUGUAGGUCGGGUAACCAAGCUUAUAGUGAAUGUCGGGUACUGAGCUAAUGGUGUAGAUCGGGUAACCGAGCUUAUAAUGUAGUGCAAGUCGGGUAUCUCGAGUACUGAGUUUAUAAUGUAGGUCGAGUCCCUCGGGUACCGAGUUUAUAGUGUAGGUCGGGUAUCUCGAGUAUCCCGAGUACCAAAUUUUAUGGGGUAGGUUAGGUAUCCUGGAGGAUAACUAAUAAUUACAUAACCUUUGCAUCGACACGUGGCGCUUUAUUUUCAAUACUCUAUUUAUCCCCAAACAAUCUGCAAUUAUUAGUUAGUCCAAGGGACCCAUGCAUGCUCCCACGUAAUUCGCCCAAUUGAAUUAUAGCCAUAAACCACAUCGGCCACUUGUGUUAAUAUGUGUGUGUGUGUGUCUAUAUAUAUAUAUUAUAUAUAGAUACACACAUAUGUAUAUAUAUUUGCAUAUUGUUAAACCAGAAGAUAGCAAGAACUCACAAAAGCAACUUACUUUGCAUUACGGUUCACCAGAAGCUUUGAAGGAUAUGGAAACUCCUUGCGCAGGUUUCUAGGGCAACUUCGAUUUAAAUAUCAUUUAUUAUAAUUUUAAUUUUAAUUUUUUUGAUAUUAAUCACGAGGUAUCCUGGGGAGAGCCCCAACUGUGGGAGGCACUUUUAAGCCCGUACCACAACCCAGACUAGAAGUCCCCGCUCGAACCGGGAGGCACAGAUUCUCCCAACAAAUGCGACUUCCCUGCGACUCGAACUGGGGAGCAAACCUAGUCAAGCCACUUAAGGGGACUCCAUUGCCAGUGGAGCCAACACUUUGUUGGUUUAUAAUUUUAAUUUUAAUACAUGAGUUUAUCGGAAAAAAAAAAUUGAAUAUGAAUUUUUCAGGUUAAAACGAUUGGUCGGAGGAUGACUGCAAGUUUUCAUGGCAUGUAAAUAUUGCUAAUGAGGAGAUUAACGAUGAUAGUCUUGAUCUUCUUGUUGUCUCUUAAUAUAUGAAAAAUAUUAUCUACACUGAUUAAAUACAGUGUGACUCUUUUGUUUUUUUAACUAAAUAAAAUGAUGAGUAUAGGUGUUACCUGUCAAUCAUGUGAGUGACAUAAUUUGGUUUAGCUCAAUUUAUAAAAUCUUUUGAGAUAAACAAGAGAUCUUAUUUGUUUACUAUUGUGUACUAUGUUUUCCUGAAAAAGAUAAAUUAAUGAAAGUUCUUUUGUGCGUCAAUCUAUACAUAUCAGCUGGAACCCCAUCUACUUGCUAUCCAAAAAGACACGACCUCUUUCGAUCGUAUAAAAAAUUGGUUACGUUUUGCUAAUUUACCCACAAUGCCCUCCCGAUCCUCCAAAAAGGAUGGUCUGAACAAUUACUCCCAUCUCUACGAUAUCCAGUAUUGUUACUUGUAGCUUAUAGCUUUACGAGGCAAAAAAGCAUCAUCAACAAUUCAACAUAAACUAAUGUUUUAAAAAUAAGUUGCAUGAUUAUUUUUCUGCGUAUUUUGCUAGAACUUAGUCAUAAUUUUUAAUAAGAAUGGCUACUUUCGCCGUUUCCGGAACUACAAGCAAGAGGCCUUAAUUAACUAUUGCUUCUAUCAUUGGAAUCUGAAAAGAAACGUUUGACUGACUUACUCAUCGGUUAAUCCGAAUAGAAGGUCAACUAGAAUCUGUUUUAGUUAAAGAUUGAAAUUGAUAAUGUUUGGAAGCUAAGAAAAUGAAAGAAAGCUGAAGAAAAUAACAACUGGAUCUAAGAAGCUUCUAGAUCAUUUCUUAUUAUUCAACAGUACUGUACUGAAAGAGCUUAAGCUGAUCAUCACAUGCGCAAGCGAUUACAUAACCACCAGGUGCCAUCUGGCAAUCCAUGUCAUCAACUUGUAACCGUAUGCAACAGCUGCUGUAAUUCUCUGUUUUGUUGACCAUGCUGCAAAUGUGAGCUUCCUUAGCAGUUUUUCUGUUUGUUCAGUCAUGACGAAUAGAAGGCCUCUUUGUUCGGUAAGCAUUCUGAAGCUCUCAAUGCCUCUUGCUGCUGCUUAUUUCCUAUUUUCCUUUCUUCCUUUCGACUUGGCGAGAGAAUAAUGUCUCUGGAACAUGACCGCCUAUUUCUCAAUGCAGAUCUGAUGCUUAUGCAUGCACGGAUGGAUGAUUUUAACCAUAACUGAUCCACUCAUGCACAGAUCUAAAUAUAGUUGAGCUAGUUCAAAGUUAUAGCAUGAUUUAAUCAGCAAAGAUUAAAGCAAAACGGACACUGUAAUGUCUUUCUUAUUUAUUCGUACGCUGAUUUUCCUGUUAAAAUUCCAACACCAAUUUCACGAUCCAAAUCCAAUUACAUUUGUCCAAUCCCAAUUUCAAAGCUCAAUCCAUAGAAAAUUCAAAAAUUGUGUACAAAUGAUAGAUGUCUCUAAUCUAAAACUAUCAAAUGGUGGUGAAAAUAUCUUAGUCUCAAAAUAUCUUGAAUAAUUGGUGAUUUUUGUAAAAUGUAGUUGUCAUAUUUUUAUAAUUCAAUGUUUCUGUGGCUAGUAUUAGUUUUAUGUUACUAUAAAUACCAUUGGACUCUUUGAUGGAGGCAUCAAGUGAAAUUUGAAGAAUAAGAGAGAAAUAAGAAGUGUGAGCCGUGAGUUUUAUGCGUAGUGUCCCUUGUGAAAUAUUUAUAAAGUCCUUUAAAUGUUUGUAAAUUUUGGUAUUACCCAAAUAGUUCCGAUUUUGUUCAGUUUAAUCCUAUUCAUUUUUUCAAAGAUUCCAAGGUGGUGUUUGGUUGGGAGUAGAAAAUGUAGGAGAGGAAAGUAAUUUAAAUUCUCUUUUUAUUUUUAUUGUUUGAUUUGAGAAAAUAUAUAAGAAUUUAAUUUCCAUUAGUAUUUAAUAUCCAUCAUAAUGUAGAAUUUGAAUUCCAAACUUAGUGAAGAAUUUAAAUUCCUCUUAUAUUAGAAACUAAAGUUUCUAAAAUUACCCUUCAAUUUUUUAACUUAUUUAAUGCCAUUAAUAAUUAUUAUUUAUAAUUUUAUUUUAAUGACUUAAUAUUAUAAAUGGACCUCCACCGGAAAGUCAUCGGACCACCGUCGGACCUCGCCGGAAGAUCGUCGGACCUAGCCAGAAUGUCGCCGAACCACCGUUGGACCUAGCCGGAAGUCGCCUGACCACCGUCGGACUUCGCCAGAAGUCGCUGGACCUCUGCCGCCGGCCAUUGGACCGCCAUUUUAUUUUAUAUAUAUAUAUAUUAUUAAUAUAAAUAGUUUAAUAUUUAAGGUAAAUGAUAAAUUUGUCUAAAGAAAAAAUUAUAAUUCAUUUCCUUAUCAAAUUUUAUAUCAAACCAAACAACAAAAUUUAAUUUCAAUACUCUUCUCCAUUCAUUUCUUCUCCCUUCCUCUCCAUUCCACUCUUUUCCUCUCCCUUUUCUUCAAACCAAACAUGACCCAAGGGACUAUGCCGGAUCAGAAAAUUAACCAAGGAUCAGCGAAUUCAAACGAAAUAAAUUGUACAGACAGACUGGCUCAUAUAUCGAGUGAUUCGUAUCCAAGUUUCAGGAUUUUACACGACAUGCACAAAAAAAAAAAAAUAAAUAUCCAACUUUGUGUUGAGAACUAGUUUUCUAGAAUCUACUUGUAUAUAUAAUUACUCUAUUAGAACUCCUUGAUUUAUCACUAACAUUUACAAGAUUAUUAUUGAUAAGAGCAUACUUACAUGACUAAAAAAAAGCAAAGUUAGAAUUCUAAAUACAGAACGGACGUCAAUUAAGAUAGCAAAUAACGACAAAUAAUUUUAGUCUUAACGACUUCGUCACUACACUCUUGAUGGAGUAGAAAAAUUAUGAAAUUUUGACUGCGCAAAGCUUAAUAUGCAAUUAUAAAAUCUUAAAAAAUUUCAUGCUUAAAAUUUGGCAAUUUUAAGAUAUAUAUGUAUAAAAAAAAUAACAAAGAAGCUAUGUCAUAAUUUAUCAACUCAAAUGUCAUCCUAACAAUAAAAUAGGACUACUAAACUUUUGAAAUAAUAAUUAUAAUAGUAAAAUCAUAAAUCUUAUAAUAGUAACUAAUUGAAUUAAAUUAAGAGUACUAAUAUUUUCAUGUAGAGGCUAAUGUUUUUGUGGCCAAGUUUUUUUCUUUUUUCUUCACAAAUCAUGGGCCAUAAAAACGGGCAGUAGGGGUUCUUUUGAUAUAGGAUGGUUGUGUAGGAUGAACAAGAUAUAUUUUUAGGGCCAUGACUUUUGUUAAAAGUGUCCAUUUUAAUCUCAUAAUAUAUUGUUUCGAAGCUUACAAAAGAUAGAUGUAGACAUAUAGAAAGGAUGAAUAGAAUAAUUUAAGAGAGGGUCAGGUUUAUGUUUUCUGAUACUAAACUUCCUAAAUCUUUCUAGGCGGAGGCUAUGCGUACUGCAGUUGACUUGAUUAACCUUUCUCCUUCAGCUCCAUUAGAUGGCGAUGUACCUGAGAGAGUUUACACUAGGAAAGAUGUUUCUUACAAACACUUGAGAGUGUUUGGUUGCAGACUAUAUGUUCACAUCCUAAAAGAUGAGAGAUCAAAGCUUGAUGAUAAAGUCAAGGAAUGCAUUUUCUUAGGCUAUGGGCAUGAAGAAUUUAGGUACAUAUUAUGAGAUCCAGUGGUAAGAAAAUUGAUCAGAAAUAGAGAUGUUGUAUUCCUUGAAGAUUAGUUAGUUGGUGAUGCAGAGAAAAGUGAUGAGCCUUAGUUAUCUCCAGAGAUUCCCAUUAUUCCAACUUCAAUUUCUCCACUUGUAGUUCAUAAUGAUCAUAAGGGAACUGGAGAAGAUAAUAACGAUGGUCCAGCAAAACCAGUUGACGAGGCACCUCCAAAACCACCUACACCACCAGUUGAGCCAGAAUUUUGGAGAUCCACCAUAGAACGACGACCUUCCAUUAGAUAUCCUCCACAUGAGUAUGUAAUGCUUACAUAUGAAGGGGAGCCAGAAUGUUUUGACAAAGCCAUGUCUCAUCAGCAUAAAAGUGAGUGAGUUAAAGCUAUGCAAGAGGAGAUGAAAUCCUUGAAUGAGAACCAUACUUAUGACUUAGUAAAGCUUCUUAAAGGAAAGAUGGCACUGAAGAACAAAUAUGUUUAUAGGUUAAAGACUAAAAAUAACUCACAACAGCAGUACAAGGCUAGAUUGGUUGUGAAGAGUUUUGGUCAAAAGAAAUGUAUUGAUUUUGAAGAAAUAUUUUCUCCUAUGGUGAAGAUAUCAUCUAUCCGAGUUGUUCUGGGAUUAGCAGCUAGCUUGAACUUGGAGAUUGAACAGCUUGAUGUAAAGAGAACUUUCUUUCAUAGUGACUUAGAGGAAGAAAUAUAUAUGGAGCAACCUAAAGGGAUCAAUGUUAAAGGUAAAGAAGAACUUGUGUGCAAGUUGUAGAAAAGUUUGUAUGAGCUUAAACAGGCACCAAGGCAAUGGUACAAGAAGUUUGAUUCUUUUAUGGAGAAUCAUGGUUUUAACAAGACAAUGUGUGAUCAUUGUGUUUUUGUGAAGAAGUUUGGUGAUAAUGAUUUCAUCAUUCUUUUUACUUUAUGUGGAUGACAUGUUGAUGUUGGUCAGGAUGCUAAUAAUAUUUACAAUCUGAAGAGGGAGCUUAGCAAGUCUUUUGCAAUGAAAGACUUGGGACCGGCGAAACAAAUUCUUGGCAUGAAGAUUUCCCGCGAUAGAAAAGUUGGGAAGUUAUGGUUAUCUUUAGAAGCAUAUGUUGAAAGGGUUCUUGAAAGAUUUAACAUGGUUAAGGCAAAAUCUAUUUGUUCUCCACUUGCAGGCCAUUUCAAGCUUACUUAUGAACAUUAUCCUACAAGUGAGAAAGAGAAGCAAGAGAUGAGAGGAGUUCCUUAUGCUUCAGCGGUUAGUAGUUUGAUGUACGUCAUGGUUUGUACAAUACCAUAUAUUGCUCGUGCAGUUGGUGUAGUUAGUCGGUUUCUCUUCAAUCUGGGUAACGAAUACUGAACAUCAGUAAAUUGGAUUCUCAGAUAUUUCAAAGGUACUUAUGAGGCAUGUUUAUGCUUUGGUGGUGACAAACAUGUAUUACAAGUGUACAUGGAUGCAGAUAUGGCAGGAGAUGUUGAUUCAAGAAAAUUUCUAUCAGGAUAUUUGCUCACCUUUGCAGGGGGAGCAGUCUCAUGGCAGUCCAGACUUUAGGAGUGUGUUGUCUUGUCUACCACAGAAGCACAGUAUAUUGCAAUUACUAAAAGUUGCAAAUAAACCUUGUGGAUGAAGAAUUUCCUACAAGAGUUGGGUGUGAAGCAAGACAAAUUUAUUGUGUACUACGACAGUCAGAGUGUCAUUCACUUGGCAAAGAAUUCAAAAUACCAUUCAAAAUCCAAGCAUAUUGAUGUGAAGUAUCAUUGGAUACGAAACGUGCUUGAAAAGAAACAAUUGCAGGUUUAGAAGAUACACACAACGGAGAAUAUGUUAGAUAUGACGACAAAGUCAUUGCCCAAGGAGAAGCUAAAAAGCUAUAUGCAAAAAGCGGGCUUGGUGGUGCCCCCACAUGAUCUGGAGGGAGAGAUUUGUUAGGUGCAUCUCAUUUGGGUGGCUCAAGCCUAAAGUUUAAUAAGUUUGGGUAAAUAAGUAAUUAAAAGAAACUUAAAGGACAAAUGAAAUUUACCAUGAAAUUUAGCUACAUAAACAAGCAUAAGUGGAGGUGGCAGUAACCUUUUAAGAGAAGAAAAAGGCAAGAGAGAAAGGAAGAGACAGUAGAGUUGAGACUAUUUGGGUGCAAGAUUUUCAAUUUUUAAUUGGGCGAUCGGAAGGCGAAAUUAACUUCCGUUUCCCUCAACUUUUGAGGGUAAGUUCCUAGUAUCGCCCUCUACAAUUCUACUAGUCUUGAUUUUUAUUUUAUCCUCUCUUUGACUAUUAUUUGAGAUACCCACUUGUUAGAGAGAUAAUUAUUAAGCUGUUACCGUAAGGCAAAAAUAUUGAGAUUCUUGAUAUUGGUAUCUUCUAGUAUUAUCUAGAGAAGAAUUAGUGCUGCAAUCCUAUUAAUAUAAUGGAAGAUUAUAUCGGACUACGGUUCCAUACUUUUUCUCGCUUUGGGUUUUCCAUAUAAAAUCUGUCUCUUGUGGUUGGUUUUUGCUUUGGAUUUUGUUGGUUUAUUUUUUUGCCUAUUUAUUUAUGGUACACAUCCGAUUUUAAUCACACAAAGAGGGAAAAAAUUUUGUUUCCGCUUAAUUUACAGCUACUUUUGUGAGUCCCUUUCCCAACAGCUUAAAUGUACUUAUACACCCCCCAAGAUUUUAAAUGUCACACUAACUCCUUUCUAAAAUAAAGUAUUUUUAAUACAAUCUGUCCAAGUAGGAAAUUUAACUGGAGAAAAUAAAAAUAAGUUAUGAAGGUUAAAGGGGAGCAAAUAAAGCAGGAGAAAACAAAGAAGCUUAGAAAGUAAAAACUGGAAACCAAGAAGCAAAAAUAAAGAUUUUGAGUAAUCUAUAAUUUCGGAAGGCCCCACCGUAACUACCACUAAAAAUAGCUUCAUGAAUUGAAGAAGGGGAACAUCGAACUUAGCAGCCAUAUUAUCUUAAUUUAUCAAAGAUUUAUGAACAAGUAUUAAAACGAAAUCAUAUCAGAGAUAAUUGCUUUACGAUUCAACAACUUAUUCUUAAUAUGAGAACGAGUAAAACAAGAACAGCCUGAAUUGAGCAACCAAGAAAUAGUUCCAUCCCAUGGAUAUUAAAUUCUAAUAGAAAUUAAAUUCUUAUAUAUUUUGUCCAACUAAACAAUGGAAAUAAAGAUUGAAUUUAAAUUAUUUUCCUCUCCUUCAAUCUCUCCUCCCAUCCAAACACCACGUAAAUGUUAGCUCUUUCAACUUACAAUCCACAUGUGUCAUGAUGUGUGCAUGUUGGAAUGGUCUAGUAACAUUCAUCAGAUAAUCAUAUGAAAUAAAAUGGAUGAAUAAAAGCUAUUAGAGAAAAGGACUUACAAAUUUAAUUUUUUUGAAGAGAAAAGAACAAAAAUAGCUUUUAUUAAAAAAAUACAAAAUAGAGAAAAUGAUGCAUUUCUUUUGUUCUCCUAAUUUGCCAUCUUUAAAAAAACCUGUUUAGCUAGAAAAAAUAUAAUUUUUUUUAAAGUAAAACAAACAUAAUAUUUUUUUUAAAAACAAGCAAAUACACAAAAGCAUGUUAUAUGAGCUAUCCCCUCCCCUUAACCAGAUCGAGGCAUUGUCCUCAAUGUCUAAAGAAAAAGAGAUAAAGUUUACAGGGCUGCACCUAAUAAUGUGAAAGGAACAUCAUCAAAAGACCAUAGUAAUGAUUUAUAUCCAAUGGUCUAAUAGGUUGUUGGUGGAUGCCCAUGAUGCAAUUGUGAAAAUUUCUUCUAAGAUGCCUAGUCCACUUGGUAAAGCAAUAAAAGCAUCAACAUGUUCAAUCUUUACAAUGAGACAUUCAUGUAUACAUAUAACAAUGAGUUCUUCUCCAUUUGUUUUCCCGAUCAUAUUUCCUCUAGUUUAAGGUUUUUGGGACUAUACACAAAACUUGACUUCCUUUAGUGUUUGCAGUUAGCGAGAUGGUUUGUGAAAUCUCUAAUGUUAUGGGUGUCAAUGUGUAAGUGUACACGAUAAGUAAUAUACUGAUGAGUAUUCAAAUUGUCUCAACAGGGAUUGAUGCUAUCAAAUUUGCUACAAUAAUCUUAACAGUGUAGUUUUGUUUUAAAUGAAAAUAAAGCAACUAAUGAAACUAACAAACAAAUCAAAGUAAAAAUGCAGUAAAUAAAAUAAAAUAAAGGAAAUUCUCACGUCAAAUAUAAGGAUGUAACUAAUGGGAAUUGAGUAGUUGAGUGCAUAAACUCACUUAAUAGCAUUAACUAUUUUUUCAAUUAUAGUACCAUUGGUACAACAUCUACUACAGCACUGGGCAGAAUCCCUCAUGCAUCCUCAGUUGUCGCCUGUUUGAUAUCUUAUAUCUAAUGCAACCUAACAGUGACCAAUUGUUACGCCAAUAUUAAAUAUACCAUUAAACGAUCUAGGUUUUGUUUACCCUACAAGAUGAAUACAUAUAUCUAAUUCAUCACAAAUUUUAGAUCAAGCAUGACCCUAUUCAAAUUAAGAUUAACUCAACUUGAAAAACCCAAUCUAAAACCAAGUAUUAUCUUAAUGAGAUCCACUGAAUCAGACCUUUUUUAGGCUCUUUCUUAGCUAGUAUCGUUAAAUGGGUGGUCAGCCGAAAUAGAGAAUAAAAUAAAUGCAAAUAAGACAAAAUGUUAUAGCAAACACAGAGAAACAUGCGUAUAUUAGUCAAACAUCCAUUAAGUUCGUUUAUUACUCAACUACAAUCAAAUUCAGUUCAUGAUUUGUGAUAGAAAAAUAAACAAAAGAGUUUCAGCCAUCAAAUAGAUCUCCAUGAAUAAAUAGAAAACAAGAAAAUAAGAAGAAUGGCUGAUUUCUAUUUUAUUUCUGCAGUUUCUCCUCUGUCGGCCUUCAAUCUCUCUCUUGAAUUUUUUUUUCUUGUUGUUUCUUUACGAUUUUUUCUCCUUGGGUGAUGGCUUUCCCUUUUUCUCUGUGUGUGCGCUCAUUUUAUAGCUUAAAAUUAAGGAAACCAUAAGUCUAGAGCGCGCAUAUUCUAGUUUUGGAAACUCCAUAUCGCAAUCUUCUAAGUAUCUCGCGUGAAAUCUUCUCUAUCAAUGCUUCAGGAUUGCUACAACAAAAGUGCUACAGCAACGGUUACUACAUGUUCCUUAAAAUUUAAGCUUCCGAACACUUACAAUUAUGCAUAAGAUCUAAGCAAUCUAAAACAAACUAAAUUUAUUAAAAAUAAACAAAAAUUGAUGUUCAUACAAAAUAUAACUAAAAUGCUAUAAAAACAUGUCAUUUACUCUCUAAAUAAUUUUGAUUUAAGUCUAAAAGUACUAUGAUAACUCAAUUUCAUAGAGUUAUCACGAGACAACCCUUAUUAAUCUAAAAUCACCAUCUCCACAUAUUAAAUGUAUUUUUCUCACAGACAAUAUCCCCUCGAGGUCUUUGACAGCCUCAACGAAAUUUAGAGUAUGUCCAAAAGUUGAUCUAGAGAAUACAAAAAUAUUUUUAAGUUGUCGAAAUGGAAUUACUGGCAUUAUGAUUUUCUUGCUGUUAAAAAAUUUAUAUGUAUUUACAAAUCCAGGAAAGACAAUCCAUUAAUGAUAAUAAAUUCGGAGGUUGGCAAUUGUUAAACAGAGUGUCAGAAAUAGUUAAAAUGAUAAUCAGUUAAAUGCUAUAGGAAAUUUUAAAUAAAUAAGUCAAUAAAGUUAGAGCAAAGUAAUAAUAGAAAAUGAAAAUGAUAUGUACUAAUAGUUGUGAUUGUGGCUCACGACUUCUUUUAGUUUUACAUCCAGUAAUGGCUUGAAUGCUUUCUAUGGAUCGGGGAUAGGAUUCCCAACCAAUUUUCUUAUAAAUUAGUGUUGGGUUAUUUCUAUUACUAUGGGUGUUAAUGUACAAGUGUACACAACAAGUAAUCUAUCAAUGUACAAGCCAAGUAGCCACACCAGCAUUCACCUCAGCAGGUGCAUUUUGAACAAUAGCCGCAUUCUCAACAGCAGGCAUCGUUUUAGUGGUAGGUUCUGAUCGUACUGGUAGCAUGUACACAACAAGUAAUGUAUCAAUGUACAAGUGUACACAACAAGUAAUAUACUGAUAAGUAUUCAGAUCGUCUCCACAAGGAUUGAUGUUAUCAGAUUUGCUACAACAAUCUUAACAGUGCAGUUUAAUUCUAAAUUAAAAUAUGACAAUUUAUGAAACUAAUAAAUUAAUUAAAAAUGCAAUAGAUAAAAUUCUCACGUCAAACACAAGGAUGUAACUAAUGGGAAUAGAGUAGUUGAGUGAUUAAACUCACUUAAUAGUGUUGAUUGCUCCUCUAAUUAAAACCCUAUUGCUACAACAUCUAUUACAGCACUGAGCAAAAUCCCUUAUGCAUCCUCAGAUGUCGUAUGUUGGAUAUCUUAUAUCUAAAUGCAACAUAACAGUGAUCAAUUGUUAUGCUAACAUUAGAUAUAGAAUUAAAUGUUCUAGGUUUCAUUUGCCCUACAAGGUCAAUCCCCACGUCCAGUUCUUCACUAAUUUUAUAUUAAGCAUUACCCUAUUCAAAUUGAGAUUCACUCAACUUGGGAAACCCAAUCUAAAACCCAGUAUUGUCUUAAUUUGUUCCACUAAGUUGGCCAUUUUCAAGGCUCUUUAUUAGCUAGUAUCCAUUAAAAGUGUGAUCAGCCAAAAUAGAGAAUUGAAAUAAAUACAAUUAAGACAAAAUGCUAUAACAAAUACAGAGCAACACACAUAUGUCAGUCAAACAGAUCGUUUAUCACUCAACCACAACAAAUUCAAUUCGUGAUUUGCGAUAGAACAGUAAAUAAAAUUGUUUCAGCCAUCAAAUACAUCCCCAUAAUUAAAUAGACAACAAGAAGAUAAGAAGAAGAACUGAAGUAUGCUCGAUCUUAGUGAUAUCUUCUUUAUUUCCUCUUUGAAUCUUCUGUUACAUCCUUCGAUUUAUCUCUUAAUGUUUUGUUUUCUUAUUGUUUCUUUUCGGUAUUCCCCUUAGGUGAUGGCUCUUUACUUUUUCUUUUCUUUUCAUGUGUGCUCAUUUUAUAAAUUAGAAUUAAGGCAACUGAAAGUGUGUGACGCAUAUCCUCCAUUUUUAGAAACUUUAUAUCGCAAUAUUUUAGUUAUUGCGCAUGAAAUCCAGUCUGUCAUUGCUCCAGGAUUGCUACAGCAACUGCUAUAGCAUCUUCAGUGUUCCAGACUUAUUUCAAUUCCUCUGCAGUCAAGAUAUUUUGUCACUUUUGCAAGUCUGUUGCAGCAACAUUUCAUCCCUAAAACUUGAGCUUUUCCGUCACCUACAAUUAUGCACAUAAUAUAAGCACAAAAUAAUCUAAAAAAACUCAAUUUAUUAAAAAUAAAUUAAAAUGGAUGCUUAUGCCAAAUGUAACUAAUAUGCCAUAAAAAUACAUCAUUUACUUUCUAAGUAAUAUUGAUUUAAGUCUAAAAGUAUCAUGAUAACUUUCAGUUCAUAAAGUUAUCAAUUAGCAAAUUGAGUAAUUUGAAAUUGGCUUCCCAAGACUAAAUUGUUUACCUUCUUUUAGGAAUUAUCUCUAUAAAUUGUGAAUCUCGCAUUGCACAUAGUCACUUGGAUGCAUCUUAAGAGAUCGCAAGAUAUCAUCUAAUGCUUGUUUACAUGGACCAUCCUCAAUGAAUUUAAUUUUAUCUUCACGAUUUUAAAAACCAUUCCUAAAGUUGUACAAUACGCUUCACAGGAAAGUCUUUCACAUUUAUGAUAUUUAGAGCCAAUUCGUUUAGCUCUUCUUUUUUUAGCAAAUGAUAUCAUAUAAGUCCAAUGAACCAAUUAACACAUACAAUGCAUUCUUCUUUUCACCUUUCAUCACAAUAGAACCCUCCUUAGUCACUUUUAUGCCAUCAUUAUCUAACUUAAAUGAAUAUCUAGAGCUGUCCAAUAUGCCUAAAGAGAUCAAAUUUCCCUUUAACUCAGGAGCAUGUCUAAGCCUAUGUAAAGUUCUGAUGAUCCCAUUAAAUAUUUUAAUCUUGACAAACCUUAUUCCAACAAUUUAACACUUAUUGGUGUUUCCCACAAAAACUCUACCACCAUCAAUAAACUCAUAUUGAUGAAAAAGUGACUUAUUAGGCAUAUGUGAAAAGAACAACCCAAGUUUAAUACCCACUGACCUUCUAAGUUGCCUUUUGAGGUUAUAAAUAGAUCAGCACUAUAAUAACCAUCAUCAAAGGAGAUAUUUAAAGCCACAGCCACACCUCCUAACUUUUAUUGACUUUCCUUCUUCUUUUUCUCUGCACUCUCUCUGAUGUAAUGCAUUUGUUUCCUACAAAAAAAGCAUUUCCUCUUGUUUUUCUUUUUUUUUUUGCAUUCUCUUGGUUCUUUCCUUACCCCUUUCUUUGAUUCUUGUUCUACUGUUCCUUCUUUUUUCGGUUCUGGCAAUCAGCCAUUCACCAUUACUUACUCCAUGGCCAUCAUGCUUUUCAAUCUCUUUUGAGCUUAGUGAUGUCGUGACAUCUUCCAAAGUCAAGGUUUUCUUCUAUACAACAUUGUAUCCACAAAACCUUCAUAUGAUUGUGGCAAUGAACUUAAAAAGAAAAUGAUUUUGUCUUCAUCUCUAAUCUUCACAUUUUCAACCUCUUCAAGAUCAAGAAUGAUCUUGUUGAAAGUGUCAAUCUGUUCUUAAAUAGACCCCCCUUAUAUCAUUGAAAAAGUGUACAACUAUUUCUUCAAGAACAACUUGUGAGCCAAAGAUUUCUUCAUACAAAGGCCUCCACCUUAUUCUAUAUCCCAAGGUAUGUUUUUGUUUAGAGAUUUCCCUCAAGAUUGAGUCACUAAGACUCAAAAUUAGGGUUUUGAAGGCUCUAUUUUAAAUAUGUUUCUUCUUUUCAUCAGGUUUAAAGCUUGUUUCCUUAUCAAGAUCUUCUUCUUCUAAGACGGAUUCAAGGCCCUGAUGCACAAGUAGAGCCCUCAUCUUCAUCUUCCAAAGUGAGAAAUCACCACUGAGCUUCGCAAUUUCUGGUUUUAAAAGUGACAUGGUCAAGGUUCACUAAGUCUCUGAUACCAAUUAUUGUAAUUAAUAGUUAACAAUCAAGAACUCAACCAAUCUUCCGAGCUUUAAUCAAACAAGAUUAAUUCAAAUCAAAAUUGAAGAAAAACAUAACAAGAACAAAGAAAUAGAACUCAAUCACAAAGAACAAGCUUCUCUGUUUGAAGGGGAAAACUAGCACACUUUUACUAAUCAAGCUUAUCACAAAUUGAUCACACAUUACAAAAGAGGUUGCAAGCUUUAGAAAUAAACAAAAAGCACAUAAUUUGGUUAAGAAACAAGAGAGAAAAGGUUCACACAUUAGAGGUUGUGCACUAGCCUAUUUAUUUUGGAAAUUUUCAAAAACCAUCUAACAACCUUCAACGAACUAUAGCCAUGUCAGCAAAAAUUUACAAAACGACCCUAAGCUAAAGUUGAUUUGUACAAUGGCCCAACAAAUCUCCUUCAUUUUACUUCAAUCCCAAAAAACAGAAUAUAUAUCUUCACAUUUAUAAUGGUUGGCUUAAAAGAAAAUAUAGAGAUUGUAUAUAAAAUAAAAAAUACUAAACUGUAAAAAUGAAAAAUAGGCAAACUCAAAAAAUAAUAAUAAUAAUAGGUUCAAAAACUCGCUUCAAACUUAUUAUGACAUAUACAUUCGUUCAAAUAACUUAAUCAAUUUCACUCAUCAAAUCUCUCAAUUCAUAGUUGUCACUAACAUCAUCAUGCAAAGUUGCUAACGUGGUGUAGCAUAACUCAAAACCAAAGAUAAUAUAAGUCAUCAUGUCAUCCAAUGUCAAAUGAUCAUACAAGAUGCCUAGAAAACUUUAAUAAUCUUUUUAAUUUUUUUUUAUAAAAAUACCUCACCCUCAAACUUAUUCUAAACAUUAUCCUUAAUGUUUCUUAUUCUAAAGAAGUGCAUGUCAAUGUGUAAAAAUACAAAGAAGAUAUGAAUGCCAAUAGUAAGAGAAAUAAGUAGGAGAGAUUGCACUUAAAUUGGCGAUCGCUCUUAAAUUAGUCGCAAAAUAUUCUACAAAAAAAUCUAAAGAAAACAUUAAAAUAAAUAUAAAGAAUAAAUACAAAAAGCAAAAUAUUAGAGUUUUUUAUCUAUAAAAGGAUAAUGGUAGUGAUACUCUUUAAUGUUAUAUAGCUUAGGCCACAUCUGUCUUAAGCUUAUCUGAAAGUUAUCUAAAAUACUAUAAAAUGAUAACAAUUUGAGCACUUCAGAUCUUACUACUUUAUUCAUGUCAAAAUGUGACUUAUCUUGUGCUGCUUUAGGAAGUAGCUCUAGUUUGAAUGGUUUUUCUUCAAGAGGAAAUAGCUUAAUCUUUUCUUUCCCCUUAGUUAAAACCAUGAUAGGGGCAAAUAAAGUAAAAUAUUAACUUCUAGGAAAAUGAUCAUUCGUAUACUUUAAAUUUGUACUUUUAUCAAAAAUACUACAACAUUUUAAGGGUGUAAAAGAUGUAUCAAUUGUCCACCUUAAAUUGACAAACGUUAUCUACCGACCACUAAACCUCUAGCUGUCGUUUGAAAGUUAAUGGAACUAUAGUGAAUUGACGAUUUUACUUUUGAAAAUUAUCACUUGUAUACUCUUAAAAUCUCUUAUUAUCAUUUAGAUACCCUUAAAUUAUCACUUGUAUCAUAUGAGAAUACCAGACUACCCUUCUAAUGUCAUCAUAUUUAAACAGCAACUAACGGUUUGGUGGACGGUAGAUAUAUUUUGUCAACUUAUGGUGGACGAUUGAUAUACCCUAAAAGUGUUGUAGUAAAUUUGAUAAAAGAGUAAACUAAGGGUAUACGAUUGAUAAUUUUCCUUUCUAAAAUAGCACUAUCAACAUCAAAAGAUAAAACAAAGUGAAUUAAGUAUGUCUUUAGAAAAAUACACUGGAGAGUUAAUUUGGCCAUACAUUGGUUGUAGAAGAAUACACUGGUUGUAGAAGAAUCUAUGCAUGUUACAUUUGAUGAGUCUAACCCCUCCUCUGCGGAGAAAGGAAUAAAUUAUGAUGAUGCAAAUGGAGAGUUACAAGAAGAACCAUCAAAGGAUAAUCAAGAAAAUGCACUACAAAGAAAUCAAGAGGAUGAACAAGAAGAGCGAACAAAUAUGGAGCAACAUGAAGGUACUUUUCAAACACUCCCCAAGGAGUGGAGGUAUGUUUCUUCUCACCCUAAAGAUGUAAUCUUAGGAGAUCCAUCACGAGGCGUUACAACUAGAUCAUCACUUAGGAAUACUUGUGAGCAUAAUGCAUUCAUUUAUCAAAUUGAACCCAAAUCCUUUGCGGAUGCGGAAAAUGAUGAAUCUUGGAUUAUGGCAAUGCAAGAGGAGUUAAAUCAAUUCAAAAGAAACAAUGUGUGGGAAUUAGUCCCUAAACCGGAACAUCAAUCCGUCAUAGGUACUACAUGGAUAUUUAGAAAUAAGAUGGAUGAAUCCGGUGUGAUUGUAAGAAACAAAGCUAGAUUAGUGGCUCAAGGUUACAACCAAGAAGAAGGAAUUGAUUUUGAUGCAACAUUUGCUCCCGUUGCUAGACUAUAAUCAAUUAGAAUGUUGUUGGCAUUUGCAUGUCAUAAAGAUUUCAUCUUAUUUCAAAUGGAUGUGAAAAGUGCUUUCUUAAAUGGGUAUAUUAUGGAAGAAGUAUAUGUAAAACAACCCCCUGAUUUUGAAAAUGAAAAACUUCCAAAUCAUGUUUAUAAGUUGUUUAAAACCUUGUAUGGAUUAAAACAAGCACCUAGAGCAUGGUAUGAUAGGCUUAAAAACUUGUUAGAAAAUUAUUUUUCCAUGGGUAAAGCGGAUACUACUCUCUUUGUUAAACAUAAGGACAAAGACAUACUUGUUGUUCAAAUUUAUGUUGAUGAUAUUAUUUUUUGUUCUACUAAUGAAUUGUUGUGUCAAUAAUUUUCAUCUUGCAUGAGUAAUGAAUUUGAAAUGAGUAUGAUGGGAGAGUUGAAGUACUUCCUUGGGCUACAAAUAAAACAAAAUGAGGAAGGAAUUUUCAUAAAUCAAGCCAAGUAUGUAAAAGAUCUACUCAAAAGAUUCGGCAUUGAUGACUCAAAGACCACAAAUACACCAAUGAGCACAACAACCAAGCUCGACAAAGAUGAAAAAGGCAAAGAAGUGGAUAUCAAAAUGUAUCGAGGUAUGAUCGGAUCUUUACUUUAUUUAACUGCAAGUAGAUCCGAUAUCAUGUUUAGCGUAUGCUUGUGCGCAAGAUUUCAAUCAUGUCCCAAGGAAUCCCAUUUGCUUGCUGUUAAAAGAAUUUUUCGUUAUUUGUGUGGAACCAUAGAUAUUGGACUUUGGUAUCCUAGGGGAACUCAUAUAGAUUUAACAUGCUAUUCGGAUGCGGAUUUUGCCGGUUAUAAAAUUGAUAGGAAAAGCACUAGUGGAACUUGCUAUAUCCUAGGUCACUCACUUGUUUCAUGGUUUAGCAAGAAACAAAAUUCUGUUGCACUCUCAACCACCGAGGCCGAAUAUAUAGCUGCAGGAAGUUGUUGUGCACAAGCUCUUUGGAUGAAACAAACACUUAGAGACUAUGGUAUUAACCUAGAACAAAUUCUCAUUAAGUGUGAUAAUACUAGUGCUAUAAAUCUUUCAAAGAAUCCCAUUCAACACUCUAGAACCAAGCAUAUAGAAAUAAGACAUCAUUUCUUGAGAGAUCAUGUUCAAAAGGGAGAUAUUGCAUUAGAGUUUAUUUCUACAAAAAAACAACUCGCCGAUAUUUUUACCAAACCCCUUGGCGAAGAACAAUUUUUGAAAAUUCGGCAUGAACUUGGGAUGAUGAAAUUUUCGCAUUAACGUCUCUAUUCAUGCUAUUGAGUGUACUGAAUUGAUUGACUUAUUGGUGAUUUAAUAUUUAUGAAAUGCUUAAGCUUGAUAUUCAAAUGAUGUAUUUGCUUUGUUAAUUCUUGAUUGAUUAUAUGAAUUAAUUGCUUGAAUACAUGUUCAUGAAUCAUGCAUUAAAAUGGCUCAUAAAACAUUUUUAGAUCAAUCAAAUGAUCUUGGAAUGUAUUAUUUGCUGGCCAAAAAUUAAAUCAAAUGUGCGAAAUUAUAGAUAAAAUAAACGGUGCACCGUUUCCAAUAAACGGUGCACCGUUUUAUUCCAGAAACGAGAUUUUUUGUCUGUCUUUUUACCCUUUCACUGUUUGAUGCAAUCGGUAAACCGUUUAAAAACAAAGAGUCCUCUAACAGUUACCCCUUAACCGUUUAAAUAAAUGGUUAACCGUUUUCGUGAAUAUAAAAUUGUUCAAAGGUUUUCUUCUUCCUCUUAAGUUGCCCUUUCACCGUUUCAGCCAUAGUUGUGCAGUCGACGCCUCCUCUGUCCCCAAAUCUUCAUUUUCCUUGCUUCUCUUGCCAAAUCAAACCUACAACAUCAUUUCUUAUCUCCUUUAGAACACUUUCACCGAUUCAAAUCUUCAAAUCAAGCCCAAAAUUGAAAAAUCCCAAAUCUAAACCCUAACUGCCGCCGUUCGGGUUUCUUCGUUUUUAACUCGAUUCUUCCCCUUCUUCAACCAAAUUGAGUAUCAAAAUCAUAUCCUCUACUCAUUCCUCAGCAAAUAAUCGGUUCAUUUUCUUCUCAUCACAUCUCUCCCGCAUUUUUCAAACUCUGUUGUGCUUCACCAUGGCUGCACCCCCUCGGAGAAAUCUCAGGCGAAAAUCUAUGCCUCCAAGGAACCCUAUACCACCACGAGAAGUCUCUGAAUUCGCAAGAAUUCAUUUCCCCAUGCCUUCCUUGGCGAAGCGGUUCGAGGAUCGUUUCAAUGGUCGAAAGGUACUUGACUCUUCUUAUGUUGAAAUAGAUGAUUUCAGUACCUUAGUUGUAUGUGGUAGAAGCGUUAGGGAUAUGCUUAAGCCUUGGGAGUCUGCCAUUGACUUUGAUGACCGAGUUUAUCCCAACUUAGUGCGAGUCUUUUAUUCGAACAUGGAAAUCUCCGCAACUCGCCUAAAUAGGAUAGUUACUCAAGUCGGCGGUGUGCCUAUUGAAUUUGAUGAUGCAGAUCUAGCUAACUUUCUUGGUAUCUCUAGUGAGGGUCAUGAUAUUUACACCUCUAGGAAAGCCUUUGACUUUGACAGUUUUUGUCAUAUGGAUGGAGUCCGUAAUAUUUGUCGUCGUCGAGACUUGUCUGAUGAGAUCUAUCUGCUACCUUUUCGGGCUCAACUUUUACCUCUCCAAGUUCGCAUUCUUCACUCUAUCUUACAGCACAUAGUGACACCUAGGAAGGGUCACUCGGAUGAGGUUACGAGGUUGGACGUUGGCCUCUUAGAUAGCCUCAUUUCAGGCCGUCCCAUUAACCUCGGCCAUGUUAUUGUGCGGCACAUGUUGAGUACUCCCGUUGUUAACUACCUUUUGCUUCCAUAUGGCAGUAUCAUUACGAAGAUACUGCGACACUUUGAAGUGCCUCUUCUCGAUACCGGUUAUAUGGAGACUAAACGGACUGGUCCCGAGGCCAUGACUAGUAUCGGCUUUUCUAGGAAGAAUGGAGAGUGGAUACAGACCAACAACUCCAAAAACCAGGAUACCUUGAUUUCUCCGGUGGAUGAUCGGAUGCUCAAGGAUGUCUAUCCUCCCGAUAAGCUUCCCGAUUUUAGAUUAGGAGCUCAUCCUCAUCCUCAUCCUCCGCGUCGCUGUUUUGUCCCUCGGCCUCCAGCUGACUCUGACUCUGAGGAGCGUGCGAUGGGUGCUGACAUUCCCUCCUCUUCCGAGCCGCCUCUCGCUCCCAAGCAGCCUCCUGCUCCUGAGCCAUCUGUUGUUCCUGAGCAGCCAUCUGCCUCUGUGCCACCUCCAGCUCCAGUUCAGCCCCCUGCUUCAGACGUUGUGCAACAGUUGAUUGCUGAUGUUCACCAGAUUUCAGAGCGCCAGCAGUUGAUUCUUGAUCGGUUGGACACUUUCUCCCGUGACCACCAGCAGCUACGUUCUGACUUUCAGACCUUCCAGCAGCAGAGCAUUGAUCAGCAGCUUGAGCUUAUCGCUAGACAGUGUACUCUUCUCCGCUAUUUCGGUUAUGAUCCGGGGAGCACAUCUUCUCCACCUCCAUAGUUUCCGAGUUCUAUUUUCGCACAUACAUUUCAUAUUUUGGUUGUUUGUGUAUUGCCAUUUAUAUUUUUUAUACACUGCUACCUCUAUAUGCUCUUUAUGGAUUUUGAUGACAUGGUUUUGUGAUGUUCUUGAUGUUGGAUGACUUGAUAUUGGUUGAUGAAAUUGUUGGUUUGUUUGUUCAUGGCGUUGUUGGAUGAUGGAGUUGUUGUUAAUAUAUUUUGGAAGUGUUUUAAUCUCAUUUUGUAUUAAUGGUUUUGCUUCAUUUUAAAGGGAAACUCUGCCAAAAUUUUCGCUCGCCAAAACCGAGUAACUUUUUUAACGGAUUUGCGGCUUUCCUUUCUCUCUUUUCUUUUUGAUGAUGAAGGGGGAGAUAAUUAUGGGGAGUUUUAAAAUAAAUUUAAAAAUGUUUUCUUGAGCAAAAAUCUUUUUAAUAAUUAUGGGGAGUUUUAAAAUAAAUUUAAAAAUGUUCUCUUGAGCAAAAAUCUUUUUAAUUGGUCAUUUCUUAAUUUGGCCAUACAUUUAGGGGGAGCAUAUAUUAAGGGGAAGCAAAAUAUUGAAUGAAGUUUGUCAUCAUCAAAAAGGGAGAGAUUGUUAACAUGAAUAUGUUAAUAAUAUUGAUUUUGAUGAUAACAAACUUUAAAUAGUUUUUGAUUAAAAUGUUGGAGCUAUUCCUUAAUAAAUGAAAGCCUUAUAAUCAUUCCAAUCAUAUUCAUAAAAGAUGGACUUUCAAAUUAGAAAAUGACUCUCUGCAAAAUCUGGUUUAAAAUAUAAUUCUGGAAAUAAACGGUGAACCGUUUUCUUUCAAACGGUUAAUCGAUUAAAACCAGAGAGCGACAUAUUGCCUAAGCUCUAACUGAUUAAGAAAAACGGAAAACACAAAAAGCUGGGAAGGCUACUGGAAUUCAACGGUGAACCGUUUAUUUAAACGGUGAACCAUUUAUUUAAAUGGUUAACCGAUAAAAUCCAGAAUUGAAGGUUGUACUCUUCUGGCACCGUUUAAUAAAACCGGAUAAGGCUAAAUUGUUUUGCAGGUUACUGGAAACAAACGGCGAACCGUUUAUUACAAACGGUUAACUAAUAAUAUCCAGAGAAGUCACUUCAUGCAAAUACUUAACCGUUUAAUGUAAACGGAUAACUGAUGUUCAUCUUGUAGGUCUCUGGAAUUUAACGGUGAAAGGGUAAUCCUAAACGGCAAACCAUUUAUUUGAAAUUUGGCCCAACGGUAACUUUUGACCAACCUAAACGGUCCGUUAAUGGUUAACGGCGAACCAUUUUCGGGCCGACAGUUUGUAACGACUAGUUUUUUCAGCUCCAAAUAUAAAUAAGCUCAUUCAAAUUCAAACAAUAUUGAUCACAACACGACUAUUGAGCUUAUACUCGAGAAUACAAUCUUCAUAGAGCUUUGAACACAUUCUUGCUUCAUCUAUUUACAUAAUCUUAAUUAUUGUGAGAGGCAAAACAAAUUUGUAAUCUUUUGUUUUGAGUGAUUGUAAGUGUUGGGAUACACUUGGGUUAAAGAGAUUGGGAUAAUCUCUUGUUGUAAAGGUUAUUGACACCUUGGAAGUCAAGUGUAAGCAUUUGAAGCCUUUGAGGCUUGCUUAGUGGAAUCCUCAAGCCCGGAAAGCUUAGAGGCGUGGACGUAGGCGAGGUUGGCCGAACCACGUAAAAAUUUCUGUGUUUGAAUCUCUCUUCCCUUAUCUUUUUAUAUUGUGAUCACCUUAUUUGUUAUUGCUUUGAAUUUGUUUUAUAUUUGCAUUAAGUUUUUCUUUAUAAAUUGAAUAAUUUUUAGAAUUCCAAUUCACCCCCCCUCUUGGGUUGCAUAACUAGAAUUUCAGUAGGCAAUUAAAAACUUAGAAUUAACAACCUAAUUAAUUUUUGAAAAUACUAUUCACCGUUACUGUUCACGGUUAUGGUUCAUCUGCAUAAAAAAUAUUAAUUUUCCAAAAACACAAUAAAUUACAGAAACGAAAUGACACGAAGAUUUUUACAUGGUCUGGAUUAAUCAAUCCUACAUCCACGAGGACAGACCCAGAUGAAAAGUAAUUCACUAAGUUGAGAUAUUACAACUUAUAUAUUUACCAAACUUAAGACUCUCACUUACAGUUUAUCACCAUAUAGCUUAUUCAACCUUAGACUGAAUAUGCUUCUCUUGAAUAAUUGAUACACCUCUUUAUCCAUGAUCCUUAAGGCACUUCGUAAAGUGAUCAAUAGUAAUUCUUCAAUUUUUCAAUGUCUAGUGAUCCGACUCCACAUAGACGCUCCAUAGAGAUGAAAAGAAUAUAAGAAAACAAAUCAACACAACAAUAUGUGCCAAAUCUGGAUUCUCUAGGGAGGAGGCCAAAUUUUGCUUCUCUGCUUUAUGUUCUGUGUUGUGUGCUUUCAAUUGUGAAAUACCUCUCUUUAUAUAGGCACUAGGGUUUCACAAAAAUAGCAGGUCUUAAAAGACUUGGAUUCUUUCCAAAUAAGAGUUUUUUUCCUCUUAUAAUUUCUAUGAAUCUGAAUACAAAUAAAUCUGAUCUUCUUACCUUACUUGUCUCCCAAGAAAUAUCUGGAGUAUUUAAUAUGUUUCUUAUUUAAACCAACUUCUUACUCUAAAUAGAUCUCAUGCGCCAAUUAUAAAAUCUCAUCAUUAAUUGACUUAUUAAAUUAGACAUCUAAUUAAACUAGGAAACAAAUAUUCAUAAAAAAUUGGAAUCUCCCUAAAUUAGGGAAUUAAAAACUCUGGAAAAACAAUCAAUAUCUCAUUCCAUGUAUAGAAGCAAGUGAUGACAUGCUAUGGGCAUAACUAUAAAUUUAGUAUUUUACAUCCAAUUAAACAGGAAAAAUAACAAUAAAGAGUCUUGGUAUCCAUUGUUAAAAUGUUGACAACAAUGCCAUUUGUCUCUACUAACUUAACAAACUUGAUUCAGUUGUUUUAUAAUAAUAGGAAUAAAAAAUAAAUUAAAUGCAUUAACAUAUAUAGUUUAAAAUAAUUUUAGUAUUUUAAAAACUAUUUAAUAAUUUACAAUCUUAUAUUAUAUUAAACUAAAUUUUAUAAUAAAUGGAACAUAACAUUAAAAUAAAUAUAUAAUUUUAAAUUAUUUUUCAAUAUGAUAUAAAAUAAUUUUAAUAUUAUUAAUAGACUCUAUAUAUUUUAUUAAUGGUAAAAUCUAUUUAACCCAAAGAUUUAUUAAAUUUUUUAUAAUAAAUACAUAUAUAUUAUUAAAAUAAAUAUAAUAAUUUACAUUUAGAAAUUAUUUAUAUAUUAAAAAUUUUCUAAUAUAAAAUUAAAUUAUUUAAAUUAUAUUUGUAUUUAUCAAAAAUAUUUAAAGAUAAAAUUUUAGUUACUAUUUACAAAAAAUAUUAUAGCCAAAAGGGGGUCUUAACAUCCCUUAUUAAAAAUCUGGAGGUCUACAUGACUAUUAAAAAUAUGGAAGCUACUUUUGUAAACUUUUAAGAAACAAUAUAAAGAAAACAAAUCUCAUUAAUUCUCGAGCACAAAUGCUCAUUUAUAUAAGUAUUUGAAACAUGAAAAUAGAAAUCAUACAAUUAACGUAAUUUAGAGAUAUUGAUUGAUUAACAAAAAUUGAGUUAAUCGAUCUUUCCUAUCAAUAAUUAAGAUAAAGACAUCAUUUGAUUGAUUGUUUUGUUUCUAUUAAUAUUGUUUGAUCCUUAUCAUUCUCCCUCAAGUUGGAGAAGAUUUUUUUGAACUUCUAGUUUGUCUUUAAAAAUCAUGUUUCCUUGAUUUUUAUCUAUAGUCGCAACCAAGUGUCAUGCAACAAACGGGGAGUACUCCUCUAAAACUUGUCUAGGAAAUCUUUUUGUUAUUUUCAUGUACACUUUUUUUAGACUAAGAAAAAUCAUAAGUAAUAAAUUCUUUUGAUCAAGGAAUUCUUUCAAUAUGAAAGUCGUUCCUCCAAUUAUUUUUAAGGAAAUCUUCACUCAAUGAUUUUAUCUUCACUCCUUUGAUAUUGCCAUGGAAUUAUUUAAUUUAGAACGUCAUUCCAUUGAUCUGGUCAAGGAAAACAUCAAUUUUUAGGAUUCCUUUUCAUUCCCCUUUACUUUUGAUAUCAUUUCCUUUGUGAUGGUAGAAGUGUGGUGGUUAAUGAUGCAGUUGAACAACUUCUUUUUCUUCUUCUUCUUUUGAAGAAAUUGAAGAACAAUAAAAAAGGAACUCACAUCUCUCCUUUAGACCACCAUGCUCCAGAAACACAUCAUCAACACGGUGGCUAAGCAUAAACCCACAAAUUUAAGGACUUUCAAACUCGUCUAAUACCAUGAAAAGUUUUAGAAAUAAAUUAAGAAGAUAAAUCUCACUCUUACUCAUACAUGAGCAAAAAAACUCAAUUCAUACAAGUACUUGAAAAAUGAAAAUGAUACACCUAACAUAAUUUGAGAAUAAUGAUUUAUUAACACUGAUAUAGACAAUUAAACUUUAUUUCGAUUUAUAAUCAAUCUUUCUAAAUCAAUAAUAUAGGGACAAUAAGUCAUUUGAUUUAUUUCCAUCAUUAUUGCUUGAUUUUUAUCAGUUUUUUCAGGUGCUUCAAUUUUGGACAAUUUCAUGUGAAUUCUAUUCUUAUAUUAGUAAUAUGUCAUCUUUUAAUUAAUUUUCUAUUAUAAAAUUUUCAGGUAAGACUAAAUGGUUUGAGACGCUUAUUACAAAGAAGGGUGCGUUUUUUAGCCAAUGCCAGAUAUAAACUGAUGAUGUAGCGUAUGGCAAUCUCAAUCUUCUUGUAGUCUCUCAAUACGUGGAAAACCCUCAUGAGCCUGGUUAAUUGAAUUGUAAAAUUGAUUUGUUUUCAUUUGAGUAAAUGUUAUACUUCUGAAAGUUUGUAUUUCGGAUACAAGUUGACAUUUGAUAAGAAUAAAAAAAUAUUGAUAAAAACAAAAUAAUUAUUUAUUUGAUUGAUUGUCUUCCUCUUAAUUAUUGACUAAGAAAGAUUGAUUGUAAAUUAAUAUAAAGAUUGAUUGACUCAAUAUUUGCUAAAUAUGAAUCAUUAUUCCUAAAUUAUGUUAAUUGUAUCAUUUCUUUUUAUAUUUCAAAUACUUAUAUAAACUGAAGAGUUGUUGUGCUCAUUAAUUUAUAAGAGUGAAAUUUAUCUUCUUUAUAUUGCUUUUGAAAAGUUUUCAACAUUGUGUCACCUCAAAAUGCCCUUUCAAAUGACUUUGUCAAUACGUGUUAGGAUUUUUAUUAUUAGCAUUGUUGUGUAAAUAAUAUUGUAAUUUCUUUAUUUCUCUUUAUUAGGGAUUUGUCUAGCCUUGGGAAUUAAUCAGAUUAGUUUUUGUGCAAUCUUGAAGAACAUUUUUGGAGGCACAAUAAAGCAAAUUGGUGUGUAAGUAGGGUUACAUUAUAAUCGAGUUCCAAUUAAAGAUGACUACUACAUUGUAAGUAUCAAGUACUUAUGGAAUAUUGGACUCUUAAGGAAGUAUAUCAUAGUACUCCUCUAAUAGGGUUUGGGUGAAAUACUACACCUAAAAGUAUUUCACACAUUGAAGACGGUGAAGAAGACAUGUUGUAUUUUAUAUCAAAGAAGCAGCCAAAGUAGAGAACAAAAAGAAACCCUAUUUGGCCGCAUAUGAUGUUUCAUCUCUCUAUGAUGUUUUAAUCUUCUUCAUUGAGUCUUCUUCAUAUCAAGUCUUUUAUUAUACAUUUGUUAUUAAUACUCUGGUCUCUUCAAGAUGAAAGGGUCGUUUGUUGUGUUGAGGGAAUCUUAAGGGAGCAGCAAACAUAAUUGAAGACAAAUAAUGCUCGCUAUGCAAGGUUGAAGGUGAAGGUGAAGGUGAAAGAAAGAGGGAGUCUGAAAUUGAUAAGAAUUUAAUAGGUUAUAAUCUUUUCAUUACUUAAUGAAUUACUUAUUUUCUUGGCGUGGCCCCGUAGAUGUAGAAUUGUGAUCCGAACCACAUAAAAAUCUCAUGUGCGCAUUACUUUCUACAAUUUACUUUUUCUAGCGUAUUUGAUAGAUCUAGGAUGAAUAAGCAGUGACAUAAAUAGUAACUAUGAACAAUAACUUGUAUACAGUAUCAUAUAAAACAGUAACUAUGAAUAAUGUCGUAUGAAUAGUGAAUCAUUAAUAGUAAUUUCAGGAUUACUUAAUUAGGGAAAUUAAUUUCUCUAGUGUUUUAAUUUGCCUAUAGUUGUUAAAAUAUAUCUAAAUUAUUAACAAUUCAGAGUAUUGACUUCACAAGUGUACUGUUGCACUUUUACUCUGUGUUUAAAUAAGUAAAAUAACAAGGUACGAUUGAUGAAAAGAUUGAAGAGAUAGUGUAGGUUUAGAAAUAUUCAAGUUUGAAGCAAUUAGGCUUUGAUACCACAAACAAUUUUGAUAUUAUAAGAUGAAAACUGAAUUAGUUUUUCUUAACUUAUUGAAUCUUUACAAAGGGGAAUAUAUACAUGACAUGGACAAGGAUUUAGUGCUGAACUGAGUAUUUAUUCAGAACUAAAUCAAUGGUUAUUACGAAAAAAAAGAUUACAAAAGAUUAAAAUGAAAAAUAAAUUAUGAUCAUUCAUUCAAUGCUCUGCCAAAACUCAACUCAGAAUCUUGACUUUAUAAACAUAUGUACUCAAACUGAAUAGAUUAUAAAGACAAUAUUCACUAGUCGUUAGAGAUCAAUAUAUAAGCUAGCUGUUUUUAAAUUUAUGGUCAUUGAUGCUUUAAUUGUGAGAGGCCAUGGUGCUGCAAUUUCUUGCCUUGUGUGUCAAAAUUGGACUAUUGGUACCCCUUCUAAUACCUCUUAAAAUCCUUUCAAGCAUUUGACUACUUUAACCUUCAUUAAAAUUACAUGAAAGGAAAAAAUUAUAUCUAAUUAAACUUACAAAUUAAAUAUCUAAUUAAAACCUUAAUCUCAGCUAAGCACCUUUCCUGUCCUACAAGCUAGAUGUUUGACUAUGAAGGAACCCUAAAAUAGAAUGCAAAUCUUAAGAUUCUAACCCAAAUAGGAAAGCAUUACUUCCUACCAAUAAAAGAGGAAAGAAUUCUCAAAUCCUACCUUAUACAUAGUGAUUCAUGCCAGCUUCUAUGAAUAAGACUCCUAGGCCUUAUUAACUAGCUUUUCUCUCAAAACCCAUACAUAAGCACCAUAAGGAGUGAUCAACUAGUUGUUGACACCACGACAACCUACCUUUUAGCAAUCCAGCAACCGUUGUAGCAAUCUCCAAACAUUCACCCUUGCAACUAGCUAUCAUCUUUGUUUAAGAAACAAUCUUCUUAUUGAACAAAGACUUAAUUUAGGUUAUUUCUCAGGCCCUUCCUACGAUGAUUGUUUAAGCCGCAGUAAAUGCUUCUAGAAUUGCUACCGCAUCACAAUAGUGUCAUUAAACCUUAAUUUUAAUUACGGUUUUGUAAUAGUGUAGCAAUCGUAUUAGAUAUUGAUAUAAUAUCCCAAAUCUGGUUCUCUAUUAUUCAUUAGAGUAUCACAACUAACAGCAGAUGCCUUAUCAUUUGACGAUAAAGUCACCAUCCGAUAAGUCAACAAUAGUCAAAGCUUCAACAUGAGUUUAUCUAGGCUGGAUCGACGCCCACGCAAUGUUGCACAAGUGUGAGGUUGAGCAAUUACUAAUAUUAUAGUGACUAUAACUUCUAGAGAAAUAUAAAUGUGGUGUAAACAAAUGUAAAAAAAAAACACAAUAAAUUUUACGUUGUUCGGCGUAAUGCCUACGUCCACGGGUAAAGACUGGAAGAUAAUUUUAUUAAUAAUGGAAAUUUACAAAAGUGAAAAACUCUCAAAAACUCAAUACCUAAUACACCCAAAUUCCCUUAGCACCUAAGGAAAUUCUCUACCAAAAUUCACUUGGAAAUCUCACCAAUUUGGAUGCACUAACAAAUGAGGAAUUGCCUUCUAUUUAUAGAAAAUAUGGGGUGCACUUUUGCACCAACCCCAACAUAAUUGUCAACAAAAAUUAGGCACCUACCUUAGGAAUUUGUCUUUAAAUUUGCCUCUCCAAAGUUGAGUGCAUACAUGUGUAUUUGAAUUCCAAUUUUGAAAUUUUCAACAAUUCUCCACCUCGACGAAGAUUUUAUCUAAAUCUAAGUCGACUAUCAACAAACCAUCCUCUAGCCUUUGCCUUCUCCGACUGCUUUCAAACUUGUAGGAUAUUGAUCAAGUUCAGACAAUACUCAAACUUGAUCGCUAUCACCACCUUGGUCAACAUAUAUGCGGGAUUCUCUGCAGUCUUAAUUUUUUGAAGAAGAAUCUUCCCUUCAUCAAUAAUUUCCCAUACAAAGUGAAAUCGUACAUCAAUAUGCUUCGUACGUGCAUGAUAAACCUGGUUCUUUUUUAAGUGAAUAACAUUUUGACUAUCACAAUAUACAUUAAUUUGCUCUUGUAUCAAUCCCAAGUUUUCAACCAAGCCUUGUAACAAAAUAGCCUCUUUAACAGCCUCUGUAAUUGCCAUGUACUCGGCUUCUGUGGUCGACAAUACAAUUGUAGACUGUAGUGUAGACUUCCAACUGAUUGGCCCUCCAACAAAAGUAAAUACAUAUCCGGUGGUUGAUCAUCGUUUGUCUAAAUCACCAGUAUAAUCAGAAUCAACGUACCCGAUCACACUUUGACCAAGUGUAUCAUUUUGGUCAAACAGUAAACCAACAUCCACGGUCUUAUGAAUGUACCGUAGAAUUCAUUUCACAACUUGCUAAUGUCCUUUACCAUGAUUAUGCAUGUACCUACUCACUAUACUAACUGCAUGUGAAAUGUCAGGCCUUGUACACACCAUUGCAUACAUCAAGCGACCCACUGUAUUUGAGUACGAAACUUGUAACAUGUAUUCUCGUUCCACAUCUGUUGAAGGAGAUAAUUUUGCAGAAAGCUUGAAAUGAGAAGCCAACGGGGUACUCACAGGUUUUGUCUGCUAUGUCAUGCUAAACUGCUGUAGUACAUUUUUCAAAUAUUGCUUCUGAGAAAAGUUUACUUUGCCAUGAGCUCUAUCUCUGCAUAUCUCCAUGCCAAGAAUCUUCUUAGCUUCACUUAUAUCUUUCAUUUCAGAUUCUUGAUUGAGUUGAGUCUUUAACUUCUCAAUCUCAUCUUUACUCUUGGAUGCUAUUAGCAUAUCAUCGACAUACAAUAGCAAAUAAAUGAAAGAUCCUUCUUGUAGCUUGCGAAAAUACACACAAUGAUCAAAUUUAUUUCUUGUGUACCUUUGCCCUUUCAUAAAUCGAUCAAAUCGCUUGUACCACUGUCUCAUAGAUUGUUUCAAUCCAUAAAGCGACUUUGUCAAUUUGCAAACCCAAUUUUCUUUUCCAGCAACCUUCAAUCCAUAUGGCUGAGUCAUGUAGAUUUCCUCUUCCAAAUCACCGUGUAAAAAUACAGUUUUUACAUUAAGUUGAACUAGUUCAAGAUCAAAUUGCUCAACCAUGGCUAGCAAAAUUCGAAUAGAUGAGUGUUUCACAACUGGAGAAAAUACAUCAUUGUAGUCUAUUCCUUCCUUCUGAGCGUAGCCCUUCGCUACCAAUCUAGCCUUGUAUCGAAUUUCAUUUUUACGAGAAAAUCCUUUAUUUUUUGCAUAUACCCAUUUGCACCCAAUUGCCUUAUUUUCCUUGGGCAGUGUAACUAACUCCUAAGUUUAAUUUUUGUGAAGAGACUGCAUUUCUUCGUUCAUUGCUUUCUUCCACUGUAUACUUUUUGGGUUACUUACUGCUUUUCUGUAAGUGAAAGGAACAUCAUCAUCUACAAUUGGAAGUGCAUAGGCCACCAUAUCAACAAAGCGAGCAAGUCUGUGAAUCUCUCUCUAUGGCCUUCUAUAUGCAAUUGAAUCUUGUGGAUGUGAAGGUUCCUGGGUCAGAACCUCUUCAUCAUCUUCAGUCGAUGGAGAAUCAUUAUUCGUCUCAUCGACACCAGCUGGAUCAUAUUUAACUUUUUCAAACUCCACCUGCUGCAAAGUGCUACUGGUCUUGUCAUCCUCUUGAGAAUCUUUUUGUUUCAACAUGGCUGAUUCAUCAAAAGUUACAUCUCUGCUUAAAAUAAUCUUCUUCGUAACAGGACACUAGAGACGAUAUUUUUUUACUCCACCAGUUAUACCCAUGAACAAUGCUUUCUUUGCUCUUGGGUCUAACUUAGAUUCCUUUACAUGGUAAUAAGCACUGAAACCAAAAACAUAUAAAGAAUUAUAAUCAGUAGCGGGAUUACCAAUCCACAUCUCUAUGGGUGUUUUGCCCUCAAUUGCAGCUGAUGAUAAACGAUUGAUCCGAUGGCACGUAUAUACAACUACCUCAGCCCAAAACUCUUUGCCCAAUCCAGCAUUGGAUAACAUACACCGAACUUUCUCCAGUAUAGUCUGGUUCAUGCAUUCUGCCGCCUCAUUCUGCUGUAGUGUAUCUCGAAUAGUGACGUAUGGCACAAUGCCCUCAUCUUGACAUAUUUGAAUAAAUGGAUCAUUCUUGUACUCACCACCAUUGUCUAAGCGAAGUCUUUUGACAUUUCGACCAGUCUGAGUUUCGACCAUUUUCUUCCAUUUUAGAAAUAUGCCCAAAACUUCAUUCUUAUUCUUCAUCAAAUACACCCACACUUUUCUUGAAUAAUCAUCAAUAAAAGUAACAAAAUAGUGCAUACCUCCCAAAGAAACUAUUUUGGUAAGUCCCCACACAUCACUGUGAACAUAGUCCAGAAUUCCUUUUGUAUCGUGAAUUGCUGAACCAAGCUUUACCCUUGUCUGCUUGCCCAGAACACAAUAUUCACAAAAUUUUAAUUUGCAAGAAUUUGUACAUUUCAAUAAGUCUUCCUUCACCAAAGUCUGCAAAGCUUUUUCACCAAUAGGUCCCACACGCAUAUGCCACAACUUGGUUGCUUCUGAAUCUGCAUUUUUUCCAAAAACUGUUGAUGCUGAUCCAAUAAUUGUACUUCCUUGGAAAUAAUACAAGUUAUUUCUUCUUGUACUUUUCCUCACCGUCAGUGCCUUAGCUACUACCUUCAACAAUCCAUUUUUCAAAGUGAUUGUAAGCCCUUUAGAUUCUAAGACUCCUAAUGAGAUGAGAUUUUUCUUCAAACUUCGUACAUAGCGAACAUCCGUCACGACUUGGAUUGAGUCAUCAUGAUUCUUUAAUUGGAUUGUACCUAUUCCUAUGUUUUACAAGCAUUGUCAUUACCCAUAAAAACAACUCCACCAUCUAGCUCUUUGAAACUAGAAAACCAACCCUUGUUAAGACACAUAUGAUAAGCACAACCCGAAUCCAAAAUUCACUCAUCUGAGUGACAUAUCAACGUCAUGCCAACCAGACUAAAGUAUGACUCCUCAUCAUGCUCUGCUACACAUGCAUCAGAAGUAGCCUUGCCCUUUUGUAACUUAGGACAAUUCUUUUUCCAAUGCCCUUUCUCGCGACAAAAAGCACACUCAUCUUUGGCAGGUCUCCCUUUAAACUUGCUUCUUUUUCCAAGUUUACGGCCUUGUAAACGACCUCUCACUGUCAAUGCUUCUGUAAUUGUAUCUCUGUGAUUCUUUCUGUCUUUCUUUCUGGUCUCAGGGUUGUACAAUGCACUGCAUACAACAUCGAAUAUGACAUUGUCCUUCCCAUGAAGCAAAGUGGUGGUGAGAUGAUCAUAUUCAUCAGGAAGGGAAUUCAACAACAACAAUGCCUUAUCUUUAUCUUCAAAUUUCUCAUCCAAAUUUAGCAAAUCUGCCAAUAUUUUGUUAAAUGAAUUCACAUGGUCAUUCAUUGACAUGCCAGGUGUAUAUGUGAAUCGAUAGAAUUUCUUCUUCAUAUAAAGCCUAUUUUCAAGGCUUUUCUCCAUAUACUUUUCUUCCAGUGUCUCCCACAAUUUCUUUGCCGAUGUCUCCCUCAUGACAGAGUAUUUCUGAUAUUUAGCCAAACAUAGACGAAUAGUACCACAUACAUGUCUAUUGAUCUUUAUCCACUCAUUGUCAUUCAUCAUGUCAUGCUUUUCUUCAAAAGCAACUUCCAACUCUUGUUGGCAUAAGACAUCCAAUACCUCACAUUGCCACAUCCAAUACCUCAUGACAAAGUAUUUCUGAUAUUUAGCCAAACAUAGACGAAUAGUACCACAUGCAUGUCUAUUGAUCUUUAUCCACUCCUUGUCAUUCAUCAUGUCAGGCUUUUCUUCAAAAGCAACUUCCAACUCUUCUUGGCAUAAGACAUCCGAUACCUCACAUUGCCAUAUACCAAAAUUAUUGGUACCAUCAAAUUUCUCCAUUUCAAACUUUGCAUUAGUUACAGUAGUCCUCGCUGAUGAAGACGACAACAAUGCAUCUGCCACAUUUUUUAUCUCAAAUUAUCAGUUUCUUCAACAACUAUUUACACUUGAAAAACAACCUCUAUGAUGUUUAUUUCGCGUAAAUAAGUGCACCAGGAAAGUUUCUAGGAGAAUGGAGGGGUCACAACGGUCCCAUUUAAAACUCAGACUCCUUAGGCUCCUAUCGCCUUGUUGACAGAACUUUCCUAGAUAUGCAAAAAUACACACUACUUACAAUAGACUGUCUCUCAAGUAUAAAUGGCAGUCUCCACCGUAUCAAUGAACAGUACCGUAUACAUGAACAGUGUCGUAUGCCCCAAGCACAACCCUUCUGCUUUGAUACCAAUUGUUGCGGAAGCACGAGGUUGAGCAAUUACUAAUAUUACAAUGACUGUAACUUCUGGAGAAAUAUAAAUAUGGUGUAAACAAAUGCAAAGAAGAAAACACAAUAAAUUUUAUGUGGUUCGGCAUAAUACCUACGUCCACGGGCAAAGACUGGAAGAUAAUUUUAUUAAUAAUGGAAAUUUACGAAAGUGAAAAACUCUCAAAAACCCAAUACCCAAUACACUCAAAUUCCCUUAGCACCUAAGGAAAUUCUCUACCAAAACUCACUUGGAAAUCUCACAAAUUUAGAUGCACUAACAAAUGAGGAAUUGCCUUCUAUUUAUAGAAAAAAUGGGGUGCACUAUUGCACCAACCCCAACAUAAUGGUCAACAAAAAUUAGGCACCUAUUUUAGGAAUUUGUCUUCAAAUUUGCCUCUCCAAUGUGUAUGCAAGUUGAUCAAUUGAUGUUAGGAAUUUUUCUUCAAAUUUGCCUCUCCAAAGUUGAAUGCAUACAUGUGUAUUUAAAUUCCAAUUUUGAAUUUUUCAACAUGCAAUCUUGUGGACCUUACUCCUCAUAUCACAUAUAGAAUGGCGGGUUUGCAGACCACGUCUGGUUCAAGUCACAAAUCAUUCCCAAAUCCCAUUCUAUAUUGAAGAAUGAUUGUCUUUAGCCAAUUCGGCAAGGACAUGUGGACGAAUUGAGGUCCCGCCCAAAUAAUAAGUAGUUUCUUUCUUCUCAUAUAUGAUUUGUAAACACUAUUAGGUGUGACUUGGAGAGUAACGCUGAUGAUAAAGCUUAGAAGAUAGGAGAGCCAUGAAAAGUUUUUUUUAAUUUAAUUUAAUUUGGUGUAUCUCUAUCUUUCUUUAACAAGCAAUAACAAGAGAUUGCAGAUUAAAAAGCAUAUAAUAAAUUCAUUAAUUUAAAAGUUCCAUCCUUUAAGAUAAACAUGCAACUUCAAAGACAAAAACCAUCCGAAGUUUUGUGGCCGGCAGAAGCACCGUUGUCGGUGAAAUGAUUUGUCUCAAAUUCCAAGGAUAAGCCUAGUUAGUUUCACCUAUCAUAACAAAAUAAAUUUCAUUAUUAAGAAUUUUUUUAUAUUUUCUAUCUCCUACAAAGUUUCCGCAAAAUGACCAUUAUUGGUGAAACACCUAAGAUAGUAAAUUGAAUUUUGUUUUGGGGGUAAUCUCAAUGGUAUGAGGAGAGCUUUAUUGAUAAAUUAAAAGAAAAAUGACACCUAAUUAGAGGGACAUAGUAAUACUUUUCCCCUAAAAAGAAACUAAUUUCAAGCAAACAGAUAGCAAAAGGAAAAAAAUGCAAGGAUACGACAUACAAAGAAGACAAUAAAUAGAUCAAAAUCUCAAACCUAAGCCUUAACUGAAUUUGUUGGAGGCAUAACCAUUUAGAUAAUUACUUUCUGUACAAAUCCAGAAAUAAUCACAAGUUUUUCUCUCUAUAUCCCCAAGUUUUCUUUUUUAUAAUUUUGUAAAACACUUUCUCUCCCCCAAAAUUAGAUCAGUUUUCCCCUCUCUAAAUAGUUCCAAUCCAAUCUAUACCGAUGAGCGCUGUUUUGUAUUGAACUACUGUAACUUUUUAAGCUACAAGCUCUGAAAAAAAGAAAAAAAAAAAGAAGAUAUAACUAUGAAAUUUUUUUUGCAGUAUGAGACUUUUAAAUAAUAAUCUUAACAAACUUAUAAGUUUGAUAUUAUAGGUUUUUCAUCAUAUAAGAGGUUGAUCAAAUCAACUUAACUUUCAAGUCACUACAGUUAGUGUUUCAUAAACACUUUAGUACUGUAAUUUAAAUUACACAUAUUCUAAAUUAUAAUUUGAAACAAUGUUAAGUAUAAAAAUAUUUAAUCAACAAAAACUAUGAAAGGAAUAAUAGAUUAUUCCAAAUUUGUAGAAUUUAUUUUAGUUAGAUAGGAAGUAAAAAAUUAAAAAAAAAAAGCGAUUAGUUACGAAACAAAGUAAAAUUGCGUGGUAUUUUUCAUAUUAGUCUAAUUAAUUAUGCUCUCUGUUUUCUUGAAUUAAUAUUAUUAUUAAACAAACUCUAUACAUAGUUAGCUAAUUGUUGCAGCUCCCAGGGGAACCAAGAUUUUCAUAACUAAUUAGAAUUAACGUCUAUAUUUUUCAAAUAGCCUGUAUCAUCGGAAACAGCGGCAAUAGGAUACUUAAGUGCCAAAAAUUUUGAAUUGUAACUUAUCUCUCUUUAAUUGGCCGAACAGGUCGAUAGCACUCCGCGAAUAUAUCCUUGUCAUCUAGUAAAACAUUAAUUAAUGUAAUUAUAAAUAAUUUAUGACUUAAGUUAGGAUCGAGGUUAAUUGUUGGAAGAAAUUAAUGUGGUACAGAUACUUUAAUCUGCUGGAUAGGGGGGGCAAUGGGGAAGGGAGGGGAGGGGAUCAAUCUCCCCGUACCCAUCCCCAAUAUUUUACGUAUGUCUCCGUCCCCAUCAGAAUUAUUUGAAAGAAUCAUCAUCUCCUCCCCGAAUAAUAACAGGGGAUUCCGGAGGGUCUCCGAUCCCCGAAUAACUAAUACAUUUUUUUUGUUUUUGAUUUUGAGUUAAUUAUAUUAAAAUAAAAAAUUCAAAUAAAAGUAAAGUUCGAAAUAUAUCUUACAUUAACAUUGAUCCAUUACAAAAGUCACAUGCAAAAUAGAAAUUAUCAAAAUAAUGAUCUUUGUCAAUCUUCAUAAUCCUACAAUAAAAGGAAAAAAAAUUUACUUUUAUAUUGACAAAAAAAUAAAUGAAACAAAUGUAGAUACUUAAUUAAUAUUUUUUGGGCUCAUAGAAUCUACCUGGCCUUUUUAAUGUCCUAAAUGGAAAUUUAAAACUUUAAUUAGUUAAUUAGGCCUAAAAGUUUAAUAAUAUAAAUAUUUUGAUAUAUUUUUUUUUUUACCAAAAUUUAUAAUUUUAUAAUAGAAUUCAAAUUUUAUUAUUUAUUUACUAGUAAUUUUAAAAAUUAAAAUUAAAAUUAAAAUGGGGAAAUGAGGAUAAAAAAAUUGGAUAAAAAAACUGGAUAAAAAAAUUUCUUCGUCCCUUCCCUGAACAAGAAAUCAGGUAUAAAAUUAUCUCCGUACCCUCUCCGAAUGGGGGAUAUUCCCGAGGGUACCCGUCCCCGUGGAGAUUUUUGCCAUCCCUACCGCUGGAUGUGUGGGGUACUUUAAUUCAUUAUAAGCACCCACUUUAUUCUUUUUAUCAAGCAAUCCACCUGGUAAGUCCCUAAAAUUAGCACCCCAAAAACAAAAGGUAAUUGAGGACAAUUAGUCAAGAGCGCUAAGCAGAAUGUGUGUUUGAACGGGACAGAUGUAAUGUGUGCAUAUAUAUGUUAGAAAUAUUCAAAUCUAGGAUCCUGGAUUUCGUUAAAGUCCUAAAAGUUAUUAAGUCAUAUGUUUUAAUAGUAUAAUGGCAUGAUAUUAUUGAACCAUAUGGCUUAAUAGCUUUUCCCGAUUUUAAUAAAUCUAGAAUACAAGAUUAGAUCAGUCCUCUCUCGCUCUUUCUCUUUAUAUGUAUAUAUAUAUAUAUAUAUAUAAAUUCUCAAGUGUGGGCGCUCUCAUUUUUUUUUAUGUAAACCCGCUAUUAAGUCACAUGGUUUAACAAAGUCAAUAUUCAAUUCACUAUAAAACUAUAAGCCUCAAAUUGUGUAUCUGCGCUGACUCUAUUAAACCAUAUGACUUAAUAGCACAUCCACAUGAAAAAUAAAAAAAAAUGAGGGCAUCCACACCUAAGAAUGAUUCAUACAUAUGAUAAUAUCAUAUCAAUUUUAUCUCUAUAUAUUUUGAUCUAUGGGAAAAGUGAUUUUACAAAAAUAAUUUUUUCCCAAUCAUUAAGACGAGCUUUUUUUUAGUACAUAUCCUUUUUAUUAAUAAGAAACAUAUUUGUCUCAUCUCUAUAUUUCAGGUUAACCGUUUAGAUUGUUCUUAUAUUUUAAAAAAUACUUUAAAAUACUCCUGUUGUUAAUUAAGUUACUCUACUAUCCUUACUUUUUCUAAACUUUUAUAGUUAUAACCUUUAAAUUAAUUUACAAAGUUUAAAGUUGUACAUAUAUCAAGCCUCGCCUAGGUCUUAAUUAGCAACAACAGAUGGAACGUAUGACUAGCGUUUGGGGCAUCACAGAUGUUUCGUUCCAAUUGCUUAUAAGAGAAUAGAGGGGUUGAUGUGGAGGGUUUCUCGCUUCAUUUAAUUGAUCAUCUUUCCGAAUUUUUAAUCCAUUCCCAUGUGAACUGAAAACAUAUUAAUUAAUGGAAAUCAAAUAUUAAAAUAAUAAUAAUAAUAACUUAGCUAAUAAUUUAUAACUAUCAAAUUAAUUAUUAGUUUAUCUACAAUUAUUUUGAUAGUUAUAAAUUAUUGGCUAAUAAUAAAAAUAAACAAAAUAAUUGUAGAUAAACUAUUAAUUAAUUUGACAGUUAUAAAUUAUUAGUUAAGUUAUUACUAUUAUUUUUUUAAUAUUUGAUUUCCAUUAAUUAACAUGUUUUCGGUUCACAUGGGAAUGGAUUAAAAAUUCGGAAAGAUGACCAAUUAAUCUUAAUUAAUUCCGAUAGCUAGCCCUGUACUUGGAUACGAAUUAAUAAUUUGCUGGCAAUAUCAAUUAAUUUAUUCUGUCUUCCCCUACAGGCAAUAUAGCUACAUAAAAUUCAUUUCUUUUAAAUUCCAAUAUCGAUGUGGAAAUUCAACAUCAACAUUCAACAGCAGUUAAUCCGUAAUCUUUUAAUUAAGGCUCCUGCGAUGUUACACCAGCCGUAAGUAACAGUAAUUAUAUAUCAAGUUAAGCCACGUACUCGCGGCACGUGGAGCUGCGGGGGCCGAUUAAUUGACUUAAAUAGCAGGUUGCAGUGCGGUAGUCCGGCCGGUUAUGGGUUUUUCUCUCUGUAUCCAAUGGCGGAUUUAGAAAAAUAAUUUACCGGGGGCUAAAUUAGAUAAUAAUAAAAUAUAAAAAUUAAAAUUUUAAAUAUAUAAAAUAUUUGCUAGUACAUUUAUAAUUAUUCUCUGCGCAUUUUUAUAUUUUAAAAAUGUUAUACAAUUGACUCAUUAUCAAUAUUAUUAAAUUUAUUGUUUCGUAUAUAAACAAUCAAACUAUCAUUUAUCCUAUAUGAUUCCAAAAAUGAUUUUUCAUGAGUUUCAUUACUGAAAACGUUCGCUCUAGUAUUAUUAUAGAGACUGGAAGAAUUAAUCUUAUUUUUUAGAAUUGAAAAUAUUUUGAGUGGUGACCUAUCAUUAUUUUAAUUAAACUAUAAGUUUUUAUAAUUCUUAAAAGUUAAAAUUUAAAUUUUAUGGGGAUUUAUAAUUUAUAGUGAUUAUUUUAAUAAAUUUUUUAUGGGGGCUAAUUAAAAAACUAAAAUAUUUUUCUUUUUUAAUUUUAGUUUUUUUUUUUUUUGCCAGUGGGGGCUUGAGCCCCCACUAGUCACAUGCUAGAUCCGCCCCUGUCUGUAUCCCCUAAUUUUCUUUUGUACAAUUUUGUAAAACACUUUCUCUCCCCCAAAAAUUAGAUCCGUUUUCCUCUCUCUAAAUAGUUCCAACCAAAUCUAAAUCGAUGAGCUAUGUUUGGUAUGGAGGUGCUGCAACUUUUUAAGUUACAAGCUCUGAAAAAAAAAAAAUGUAAGUUGGAAAUUUUUUUUGUAGUAUGUGACUUUUAAAUAAUAAUCUUGACAAACUUAUACGUUUUUCAUCAUAUAAAAAGUUGAUCAAAUUAACUUGACUUUCAAGUCAGUACAGUUAGUGUUUCAUAAAAAUUAACUUAACUUUCAAGUCAGUACAGUUAGUGUUUCAUAAACACUUCAGUACUGUAAUUUAAAUUACACAUAUUCUAAAUUAUAAUUUGAAACAAUGUUAAAUACAGAAAUAUUUAAUCAACAAGAAACACUAUGAAAGGAAUAAUAGAUUAUUUCAAAUUUAUACAAUUUAUUUUAGUUAGAUAGGAAGUAAUAAGUAGAAAAUUAAAAAAAGGGAUUAAUUACGAAACAAAGUAAUUUGUUGGAAAAAAAUUCUAUAUGUACUCAAUUCUUAUUUGUUCUUAAAUGUAAUUUUAUUUAAAGUGGGUUUUAUAAGGAUAAUGAAGAGUGCUAAUAGCUUCACUCUUUGUUAAAAAUUAGAGUGCUCAGACUGAAAUUUAGAGGGCGAACAACUCUACCCUUAUUUUAUUUAUUUUUAUUAUUAAUUGAUACAAACUUGAUCCCCGUCCGCAUCGGGAUAUUUUAAUCAAACUCAAUCUUUCUGUCAGAGAUCCGAUCGAUGUAGGAAAUUCAAGGUCAACAUUCAACAGCUGUGAUCCCCUCAUCUUUUAAUUAAAUUUCAGCUGUUGAUCAGCACUUAGGAAACGUCAGCCGUUGAUCCAUUAUAUACACUGCAUGCAUUAACGACGCUGCGAUCAUCCCACCUUCGUUCUAUAUAUAUGUGUAUUAUGUCAAACAGGAAGCAAAAGCAACUUACUUUUGAGUUUUGAUUACAGUUCAUCACCUGAAGCAAGCAAGAUCUUUUCUGAUUUGAAGAAUAUGGAAACUCCCUGCGCAGGUUGUAGGCCAACCCUCAAUUUCAUUUCUAAUUCUUCUUUUUAAUAUAUACUUUAUAAAUAAAUUUUCCAAUAUGAAAAUUUUCAGGUAACGCCUGGUUGGAGGGAUUCAUUGUUUCGUUUAUAAGCUUGAAUGAUGAUGAGAAAGUGAAUGACAGCAACCUUGAUCUUAUUGUUGUUCCUCAAUAUGGGAGAAAUCUUGAUUACACUGGUUAAAUGUGUGCAGUGUUACUCUUUUAUGUUGUGUUUAAUUAAAUAAAACAAUAGGUACUGUUACUACCUGUUAAUUAUGAGUGUGUCGAAUUUGGUUUAGUUAAUUGAACUACUAAGAUCUCUUGAGAUAUGCAAGAGAUUUUUUUUUUUUUUUAUUUGUGUCCAUGUAAUUUGUCUUCCUUAAUUAAUAAAAUUAUUGUGUGUUAAUUCCAUUAGUCCAUAGAAAAAGAUAAAAUUGCAUGGUAUUUUCAUAUUAGUCUAAUUCAUUAUGCUCUCUGUCUUCUUGAAUUAAUAUUAUUAUCAAACAAACUCUGUACAUAGUUAGCUAAUUGUUGCAGCUCCCAGGCGAACCAAGAUCUUCAUAACUAAUUAGACUUAACGUCUAUAUUUUUCAAAUAGCGUGUAUCAUCGGAAACAGCGGCAAUAGGAUAAUUAAGUGCCAAAAUUGUUGAAUUGUAACUUAUCUCUCUUUAUUUGGCCCAAGAGGUCGAUAGCAAUCCGCGAAUAUAUCAUUGUCAUCUAGCAAAACAUUAAUUAAUGUAAUUGUAAAUAAUUUAUGACUUAAGUUAGGAUCGACAUUAAUUGUUGGAAGAAAUUAAUGGGGUACAGAGACUUUAUUCUGCUGGAUGUGUGGGGUACUUUAAUUAAUUAUAAGUACCCUACGGCCCAACCUUAUUCUUUUUAUCAACCAAUACACCUGGUAAGUCCCUAAAAUUAGCACCCCAAAAACAAAAGGUAAUUGAGGACAAUUAAUCAAGAGCACUAAGCAGAAUGCGUGUUUAAACGGGACAGACGUAAUGUGUGCAUAUAUAUAUAUAUAUAUAUGUGUGUGUGUUAGAAAUAUUCGAAUCUAGGAUCUUGGAUUUCGCUAAAGUCCGAAAAGUUAUAAAAUCAUAUGUUUUAAUAGUAUAAUGACAUUAUAUUAUUAAACCAUAUGCCUUAAUAUCUUUUUCCGGAUUUAAUAAAUUUAGAAUACAAGAUUAGAUAUGUACUCACUCUCUCACUCUCUCUCUCUAUAUAUAAAUUCUCAAAUGUCGGCACCCUCAUUUUUUUUAUGCGAACCCGCUAUUAAGCCACAUGGUUUAAUAAAGUCAGUAUUCAAUUCACUGUAAAGCCAUAACCCUCAAAUUGUUAAUCUGCGCUGAUUCUAUUAAAUCAUAUAACUUAAUAGCACAUCCGCAUGAAAAACAAAAAAAUGAGUGCAUCCGCACCUAAGAAUGACUCAUAUAUAUAAUAACAUCAGAUCAGUUUUAUCUCUAUAUAUUUUGGUUUUACAAAAAUAAUUUUUUCCCAAUCAUUAAGACGAGCAUUUUUUUGAGUAUAUAUCCUUGUUAUUAAUAAGAAAAAUAUUUAUUUCAUCCCUAUAUUUCAAGUUAACCGUUUGGAUUGUUCUUAUAUUUUAAAAAUACUUUAAGAUACUCAUGUUGUUAAUUAAGUUACUCUCCUAUCCUUACUUUUUCUAUAGUUAUAACCUUUAAAUUAAUUUACAAAGUUUAAAGUUGUACAUAUAUCAAGCCUUGACUAGGUCUUAAUUGCAUAUGAAUAGUGUUUGGAGCAUCACAGAUGUUUCGUUUCAAUUGCUUAUAGGAGAAUAGAGGGGUUGAUGUGGAGGAUUUCUCGCUCCAAUUCGUUGUGGUGGUCCGAUGAAUUUUGUACGUUUUGUGAAUAAGUUUUAUAAUUUGAUACUUACUCGUUGCUUAUACUUCAAAAGCCGGUAUAUUAUAUGAUGUUGCAGUGAUAUCAGUCUCCACUCUCCAUUCUCCCUCAAUCCUUGAUUUUCAAACAAGACAAAUUAUCAUCUUAAAUCUGACUUAAGAAGCCUUAACUAAUAGCAACACAAAUUUUGAGAGUAGACGAGAGAGAGAGAAAAAAAAAAAACAAAUUUAUUUAAAAAUAUUCGCACUCAAAUUUUUUAGAUAUUCAAUUUCUUGAAGUUUAAUCACUGUCAAUCAGCCACAUGAUGGAUAAAGAUAUAAAAACAAAUUUUAUUUAUUUAUGUUGCCUGUAGGGAAAAACAGAAUAAAUUAAUUGAUAUUGCCAGCAAAUUAUUGAUUCAUACCCAAGUAAACAGAUAGCUGUUGAAAUUAAUUAUGAUUUAAUCUAUAAAUUUGUAGCCAACCAUCGUCCCAGACCGAAUCGGAAUCUCAAUCAUUUUUCAUCAGAGAAAUCCGAUCGAUGUAGGAAAUCUAAUGUCAACUUUUAACAGACGCGUGCUACUUGAAUGUGUAUAAUGUAACUCUCCUUACACACCAAUUUGCUUCAUUGUGACUCCAAAAAUAUUCUUAAAUAUUGCACAAAAACUAAUCUGAUUAAUUCCCACGGCUAGACAAAUCCCUAAUAAAAAGAACUAAAGAAAUACAAUAUUAUUUACACAACAAUGCUAAUAAUAAAAAUCCUAACACGAAUUGACAAAGUCAUUUGAAAGGGCAUUUUGAGGUGACACAAUGUUGAAAACUUUUCGAAAGUAAUAUAAAGAAGAUAAAUUUCACUCUUAUAAAUUAAAGAGCACAAAAUUAAUAAGCAUAACGACUCCUCAGUUUAUAUAAGUAUUUCAAAUAUAAAAAGAAAUGAUACAAUUAACAUAAUUUAGGAAUAAUGAUUCAUAUUUAGCAAAUAUUCAGUCAAUCAAUCUUUAUAUUAAUUUACAAUCAAUCUUUCUUAGUCAAUAAUUAAGAUGAAGACAAUCAAUCAAAUAAAUAAUUAUUUUGUUUUUAUCAAUAUUGUUUGAUUCUUAUCAAAUGUCAACUUGUAUCCGAAAUACAAACUUUCAGAAGUAUAACAUUUACUCAAAUGAAAACAAAUACAAUUCAAUUAACUAGGCUCAUGGGGGGUUUUUCAUGUAUUGAGAGACUACAAGAAGAUUGAGAUUGUCAUAUGCUGCGUCAUCAGUUUAUAUCUGGCAUUGGCUAAAAAACGCACCCUUCUUUGUAAUAAACGUCUCAAACCAUUCAGUCUUACCUGAAAAUUUUAUAAUAGAAAAUUAAUUAAAAGAUGACAUAUUAUUAGUAUAAGAAUUAGAAAUAGAAUUCACAUGAAAUUGUCCUAAAUUGAAGUACCUGAAAAAACUGAUAAAAAUCAAGCAAUAAUGAUGGAAAUAAAUCAAAUGACUUAUUGUCCCUAUAUUAUUGAUUUAGAAAGAUUGAUUAUAAAUCGAAAUAAAGUUUAAUUGACUAUAUCAGUGUUAAUCAAUCGUUAUUAUCAAAUUAUGUUAGUUGUAUCAUUUUCAUUUUCAUUUUCAUUUUUCAAGUACUUGUAUGAAUUGAGUUUUUGUGCUUAUGUAUGAGUAAGAGUGAGAUUUAUCUUCUUAAUUUAUUUCAUCAGAGAAAUCUGAAUCGGAAUCUCAAUCAUUUUUCAUCAGAGAAAUCCGAUCGUGGUAGGAAAUCUAAUGUCAACUUUUAACAGACGCGUGCUACUUGAAUGUGUAUAUCAUACCAGAAUCAAGAACUCACACAACUACUAGCAAAUUGAAUAAUUUUGAAGAAUAUGGAAGCUACUUUUGCAGGUACUUCAAUUUAGGAAAAGUUCAUGUUAAUUCCAUUUCCACUUCUUAUAUUAAUAAUAUAUGUCAUAUGUUUUAAAAAGUUUUCUAUAAUGAAUUUCAGGCAAGAUUGAAUGGUUUGAGACACUUGUUACAAAGAAGGAUGCACUUUUUGAGCCAAACUAGCGAUGAGGUAGUUUCUGAUAAUUUUGUUCUUCUUGUAGUCCCUCAAUAUGCGAGAAAUCCAAAUGAGAUCGGUAACUAGAUAAUAAAUUUGAUUUGUUUACAGUUAAGCAAAUGCUAUGCUUCUCAAAGUUUGCAUUUCGGAUAUAAAGUGAUGUGGUACCUCAAAAUGACCUUUCAUAUCAUUUUGUCAAUACGGAAUACAAAUUUUAUAAGUGCAAUGCUCAUGGGCAUGGAUUAUUGAUGAAAAGAUUGAAGAGAUAGUGCAGGUUCCGAAAUAUUCGAGCUUACUGAAGCCUUAAUACCUUAAACAAUUUUACUAUUGUAAGAUGAAAACUGAAUUAGUUUUCCUUCUCUUAUUCAAUCGUUACAGAGGUGAAAAUAUACCUGGACAUACGUACUCAGAAAUGAAAGAUUGUAAAGACAAUAUUCACUAUCUGUUAGAGAUCAAUUUAUAAGCUAGCCGUUGGAGCAAGUCAAGGUGUGAUUUAAUUGUGAGGACGAGGUACUGCGAUCUUCUAGCCUUUUGUGUUGCUAAUUUGGUUUCCUAUCAAUUAUUGCGGUCCGCGAUCUAUUAUGUGAGUGUUUGGUUUGACUAACAAUAAGAUUUUAUUUGUUCACAUCCCUGUACAAUUAUAUUCCUUAAAAUUAUAUUUAAAAAAUUUAUUGUGUGUCAAUGUGUUGAUUGAUUUAUUUAUUUUUGAAACCUCAACGGCAGCAGGAAAUUUUAUUGAAGAAAUAGAAGCAAAGGGUAUUAUGGCCAAAAGGAGAUUUUGGUGUCCGUUAUUGAAAACUUAGAGAUCUUGAUAAUUAUUUCUCCAAACUCUAGCGUAUAGAUAUCCUUCUCCCUUUGAGAAAAGAAUACAAGUUACAGCGCUAAAGGAAAGCAAAUAAAUCAGGAAUGUAGAUUGUCAAUGAUAAAUAAUAAUCUUUAAGUUUAAUAAUUGUUACAAAUAUCGCAUAAUUGUUACAAAUAUCGCAUAAUUGAUGAACACGAAGUAAAAACAAAUUAAUAGCAGUAAUGAAGGGGUUGGAUUAACCAUUUUCCGGGAAAGCAAUCAGCGCAAAUAUGCCCCGGCCAUUUCAAGCAACGUUUUAGAAUAUUUUAAGGUGCCUAAUAGAGAAAAGUAAUGGGUUCCUUGACAUGAUUGAGAAGAAAUGACGUUGCCGGUUGCGAUCUUUCGAGAUAGAAAAAUUUCCUUGGCAAAGUACAAUAGAGACGAGUCGUAUUGAGAAUUUACACCAUUUCUAGAUAAACUGUGAGUUCAAAAAAUUUCGUUCCCACAAUUUUGAAGUAAAUGAUAAAAUUCACAUGUUGAUUCUAAAAAAUCAUAUGUAAUCUUGAAAAUUCUCUACAGGGUGAUCCUGAUCCUUCUCCAUUUAUUACAUGAUGUUGCAGUGCAAGGGACAGUAUUAUUUUAUCGAUUGAGAAUGAAUAUAGGGUUAAGUAAAUAAAGAUUGGACAACUCUAAACUAUUAAUUUUGAGUAUGAAUUACGCUCAUGAGCUUGUAUGCACCACUAUCUUCUAGCGUAGAGAUAUGAUUGAUAAUCCUGUUAGGGAGUUAAUCUCACAUUUUCUGACAUUAGCUAGUUCCUGUGCUAAGUAGAUUAGCUUAAGGAAACCGUUUGAAAUCCAAAGCAUCACACACAUAUUACUAAAGAAAUUCAGCGCAUACGUUAGUCGAUCUAUACUUCAGAAUGCAGUACUGAAUUUAACUUUUUUUUUUAAUUGGUUUCGGAAGUACGGGUUGCAUGAUGAUUUAUGGUUAGUGGAGAUGUUUUGAUGGUCAUUUGUAUUUUGUACCCAUACAAUUUCUCACUGUAUCCAUUAUCCCAGUUCGCUCUUCUUCAAAAUGUACUGUAAAAUUCCAGAAAUGACAUACGCACACGUGUAUAUAUAUAGAAUAAUUUUACAAUAAGUGAAUCUUUUACUUUAACAAAAUAAGGGUUAAAGUAAGGGUCAAGAUAAAAGAAAAGACAUAUUUCAAUGCAUUAAAGACAAAUUACAUUGUAUUGGAAUAUGUGUUUUUUUUUAACCUUUUAAAUUGUCUUCAAUUUUAUUAAGCAAGUGAUUCUCUUUAGGGAUGGCAAUGGAUUAGAUCUGAUCCAAGAUCCACGUGAUUCAAAUCCAAUCGGAUCGGAUUUGGAUUGGUUUAAAAUAAAUUUGAAUUGGAUUUGGAUAUCGAUGUGCGGAUCUAAGACGGAUCUGGAGCAGAUCUGGAUCUAUCUUAAUAUCUAAAUCCAUAUCCAUAUCCACUCAUCUUUUAAUUUUAUUUUAUUUUAAAAGUUUCUUAACAAUUGUGAAAUUAUAAUGAUAAUAAAUUUUAUUCAUAACAUAUUAGUAGUAUUUACCAUGCAUUUAAACUCUUAAAACUUAAAGGUUAGUUUUGUAAAUUUAAAGGUCAGCCAACCCCAAAGCAUGUACAUGCAAUAUUCAAAUUGCAAGACAAGUAAUAUAACCUGGUAAUUUAUUUUAUUAUAUUGGCCAAAUAAUUUUUAAGGAAUAUAAUUAUUCAUAUAUUUAGUCAAAUAUGGUCAUAAUAAAAAUAAUAAAGAACUGAAUAUAAAUCAUAUUUAAUUUAUAUGUUAUUAUCUAAUGUUGUAGGAAUGAAGAUAGGUGUAUCGUAGAUAUUAGAAUGAUGAAUGAGACAAUAGAAUAUUAGAUUGAUCUUACUCCUGCAAUUACUUCGGAAUGAUAUUUUAUUAUCUUUCUUAUUUGUUGUUUUGGUGUAAAAGUAUAAGCUACAAUAUUUAUUAUAUUUUUGAGAUAAAUUAUAUAAUUUAUUUGUUAUCAAUACAUUUUAGCCUUCAAUUUUCAAUCAAAAAAUUAUUACUUUUUUAUUACUGAAUUUUAGAAUUCAUGACGGAUCUGGAGCAGAUUUGGAUUUUAAUUUUUUUUUUUCGGAUUUGGAGCAGAUAUAGAUAUUUAUUUCUUUUUUGGAUCUGGAUAUGAAACGAAAAAUAUGGAUUCAUGACGGAUCUGGAGCAGAUACGGAUCUUAAUUUUUAUUAUGGAUUUGGAUCUGGAGCAGAGUAGAUCCAACCCAUAUCUGCCCCAUUGUCAUCCCUAAUUCUCUUAUUGUAAAAUUGCUGGGUACACAUACAAAUAUCCCAAAAUUCUUAAGGAAAAAUGUAAGUUCACAAUGAAAUUUAGCUUUUUUUUUUUUCUUUUUCUUCCUUAAAUUAAGGAUGAAAGUUGUAUAUUCACCUAAAUGGUGAAAUCCAGCAUUUUUUCUUUUCUUCCUCCCCCCCCCCCCCCCCCCCUUCUUCUCGCGGCCGCAAAUUAAAGAUGAAAUCAAUCUCAGCUCCUCAUUUAAUUAUAAAUUCACUUUGCUUUAUUUUAGUCUUUUUCGUUCUAGGAUUUUGAAGUUUUUCGACCGGUCGGGAGUACCGUACUGCAACCUGCUAUUCAAGUCAAUUAAUCUGCCCCCGCAGCUCCACGUGCCGCGAGUACGUGGCUUAACUUGACAAGUUGACAUAUAAUUGCUGUUACUUACGGCUGGUGUAACAUCGCAGGACCCUUAAUUAAAAGAUUACGGAUUAACAGCUGUUGAAUGUUGAUGUUGAAUUUCCAGAUCGAUAUUGGAAUUUAAAAGAAAUGAAUUUUAUGUAGCUAUAUUGCCUGUAGGGGAAGACAGAAUAAAUUAAUUGAUAUUGCCAGCAAAUUAUUAAUUCGUAUCCAAGUACAGGGCUAGCUAUCGGAAUUAAUUAAGAUUAAUUGGUCAUCUUUCCGAAUUUUUAAUCCAUUCCCAUGUGAACCGAAAACAUAUUAAUUAAUGGAAAUCAAAUAUUAAAAAAAUAAUAGUAAUAACUUAACUAAUAAUUUAUAACUGUCAAAUUAAUUAAUAGUUUAUCUACAAUUAUUUUGUUUAUUUUUAUUAUUAGCCAAUAAUUUAUAACUAUCAAAAUAAUUGUAGAUAAACUAAUAAUUAAUUUGAUAGUUAUAAAUUAUUAGCUAAGUUAUUAUUAUUAUUAUUUUAAUAUUUGAUUCCAUUAAUUAAUAUGUUUUCGGUUCACAUGGGAAUGGAUUAAAAAAUCGGAAAGAUGAUCAAUUAAAUGAAGCGAGAAACCCUCCACAUCAACCCCUCUAUUCUCUUAUAAGCAAUUGGAACGAAACAUCUGUGAUGCUCCAAACACUAUUCAUAUGUUCCAUCUGUUGUUGCUAAUUAGGACCUAGUCGAGGCUUGAUAUAUGUGCAACUUUAAACUUUGUAAAUUAAUUUAAAGGUUAUCACUAUAAAAGUUUAGAAAAAGUAAGGAUAGGAAGGUAACUUAAUUAACAACAGGAGUAUUUUAAAGUAUUUUUAAAAUAUAAGAACAAUCCAAACGCUUAACAUGAAAUAUAGGGAUGGAACAAAUAUUUUUCUUAUUAAUAAAAAGGAUAUGUACUCAAAAAAAGCUCGUCUUAAUGAUUGGGAAAAAAAAUAUUUUUGAUAUAAUAGAAUAGGUCUAAUCGAUUGUAAAAUAUAAAAAUAUUUUUUUUAAAUAUUGAAAUUAUUUUAAAAUGCAUAUAUUAUUACCUUUAUUUUAAUCCUAUAUUUUUAUUUAUUAUAAAAUUUUAAGGUCAAUUUUUUGGGUUAAUAGAGUCAAAUGAUAUUAUGGUAAAAAAAGAGUCUUGGUGUCUCCUAUUAAAAACUCGAUGUCUUUGUGACAAUUUCUCCAAACCUUGAGGGUGUAAGCGUGCUUGGAAAAUUUAAGAUUGUCAAUCCAUUUGGGGUAAACUGAAGUUGACCCUUAAUGUAAAUAUAAAUAAUUUAUGACUUAUUAGUAGUUUGGUAAGACUUAUCUAAGAAUGGCCUGUUUAAACCCUAAAAAAUGGUCAUUAGAUCUGGUUUUAAAUUAAAAUUUUAUUACUAAAACGUCCCUAACAUAAAUUAAUAUUAUAGCCUAAACAGUAUAAUUGAACAGAAAAAAAAAAAAAAUGGUCCAUGCUACUCCAUCUUUAACCCAUAUCUUUUUUUAAUGAAUUAGGGAAAGCAAAGCUACACCACCCAUAAUUUGGCUAAAUGGUCAUGUAGACAUCCAAAUUUUCAACAAUAGACACCAAAAACCCUUCUUAAAAUGUUUUAAGAUACCACAUGUCACUUUGGCUUUUUUUUUUUUUUUUUUUUUGGGAUAAGCUAACCCAGUUUGCCAAAAAUGUAAAAAAACCAAAUAAAUAAAAUGCCUUUGACUGAUCUGUUAUUAUAUAUAUAAAAUGAUGUGUUUUAUUUUUUAUUUUCAGGUUAAUUAAAAUGUUUUAAAUUAAAUUAAAAACUCUGGAAAAACAGUCAAUAUAUCUUUCCAUGUAUAGAAGCAAGUGAUGACAUGAUAUGGGCAUAACUGUAAAUUUAGUAUUUGACAUCCAAAUAAAUGGCAAAAAUAGCAAGAGGGAGUCUUGGUAUCCAUUGUUAAAAUGUUGACAACAAUACCAUUUGUCUCUACUAACUGAAAAAAAAAAUUGAUUCCGAUGUUUUAUAAUAAAUAGAAAUAAAAAAUAAAUUAAAUGUAAUAAUAUAUAGUUUAAAUAAUUUCAUUAUUUUAAAAACUAUUUUAAUACUUUACAACCUUAUAUUAUAUUAAGCUAAAUUUUAUAAUAAAUGGAACAUAACGUUAAAGUAAAUAUAUAAAAUUUUAAAUUAUUUUUCAAUAUGAUAUAGAAUAAUUUUACUAUUAUUAAUAGACUAUAUAUUUUAUAUUAAUUGUAAAAUCUAUUUAACCCAAAGAUUUAUUAAUUUUUUAAUAAUAAAUAUAUAUAUAUUAUAAAAUAAAUAUAGUAAUUUACAUUUAGAAAUUAUUUUUUAUAUAAAAAAUUUUCUAAUAUCAAAUUAAAUUAUUUAAAUUAUAUUUUUAUUUAUCAAAAAAUUUUAAGAUAAAAUUUUAGUUACAAUUUACAAAAAGUAUUAUAGUCAAAAUGAGGUUUUAACAUCCCUUAUUAAAAAUUUGGGGUUUUACAUGACUAUUUUUUCAAACCUUAACGUAUAGGUAUCCUUUUAAAAAAAUAAAAUAAACAAAAAUUAUUUAUUUAUAUUGCCUGUUGGAAAAUACAGAAUAAAUUAAUUGAUAUUGCCAGCAAAUUGUUGAUUCAUAUCCAAGUGAACGGACAGCUGUUGAAAUUAAUUAGGGUUUAAUUUAGAAAUUUUUAGUCAACCAUAUUCCCAGACGGAAUCGGAAUCUCAAUCUUUUUUUUUUUUUUUUUGCAGAGAAAUCGAUCGAUGUAGGAAAUUCAACGACAACAUUUAACAACUGCGGGUUUCUUUAAUAUGCAUGUGUAUCAUACCAGAACUAAGAACACACACAACUGAUAGCUACUUAAAUAAUAUGGAAGAAUAUGGAAGCUACUUUUGUAAACUUUUAAGAAACAAUAUAAAAAACAACAUAAUGAAAACAAAUUUCAUUAAUUCUCCAGCACAAAUGUUCAUUUAUAUAAGUAUUUAAAACAUGAAAAUAGAGGUGAUACAAUUAACAAAUUUAGAGAUAAUGAUUGAUUAACAAAAAUUGAGUUAAUCGAUAUUUCUUAAUCAAUAACUAAGAUAGAGACAAUCAAUCAUUUGAUUGAUUGUUUUGUUUCUAUUAAUAUUGUUGAUCCUUAUCAUUCUCCCUCAAGUUGAAGAGAAUUUUUUUGAACUUCUAGCUUGUCUUUAAAAAUCGUAUCUCCUUGAUUUUUAUUUAUAGUCUCAACCAAGUGUCAUGCAACAAAUAGGGAGUAUUCCUCUAAAACUUGUCUAGGAAAUCUUUUUGUUAUUUUCAUGUACACUUUUUUUAGACUAAGAAAAAUCAUAAGUAAUAAAUUCUUUUUAUCAAGGAAUUCUUUCAAUAUGAAAGUCGUUCCUUCAAUUAUUUUUAAGGAAAUCUUCACUCAAUGAUUUUAUCUUCACUCCUUUGAUAUUGUCAUGAAAUUCUUUCAUUUAGAAAGUCAUUCCAUUGAUCUGGUCAAGGAAAACAUCAAUUUUCAGGAUUCCUUUUCAUUCCCCUUUUCUUUUGGGAUCAUUUCCUUUGUGAUGGUAGAAGUGUGGUGGUUAAUGAUGCAAUUGAACAACUUCUUCUUCUUCUUCUUCUUUUUCUACGAAAUUGAAGAACAAUAAAAAAGGAACUCACAUCUCUCCUUUAGACCACCAUGCUCUAGAAACAUAUCAUCGACACGGUGGCUAAGUAUAAACCCACAAAUUUAAGGACUUUCAAACUUGUCUAAUACCAUGAAAAUUUUUAGAAAUAAAUUAAGAAGAUAAAUUUCACUCUUACUCAUACAUGAGCACAAAAACUCAAUUCAUACAAUACUUGAAACAUGAAAAUGAAAAUGAUACAAUUAACAUAAUUUGAAAUCACGAUUGAUUAAUACUGAUAGAGUCAAUUAAACUUUAUUUUGAUUUAUAAUCAAUCUUUCUAAAUCAAUAAUAUAGAGACAACCAAUCAUUUGAUUUAUUUCCAUUACUAUUGCUUGAUUUUUAUCGGCUUUUUAGGUACUUCAAGUUAGGACAAUUUCAUGUGAAUUUUAUUUCUAGUUCUUAUAUUAAUAAUAUGUCACCUUUUAAUUUAUUUUUCUAUAAUAAAUUUUUUAGGUAAGACUGAAUGGUUUGAGACGCUUAUUACAAAGAAGGGUGUUUUUUUUAGCCAAUGCUGGAUAUAAACUGAUGACGUAGCAUAUGGCAAUCUCAAUCUUCUUGUAGUCUCUAAAUACAUGAAAAAUCCUAAUGAGGCUGGUUAAUUGAAUUAUAAAAUUGAUUUGUUUUCAUUUGAGUAAAUGUUAUACUUCUGAAAGUUUUUAUUUCAGAUACAAGUUAACAUUUGAUAAGAAUAAAAAAAUAUUGAUAAAAAAAAAUAAUUAUUUAUUUGAUUGAUUGUCUUCAUCUUAAUUAUUGACUGAGAAAGAUUGAUUGUGAAUUAAUAUAAAGAUUGAUUGACUUAAUAUUUGCUAAAUAUGAAUCAUUAUUCCUAAAUUAUGUUAAUUGUAUCAUUUCUUUUUAUAUUUCAAAUACUUAUAUAAACUGAGGAGUCGUUGUGCUCAUUAAUUUAUAAGAGAGAAAUUUAUCUUCUUUAUAUUAUUUUUGAAAAAUUUUCAACAUUGCGUCACCUUAAAAUGCCCUUUCAAAUGACUUGUCAAUAUGUGUUAGGAUUUUUAUUAGUAGCAUCAUUGUGUAAAUAAUAUUGUAAUUCAUUUAUUUCUUUUUAUUAGGGAUUUGUCUAGCCUUGGGAAUUAAUUAGAUUAGUUUUUGUGCAAUAUUGAAGAAUAUUUUUGGAGUCACAAAGAAGCAAAUUGGUGUGUAAAUAAGAUUACAUUAUAAUAGAGUUCCAAAUAAAGAUGACUACUAAAUUGGUAAGUAUAUCAAUAUCAAGUAUUUAUGAAAUAUUGGACUCUUAAGGAAGUAUAUCAUAGUAGUCCUCUAAUAGGGUUUGGGUGAAAUACUACACCUUGAAGUAUUUCACACAUUGAAGACAAUGAAGAAGACAUAUUGUAUUUUAUAUUAGAGAAGCAGUCAAAGUAGAGAACAAAAAGAAACCCUAUUUGGCCGCAUAUGAUGUUUCAUCUCUCUAUGAUGUUUUAAUCUUCUUCAUCAAGUAUUCUUCAUAUCAAGUCUUUUAUUACACAUUUGUUAUUAAUACUCUGCUCUCUUUAGGACGAAAGGGUCGUUUGUUGUGUUGAGUGAAUCUUAAGGAAGCAGCAAACAUAAUUGAAGACAAAUAAUGCUUGCUAAGAAAGGUCGACUAGGUUAGCUCCAAUAAGGUGAAGUGAGAGAAAGAGGGAGUCUGAAAUUGGUAAGAAUUAAAUUUAUUAAUAUGAAUAUUUAGGUAAUGAGUAGUGGAUGUCAUUUCAUUGUAGAAGAUUGUCAAAUUCCUCCCUAUUGAAUUAAUAUAUGAAAUUUUUUCAAAAACAAUUUAAAGAAUACAAAUUUUACUCUUAUUGAUUCAUGAGCAUGAAAGGUCAUUUUAUACAAGUAUUUAAAACAUGAAAAAGGAAAUGAUACAAUAAACGUAAUUUGGGAAUAAUGAUUGAUAAUAAUACAAUUAACAUAAUUUGGAAAUAAUAAUUGAUUAGCAAAGACUAAGUCAAUCAAUAUCUUUAUGUUGAUUGACAUUCAAUCUUUCUUAAUUUCUAAUUAAGAUGGAGACAAUCAUUCGAUUGAUUGUUUUGAUUCCAUUAAUAUUGCUUCAUUCUUAUCAUUCUUUCUCAACCUGACAAAGAAACUUUUUGAACUCCUAACUUGUCUUUGAAAAAUUUAAAUCCUUCAUUUUGAUUUAUGGUUUCAUCCAAAUGUCAUGCAAUAAUUCAGAAAGCAUUUCUUUGAAGUUUAUCUAGGAAAUCUUCCAAUUGUUUCCAUAUGCAAUUUUCUUUUGGCUCAUUAAAAGUCAUAUGUAAAUUCCUUUGAUUAAGGAAUUUUUCUAAUAUGAAAGUUAUUGCUUUGAUCUUUUUUAAAGAAAUCUUCACUCAAGGAUUUUAUCUUCAUUCACUUUUUCUUUUUACAUCAUUUCCUUUGUUAUAGCGGAAGUGGAUGGUUGAUAAUGAGGUUGAAAACCCUUCCCCUCAACCCCUCCACCCCCCCCCCCCCCCCCCCCCCCCAACAAAAAAAGAAAAAAAGAAAUGAAGAACAAUUAAGAACGAAUUCAUAUCUCUCUCUCCCUUAGACUCACGAUGCUUUGGGAACCUAUAUUAGACAUGGUGGCUAAGCCUAAACUCAUGAAUUUGAAGACUCUCAAAGCCGCUCUGAUACCAUAAAAAAUUUUCAAAGCAAUAUAAAGAAUAUAAAUUUCACUCUUAUUAAUUCAUGACCAUAAAAACUCAAUUUAUACAAGUAUUUGAAAUAAGGAAAGGAAAUAAUACAAUUAACAUAAUUUCGAAUAAUGAUUGACUUAAAACCUAGAAAAAAUGAUACAAUUAAUAUAAUUUGGGAAUACUGAUUGAUUAGCAAAGAUUGAGUCAAUCAAUCUUCAUGUUCAUUGACAAUCAAUCUUUUUUAAUCACUAACUAAGAUGGAGUCAAUCAAUCAUUUGAUUGAUUGUUUUGAUUCCAUCAAUAUUGCUUGAUUCCUAUCAAUAUACACCACUUAUUCUUCACAGUUUUGAUAAUGGGUAAUAACCUUCUUAGCAGUAUAACUUUACGAUAUUACCCUUAUUUUUAAAUGUAGUUUUAUUCAUAUUUGUUAUAAAUUAAAUAAACCAUAUAAAUAGAAAUUAAAAUAAAAAAUUUAAAAAUUAAGAAUCAAAAACUUUUUUCAAUUAUUAUCUGCAUGUGUGUACAAUUCUGCUUUUAUCUGCAAUUAUUAGUUAGUCCAAGGGACCCAUGCAUGCUCCCACGUAAUUCGCACAAUUGAAUUAGAGCUAUAAACCACAUCGGCUUCUUGUGUUAAUAUGUGUGUGUGUGUCUAUAUAUAUAUAUUAUAUAUAUACACACGUACGUAUAUAUAUCUGCAUAUUGUAAAACCAGAAGAUAGCAAGAACUCACAAAAGCAACUUACUUUGCAUUACGGUUCACCAGAAGCUUUGAAGGAUAUGGAAACUCCUUGCGCAGGUUUCUAGGGCAACUUCGAUUUAAAUAUCAUUUAUUAUAAUUUUAAUUUUAAUACAUGAGUUUAUCGAAAAAAAAAUUGAAUAUGAAUUUUUCAGUUUAAAACGAUUGGUCGGAGGAUGACUUCAAGUUUUCAUGGCAUGUAAAUAUUCCUAAUGAGGAGAUUAACGAUGAUAGUCUUGAUCUUCUUGUUGUCUCUCAAUAUAUUAAAAAUAUUAUCCACACUGAUUAAAUACAGUGUUAUUCUUUUGUUUUUUUUUUAACUAAAUAAAAUGAUGAGUAUAGGUAUUACCUAUCAAUCAUGUGAGUGGCAUAGUUUGGUUUAACUCAAUUUAUAAAAUCUUUUGAGAUAAACAAGAGAUCUUAUUUGUUUACUAUUGUGUACUAUGUUUUCCUGAAAAAGAUAAAUUAAUAAAAGUUCUUUUGUGCGUCAAUCUAUUGAUUAAGUUAAUCUAUACAUAUCAGCUGGAACCCCAUCUACUUGCUAUCCAAAAAGACACGAUCUCUUUCGAUCGUAUAAAAAAUUGGUUACGUUUUGCUAAUUUACCCACAAUGCCCUCCUGAUCCUCCAAAAAGGAUGGUCUGAACAAUUACUCCCAUCUCUACGAUAUCCAGUAUUGUUACUUGUAGCUUAUAGCUUUACGAGGCAAAAAAGCAUUAUCAACAAUUCAACAUAAACUAAUUUUUUUAAAAUAAGUUGCAUGAUUAUUUUUCUGCGUAUUUUGCUAGAACUUAGUCAUAAUUUUUAAUAAGAAUGGCUACUUUCGCCGUUUCCGGAACUACAAGCAAGAGGCCUUAAUUAACUAUUGCCUCUAUCAUUGGAAUCUGAAAAGAAACGUUUGACUGACUUACUCAUCGGUUAAUCCGAAUAGAAGGUCAACUAGAAUCUGUUUUAGUUAAAGAUUGAAAUUGAUAAUGUUUGGAAGCUAAGAAAAUGAAAGAAAGCUGAAGAAAAUAACAACUGGAUCUAAGAAGCUUCGAGAUCAUUUCUUAUUAUUCAACAGUACUGUACUGAAAGAGCUUAAGCUGAUCAUCACAUGCGCAAGCGAUUACAUAACCACCAGGUGCCAUCUGGCAAUCCAUGUCAUCAACUUGUAACCGUAUGCAACAGCUGCUGUAAUUCUCUGUUUUGUUGACCAUGCUGCAAAUGUGAGCUUCCUUAGCAGUUUUUCUGUUUGUUCAGUCAUGACGAAUAGAAGGCCUCUUUGUUCGGUAAGCAUUCUGAAGCUCUCAAUGCCUCUUGCUGCUGCUUAUUUCCUAUUUUCCUUUCUUCCUUUCGACUUGGCGAGAGAAUAAUGUCUCUGGAACAUGACCGCCUAUUUCUCAAUGCAGAUCUGAUGCUUAUGCAUGCACGGAUGGAUGAUUUUAACCAUAACUGAUCCACUCAUGCACAGAUCUAAAUAUAGUUGAGCUAGUUCAAAGUUAUAGCAUGAUUUAAUCAGCAAAGAUUAAAGCAAAACGGACACUGUAAUGUCUUUCUUAUUUAUUCGUACGCUGAUUUUCCUGUUAAAAUUCCAACACCAAUUUCACGAUCCAAAUCCAAUUACAUUUGUCCAAUCCCAAUUUCAAAGCUCAAUCCAUAGAAAAUUCAAAAAUUGUGUACAGAAUGAUAGAUGUUUCUAAUCUAAAACUAUCAAAUGGUGGUGAAAAUAUCUUAGUCUCAAAAUAUCUUGAAUAAUUGGUGAUUUUUGUAAAAUGUAGUUGUCAUAUUUUUAUAAUUCAAUGUUUCUGUGGCUUGUAUUAGUUUUAUGUUACUAUAAAUACCAUUGGACUCUUUGAUGGAGGCAUCAAGUGAAAUUUGAAGAAUAAGAGAGAAAUAAGAAGUGUGAGCCGUGAGUUUUAUGCCUAGUGUCCCUUGUGAAAUAUUUAUAAAGUCCUUUAAAUGUUUGUAACUUUUGGUAUUACCCAAAUAGUUCCGAUUUUGUUCAGUUUAAUCCUAUUCAUUUUUUCAAAGAUUCUAAGGUGGUGUUUGGUUGGGAGUAGAAAAUGUAGGAGAGGAAAGUAAUUUAAAUUCUCUUUUUAUUUUCAUUGUUUGGUUUGACAAAAUAUAUAAGAAUUUAAUUUCCAUUAGUAUUUAAUAUCCAUCAUAAUGUAGAAUUUGAAUUCCACACUAAGUAGUGAAGAAUUUAAAUUCCUCUUAUAUUAGAAACUAAAGUUUCCAAAAUUACCCUUCAAUUUUUUAACUUAUUUAUUGCCAUUAAUAAUUAUUAUUUAUAAUUUUAUUUUAAUGACUUAAUAUUAUAAAUGGACCUCCACCGGAAAGUCACCGGACCACCGCCGGACCUCGCCGGAAGAUCGUCAGACCUCCGCUAAAACUCGCCGGAAUGUCGCCGGACCUCACCGGAAGAUCGUCAGACCACCGUCGGACCUAGCCGGAAGUCGCCUGACCACCGUCGGACUUCGCCGGAAGUCGCUAGACCUCUGCCGCCGGCCACUGGACCGCCAUUUUAUUAUAUAUAUAUAUAUAUUAUUAAUAUAAAUAGUUUAAUAUUUAAGGUAAAUGAUAAAUUUGUCUAAAGAAAAAAUUAUAAUUUAUAUCAAACCAACUAACAAAAUUUAAUUUCACUACUCUUCUCCAUUCAUUUCUUCUCCCUUCCUCUCCAUUCCACUCUUUUCCUCUCCCUUUUCUUCAAACCAAACAUGACCCAAGGGGCUAUGCCGGAUCAGAAAAUUAACCAAGGAUCAACGAAUUCAAACGAAAUAAAUUGUACAGACAGACUGGCUCAUAUAUCGAGUGAUUUGUAUCCAAGUUUCAGGAUUUUACACGACAUGCACAAAAAAAAAAUAAAUAAAUAUCCAACUUUGUGUUGAGAACUAAUUUUCUAGAAUCUACUUGCAUAUAUAAUUACUCUAUUAGAACUCCUUGAUUUAUCACUAACAUUUACAAGAUUAUUAUUGAUAAGAGCAUACUUACAUGACUAAAAAAAAGCCAAGUUGGAAUUCUAAAUACAGAACAGAUGUCAAUUAAGAUAGCAAAUAACGACAAAUAAUUUUAGUCUUAACGACUUCAUCACUACACUCUUGAUGGAGUAGAAAAAUUAUGAAAUUUUGACUGCACAAAGCUUAAUAUGCAAUUAUAAAAUCUUAAAAAAAUUCAUGCUUAAAAUUUGGCAAUUUUAAGAUAUAUAUGUAUAAAAAAAAUAACAAAGAAGCUAUGUCAUAAUUUAUCAACUCAAAUGUCAUCCUAACAAUAAAAUAGGACUACUAAACUUUUGAAAUAAUAAUUAAACUAUAAAUAAAAUCACAAAUCUUAUAAUAGUAACUAAUUGAAUUAAAUUAAGAGUACUGAUAUUUUCAUGUAGAGGCUAAUGUUUUUGUGGCCAAGUUUUUUUCUUUUUUUCUUCACAAAUCAUGGGCCACAAAAACGGGCAGUAGGGGUUCUUUUGAUAUAGGAUGGUUGUGUAGGAUGAACAAGAUAUCUUUUUAGGGCCAUGACUUUUGUUAAAAGUGUCCAUUUUAAUCUCAUAAUAUAUUGUUUCGAAGCUUACAAAAGAUAGACGUAGACAUACAGAAAUGAUGAAUAGAAUAAUUUAAUAGAGGGUCAGGUGUAUGUUUUCUAAUACUAAACUUCCUAAAUCUUUCUAGGCGGAGGCUAUGCGUACUGCAGUUGACUUGAUUAACCUUUCUCCUUCAGCUCUAUUAGAUGGCGAUGUACCUGAGAGAGUUUACACUAGGAAAGAUGUUUCUUACAAACACUUGAGAGUGUUUGGUUGCAGACCAUAUGUUCACAUCCUAAAAGAUGAGAGAUCAAAGCUUGAUGAUAAAGUCUAGGAAUGCAUUUUCUUAGGCUAUGGGCAUGAAGAAUUUAGGUACAUAUUAUGAGAUCUAGUGAUAAGAAAAUUAAUCAGAAGUAGAGAUGUUGUAUUCCUUGAAGAUCAGUUAGUGGGUGAUGCAGAGAAAAGUGACGAGCCUUAGUUAUCUCCAGAGAUUCCCAUUAUUUCAACUUCAAUUUCUCCACUUGUAGUUCAUAAUGAUCAUAAGGGAACUGGAGAAGAUAAUAACGAUGGUCCAGCAGAACCAGUUGACCAGGCACCUCCAAAACCACCUACACUACCAGUUGAGCCAGAAUUUUGGAGAUCCACCAGAGAACGGCGACCUUCCAUUAGAUAUCCUCCACGUGAGUAUGUAAUGCUUACAGAUGAAAGGGAGCCAGAAUGUUUUGAAGAAGCCAUGUCUCAUCAGCAUAAAAGUGAGUGAGUUAAAGCUAUGCAAGAGGAGAUGAAAUCCUUGAAUGAGAACCACACUUAUGAUUUAGUAAGGCUUCUUAAAGGAAAGAAGGCACUGAAGAACAAAUAGGUUUACAGGUUAAAGACUGAAAAUAACUCACAACAGCAGUAUAGGGCUAGAUUGGUUGUGAAGAGUUUUGGUCAAAAGAAAUGUAUUGAUUUUGAAGAAAUAUUUUCUCCUGUGGUGAAGAUAUCGUCUAUCCGAGUUGUUCUGGGAUUAGCAGCUAGCUUGAACUUGGAGAUUAAAUAGCUUGAUGUAAAGACAACUUUCUUGCACAAUGACUUAGAGGAAGAAAUAUAUAUGGAGCAACCUGAAGGGAUCAAUGUUAAAGGUAAAUAAGAACUUGUGUGCAAGUUGUAGAAAAGUUUGUAUGAGCUUAAACAGGCACCAAGGCAGUGGUACAAGAAGUUUGAUUCUUUUAUGGAGAAUCAUGGUUUUAACAAGACAAUGUGUGAUCAUUGUGUUUUUGUAAAGAAGUUUGGUGAUAAUGAUUUCAUCAUUCUUUUACUUUAUGUGGAUGACAUGUUGAUUGUUGGUCAUGAUGCUAAUAAUAUUUACAAUCUGGAGAGGGAGCUGAGCAAGUCUUUUGCAAUGAAAGACUUGGGACCGGCGAAACAAAUUCUUGGCAUGAAGAUUUCCCUCGAUAGAAAAGUUGGGAAGUUAUGGUUAUCUUCAAAAGCAUAUGUUGAAAGGGUUCUUGAAAGAUUUAACAUGGGUAAGGCAAAAUAUGUUUGUUCUCCACUUGCAGGCCAUUUCAAGCUUACUUUUGAACAUUAUCCUACAAGUGAGAAAGAGAAGCAAGAGAUGAGAGGAGUUCCUUAUGCUUCAGCGGUUAGUAGUUUGAUGUACGUCAUGGUUUGUACAAUACCAUAUAUUGCUCGUGCAGUUGGUGUAGUUAGUCGGUUUCUCUCCAAUCCGGGUAACGAAUACUGGACAUCAGUAAAGUGGAUUCUCAGAUAUUUCAGAGGCACUUAUGAGGCAUGUUUAUGCUUUGGUGGUGACAAACAUGUAUUACAAGUGUACAUGGAUGUAGAUAUGGCAGGAGAUGUUGAUUCAAGAAAAUUUCUAUCAGGAUAUUUGCUCACCUUUGCAGGGGGAGCAGUCUCAUGGCAGUCCAGACUUUAGUAGUGUGUUGUCUUGUCUACCACAUAAGUAGAGUAUAUUGCAAUUACUAAAGGUUGCAAAUAAACCUUGUGGAUGAAGAAUUUCCUACAAGAGUUAGGUGUGAAGCAAGAUAAAUUUAUUGUGUACUACGACAGUCAGAGUGUCAUUCACUUGGCAAAAGAAUUCAACAUACCAUUCAAAAUCCAAGCAUAUUGAUGUGAAGUAUCAUUGGAUACGAAACGUGCAUGAGAAGAAACAAUUGCAGGUUUAGAAGAUACACACAACGGAGAAUAUGUUAGAUAUGACGACAAAGCCAUUGCCCAAGGAGAAGCUGAAAAGCUAUAUGGAAAAAGCGGGCUUGGUGGUGCCCCCACAUGAUCUGGAGGGAGAGAUUUGUUAGGUGCAUCUCAUUUGGGUGGCUCAAGCCUAAAGUUUAAUAAGUUUGGGUAAAUAAGUAAUUAAAAGAAACGUAAAGGGCAAAUGAAAUUUACCAUGAAAUUUGGCUACAUAAACAAGCAUAAAUGGAGGUGGCAGUAACCUUUUGAGAGAAGAGCAAGAGAGAAAGGAAGAGACAGUAGAGUUGAGACUAUUUGGGUGCAAGAUUUUCAAUUUUUAAUUGGGCGAUCGGAAGGCGAAAUUAACUUCCUUUUUUCUCAAAUUUUGAGGGUAAGUUCCUAGUAUCGCCCUCUACAACUCUACUAGUCUUGAUUUUUAUUUUAUCUUCUCUUUGACUAUUAUUUGAGAUACCCACUUGUUAGAGAGAUCAUUAUUAAGUUGUUACCGUAAGGCAAAAAUAUUGAGAUUCUUGAUAUUGAUAUCUUCUAGUAUUAUCUAGAGAAGAAUUAGUGCUGCAAUCCUAUUAAUAUAGUGGAAGAUUAUAUCGGACUACGGUCCCAUACUUUUUCUCGCUUUGGGUUUUCCAUAUAAAAUCUAUGUCUCUUGUGGUUGGUUUUUGCUUUGGAUUUUGUUGAUUUAUUUUUCUGCCUAUUUAUUUAUGGUACACAUCCGAUUUUAAUCACACAAAGAGGGAAAAAAAUUUGUUUCCGCUUAAUUUACAGCUACUUUUGUGAGUCCCUUUCCCAACAGCUUAAAUGUACAUAUACACCCCCCAAGAUUUUAAAUGUCACACUAACUCCUUUCUAAAAUAAAGUAUUUUUAAUAGAAUCUGUCCAAGUAGGAAAUUUAACUGGAGAAAAUAAAAAUAAGUUAUGAAGGUCAAAGGGGAGCAAAUAAAGCAGGAGAAAACAAAGAAGCUUACCAAAGUAAAAACUGGAAACCAAGAAGCAAAAAUAAAGAUUUUGAGUAAUCUAUAAUUUCGGAAGGCCCCGCCGUAACUACCACUGAAAAUAGCUUCAUGAAUUGAAGAAGGGGAACAUCGAACUUAGCAGCCAUGUUAUCUUAAUUUAUCAAAGAUGUAUGAACAAGAAUUAAAACGAAAUCAUAUUAGAGAUAAUUGCUUUACGAUUCAACAACUUAUUCUUAAUAUGAGAACGAGUAAAACAAGAACAGCCUGAAUUGACCAAGCAAGAAAUAGUUCCAGCCCAUGGAUAUUAAAUUCUAAUGGAAAUUAAAUUUUUAUAUAUUUUGUCCAACUAAACAAUGGAAAUAAAGAUUGAAUUUAAAUUAUUUUCCUCUCCUUCAAUCUCUCCUCCCAUCCAAACACCACGUAAAUGUUAGCUAUUUCAACUUACAAUCCACAUGUGUCAUGAUGUGUGCGUGUUGGAAUGGUCUAGUAACAUUCAUCAGAUAAUCAUAUGAAAUAAAAUGGAUAAAUAAAAGCUAUUAGAGAGAAGGACUUACAAAUUUAUUUUUUUUGAAGAGAAAAGAACAAAAAUAGUUUUUAUUAAAAAAAUACAAAAUAGAGAAAAUGAUGCAUUUCUUUUGUUCUCCUAAUUGGCCAUCUUUAAAAAAAUCUGUUUAGUUAGAAAAAAAUAAUUUUUUUAAAGUAAAAUAAACAUAAUAUUUUUUUUAAAACAAGCAAACACACAAAAGCAUGUUAUAUGAGCUAUCCCCUCCCCUUCACCAGAUCAAGGCAUUGUCCUCAAUGUCUAAAGAAAAAGAGAUAAAGUUUACAGGGCUGCACCUGAUAAUGUGAAAGGAACAUCAUCAAAAGACCAUAGUAAUGAUUUAUAUCCAAUGGCCUAAUAGGUUGUUGGUGGAUGUUCAGUUGUGCCCAUGAUGCAAUUGUGAAAAUUUCUUCUAAGAUGCCUAGUCCACUUGGUAAAGCAAUAAAAGCAUCAACAUGUUCAAUCUUUACAAUGAGACAUUCAUGUAUACAUAUAACAAUGAGAUCUUCUCCAUUUGUUUUCCCGAUGAUAUUUCCUCUAGUUUAAGGUUUUUGGGACUAUACACAAAACUUGACUUCCUUUAGUGUUUGCAGCUAGCGAGAUGGUAUGUGAAAUCUCUAAUGCUAUGGGUGUCAAUGUGUAAGUGUACACGAUAAGUAAUAUACUGAUGAGUAUUCAAAUUGUCUCAACAGGGAUUGAUGUUAUCAAAUUUGCUACAGUAAUCUUAACAGUGUAGUUUUGUUUUAAAUGAAAAUAAAGCAACUAAUGAAACUAACAAACGAAUCAAAGUAAAAAUGCAGUAAAUAAAAUAAAAUAAAGGAAAUUCUCACGUCAAAUAUAAGGAUGUAACCAAUGGGAAUUGAGUAGUUGAGUGCAUAAACUCACUUAAUAGCAUUAACUAUUUUUUCAAUUAUAGUACCAUUGGUACAGCAUCUACUACAGCGCUGGGCAGAAUCCCUCAUUCAUCCUCAGUUGUCGCAUGUUUGAUAUCUUAUAUCUAAUGCAACCUAACAGUGACCAAUUGUUACGCCAAUAUUAAAUAUACCAUUAAACGAUCUAGGUUCUGUUUACCCUACAAGAUGAAUACAUAUAUCUAAUUCAUCACUAAUUUUAGAUCAAGCAUGACCUUAUUCAAAUUGAGAUUAACUCAACUUGAAAAACCCAAUCUAAAACCAAGUAUUAUCUUAAUGAGAUCCACUGAAUCAGACGUUUUUUAGACUCUUUCUUAGCUAGUAUCUUUAAAUGGGUGGUCAGUCGAAAUAGAGAAUAAAAUAAAUACAAAUAAGACAAAAUGUUAUAGCAAACACAGAGCAACAUGCGUAUAUCAGUCAAACAUCCAUUAAGUUCGUUUAUUACUCAACUACAAUCAAAUUCAGUUCAUGAUUUGCGAUAGAAAAAUAAACAAAAGAGUUUCAGCCAUCAAAUAGAUCCCCAUGAAUAAAUAGAAAACAAGAAAAUAAGAAGAAUGGCUAAUUUCUAUUUUAUUUCUGCAGUUUCUCCUCUGUCGGCCUUCAAUCUCUCUCUUGAAUUUUGUUUUCUUGUUGUUUCUUUGCGAUUUUUUCUCCUUGGGUGAUGGCUUUCCCUUUUUCUCUGUGUGUGUGCUCAUUUAAUAGCUUAAAAUUCAGGAAACUAUAAGUCUAGAGCACGCAUAUUCCAGUUUUGGAAACUCCAUAUCGCAAUCUUCUAAGUAUCUCGCGCGAAAUUUUCUCUAUCAAUGCUUCAAGAUUGCUAUAGCAAAAGUGCUACAGCAACGGUUACUACAUGUUACUUAAAAUUUAAGCUUCCGAACACCUACAAUUAUGCAUAUGAUCUAAGCACAAAUUAAUCUAAAACAAACUAAAUUUAUUAAAAAUAAACAAAAACUGAUGUUCAUACAAAAUAUAACUAAAAUGCUAUAAAAACAUGUCAUUUACUCUCUAAAUAAUUUUGAUUUAAGUCUAAAAGUACCAUGAUAACUCCAUUUCAUAAAGUUAUCAUGAGACAACCCUUAUUAAUCUAAAAUCACCAUCUCCACAUAUUAAAUGUAUUUUUCUCAUAGACAAUAUCCCCUCGAGGUCUUUGACAGCCUCAACGAAAUUUAGAGUAUGUCCAAAAGUUGAUCCAGAGAAUAGAAAAAUAUUUUUAAGUUGUCAAAAUGGAAUUACUGGCAUUAUGAUUUUCUUUCUGUUAAAAAUUAUAUAUGUAUUUACAAAUCCAGGAAAGGCAAUCCAUUAAUGAUAAUAAAUUCGGAGGUUGGCAAUUGUUAAACAGAGUGUCAGAAAUAGUUAAAAUGAUAAUCAGUUAAAUGCUAUAGGAAAUUUCAAAUAAAUAAGUUAAUAAAGUUAGAGCAAAGUAAUAAUAGAAAAUGAAAAUGAUAUGUACUGAUAGUUGUGAUUGUGGCUCACGACUUCUUUUAGUUUUACAUCCAUUAAUGGCUUGAAUGCUUUCUAUGGAUCGGGGAUAGGAUUCCCAACCAAUUUUCUUAUAAAUUAGUGGUGGGUUAUUUCUAUUACUAUGGGUGUUAAUGUAUAAGUGUACACAACAAGUAAUGUAUCAAUGUACAAGCCAAGUAGCCACACCAGAAUUCACCUCAGCAGGUACAUUUUGAACAAUAGCCGCAUUCUCAACAAAAGGCAUCGUUUUAGUGGUAGGUUCUGAUCGUAUUGGUAGCAUGUACACAACAAGUAAUGUAUCAAUGUACAAGUGUACACAACAAGUAAUAUACUGAUAAGUAUUUAGAUCGUCUCCACAAGGAUUGAUGGUAUCAGAUUUGCUACAAUAAUCUUAACAGUGCAGUUUAAUUCCAAAUUAAAAUAUGACAAUUUAUGAAACUAAUAAACUAAUUAAAAAUGCAAUAAAGAAAAUUCUCACGUCAAACACAAGGAUAUAACUAAUGGGAAUAGAGUAGUUGAGUGAUUAAACUCACUUAAUAGCGUUGAUUGCUCCUCUAAUUAAAACCCUAUUGCUACAACAUCUAUUACAGCACUGGGCAAAAUCCCUUAUGCAUCCUCAGAUGUCGUCUGUUGGAUAUCUUAUAUUUAAAUGUAAUGUAACAGUGAUCAAUUGUUAUGCUAACAUUAGAUAUAGCAUUAAAUGUUCUAGGUUUCAUUUACCCUACAAGGUCAAUCCCCACGUCCAGUUCUUCAUUAAUUUUAUAUUAAGCAUUACCCUAUUCAAAUUGAGAUUCACUCAACUUGGGAAACCCAAUCUAAAACCCAGUAUUGUCUUAAUUUGUUCCACUAAGUUGGCCAUUUUCAAGGCUCUUUAUUAGCUAGUAUCCAUUAAAUGUGUGAUCAGCCAAAAUAGAGAAUUGAAAUAAAUACAAUUAAGACAAAAUGUUAUAACAAAUACAAAGCAACACACAUAUGUCAGUCAAACAGAUCGUUUAUCACUCAACCACAACAAAUUCAAUUCGUGAUUUGCGAUAGAACAGUAAAUAAAAUUGUUUCAGCGAUCAAAUACAUCCCUAUAAUUAAAUAGACAACAAGAAGAUAAGAAGAAGAACUGAAGUAUGCUCGAUCUUAGUGAUAUCUUCUUUAGUUCCUCUUUGAAUAUUCUAUUACAUCCUUUGAUUUAUCUCUUAAUGUUUUGUUUUCUUAUUGUUUCUUUUCAGUAUUCCCCUUAGGUGAUGGCUCUUUACUUUUUUUCUUUUCAUGUGUGCUCAUUUUAUAACUUAGAAUUAAGGCAACUGAAAGUGUGUGACGCGUAUCCUCCAUUUUUAGAAACUUUAUAUCGCAAUAUUUUAGUUAUUGCGCAUGAAAUCCAGUCUGUCAUUGCUCCAGGAUUGCUACAGCAACUGCUAUAGCAUCUUCAGUGUUCCAGACUUAUUUCAAUUCCUCUGCAGUCAAGAUAUUUUGUCACUUUUGCAAGUCUGUUGCAGCAAUAUUUCAUCCCUAAAACUUGAGCUUUUCGGUCACCUACAAUUAUGCACAUAAUCUAAGCAAAAAAUAAUCUAAAAAAACUCAAUUUAUUAAAAAUAAAUUAAAAUGGAUGCUUAUGCCAAAUGUAACUAAUAUGCCAUAGAAAUACAUCAUUUACUUUCUAAGUAAUAUUGAUUUAAGUCUAAAAGUAUCAUGAUAACUUUCAAUUCAUAAAGUUAUCAAUUAGCAAAUUGAGUAAUUUGAAAUUGGCUUCCUAAGACUAAAUUGUUUACCUUCUUUUAGGAAUUAUCUCUAUAAAUUGUGAAUCUCGCGUUGCACAUAGUCACUUGGAUGCAUCUUAAGAGAUCGCAAGAUAUCAUCUAAUGCUUGUUUACAUGGACCAUCCUUAAUGAAUUUAAUUUAUCUUCACGAUUUUAAAAACCAUUCCUAAAGUUGUACAAUACGCUUCACAAGAAAGUCUUUCACAUUUAUGAUAUUUAGAGCCAAUUCGUUUAGCUCUUCUUUUUUUAGCAAAUGAUAUCAUAUAAGUCCAAUGAACCAAUUAACACAUACAAUCCAUUCUUCUUUUCACCUUUCAUCACAAUAGAACCCUCCUUAGUCACUUUUAUGCCAUCACUAUCUAACUUGAAUGAAUAUCUAGAGUUGUCCAACAUGCCUAAAGAGAUUAAAUUUCCCUUUAACUCAGGAGCAUGUCUAAGCCUAUGUAAAGUUCUGAUGAUCCCAUCAAAUAUUUUAAUCUUGACAAACCUUAUUCCAACAAUUUAACACUUAUUGGUGUUUCCCACAAAAACUCUACCACCAUCAAUAAACUCAUAUUGAUGAAAAAGUGACUUAUUAGGCAUAUGUGUAAAGAACAACCCAAGUUUAAUACCCACUGACCUUCUAAGUUGCCUUUUGAGGUUAUAAAUAGAUCAGCACUAUAAUAACCAUCAUCAAAUGAGAUAUUUAAAGCCACAGCCACACCUCAUAACCUUUAUUGACUUUCCUUCUUUUUUUUCUAUGCACUCUCUAUGAUGUAAUGCAUUUGUUUCCUACAAAAAAAGCAUUUCCUCUUGUUUUUCUUCUUUUUGCAUUCUCAUGGUUCUUUCCUUACCCCUUUCUUUGAUUAUUGUUCUACUGUUCCUUCUUCUUUCGGUUCUGGCAAUCAGCCCUUCACCAUUACUUACUUCAUGGCCAUCAUGCUUUUCAAUCUCUUUUGAGCUUAGUGAUGUCGUGACAUCUUCCAAAGUCAAGGUUUUCUUCUAUACAACAUUGUAUCCACAAAACCUUCAUAUGAUUGUGGCAAUGAACUUAAAAAGAAAAUGAUUUUGUCUUCAUCUCUAAAUCUUCACAUUUUCAACCUCUUCAAGAUCAAGAAUGAUCUUGUUGAAAGUGUCAAUGUGUUCUUAAAUAGACACCCCUUAUAUCAUUGAAAAAGUGUACAACUAUUUCUUCAAGAAUAACUUGUGAGCCAAAGAUUUCUUUAUACAAAGGCCUCCACCUUAUUCUAUAUCCCAAGGUAUGUUUUUAUUUAGAGAUUGCCCUCAAGAUUGAGUCACUAAGACUCAAAAUUAGGGUUUUGAAGGCUCUAUUUUAAAUAUGUUUCUUCUUUUCAUCAGGUUUAAAGCUUGUUGGCUUAUCAGGAUCUUCUUCUUCUAAGACGGAUUCAAGGCCCUGAUGCACAAGUAGAGCCCUCAUAUUCAUCUUCCAAAGUGAGAAAUCACCACUGAGCUUCGCAAUUUCUAGUUUUAAAAGUGACAUGGUCAAGGUUCACUAAGUCUCUGAUACCAAUUAUUGUAAUUAAUGGUUAACAAUCAAGAACUCAACCAAACUUUCGAGCUUUAAUCAAACAAGAUUAAUUGAAAUCAAGAUUGAAGAAAAACAUAGCAAGAACAAAGAAAUAGAACUGGAUCACAAAGAACAAGAAAAUACAUCCACAAAUUUUUAUAAUUUAUUUCAUUAUUUCCAGCAAUUAAAAUUUAAAAAAAUCCUAACAAUUUAAAUAUAUAAAACACAUCUAGAAAUUGUCAUAAAUUUAAUCCAUUUUCAGCAAUUAAAAUAAAAAAAAUCCUAACAAUUUAAAUAUAUAAAACACAUCCAGAAAUUGUCAUAAAUUUAAUCCAUUACUUUCUAACAAUUUAAAUUAAAAAAUCCUAACAAUUUAAAUGUAAAAACGCAUCAAAUUUUUGUACAAAUUUAAUACAUUACUUUUUAUCAAUUCAAACUAAAAAAAAAUCAUAACAAUUCAUAACAAUUUAAACAUAUAAAACGCACGCAUCCAAGAAUUUUUACAAAUUUAAUCCUUCACUUUCUAACAAUUUAAACUGAAAAGAAAAAAUCUAACAAUUUAAAUAUAAACAACAGAACCAAAAGCUAAUUUUAUUUUAAUGUAAUGGGAAAGUGAAAGUUACCAAUUAUCCGGCUAAAAUUUCAUCAACGUUGUUGGUGUAGUCUUUGGCACCAAAUUCAUAUCUCUGAAUGCAGAUCUCCAGAUAAUAGCCGCUAGUUUUACUUCAAUUUUCUUCUGUUAAUGCAAAUGCAUAUCUGAGUUGGUUUGGUUUGGCUUCUUUGUCGGGUUUGAGGGAUAAUGGCAAUUUUAGUUUUUUGUCAUUACUUUCUUAUUUUGCCAUUUUCUUUUCGUUACUUUUGGUUUCCUUUUCAUUAUUUUAAUGUUUUCUUUUUAUUAUUUUAAUUUUAAAUGAAAAAAGCAACAAACAAAGGGACCCACAAAAAUGGCAGCAGGCAUUGCCGUUUUUGUCGUCCCUUUAUCGUCUGUUUGUUUAUUUAGCACUACUCUAAGGUAGUGUUUACUUGCUGAAGUGGGAGUGAGGAGUCUGGAUUCCUCCCACUCCAGUGUUUACUUACUAAUUUUAAGAGGGGAGUGGGAAUCCCACUCCGUGGGACUCACUUUUUUUUGGAGUGGGGAGUGGGAUUCUCACUCCCAUGGGGGGAGGUGGGAGUGAGAAUCCAGUCCCCUCUCUUCCAUUUUUAUCCUUACAUUUAAUCAAAUAAAAUAAUAUCAUAUUUAUUUAAAUAAUAUUAUUAUAUUAUUUUAUAAAUUAUACUUAUUAAAAAUAAUAAUUUAUAUUGAUUCUAAGUUAAAAUUACUUAAAAAUAAUAUUAUUAUACUCAUAAAGAAUUAAUAAUAUUACUAUAUACUUUUUUAUUUGAAAAUAUAAUAUUAUUAUAUUUAUUUAAAAAUCAUAGUAUUAUAUUUAUUUAAAAAUCAUAGUAUUAUAUUUAUUUAAUAUUAGUAAUUAAUAAUAAUAAUAUUUUAUUCUAAGAAAAUAUUAUUUUUGUAUUAUAUUAUUAAUAAUAAUGUUUCAUUUGUGUUGCUCUUAAUAAUAAUUUUUUAUUUACACAAUUAAAAUUAAUAAAAAAAUUAUUUACAUAAGUAAGAAUAUUAAUAAUUAUUAUUAUUUUACAAAUAUAAUAAAAUAAAUAUUUUAUUUUUCAAAUCUAUUUUUUAUUAAUUUUGUAACUAAAAACUAUAAUUCUUUAAAUAAUGAUAAAACUGUAAUUUAAAAUCAUUUAAUCUCAAUUCCAUGCUUUCAUUCCUGUUAGGGGUGGGCAAAAUCGGGUUCGGGUCAACCCGAUCGGGUAUCGGGUUAUUCGGGUUGGGCGAAUAUUGAUCUGAAUACAACCCUAACUUACAACCCAACCCGACCCGACCCGAUCCGAUCCGAUAUAUGUUCGGAUCAGUUCGGAUCGGGUUAAAAAAUCGGGUUGAUUUCGGGUCUUGGAACAAUAGAAUGCAGUUCGGGUCGAAUCUUAGAGCAGCAUAAUGCAGAUCGGGUUUUGGAGCAGCAGCAAAAUGCAGAUCGGAUUCGGGUCUUGGAGCAGCAGCAAAAUGCAUAUCGGAUUCGGGUCUUGGAGCAACAAAAUUCAGAUUGGGGCGGUGGCACUUGGCACUUGGAUGCAAAUCAGUGGCCACGGACGUGCAGCAGCAGACGGGAUGACGCACACUCACGCAGCAGCAGACGGGAUGAUGAACACUCGCUCAGCAGCAGCAAUCACGGACCAGCGAACUUGCAGCAACACCGAGCAGCAGUGAGCACAUAGGCGGACGCUUCUUGAGGUGUGGACUCCGUUGGCGACUUGCUGUUGGCCAUUGGGUGCAGUCCGUGGAUGUGUUUUGUGCGCAACAGCAGCCUUGUGUUUGUGUGUUUGUGCUGUGAGUGAAUCUGUGAUUUGUGUUGUGUUUGUGUGACUGUGUGUGCAGCAGCGUAUGUGUGUGUGGUUGUGUGCUGUGUGCAGUGUUAGCUUAGGUUUUUUUUUUUUUUUUUGGGAACCCGAUCGGGUAUUUGGAUCGGGUCGGGUUUGACCCGAACCGAUCACAACCCGAUCGGGUUUGUAAAUUUCAAUCCGAUCGGGUUUCAAUCCCGACCCGAACCGACCCGAACUCGAAAUUUAUCGGGUCGGGUCGGGUCGAAUCGGGUAAAAUGCCCACCCCUAAUUCCUGUUUAAGUAAACAACUUACUUCCACUCCCACUCCCACUCCACACUCCUAAUCCCAGAAUUCUCACUCCUCAUGAUUUCUAUUCCAAUCUAAAAUGUAAACGCAGCAUAAAUUUUAAUAGAGAGAAAUAUCGCAACCAACUCUGACUAGUGGUGCAAUUCGACAUAUAUACUACAACUCAUUUUUCCUUUUCACCAAAUGAGACAAACUAAUUUUCUAUGUUUAUUUUUUCCUUUCCAACCGUUGACAUGUGCUCACGACUAAAUUUUGAUUAUAGCUUUCAUUGCUAACCAUACUCAAAGUUCAGCUUUGGUGAGGGCCAAUUAUGGGAGUUUUCCAAAUAUAGUGUCAAAAUCAAAAGGAACAAACCAUAAAAAUGAAUGAUGUGGGAAAUAUUUGGUCAACACAAUUUUAUAAGACGAUGUAUGAAAUUUUAGCAAUAUCAGUAUGAUUCAAACGGCUCUAAGUUCGGUUUUGGUGAGGAGCAAUUUUUAGAGUCUUUCAAAUUUAAGUGAAUCUACAAAAUCGAACGAGAAAGCUAAUUCAAUAAAGUGUUUAGUGAUUUGAAUUCUUCCCCAUAGUAUUCUUAUUUUCCCCUUUCUGAAACCCUAAUUACACUAAUUUUUCCCUUUUUUUUUUUUGACACCUAAAAUAUGCGCUCAUCACUUUUCUUUUCCCUAUCUAAAAUUCAUUGUCCAUUACCUCAUUCUUUAAGAACUUUUUUUACAGGUUGCCCGCCUUUUGUUUAGAAUAAUUAUUUAACCAUUGUAUUUGUACCUUAUUUUACAUUAAAUUUGUUUCCAUCCGUUGGAUUUGAGAAAUGGCAAAUCCAAGAUCCAUAUCGUCAGGCUAUUUAUUUCUGCACUUGUAACAUAGGCGCUGCCAAAAUAAUCUCUCUUACACCUUAGUAAUUUGGUCAUUUCAAACUAGACAGGUUGUUAAUCAAGGACUAAUUUGAUAUAAAUAAAUAUAUUAUGUUAUUAUUUAAAAGAAAUAAAAAGGUAGGGAUGUAAAUGUUAUUAUACAUUCAGUUAUUAGCAAUAAUCCCCUCUGACUAGCGAUUUUCUUUCUAUUUUUAUUUUUUUAAUUGAAGCAAUUUACAAAUAUUUUAAAGUAUUAAAUACAACUUAGAAUUCUAUAUAGUUCAAAAAUCACCACAACUAGUGUCUAGCCAUCUAUUCCUGUGUUUAGGAUUAUAUAUACUCUUUUCCAUAAUUGUGAAAGAGAAAAUAAAUUGUGAAGUCCCCACAUCUUAUAUUGAGGAAGGUUUCUACCCUUUCUCACAAUAAGCCCACUUUACAGGGUCCAAUUACCCCAGGCUACAGCCUCGGUGCUAUUUCUAUUUUUGAACUAAUUUAUUUAUAAAGUUUUAGUCUUUAAAAAUAUAUGUUAAAAACAUAUAUAUAAGUUAUUAAAGAAAUAGCAGUGAUAUAACCACAAAUAAUUUUAUAAAUUAUGACAAAAAUAGAAAAAAAAAAGGAUAAAAUAGACUCAAUUUCAAGUUAUAAUGUAUUUAAUAGGGGUGGGCAAUUUCGGAUUUGGAUCGGAUUCGGAUAUAAUGUAUUUAAUAGGGGUGGGCAAUUUCGGAUUUGGAUUAGAUUCGGAUGAAUCCGAUCGGAUUUCGGAUGAAUCCGAUCGAAUUUCAGAUAAUUCGGAUUGAAAAAAAAUUCAUCCGAAUUCAAUUCGACUUUAAAUCCGAUCCGAAUAAUUCAGAUCGGAUGAAAAUUUCAGAUUACUCGGAUUCGGAUCGGAUCGGAUGAGUUUAGUUUUUGGAUUAUAUUUCGGAUUCGGAUUAUAUUUUGGAUUCAGAUUGAAAUCGGAUUUGGACAUUUUUAACAAUUCUCACAAAAAAAUUAUGAAAUAUAUAAUUAAUGAAAACUUACUAACCAUUAAAAAAAAAAACCAAAACAAAUUGACAAAUGACAAUGUAUUAUUUCCUUGACAAUAUGGCAUUGACAUAUACCAAGAAAACAAGCCGAUACAAAGUUUCCAUUCACAAAAAUAAAAAAAAUAUAAUCCAUUAAAAUGAAAAACAUUUAAAUAAUCAAAUCUAAUAAUCUAUAAUCAACGACCCAUUUAUAUUCUCAUAUGCAUUCAUUUUGUACAAACACUCCCAUUUAAUUUAAUUAGUAAUCCUCUUACAAGCUAGGUGCAUAAACAUUACUCCAAGUCCAAGCCUGCAAAUAAGCAACACAAAAUAAACAUUGCUCCAAGCCUCCAACUCUCCAAAGUCCAAAUGAAUAACACAAAAUAAACUUUGCUCCAACUCCAAUCUCCAAGUAAACAACACAAAAUAAACAUUACUCCAAGUCUCCAAACAAACAACACAAAAUAAACAAUCAACUAUUACUCAAAGCCUCCAAAUAAAUAAACAACACAAAAUCACAAAAUAAAUAUUAUCAUUAUAUCAUCCAACAAUAAAAUAAACCAAAAUAAAAAUUAUCAUCCAAAAACAUUUAGUCAUUUAGCUUAUUUUUUUAAUUUUCAGUUUUUUUUUGUUUACAGUGCAAAUCCGAUCGGAUGAUUCGGAUUGAUCCAAAUCCGAUCCGAUCCGAACCAAAUCCGAUCGGAUCCCACAAAUUUCAUCCAAUCGGAUUUGCCUUCAAAUCCGAAUCGGAUGCCCACCCCUAGCAUUUAAGUUGGAUACGGUGGUUGAAGAUGUAGUUGCCAUUGUACAUACAAGAUAAGAUAUUGCUUUAUCGAAGCGGUUCGAAAAAUACAAGCCUGAAAAUAAUUGUUUUAUAGGAAAAAUAGAAGAUCUUAUUCAAUCAUACUCUGAAUUACACAAUAACAAAUUUUUUCUUAAUAAAUCCACUCAUUAAAUUAAACUCAUAUAGAAAGGUUGUAAAAAGAUCCCAAACUAAUUAAAAUUUUUAAAAAUUACCCUACAUCAAAUUUUUUUUUUUGUACCAUAAAACAAAACGGAGUCCGCCUAUGUUACCACUGUGGUAAGGUACCAUACUUUUUGUCUCCAUCCUAAAUUGCCGUUGGAUGUAAACUGAAUGAAUCUAACGGUCGAAAAAGAAAAAUGGGUAAAGGCCUACUGCCGGUUGUUGAAAGAUAAUUUAAUAAUUAAACAAAGGAAAAAAAUAUUAAAUAAGCGUCCACCAGAGGCCUUCAUCAAAAGAUUUUUCACACCCCAGGAAGGAAUUAAGAUCAUCAAAAUCGUUUCCUCCCCUAGAAAAUCUGAUAAUUGAAUUCUUUUUCACCCCCAGAAAUGACGAUCAAUUUCCCCUAGAAAUUGCUAUUGUGAAGUUUAAAGUUUUGGUAUCUCUCAAUAAAGGCAGAAACGAUGCAGGUAAAAUUCACGGCGGAUACAUGACAACGAGAACCAACUGGAAAAGAUAUUGGGUGGUUGUGGAAAUUUAGCAAUUAGACACAUCAAUUUGCCUUAGAACAGAGUCAAUUUCUCACGUGCACUUGAUCUAUUGUUGUGCCGCUGGAACGGAGGCAGCAGGUAAUUAAAAAGAAAAAAAUUGUUUAUUUUUGUUUGCAACAGUAUGGCAAUGGUAAUUUGCUUAGGAGUGUCGGUCAUGUUUAUUUGUUAGAAUAAGUGAAGGCGAGAUUAGUAACAAGUACUGCUUGUUUAAUUUGAUUGCAAUAAGCACUACGUUGAAGGAGCGAGCGAGAGGGAAAUAAUUCCUUGGAGAAGAUAUUGUAGAAUGAUUGGGCUAUUAUCUUGCAAUCAACUGUGCAGGUACAUAUUUCUUUCUUUUUGUAAUGGUUAAAUGUAACCAUAUCGGUGAUUCAAUUAACCUUGCUUGGUUAUUAUUUUUAUUUUGUUUUGUUUUUUGUGUUAUCUGCUGGUGGCCAAUUAUAUAUGGAUGACAUUGGGGUUAUGAAUUGUUAAUUUAGUUUUGUGAAUAGGGUGCACGUAGCUGAGGAAAAAAAUGAGUUGCUUGGCUAUAAAAGCAAGCAUGUUCUUGCGCUUUGGGAAUGUACCCCCUUGAAAUGCUUUGUAUACUUGGUAUAAUAGGCUAUAUAUCUGUUGCAGAAAAUGAAUAAAUUUUCAUGUUGACCAUGUUCUUUAUGGGCCAUGAUUUGAUGUUCAUGAUUGUUUUAUAUUGUAGGACUGCUCAAUGGGGUUCUAUUAAGAGAAGGUCAGGCUCUACCAGGUAGUCACCUUAUGGCUCAACAUUUUUUUCAUAAUGUUCCCAUCACAUGAGUCUAUUUGGACAAGUUCUGCCUGUUCAACAUGUAGUGUCUCCGAAGUCUAUCUUACUGUUUGUGUGUGAGGUGUUGCCAUCUCCAUUAGUAGCAAGGAGCCAAGGACAGGGCUGUUUGCAGGUGUUCUUAAAUUAAGCAUGCAUUUGGAACAUGUAAAAUAGAGUGCCUUUCUCAUGGCAUGCAGAGGAAAACACCCAUGAGAAGAAUUUAGCAGUAAACAUAUUAUAAAGGGCAUCUGAUUUUGUUCUUGGAUGAUGAUAUGGUUCUCAGCUGUUUUUAUGAUUAUAUUCAUAAUAGUCUUAAUUCAUUUUUGAGUUUCUCUUUUUGUCUUCAAAAUGCUUAGAAAGUUUUAUCUUUUGAAGCCUUAAUUGCUUCCUGAUUUGAUGUGUAUACAUACUCCUGGAAUUAACGAACUUUCAGGGCAAGGAUCCUUGACAAUCUCAGGAGCACAACAUUUGGAUUUAGUCCAAGAGUUAGAUACUGUAACCAGGUCCUGCGUGGCUGGACAAUGUGUUGAAAACUUGCACAAUAACAUGGAGAUUGAGGUGAUCACUGAUAUGAAAAGUUUAAUUUUCAUCGAGUUACUUGUUUAAUUUCUUUAACUUUUAUAUUAAUUUUUAGUUACGUUUUAAUUGCACCAACUUCCAAUGAAUUUAAGGAACAAAUUUUGUAGGAGUCGAUGCUACGGCAGAAGCAUUGUGAACCGAUUAAAAAUUUGCCAGCCAUUACUAUUUGUGAUCGAAAAUGUUGUUCUUUUGUCAAUCAAGAGUUGCCAUUUAUUAAAAUAUGUCCUGAAAGAGGACGUUAUCGGGUUGGACCAUUUCUUAUGCCUAGCCCUUUUGGUAUUGAAGAGGAAAGUUUGAUUAACUUCUGCAUGGAUGAUGAUCUAAAAAAAGGGUAAGAUUAAUUUGAUAUUGUUAAAGUAAUACAGUUAUGUGCAUUAAUUAAUAUGAACAAUAAUUUCGAGAUUGAAAUACAUACAAUUCUUACUUGUUGAUCGAUUCUGUGGAUGUAUUGAAAGAAACUUCAUAAAUGAUGGUAUUUCUGUGGCAGGGAGAUGCUUUUCCAAACUAACUUCUAUGGGAUUACUAGGAAUGAUAUCAUGUCGCUGUCUCCCAGAAGUAUAAUCAAUAUGAAGGUACAAUCGUAACUUCUAUUAAAACUUGUAUGUCCGGCAAUAUUAUAUAUCGACAGCUUGGCCACUUUAAAUAUAGAGGCAUAUUGUAUUUUUGACUUUGGUAUUUCAAUAAUUAACUUCAUAUGUGCUGUCGAGAAGUCAUAAACAUUUAAAUUUCAGGUUGUGUCAGCUGUAUCGGAAUUGCUAUCUGCUCAAACAACUGUAAACGUCGGACAAAGUAAAUUCAACCUUUUUCUGCCUGCUUAUAACACUGUAAGCAAUAUAUUUUAUAAUAUGGCGUUGAUCUUUUGUGUUUAGAAUAGGUUAAAAUACAAGUUGGUGUGUGCUGCACUGUGAUGUAUUUGUUUAAGUGCAAAUGUUGGUGUAUAAAUAUAUCUUUAUCAUUGUAUUUACAAGUUGAGAUGAAACUUGAUUUUGUCAAAUAUGUGGCAUGGUCAAUGUUUGUACUGGAUAGAAGUUUCGGUUGCCAUGUGAUGACACAAACAACCAUUAUGUCCUUUCAGUUGCAGGAUCAUGUUGGUGGCGAGUAGGGAGACGCAAGUGUUGCUGUUGGAAAGUUUAUACCCUCUGAUUUGUAGGCAAAGAAUAUUCGUUCUUGGGAAAAAGUAAGUGAAACCAUAUAAUGGUUUUACAAAAGCUAUGUUAAUAUAAACCUUCGUCAUGAAGUAAUUUUUUUUUUUUUUUUUUGUGGCAAUGCAUCAUGCGUUAUAGAUUUUUGUCCCUGUCAAUUGUGGUCAUGGAUGCUGGUACAUGUUGGUUCUAGUAAUUUCUGAAAUGCGAGUAGAGAUAUUGGACCCGCUUCCUACUUCAAUGUGUAUGCAUUAUAAUAUUGCAAUAUGUAAACGACUGGUACGUAUUCUGUGUUAAUUAUUUCAUCAAAUGACUACUAACUUUAUUUAAAAUAGUACACAAGUAAACUUGUUGUCUUGAAAUUUUUGAUGAGGCAAGGUCACGUUGUUUUGGUUUUCUUUGAACUUUUUCACCUAUUGUCUGUUAUUUUACAGCUAAGAUCAAUUGAGAUGAUGUUGGAUCAUGGCGGUUCAAAUGUUAACUCUAGUAGUUUAAAGUUGAUGGGUUUUUCGGUUGACUAUACCCGACAGCCUUGCAUAUGCAGUGAAUAAGAUUGUGCACUGUAUAUAAUUCUGAUGAUGGAGAGACAUAAUAUGAGGUCAACCCUUAAUGACGCAGAGGUUUAGUGAUUUUAUGUUACCCACAAGAACACAUGUAUCUAAUAAACUUUUUAUUUCACUUGGCAUUGAAACCUUGGGAUAACCUUCUAUUUAAGCUGUGUGUACAUUGUUUUUCUUGAUCAAUUCCAGUCGGAUGCCGAAAGAGCACGAAUUGUCAUCAAACUCAUCACGUGUAGUUUCAACUUUUUGAAGGAUAAGGUUCGCUCAAGUGCUGAGAUGCAUCAAAGGCGAAUCGAUGUUGCCGAACAUAAUGCAGGAGAAGCCAUUCAGAAAAGAAGGUUACAUCAGCUUCGAAGGUCCAGACGCAUGGGGCAUGGUCCCCGCCGUUAGUCACGUUUGCAAUAUAAUUUUUAAUAUAUAUGCAUGGAUGUCCCUUGAGACAACAGUACAUGCCAAGAUUUGGAAGGUGCACGUGAUAAGCUUGUUUUUUACUAGAGCAGAGACUUAGGUAUCUGAACUUAUUAUUUUGCUGGUCUGUUCAAACAUAGAUUAAGUAUUCCCUACUUUUAGUAAUAUCAAGAUUUAAGCAUCUACUGGUUCUCCAUGUAUAAGUGAAAAAAAAAAAUUUGAAUUAAAGUGGAAGAGGUGACCACUGAUAAUUUAUAAAAUACAUGCUGCUGCUAUAACUAAUAAAAUACCAAUUACGUGAAAAAGUCUAUUCAACAAGUAAAAUUGGUAUGUACUCUAUGGCCCAACUCCUUGAGCUCCAUUAUUUAUAAUUGGACUAAAUAACAAUCUUCACUAAAUUCAAUCUUCACGAUACCAAACAUCAUGGGAAUGCUUCUCACCGUUAGUUAAAUAGUUGCUAACGUGCAACUUCUGAAGGAAUCUUCAAGAACGUCUCCAUUCAGAUGAUGACCUGCCAGGGAAAUUACAACGAAAGUUUAAAUGAGGGCAGCUAGGAGGGAAAGAGCUCAAACAAAAUUAUUUUUUUCUUUUUUUUUCGUGGGAAGGAUUUUAUUGAAAAAUAAUGCAGCAACACCAUUACAUGAUUAACUAUAAAAACUAUCUUAUUCAUCUGUUUCUCCUCUGCUCUCCAUUUUCGAGCAGGAACAAUCUCAUAAAUCUCCUUGACAGCCUGCCAACCAUUCAGAAACAAAAAAUUUUGAAAUGAGACAGCAUUCAUCUAAUCAGCAGAGGCAACGCCAUUUAUUAGAAUAAAGAAAAAUUUGCAUUCAUCGGUGAUUAAUAGCGCCAAUAACCAAUGAUGAAGAAUUUUCAAUUAAAUCGGAGGCUCCUUCCAACUGAAAUUUGUUUACAUUAAGCUUAACUAAUAUGAUUACAAACUUGAUUUCUACAUAGAUUUUAGAUAGCUCUCCGUUGAUUCUAAGGUAGCUUCCCAUUAAUUUCGGUGAAGAUUUCUUAAUAAUCUUGGGAAUCCAGAUUGUAUUUCGAGAAUUUAUCAAACUUUUUACUUUGCUAUGAAACCAUCCGAAUCUAUCUAUACAUUAAUCGAGAGGUCCCUGAAUACCAUUAACCAUUUCACAAUAAAGCUAACAACAGGAUUAAAUAAAUUAUUGAAAUUGUUGCCAUUUCUUCUUCCAACUACUACAUGUCUUGUUGCCAGAUUUUAACAAUCCAUAAAAGAGAAACUCAAAAAUGAAUUAAGACUAUUAUGAAUAUAAUCAUAAAAACAGCUGAGAACCAUAUCAUCAUCCAAGAACAAAAUCAGAUGCCCUUUAUAAUAUGUUUACUGCUAAAUUCUUCUCAUGGAUGUUUUCCUCUGCAUGCCAUGAGAAAGGCACUCUAUUUUACAUGUUCCAAAUGCAUGCUUAAUUUAAGAACACCUGCAAACAGCCCUGUCCUUGGCUCCUUGCUACUAAUGGAGAGGGCAACACCUCACACACAAACAGUAAGAUAGACUUCGGAGACACUACAUGUUGAACAUGCAGAACUUGUCCAAACAGACUCAUGUGAUGGGAAAAUUAUGAAAAAAAUGUUGAGCCAUAAGGUGACUACCUGGUAGAGCCUGACCUUCUCUUAACAGAACCCCACUGAGCAGUCCUACAAUAUAAAACAAUCAUGAACAUCAAAUCAUGGCCCAUAAAGAACAUGGUCAACAUGAAAAUUUAUUCAUUUUCUGCAACAGAUAUAUAGCCUAUUAUACCAAGUAUACAAAGCAUUUCAAGGGGGUACAUUCCCAAAGCGCAAGAACAUGCUUGCUUUUAUAGCCAAGCAACUCAUUUUUUUCCUCAGCUACGUGCACCCCAUUCACAAAACUAAAUUAACAAUUCAUAACCCCAAUGUCAUCCAUAUAUAAUUGGCCACCAGCAGAUAAUACAAAAAACAAAACAAAAUAAAAAUAAUAACCAAGCAAGGUUAAUUGAAUCACCGAUAUGGUUACAUUUAACCAUUACAAAAAGAAAGAAAUAUGUACAUGCACAGUUGAUUGCAAGAUAAUAGCCCAAUCAUUCUACAAUAUCUUCUCCAAGGAAUUAUUUCCCUCUCGCUCGCUCCUUCAACGUAGUGCUUAUUGCAAUCAAAUUAAACAAGCAGUACUUGUUACUAAUCUCGCCUUCACUUAUUCUAACAAAUAAACAUGACCGACACUCCUAAGCAAAUUACCAUUGCCAUACUGUUGCAAACAAAAAUAAACAUUUUUUUUCUUUUUAAUUACAUGCUGCCUCCGUUCCAGCGGCACAACAAUAGAUUAAGUGCACGUGAGAAAUUGACUCUGUUCUAAGGCAAAUUGAUGUGUCUAAUUGCUAAAUUUCCAUAACCACCCAAUAUCUUUUCCAGUUGGUUCCCGUUGUCAUGUAUCCGCCGUGAAUUUUACCUGCAUCGUUUCUGCCUUUAUCGAGAGAUACCAAAACUUUAAACUUCACAAUAGCAAUUUCUAGGGGAAAUUGAUCGUCAUUUCUGGGGGUGAAAAAGAAUUCAAUUAUUAGAUUUUUUGGGGGAGGAAACGAUUUUGAUGAUCUUAAUUCCUUCCUGGGGUGUGAAAAAUCUUUUGAUGAAGGCCUCUGGUGGACGCUUAUUUAACAUUUUUUUUCCUUUGUUUAAUUAUUAAAUUAUCUUUCAACAACCGGCAAUAGGCCUUUACCAUUUUUCUUUUUCGACCGUUAGAUUCAUUCAGUUUACAUCCAACGGCAAUUUAAGAUGGAGACAAAAAGUAUGGUACCUUACCACAGUGUAACAUAGGCGGACCCAACAAGACGAUAGUCGCAAACUUAUUUUGUACUAGGAGUAAUGAUUAUGUACAAAAAUGGGCACAGAAAGGUCUUUGGCUCUACAGUCUACUCGGUGAUUCGUGAAAUACUGAAAUGCUUUCAAAGGGGGGCAAAAAGAAAAAAGAAAAAAGAAAAAAGAAAAUAGAAUAUAUUCUAAUUUUUUUAAUUAAAAAAAAAAAACCCUACUAUGUACUUUUAUAAUAACUCCCUCGAGUGCAAUGUCUCAAAGGUUGUCUUCUUCGUCCCGCUGACAACCCAAAAGGCAGAAACGCAAUGUCGUCGCAUUCGAUGGAGUCAUUGAUUCUCCAACUCCACGAGAUCUCGGCGGUUAAAUUCGGAAACUUUAAGCUAAAAUCCGGCAUAUCGUCUCCCGUUUACAUCGACCUACGACUUAUCGUUUCUUACCCUUCCCUCCUCCGCCAAAUAUCCAAAACCAUCAUCUCCUCCCUCCCCUCCACAACCAAAUACGACCUCGUGUGCGGCGUUCCGUACACCGCCCUCCCAAUCGCCACCUGCGUCUCCGUCUCCAACGACGUCCCCAUGCUCAUGCGGCGCAAGGAAAUCAAAGACUACGGCACCGCCAAGGCCAUCGAAGGCAAUUUCAAGAAGGAAGAAAUCUGUCUGAUCAUCGAAGAUUUAGUCACCAGCGGCGCGUCGGUCCUCGAAACGGCGGUGCCAUUGAGAGCGGCGGGGCUGGUGGUGACGGACGCCGUCGUAUUGAUCGACAGAGAGCAGGGAGGGAGGGAGAAUCUGAAGGAGAACGGAAUUGAGUUGCAUGCGAUGAUAAAGCUGAGCGAAAUGGUUAGGGUUUUGAGGGAGAAAGGGAAGCUUGAUGAGGAAACGGAGAGAGUGGUGAUGAAGUUUUUGGAGGAGAACAAGAAAGUGGCGGCUUCGAAUUUAGGUGGGGUUAGGGUUAGGGUUAAGGGUUUGAAAUACGAAGAGAGGGCGAAUUUGAUGAAGAAUGAGACUGGGAGAAAAUUGUUUCAAGUGAUGGUGAAGAAGGAGAGUAAUUUGUGUUUGGCUGCUGAUGUUGCCACUGCUGCUGAGUUGCUUCAAAUUGCCGAGAAGGUUUCUUGUUUUAAGUUAUUCAAUUUUCAAUUUUUGUGCUUUAAACUGUAGGUACAAAUACUUACAGCAGAGUGUACAGCUACUUCACAGCAUAAAUUCUGUUGUGAAAUUAAUUCUUUUUUUUUAAUUUCUGUUUUAUAAAUUUCUUUUCCCUGAAAAUUGAGUUCAUUCCUUUCAUCCCCAUUAUUAGAAAUUAGAAACAUCCUAGGCUAGGUCUUGGACACGCGGCACACAUGUGGGUCAUGGCAGCCGCUGCUGGGCCUGAAGUUUAGGCCCAAUCUAUUAAUGGUUUUGUUGCUGGCAAUACCAUUUGUACAUUUUUUUUUUUUUUUGGGUUUGACCUUUGCCACCGAAAAAAUAAAAGAUGUUGAAUAUAUUAGAGUACUUUACUCUGCCUACUGCCUGUUGCCUGUGGUUUGGUUGUUGAUUUUGUGACAUUUGGAUGUAAUAAUGUAUAAGAAUGUCCAAUAUGAUCAUUCUGGAUUAUCUUUUAGAGUGCCAUUUGUUCUUUUGUAGUAGUUCAAUUUUUUCUCACGCAAUUUAAGGGAAAAAGAGGGAAAAAAAAAGAGGUAUAUGCAUAGGUGAUAAUAUUACUUAACUAAUUUAAUAUUGUUUUGUUAAUCAUUAAUAUUUCCUGAAUGAUUUACAUUCAUGUUUUUCACAGGGUUCAUGAUAGCACUGCACAUAAUACGAUGCUUUAUUCAUCUGAUUUUCAUAAGAAAGAUAGUUUGUUUGUUUUUUCUUCUCUCUAAUUCUCAUUUGAGAUUUUCAGGUUGGACCAGAGAUCUGCUUGUUGAAAACCCAUGUCGAUAUAUUGCCUGAUUUCACCCCAGAUUUUGGUUCCAAACUUCGUGCGGUAUAGCUCCUCAACCCAUUUUCUAGGGAAAUAAACUCUACUAUAUUCUGAUUUUGUGGAUUCUUAUGAAAUGUUAAUUAAGCAAUACUAGUUAUAGCUAAAAAAUUUUCAACUCUUGAAGAUUGCAGAAAAGCAUAACUUCCUAAUUUUUGAAGAUCGCAAGUUUGCGGACAUUGGUAACACUGUGACCAUGCAGGCUGAAGGGUAAGACUCUGCGCUUCUAUAUUUCUUAAUUUCUUUGUUCUUUGUGUCCUUGCUUCCUCUUGAGGGUUCCUGUCUCUGUGUCUGCAGUGGUAUAUUUUGUAUAUUGGAUUGGGCCGAUAUAAUAAAUGCUCACAUAAUCUCUGGACCGGGAAUUGUGGAUGGUCUGAAAUUAAAGGUUAGAAUCAACUAUUUGGUAUAACUUUUGUCUGCCUUGAAGUAAUCAACUAAUCUGUUUCUAAUGUUAUGCAUAGUAUUGAUUUACCAGGGAUUGCCUCGUGGUAGGGGUCUGUUGCUGCUGGCUGAGAUGAGCUCAGCUGGUAACCUAGCAAAGGGAGACUAUACAGCAGCAGCUGUGAAAAUUGCCGAGGAUCAUUCUGAUUUUGUCAUUGGAUUCAUCUCAGUUAAUCCAGCAUCAUGGCCAGGGGCACCAGUCAAUCCAGCCUUUAUUCAAGCAACCCCUGGAGUUCAAAUGGUAAGGGGAGGUGAUGAUCUAGGCCAACAAUAUAACACUCCAUACUCGGUAAGUUCUGUUCGUUCACUAGCUCCCCUCAACAUGUUUAUUUUUCUAGCAAUACUAUCCAUGAAAACUAUUAAUACAAACUUAUCUAUGCAAAUGAACAUGGGAAUACAAUUAUUAAGGUAAACGUUAAAAGAAAGUCAAUUUAAUUGCCACAUCACCCAUUUUCAUUUGUGGUUUUUUUUUUUUUUUUUUAUAAUCAAAUUUCAAUGUGCCAGGUUAGUUUAUAUUGGUUGAGUGUGUAUGUCUAGUAUUUUGAUAAAUUUGUCACAAGUUGUAAAAUAGAUGUAAACUUGAGUGAAGAAUUAGCAAUUGAACAACCAGCUCCAAUCGAAUUAGCAUUUUUGCCUUAUGUUCAAAUUUGAGAAGGCCUAACUGAAACAUUUUUUCUUAGGGUCCCAGGUGCAUUGAGCCAGCCGAUGGACUAAUGGGUGCUAGUUACUUAAUAUAAUCUAAGAAAUAAAAUCAGCAUUUUACAUGUAAUGGAAUUUUAGGCAUGUCAAUGAGGCAUAAGGGGAAGAAGUUUUGAUUGCAAAUUUGGGAGGCCAUCAAAAUGAUUUGUUUGGUGUGAUAACGAAAAAUUCUAAUGAAUAAACCCAAACCCUGGAAUGUUUUGCCAUAUAUCACUAGAUCCUCAAAAGGUUAGGAAAAUGAGGUAAAGAAGAUCCAUUUUCCUCCUGUUUUAUAUAUGUAGGAACUUUAUCUUUUCAUGGGUACAUCAUUGCUAUCACUAGAUCCCCAAGAGAUUAGGAAAAUAAGAUAGAAAAGAUCCAUUUCGUCCUUUUUUUUUUCACAUAUAGGAAUUUCAUCUUUACAUGGGUACUUCAUUUCUAUGGAGCCAAAGAUAUCAUUUGCUCUAGUUUCUGAAAUUGGGCUUCGUAUACCAUGCUUUCAAAUUGACCCUUGACUAGAGAGAAAAAAUUUUCGUUUAUGACCAGAAAUUUUCUGUAAAUUGAAAUGAGAAAAAGUUGGAGAGGAAAAGCUUGGGGUUUAUAAUUUGGUAACAUGGUUUAUCUUUUCUUCAGGCAGUAAACUUUGCUUAGCUGUGUCUAGAUAUCUUUUUGUCCUUGAUUGGCUGAAUUCCUAGAUAUUUCAUCCUAAAGACUUAUUCGUAUCCAUCUUUUCCCUCCAUACAUUGAACCAAUGUUGUAUCUUGUUUCAAAACAGGUAAUUUCUCCAACUUCAAAUUUAGCCUAGCCAACUAUAAUUUAACCAGGGAACAAGCUAGAAGGGGCAGAGUUAAUGAACUAAGGUUAACUGGUGUUUAAAAUAGUUGUAACUUGUACCUCAGUGAUUUUAUUCGAGAGCCUCACAGCCAUGUGAUAUUCCCUUUGUCACACAUAGUAUGACUAUUAAGAUGCUUCUUACAGGCUAACUAAUCAAACUUGUUACACCAACAAAACAAUAGCUGAGUGCUCAACUGCUCUAAACCUGUUCUAUUUGGUUGACACUGUUGCAGCUUUAAUAACUUUAACGUAAAAUUGUUCUCCAGGUCAUCUACGAUAGGGGUAGUGACAUAAUUAUUGUGGGUCGUGGAAUUAUAAAGGCAGCAGACCCUGCAUUGGCAGCCCGUGAGUACCGGCUUCAAGGAUGGGAGGCCUACUUGGCUAAGUGCAGCUGAUCCUCCAUUUAGGUCUGGACUUCUGCUCGCUUCAACGGUUGCGAUAAUGAACAGAUGAGUCAAGUUCUGUUUAAUAUACCAUGCAUUGGUAUGUCUUAUGAAACCGAGAGAGUUUGAAGCUUUUGGCUGCAUUGUACUUAUAGUAACUUCUCAAGUCUGGUAAUGCUGCUUGUCUGGUUUUCCCAAUGAAACAUGGUUGCAAGAUUUCUGAGUGUUGUGUUAUCAACAAUAUAUGAAAUUUAUGAACAUGGUGUUUGGAGUUGCCAACCAUCUCAUUCAAAAUUAUCAUAUUGAAUGAUUCGGAUGAUUCCUCUUUUGUGGUUUGGAUGGACACGUGGCAAGGCGCAGUAGAUGCCUGGGAAAUUGGUAUUGUGCAAUUAUCUUUAAAUGUUGAUAUGGUAAAAUGACCAGGAUUACUUUAUGUUUAGCAAAACGAAUCAUUUUCUCUCUAAUAUUUUAUAACCUACAAAUAAUAAUGUUAGAAUGUCAGUUUUUCCAAAAAAAAAUUGAUAGCAGAAUAUUAAAUAAAGGGAUAUUUUUUUUAGAAAAGGAAAAUAGUUAAUUUAGCCAAAUAGAAAGAAGAUACUCAUUUUCCCAAUGGUUUUUUUUGAACUCUCAUUUUCUCAAUAUAUAACUAAUAAUUUAACGGACCUGUCUAUGGUACAGAUUCUGUAACAAACAUCUCCCGUCAUCCCACCAUCCGAUUUUCUAUUGUUUAGUUUCUCACUCCACAUCCAACCACAUCCAACGGCUGAUGCUGCAGUCUGUACCUUACAGAUUCUGUAAGCUAGUCGAGUCCUAAUUUAACAAAGUGUUAUUAAUAUUUUAAAAUAUUUCUUAGGAUGAAUUGAUUUUUAAACGCGAGCGAGAGGAAAUUGACAAGAUUUAAUUAGUAACAUUAAGAUCGGUAAAUGAUAUAAUAUAAAACAAAACUAGUAAAGAACAAAAAGGGCCAACAUGAAGAAAACCCAGAAUUGAAAAAUGUCCUUUUUGUAUUUUCUCGAGAAAUUUCUCUCUCCGACUUACAGCUCAACGGCUUUAAUUUGAAAUUCUUCACACUCUUUCAAUUGUCUUUCAACGCGCACACUUCGUAUCCUUCGUUAUUAAUUGUUCACACACGCUCCCCCAACACCGAGCAGACUCUCUCUCUCUCUCUCUCUCUCUCUUCUGUCCGAAUUAGGGUUCUGUUGGGCUGUGAAACAUUAUAAUGCGCUUCUGAUUUCAAAUACUUUUCCAG